UUUGAGUUCACAACAAAGAACAUUGCGUACAUUUACCAAGGAAAAGUGCUUAGCCUCCUAUCAGGACUUGAUCUUUCUUGCAACAAGCUAAUCGGUCCUAUUCCUCUUCAAAUUGGAAAUUUGACAAGGAUUCAAACAUUGAAUCUAUCACACAACAACUUGACAGGAUCGAUCCCAUCAACAUUUUCAAACUUGAAGUAUGUCGAAAGUUUGGAUCUUUCCAACAACAAAUUGAAUGGGAAAAUCCCUCAUCAACUAGUGGAGUUAAAGACAUUGGAGGUUUUCAGUGUGGCAUACAAUAACUUAUCAGGCGAAAUUCCAGAAUGGACUGCACAAUUUGCAACCUUCAAUGAGAGUAGCUAUGAGGGAAAUACUUUUCUUUGUGGAUUGCCAUUGCCCAUUUGCAGAUCACCAGCAACUAUGUCGGAGGCUUCAAUUGGCAAUGAACGAGAUGAUAAUUUAAUUGACAUGAACAGUUUCUUUAUCACAUUUACAACAUCGUACGUAAUUGUGAUAUUCGCAACUGUUAUUAUUUUAUAUGUAAAUUCUUAUUGGCGACGUAGAUGGUUUUACUUUGUUGAAAUGUGGAUAACUUCAUCUUACUAUUUUGUUGUAGACAAUCUUAUUCCAACAAGAUUUUGUCAUUGAAAUUAAUUAGUAGCUUAAUUACGAUUCUUUAAGUACUAAUCAAGUUUGCUUAGGAAAUAUUUUUUUAUUAAAAUUGUAGUAGUAUUUAGCAUUAUAUAGCUUCCAACUUCCAAGCACUUCACAUUUGUCUCUACACUUAAAAAACUGAGUAAUCAUGUUUUGCAGAUCUGUCCACCAUAACUUAUAGCUUCCCUAUACUGUGCAGCAUACUUAAAUAAGAGAACCAUCUCCAAUGUUAAAAGCAUUCACUCUAUAACAUUCAUUUAGAAACUAUAUUCAGAAUAAUUUUAUAAUUAAACACGAGAAAUGAAACACAUAGAUACACUUGAUCGCCUAUUUUACUCUAAAAAAGAACGAUUAUUGUGCUAUCAUCAUCUUCUUCACUAGCAACAUUAACACCAAAUCGAUGGACCCAUACAUUUCAUCAAGAAAGGUAUAUAUCCAAUAAAGUUGAAGCCUAACAAAAAAUUCAAGAAGAUUAAUGCCUCGCCACAACAAGGGGCACAACAACAUCAAAGUAGAGAUUAAGCAGUAUUCUCAAAGCUAAAACUCUCAAAUCCACCCACCAGAAUUUCAUAUCUCCUCAACAAUUUUAAGAACUAAAGAUAAUUAGGAUUUAACAUUAGUUUUUUAUAUAUUAGUUUCAUAAUUUACAAAUCAAUGAAGAUGAAGAUUAUGCUAAUAAAUUCAAAUUAUACCAUACAUUCUCUAGAUGUUACCAAAAAUUUCUAAGUCAAUCCCACAUAUUUCAUAAUUUUAAGACUAGAAAAUUUCACUAGUUAGAAGUUUCAUUACCUUCAAGUGGAAGAUAAAGAACAUUAUACAAGUGAUUCAGAUUAUAUCAUACAUACUCCAAAUGCAACUAGAAAUUAACAAGUUCAUGCGCACAUAUUUCAUAACAUUAUGAUUGAAAAGUUUCACAAAGAGAAAUUCUAAAUUCAAUCUCUUGCAUGAAGGCAGUUUGAUUGAUUUGAGUUACUUUCUUAUCAAGCUACUAAUAUAACAUUCAAGUCAGGGAGAAAAUAAAUUAAAACUGGGAAGAAAUAAUAGUAAAAAUUUGUUGCUCAACAUGAUGUGUAUUUUUUUUCAAGGCAAUUUGGAAACACAAUUGUUACUACAGAUAUUCUUCUCAACUUGGAGAUAAAUACAAAUAUUAAAAUGCAUAUGAUCGCACAUAUUACUUCGAGUUUAGUAAGAUUUCAUUAAAAGAAGCAAUCAAACCACUUAUCAAUUGUCGCAGUCGUUCUAUAAACUAAAAUAGCAAUAUAAUACAAGAAAAAGAACAUAUAGAUACUUGGCAAGAGUUCAUUAAGAAGUCGCAUCACAUUCGGGUGAGGAGUUUGCUUCUGAUAUCUUGCUAGCUGGGGCUUUUUCUUGUCUUUCUACGUAUGCCGAGGGAAACCAACCAGCUUGGCCCUUGCAUUCACCUUCCGACCAUCCAAUAGGAGCCACCUUGAGAAGUUAUAACUAAAACGGUGAAUUAAACAAAAGUUGACCGUUCAAAGACCUAAGGGGAAAACUAAUUCUUUUACGUAGGAGGAGUGAAUUAGUUGUGAUCACUGAAAUAACAGCAUAACUAUGGAAGCAUAACAAGAUAUAAAUUCACACGUCUAUAAGGAUAAACUGGGUGGUUCAGAACUGAGCUAGCAACCCUACUAUAUUCUGAUUUGCACUUCAAUGUAAAAGGGAAUAUAUGGUAGGAAGAAAGAAAACCAACCAUCAUUUGUUAACUCAUUGCUUUUCAAUCAAAAUUUUAAGAACAAAAUGCCAUGUGCUUUGAACAUCAAAUAAGUAUAAGCAUUAGUUCUAAAUUCCACAUAUCAUAAGUUGUUAGAAGGAUAAGUUAAUAGCAGAGUAGAAAAAUCUAUGUGUUGGUAUUUAGAGGGGAAAGUACCUGGCGAAUCACAACAUAAUCAUCAAUUGAAAGACUUAGCUCUCCAUUUGCUUGAGCAUCAAAUGGAUGUAUAACCUGCAAGAUAAUGGGAUAAAUAGAACUUAAAAAAAGCAUAACAAAAGCAGCAACAGUAGCAGCAACGUUCAUUGUAACCACUAUGAUCAUGGCCAACAAAGAUAUAUUAGAAACAAAAUUCCAUUUUUACUACGACAUUAAUAUGUACUAUACAAAUUCUAAUAAGUUCUGUAUAACUUUAUGUAGUUAUUUAAAUUAUGGAUCAGAUUUUAAAUUUGAAAUUUUGACUGCUCUCCACAAAACAUGGCCUAUGCACAAGAAAGUCAUAGAUAAUGAGGAUUACAAGUGUCCGGCAUCUUUUGAGUGAUGGAUUUAACAUGAGAGCUUAUGGUCAGUCAAUUUCCUCUGCCUAGCAAUAUAAGCUUUCUCGGCCAGAUUUAUCAUCAAAUACAUAGAUUGCCCCCAAGUCACAUCCAUAUAAACAUAGUUUUUCUAGGUAAACCAAGUAAGGAGUAUCAUAAUUCAGACAUAAUCAUAAAAAGGCCCAUCUAAAUUAAGAGAAAAUCUCAAAAAGAGGGAUGCUGAGCUAUCAGUCUUGUAUCUAUAAGCAAUAUCAAGACUUUACAUCACCUGCUACAUCGUGAGUGGCUACACAACUUUCAGUGGUUUGUCUUUCUUUGGCACGCCUAACUCAGCUUUGAUGUUAGUGAGAUAUUGAUAGUAGAGACACAUGAUACUUCUAGCUCAUGCAUUCUAUCUAACCCAUCCAACAACUAUCUCUUUUUUAAUUCAUUAGUGUUUGCUAAACCUCAUGCUUAAAAGUCCUAUUCUCCUUAGCACCACAGUUGGACACUUGUAGAGCAAUUUUAUUUGGGGGAAAAGAAUUUUCAAGGUGUUAACUAAUAAAUUUUAAAAAAUAAUUACAAUUUGUCCUACGAUCAUAUGACAAUUUAUCUGGGAUGAAAGGAUACAGAUAGACAUCUUCCACUUUCAAGACUAAUCACUACUUCCAUAGAUGUUGUGCAAUAAUACAAAUACUUGACCAGAUGGUAGUGAUGGUAGAAAAAAAUUUUAUUGCUCCAAAAUUAAAAUAAGAAUGCAAUAUGUUAAGCAAAAGGCUGUGCAACAUCAAAUUAAUUGAUAAGUUUGUAAUUCAGUAAAUUAACAACUUUCGUGGUAAAAUACAACAAAUUUCUUUUGAAAAAAAUAAAAAAAAUAAAUCUUAAAAGACAGCAUUCAAUUUUGUGCGCAUCUUAUUUCUUAAGAUUUUUCAGGAGGAGGGCAAUAGAGGGACUUUCACCUAUGCAAGAGAGCAGAAGCCUUACUUUCCCUAUAAAGUAGACGUCAUUCUGAUUAAUAUGCGUUUGCAAAUCAGCUCCGUUUGAAUCAGUAUUCUGAUAGACACACGAGCCAUUUACAUCCAUUUCCAAAGUCACAUGUUGCGAGGAGGACUCAUUUGAUUGCUCCUAUACGAUCAUCUAAUUCAAGUAGCAAGGGUUGGAAGAGAAUAAAAAGUCACAAUUAUUCUUUUGCAUAAGUGAGACGAAAAUGAUAAAUGCAAUAUUAUCAGCAGUAAACAAGAAGAGAACGCUCCAAGAAAUAGAUAGAUGCAGACAAGCAAGUUAAAAUGCAUAGUCCCAAACCUCCGCAUACAACUUCUCUAAAAUAGCAAUAACGUGUUGAUGCUAUGUUUUCUCAGCAUCUACCUGCAAAGGCCCGAGACCAGGAAAACAACAAUAAAACCACUAGCUGAAGGAGAAAGCAAAGAAAGAAAUACACUUGACAUAAAUCUUGACAAGAAGCACAAUUUAAGACAUAACAAACCCCAAUCAUAUUGUUUAGAACUACCAUUCGUUAUUUCGUUAUUGUAACAUUUCGAACAAGUGUUGACUUAAUUCAACAUUGUUGGAAAGAUGGGCUUUUAGAAGCAGAAGAAAGCCUCUCAAACCAAAGUGCUUGUCCUUGUAUUGAUCAAGGGAUGUAAACAUAUUACAUUUGCAGGAUGAGAUUUAAUCACUCCCCUGAUUUAUUUGGGUUGCAGUAAAACUAAGCGAGCAACUGUUUGACUUCCAAGCAACAGCUAAAUCAGCUAUUAAAAUUCAAAUAAAAUCAUAAUAGAAUAAUAACAGGCCAUCUUGCAUCAAAAAUUAAGUUUAAUUUGUGAAUUGUUUUCUAUAGACAUGUCAGUUUCUGCUAUUGAAAUGUUAAAAGCAUUGAAAAAUUAUUCAAUAAAUUAUGCAAGCAUUAAAAUAGAGGACAUAUUAAAAAGUUUCUAAUUACAAUGUUAAUAUUUCCUAUAUUCUAGCAUUUGCAUAUUUUAAUUUAUUUAAAAGCUACGUCGAUCAACUUUGGGCAUGAAGAUUUUAGCUUCUACGAGACUUGCUUGGAAUAUGCACAAGAGUGUUAAAAUAUGAUGCAUCCAACGAAAGACAAACCACGUGUAGUCUUUUAAUUAAGCCAAAGUAGCAGCUCAAACAAAUGACACUUGGACCAACAUGCAAUCAUGAAGUGGCCGGAAAAAGGACAAAUGCUACUUUGGCUUAAAUAAAAAAUAACAUGUGACUUGACUUUUGCUGGACAUGCAUCAUGUUAUUACAAGACAACAGAAAUCAGUAUGAUAGUACUAAAAGUUGACAAUAACAUGAAGAUAAGAGGCAGACUGUCAACACAUGCAUAGGCACACACAAGAAAGUAUUAACUUCUAUACCAUAGCAAAAAGUCUUUGAUAUGUCAUCUGUUGCUGCUGUGAUUCAACUGACAGCAUGGCAGCUGUUGCUUCUCUACCAAGAGCCAUUAUUGUAGAUUUAAGCUCCGUCUAUCUUGCUUCUGCAUUUCGAAGCUUCACAGCACUCUCUGCUGAUAUAUCAGAUUCCCUAAUCUUUGAUCGGCGCCUAAAUACUUCAGCUGCCUGGUGAAAAUAUUCAAUAUAAAUCUAACAUAAUUCUAAUCUUGCCUUAUACAUGCAUAUGUUACCUCAAAGCUUACCUGGGCUUCAACUUCAUGUCGAAGUUUGUCAUAACGAUGAGUCAGGUGUCGAGCAUCUUCCAAAGGUGUUCCGUUGAUUAACGCCCGUAGUGGCUCAGGUACCUACAUGUCCAAAAACCUGUAACAUAGUUAGAAAAAUGAAAAGAAAGAGCGAAACCUCAAUUAAAAAGUUCCUCCAACAUAAUCAUGGAAUUUGGGCCUACUUCAAGGAUAUAUAUAAGGAUAAUUUAUGCAAUUUUGGGUCUGAGGAUGAUUCAUAUUAGGUUAGUGUUCUUCUCUUCUGUAUUUAAGGUUAAAAUAGAAAUAAACCUAUGAAAAUAUCUAAAUUAGGGCUGUAAGACUUCCACAUGCAUCCUUCAGUCUCAUGGAUUUGAUUUUACUAUAGAUGCAAGUGUCUUUAAAGAAAAUGCUUGGAGUCAAUUGAGAGAACUCACGGCCAAAAACUUGUCACACGCUAGUCUUUGCUAGUGAUGUAAGAAGUCACAGGGUCUCUUCAACAUUUGAACCAAUAAAAUUAUUAAGUCAUGGAUGUCACUAGCAAUGAUUUUAAUAUAAAACAUUAAAUAUUUCAGAGUUGUAACUUUAAAAUGGAUUCUUUUAUUCAAUAUCAUAGAACUAAGUUUCCUUAUGAGAAGAUAAUAGUUUCGAUAAUAAUUUUACAUAUAAUUUUCUAUAUUUGAAUUAUUUUCUAGUUAGGGAUGAACUAACCUGAUCACGAAGAAUCCCGAGCAAAGUUUCCCUCUCAUUUUCCAUCAAAUCAUGUGAAGUGCCAAAUUGAAGAGCAGCUCUUGCAACGCAAGAAUUGUCACUUUGAUUCUCUGCUCCAUACUUGCAACAAUCUUCAGCCAACUUUCUCGCUACAAUAUUUGAAUACAAAAAUAUUGUACACAAGAACUAUAAAAAACUAAUGAAAAAUGCCAAGAUGGAGCAGAUGCUUCAAUACUGCCCGUACAAACCAUAAAAAACUAAUGAAAAAUAAAUAAAAUCAAGAAAUUUUACUAAUUAAAAGUCUAAAUAUAAUUUUGAAAAAAGAAAAGAAACGGACUUGCUGCUGCUUGGCGACUUGUUCUCGGAGCUUGAUUGCUUGUUUCUUGAUAGCUUCCAUACUGUUUCUUUCAAAAAGCGACGACGGCUCAGCUCAUGGAAGUGGAAAAAAAAAGUGUGAUCGAGAAAAAUGAAAAGGCGUGAAUAAUUUUUGACAAAAAGCGAAAAUCAAGGAAAGCCGGCUCUUUCCAGAAAAUAAAAAAAGAAAAAAGAAAAUCAUAAGUUUGAAAGGAGAAGAUGAUAGUGGAAGUAUGCAGUGUGGCUGCCAGGUACUUGGAUUGUAUUGUCGGGUAAGGUAAAAGUGGAGAAUUAUAAGUUUGAACAGAGCAUGUUGGACUUUUGUUGACCAAAUUCAAAAGCCCAAUGGGACGGUCCAGAAGCUUUUGAAUAGAAAAACUUGCUAGAAAGCAUCAGUUUAAAUCACUACUUAAACGCUUGCUUUAACUGCACCGCUUUGUACUGUUUUAUGUAUGUAGCGGUUGUGCGGUUGUAAUUCACGGCUGACGCUACGUGUUUGUUUGUACUGUUCUAUUCGGUGACAGAGUAUUAUUAGUUAGGCCAAAACUAUGUUGCAACAGUGGUACAAUAGCACUGUUGUUUUCAGUCAUUAGAUCUAUAGUUGUACAGUUGCAUUAACAAGAUCCAAUGGUUGAAAACAACAGUGGUACCGAACUACUGUUGCAACAUAGCUGGACCCUAUUAGUUAUUUCAAAGGGAUAAAUAAGAUUGGUUACAACAAACCUACUAAUUUUAUAAAAUUCAAGUAAUAUAGAAUAAAAUAAAAAAAUAAAUACAAAAUUGACUUUUAUUUUUUAUGGUUGACUAUAUUUUGUGUUCUCUUCGGGCACUGCUACAAUUCUUCCCUAUAUAUCAAUUACACCACAUACUAUCGACACAAGAAAUGAAAUCUAAUAUCACCUAUUUAGUUAAAAAAUCACUCAUGAAAAAAUUUUACCAUUUUGAUUUGAGGAUCCAUAUUUUGAACUACAAGCUAAUGUUCAUCAAGAAUCACUGAUGGCCGUUGAGUAGAAAAAUUAUUUUUGGACAAAUUAUUUUUGUUGAUAGAAGAAUUUCUUUAGGGACUACUAAAUUAUUAAUAAAAAUAUCGAACACACCCAAAUAUCAUCGACACAAUUGAUUUUGAGGAUCCAUGCUUUGAACUGCCGCCUAAUGUUCAUCAAGAAUAGAGUAUGGCUUGUGAGUAUAAAAUUUUCUUAUUUUGGCCCGAAAUAAAAAAAAAUUAAAUUGGAUGAGAAUCUGCCACUUUCUCAUGAAGAAAGGCAUACGGAGCAUACCAUGGUACCAUACAAUAUAAGGAGCCUCCGUUCUUUGGUUUUUCAAACUCUGAAGGGGCCAAUAUUGCCAAAUUCCCCCUUGAAAAUUCUGAUUACGACAUUAUUCAUCGCUUGAUGCAAUCAAAGUAGUGACAAAGUAAUUGCUAGGCAAGGUUGCUGAGAGCAAAAUUGUCCUAAGCAUUAUAUGCAUACAUGGUGCGGUACAUAGAGCACGUUGAAUUCCCCACUAUAACACAAAUCCAGAAAGACAAGUAAUAACUCAACUGAUAUAAAGACAAAAAGAAGAUAAAAUGAUAUAGAACAAAGAAUUUCAAAGAGACAGCAACAUACGAUAGACUGAAGCCACUUGAUCUGCUCAUUGAUUGCAGCCUUAAACUUGCAAAUAGUUACUGUACGCUAGUGCUCUAAGAAGUGAAAAUGAUGCAAGCCCUGAUUCCCUUUUGACUUCCAUUUACUGUCAAACAUUCUAGUAAUACAAAAAAUUGUUUAGAUAUCUUGCUAUAAAUAUAGCCGUUUGACUGUCAUAAUAAAGUCACAAAUAACCAUUCAUAUUGAUCUACUAUCACACAGCAUGCUUUAUGCAUACAACAGCUGUAUGUAUACCAACUCCUAACCUUAUCAACACAUUUGGCAAAAACUUAGGAAGAAAACUAUUUCUCCAUCUCUUUUUUGAAAUUUCACAAUAACCAGCACAAUGUGAAAGCUAUGUUCUAACCUUAUGAUAAAUGCUCCAGACUCCAAAAGGAUUUUAUAUAUGAGAGUUUGUUGCAGCAGAUAUAUUGACUUAUCAAGUAUGAAUCAUUGUCUGGAUGAACUAUCUUUAGAUAAAAGAAUAUUAGAACCACUGUAGAAUAUCUUUACGCUGCUGGUUCUAACAGGAAUCUGCAUGUGGCAACAAUUGCUAGAUCCACAACUCCCCAACUUGAAAUACAUAGUUGCACACCAUGAGAUAGUGCUACAAUCUACUGAGAUCUAACUUAUAUGGUACUUUAAGCUACUAAUGUUUGCAUAUUUCUACAUGUUAAAUUAACACUAUUAUCUAUAAUCACUCCAAAACAACAAAUGAUAAGCAACUUUUGGCCACUUAUUACUAGCAUCCACAAUUAUAAAUAAGAGAUCAUGGGUUUACUUGUUGCACCUACUUAAUUAUCUGCAGUUGACAUCCUGACGCAAGGUUUAAAUAGUGACUGCUUAGAACCCUUGUAGUUGGAUCUUGACCUCUCCCAUUGUAGCCAAGAUUGGUUACUCUGGUAAUGAAUCAACACUCUCCUGCUCAGGGCCAUGAAGAUCUGAAAGCUCAGCACUAGUGGAGAACUUCAUCAAUCUCUUCUUCUCAGCAUACUUGAGACAAGGCUGCCUUACGAGACCAAUCACCAUAGCACCAACGCUUAAAACUGCAACUUUUAAAGAAGAAAGAGCCAACACAACACAACACAACACAAAUCAAUAUGGUUGGAGGAAUACACAUGAUAAUGGCUCCAACAGUGACAGUGGGUAUCUUGUAGGGACGAGAUGCAGCAGGAUAUUGCAUCCUUAACCAUACAAAUGCUAUGAACUCCAUAAUCAUUCCAAAACAGUACAGGAAGUUCUCUGCAGCUACAAUAUCUCAAAAGCUCAGCCAUGAUAGCAAAACCACACCGGAUGCUGAGAAUAUGAUUCCAAUCAAAGGAGUCCCAUAACAAGACCUCUUAGCAAAAAACUCAGGUAGCGUUCCACGCUCAGCCAUCCCCAAAAGUUGGAAAGAGUCGCUGCUCAUCUCAGCCACAAACAUGCCCAUAUUGGACAUUGCUGCAGCCCCCUGGAUGCACCAUCUCAACCAAACUCCUCCAAGCACUUUAGCGAUAUCUGAAAAGUAACCAUCGGUCCACAAGUCGCGAUCUAAUGGAAUAGCUCCAGUUCCAACUAGAAGGGGAAAGAAAUAUCCAAAAACGACCAAGAUCAAAGCAUAAAACAAAGCCUUUGGAAGAGUCUUCUUUGGGUUAUCCACCUCUCCAGCUAGUUUACUUAUUGAGUCCCAGUAGUUGGAGAUUCCAAAACAGGGUGUUCAAAUACAAAUUCCAGUCCACUUCACCUAAAUUUACUACAAGCCAUCUUGAAGGCUCUAACUUGGGAAGGGACACAAGUCCCAUAACCACAAAAGGAAGGAAUGAGAAAAUCUCUAAAAGAACAGCAGCCCAUCCCACAAUGGUUAGACCCCUAUAGUUCAUGAAAGUGAGAACAAAAGUCAAAGCUAACGCCGCAAAGGCUCUAGGUAACCCAUCGCCCAAAGCAGGGAUAUACCAGACUUCAAGUAGUCAAGAAACAGAACUGGGUAUAAAGCAUUAUCAAUAACCCCACUUAGCCAUUUCAUCCAAACUUGCUGAAAACCCCAAUAUGGGCCUAAGGCAGAUGAAACCCAAACCACAUAACCACAAUUUUCAGGAAACACGGUACCCAUCUCGGCAGUAAUUAAAGCUUCAGGGACACUCCAUAUAAUCGGAAACACCAAGAAACCAAGAAGUGCUAAAAGAGGACCAGCUGCCUUUACACUAUCCUCAACACCAAACGCCCCCCCAGAAACCUCAUAGAAUAUAAGGAAAAUAAGUGGCAAGAUUGAUACUUUUUUAGCGCCAUGGACUCUAGGAGAAGAUGGUUGGUCAUUGAUAUUAACAUAUUCAACAGCAUCAGACUGCCCCAUUUCUACUGAAAGUUGCCUAUUCACAGUGUUCCUCAAUUUCUGCAUCAAGUUUAAGCAUAACUAUCAAAAGGGUAUCGGCAUCUAAAUUAUGAAACAAAAUGAGCAUUUACUUAUUAAAAAAAUUCAAAAAAACAGAAAUGGAUUUCACAGAACACAUGAAUUUAAGUUCAACAUUAAACAGGCGCUUAAGAAAACAAAAGGGUCUGGUCGUAAAGCCAUCAGAUUGCAAGAUUGAACAACAUUAACGGAAUCAAUAGAAUCGAUGUAAAGAGAUCUGAAAAGAAAAUAAAAUAAAAGAUGAAGAGGGAUAAAACGACCCAUCAAAUAAGUGCAUGCAGAGCAGAGAGGCAGAUACUAGAGAAGCUCCGUCAUGUUAGAGAGAGCCUAAAUCAAUCAGAGCUCACUGAGUUUCUUUUCAACUGACCGGCAGAUUUGGAGUAGCAUAACAUAAUAUUUUUGCUUUUAAUUUUCGGAACACUUUUGAAUGGAAUUUUUUGUUUUUCAAAACUAACGAAAUCGUAAAAAUAAAUAAACACGUGUUUGGUUUUGGGCUUCUUCUUUUGUUCAUUUAAUAUCAUUUGGUUCCCUGAUUUUUGACUAAUUAUCAACGGUAUCCUGUUAGUUUCCAAAUUGAAAUAAUAUUAGGUCAUGAGAUUAUUUACUCCAUUUAGCAAUGUAGACUUAAUAGUGUAUUGAAAAAGCUUUGUCAAAUAGUAGUAAUAGGGGCAUAAGAAAUAAGUUCUUCAGAAUUUAGAUAAUAUACUUGGCUCUAGGAAGAUUCCCCUCUUAUCACUCAAGUUAGGCUUUUACCUUAGAGUUGAGUAAAUUAUUAAAAUAAAUUAUAGCUAUCACAAAUUCGUCAGGAGACUUUCAAUUUUUUUCCAUCAAAUGGCAAUGAGGCAAAAUUACCUCAACUUAUAUUUCAAAACUAAUACUUCAAAUUCUGACAAUAAAUUUGAUGACAGUCAAUUUUAUGUAUAGUAAUUUUGACUCUUUUGUUUGGUCUAAAAGUAAUUAUUUAAAAUGACAAUAUAACUUAUUUAGAAGAAAUGGUAAACUUAUAGUUCGUAAUAUUAUUUACACAAAUAAUAAAGACUAAUUUGAUAAUAAUCUUUCAAAUAAUAAUGAAGUGUUAAUUACUAUUUAACAUUUUUGAUUAAUUUCUAAAUUUAAAACAAAUAUGAAAGUUGAUUGCUUUGAAGGUUGGAUCGUGACAAAUUGACAAAUGAAAAGAGAAGUAGAGAAUAUAUAUUCUGAUGAAAGGGACAAGAUUCAGCAAGGGGACAAUAUUCUCUAUUGGACCGACAAAUGGGGGAAAAGAAUAUAUAUAUAUAUAUAAUUUCUUAUUUGUGGAUUGGCCAACACGUGUAACAAAUAUGAAAAGAUAAAAUUUGGCGUGGUUUUAACCGAUAUAAGACAAGAAGAACAAAGCAAAGCCCAUGAAAAUUCACCUUUCAUGUGGGUUGGAUCGGAUAAAAUCAAUAUCUUGAAUCAAACAAAAUGUUUGGUACAUAAAGUUUUUUUUUUUUACAUGAUAUUAGAUUUUUAUCCCUCGAAUUUUUACAUGAUAUUAGAUUUUUAACCCUCACUAAUAUUCGAGAGAUAUCUACUCCUCAUUUUUGGGUAAGGGAGAAGACUACCUUCACUCAAUUAUAAUUAAGGAAUGAAAUACCCCCACAUUACACUUGUAGGGGUUCAAACUGUUGCCCUCCAACUUGGAGUGCAGCAGCGCUGACCACUCGGCCAAAGUCCGAGUGGCUGGUACAUGAAGGUUUUGAGUGUGUGUAAUGAGCCAAAAUUUACAUAAGGAUAUUUUAGUAAAUAUAAGAAAAAAAGGCUCAGGGAAUGGCCUAUAGAUAGAAGCACGCAGCCCAUGAGUGAUGAGAAUACAAUUUAACUGUUCAAACUAAUUAGAAGCAAAUUCUUUCAUAUCUUUCUUUAAUUUUUCCGCUUAGUUCCUUAGCAUCCAAUCAAGUUCAAGUUAAAACACUGUUGAGACAACAAUAUGCAGGCAUCAAUAAGCAUAGUAGUUUUUUAUAUGUAUUCUAUACGACAAUUAUAGAACUUUUUGCAGCAACUUUUUUUCAUUAACUAAUGUUUGAAGAACUUGUUAAAAAAAAUGGUAAAUUUAUAAUUUUGAAAAAAAAGAAAGAAAGUGACGUUACCUCAUCGUCAUUAGAGACUUGUUGCAAUGAUAGCUCAAAAUUAAAAUUUUUGAAGAAUUAGUAGACGACGAUGAUGUAAUAUUUAUACAGUCACCAACAUGUUGAUUUUUGUUUAAUGUUUGAUCGAUAGAAACGCUUGUCGUCGUCGCUGUUGUUGAAUUCAUACAUAGAACACAGAAGAGAAGGAGGGAGGAAAGGGAAGAGAAGAAGAGAGAAGUGGCAUAUAGCAAAUAUGAUAUGCUAGCUGCAUACCAGCCUUAGAGAGAUUUUUUUUAAUAUUUAUUAUAUUUUUGUUUUUGUUAUUGGUUUGUCAUAUGCUUCCAGGGAAGCAAUACGUUACAUCAUAAAUUGCACCUUUUAGGGGAGGUGGUAAAAAACGUGAGAGCACUACGCUCCAGCGCAUACAUAUAGAAAGAGUUUUCGAAUUUUAAAAAGUUUCUUUAUUUCUUCCAUGUUUUUGUGCUUAAAAUAAAAUUUAAUUGUAUUUUGCAUUAACUUAGAAAAGAAAAGCCAGUUCUAUAUAUAAACUCAUGCAUUAAUUAGAAGAGUUGAACUAUUGGCACCCCUCUAUAAUCUUUAUAAAAUUCCUCUCCUAUUGUAAUUACAUUAAAGGACAAAAUAAAUCUAAUUAUAUCAUUAUAUUUCUCUUUUCAACUCUUUACACCCGUGCAACUACACCAAAGUCUUUUACAAUUUUUGUUUCCUCACAAACAACUUUUUCUUGAGAGAUUUACAAAACUUAUUUUUAAUUUUAAAAAAUAAAUAAUAGUUAUUUGAGUCCACUUUAAUUUACAAAACUUUCUAAUAAUAAGUUUUGUAGACUUAUUUUUCAUUUACAAAACUUUCUGAACUUAUUUUUAUUUUUAAAAAAUAAAUAAUAGCUAUUUGAGUCCACUUUAAUUCUACUUAAUUCAUACAUGUAUUUGAUUUUUUUGAGUAAAAUAUGUAUGAUUUAAUAAUUCAAAAAUUUAUAAAAACAAUAUUUGUAAUUGGAGUUAUUUGGAAGAAACUGAAUUGUUUUUCUUUUUGAAUAAAAAAAAGCUGAAAAAAGAAAAAGGAUAUUUUAGGAAUUAAAAUAGAUUUUGAUAGAAAAGGGGUUUGAACAGAAAAUUACAGGGUGCUAAUAGUCCCACUCUAAUUAAAAAAUGAGUUCAUGUGGAUGCAAAUGUACAAUAAAAGAGAUUCUCUUUUGUAUAUUGGAAGUAACAUAACUAGUGAGUAUAAUAUGUAAAUACAAGUUACCAAGAAUUUGCACUAGUGCUAAUUAAUGGCACAACUUUUGAGCUAUGAAUUUCUUCUUGAUAGUUUAAUUAUAUUUUUGAGUUUUCGGUAAACCUAUUUUAAUAAUUAUUAAAUUAUUUUCACUUCUUACGCCUUAAUAAAAAAAAAUCAAUAUUUUCUGGUCUAUUCUAUAUUUUGAAACUUAAUUUUUAAUUCUUUAUAUUGCAAACCAAACUAAGUCAAACAGAGUAUGCUCUUCAAAGAAUUUUUCCAUUGGCCAUUGCCUUCAAGAAGAUUUUAUUUUAUUUUUAUAUAUUAAUUUAACAUUUUUCCGUGCACUUGUAAACCGGGCCGUCGGAUUCCACAUAAAGCAAAUGAUCAAACCGUUACAAGACCGACCCGGACCCACUGACUCUCAUUUUCUUUCAUUUGACCAUUAAAAGCUUUUGACCACCCCCGCCAAAUAAAUAAAUAAGCUCUUGUUCUCUUUUGUUCCUUCUUAAAGGAAAAUAUAUCUGAUCACCAGAUAAUGAUUCCGGUGUCACAAAAUAUCAAGACAACCCCUAAAUUCCCUUAAAUUUACGAUAACACCCCACCAUGGAUGAUUCCGUUGAAAUGCCGCCUUACGAUGAAAGGCCUUAGAAGGGUUUUAACUUCACACCCAUGCGCUUGAUCUUAACCCUCAUUUUCCCAAUUUUAACUUUCUUUUCGUUGGCAUUUUUGAUCGAGAUCGUUACUGUUUUAUUCGGCGAAUCAUCAGUUUCGAGUUCCAUUUUUGUCCCUUCCCAGUGCAAGAUAGUGCCAGCAGUAAGCUUUUUUAAAAUUUUCAAUUUUUUUCCAUUUAUGAAGCUCAAAAAUUUUAUUAAUUUUUGAAUUUUUUUUGAAUGAUUUUGCAGGUGUUGAUAUAAGGUCAUCAAAGGUUUGUGAACUUGGAGUGUUGAAUUAUAAGGCGAAGCGUGUGUUUUAUCCAUUUGAAGCAAGUAAAUUUCGCCGUCGAUAUGAUUACUAUUGGGCUUCUAUCUUCAAGGUAUUCAUACAUUUUCUCAACUUUAAUUACUUACCUGUACUAUUAGCUUCUUAGUGGCGGUCUUGUUUUGUGUUUUUGAUGAAUGUGUUUAAGGGUCAGUUUGGGAAUGCUGGUAAUAGGAUGUUGUUAGUGUUUGGCAGUAAAUUUGCUAUGCAUAAUUCAGCAAUGUGCUUGAUUUUGGUUAUUGUCUUUAACAAUUUUUAGGUAGAGUACUUAGAUCAUUCACUGGGACAAACGCAGAGCUUGGUUGACCAAAGAUAAGUUCCAGGCUGGGGUCGGCAAUGCAGAGCUUCUGCGUGUAUUAAAAUUUGAAGCCUAGUAAAUGAAUUUCUAAUUUAUUUAUAGUGUUUGUUUUAUCUUGAUAGAAAUGAAUGCUAACUCAAGAUUUUCCCAACUUUGAUUACUUACCUGUACUAUAAGCUUCUUAGUGGCGGUCUUGUGAGCGGUGUGGCUGACAGCUUCUUGAAAAUUAUAAGUUUGAACAGAGCAUGCUAGACUUUUGUUGACCAAAUUCGAAAGCCAAAUGGCACAGCUCAGAACCUUUUGAAUUGAAUAACUUACUAGAAAGCUCCAAUUUUUUGUUGGCUACGGUAAAAGGAUGUUGUUUUAUUCUUCUUAUACUUUACGCUUGCAUCAGCUUAAAUCACUUCUUAAACGCUUUGCUUUAACUCCACCGCUUCAUACUGUUCUAUAUAUGUAUCGGGUAUGCGGUUGUAGUUCACUGCUGAGACUACGUGUUUGUUUGACGUGGUAAUUACGUUACGAGUCUGUUAAACAUUCGGUGAUUAAAGUAUUAUCAGUUAUUUCGAGGGGACAAAAAAGAUUAGUUACAACACACCCACUAGUUUUAUAAAAUUUGAAUAAGAUGGAAUAAAAUAAAAAAAUAAAUAAGUAAAUUGACUUUUAAUUUAGUGGUUGAAUAUAUUUUGUAUUCUCUCGGGGUACUGCUGUAAUUGUUCCUUAAAUGUCAGUCACACCCACAUGUUACAGACACAAGAAAUGGAAUCUAAGAUCACCUGUUUAAUUAAAGAAUCACUCAUGAAAAAAUUUUGCCAUUUUGAUUUGAGGAUCCACAUUUUGAACAACCAACUUAUCUUCAUCAAGAACAGAUCAUGGCCUGUGAGUAGAAAGAUUAUUUUUGGACAAAUUAUUUUUGUUAAUAGAAGAAUUUCUCAAGGGACUAUUAAAAUUACUAAUAAAAAUGUCAGACACACCCACGUACCAUCGACACAAUUGACUAUGAGGAUCCAUGUUUUGAACUGCCACUUAAUGUUCAUUAAGAACAGAGUAUGGCUUGUGAGAAGAAAAUUUUCUGAUUUUGGCCUGGAACAAAAAAAAAUUAAAUUGAAGGAGAAUCUGGUACUUUCUCAUUAAGAAAGGCAGACGGGGCAUACUAUGGUACCAUAAAAUACGAAAAGUCUCCAUUCUCUAGCUUUUUAAACUCUGAAGGGGGCAAUAUUCCCCAAUUACCCCGUGAAAAUUCUGAUUACGACAUUACUCAUCGGUUGAUACAUAAGUACAAGUACUGACAAAAUUAGGAAAAAUAUGACUCAUAAGUAAUUACUAGGCAGGGCUCUUGAGAGCAACAUUAUACUAGGCUUUAUAUGCAUACAUGGUGUGGUACAUAGAGCACGUUGAAUUCCACACUAUAACACAAACCCAGAAAGACAAGUAAUAUCUCAACUGAUAUAAAGACAAAAAGAAAAUAAAAUGAUAUAGAAAAAAGAAUUUCUAAGAGACAGCAACAUACAAUAGACUGAAGCCAGUUGAUCUGCUCAUUGAUUGCAGCCUUAAACUUGCAAAUGUUUACUGUAGCCUGGUGCUCUAAGAAGUGAAAAUGAUGCAAACCUUGAUUCCCUGUUUACUUCCAUUUACCAUCAAACAUUCUAUUCAUAAGAAAAAAAAUCUUUAGAUAUCUUGCCGUAAAUAUAGCCAUUUGAUUGUCUUAAUAAAGCCACACACAACCAUUCAUAUUGAUCCACAUUGCCACAUAGCCUGAUUUAAGCAUACAACAGCUGAAUGUAUACUGACUCCUAACCUUAUCAAUACAUUGGCGACAACUUAAGAAAAAAACUAUUUCUCCAUCUCUUUUUUGAAAUUUCACAAUAAAACAGCACAAUGUAAGAGCUGGAAUGAAAAUGGACCGUUUGGAACUAUGGCGGAAGCUUCAACUAGUGUAGUGAGUUGACCUUCUUAUUAACCUAGCGAGAUCAAACACUGCCCUUGAUCUUGAACAUAUCAAUACGAUACGCACAACUUAUGAUUGAAUCCAGAAACAAUCAAAUCUUUAGCAAGAAUAAUUAAUCAGAAUCAAGAAACAAGUUUAAUGAAUAUAAACCUAUAAUUGGAACAAACACAGCCAAAGAACCCAAGAAUGACACAACGAACACCAAGGGAGAAGCUUUCCAGUGAGAUUAUAUUAAUGAUCAAAGAAGAAUCUUUUUACAAAGAUAACAAAAGAGAUUUCAGAGAAUAAGCUAUGACCCUCUCUCUCUUCAAUCUCUGUCUAGUUUGUUAACAGUGAUGACCCCAAUCUGCUUCGUUAGCCAGCUUCAUAACUGCGUCAGUGACAAACUAGCAAACCCAGAUUGAGCAGACUAACGACACGUGCAUAACGGCUUUAACGAACUUGGUUAAAGAACUGCUCACAUGUUCGUCACGCGUGUUGCUUAAAUGAUAGCCAAAACGACUUCAACCAAAUGCCGUUUUGAAGCUUAUGAAUUAUAAGUGAAAACACGUGCUUGUCUCGUGACAUUUAAAUGCAACAACAAGCCCAAAACACUGCCGGUUCACUAUGUUGAGUUUGCCAUCUCUAAGCUUCACAACUAGCAGCGGACAAGAUGAUAAUUUAAUUGACAUGGAGAGCUUUUAUAUCACUUUUACAACAUUCUAUAUAAUUGUGAUAUUGGGAAUCGUCGGUGUUGUAUAUGUGAACCCUCGUUGGCGACACUGGUGGUUUUAUCUUUAUUGAAAUAUGGAUGACUUUUCGUUACUAUUUUGUUGUACAUAACAUUAUUCUCAGGAGAUUUAAUCAUUGAAAUUAACAUGUUAGUUUCAUUAGAAGGCUGAGUGGUUAGGGCUGCUACCCUCCAACUUGGAGGGCAAUAGUUUGAACCCACAAGCGCAGUGUGGGGGUAUUUCAUUCUUUAAUUACAUUGUAUAAUUGAAUAAAGAUAAUAUUCUCUCUUACCCAAGUGUGAGUGGAGUAGACAUCCUUCGAAUAUUAGCGAGGGUUAAAACUUGGGCAGAGCUCAAUAAGUAUUGAUGUAAGUUGGUCCUAAUAAUAGUCUGAUUUGUAAAUAUCAGUUAUAGUCUCAUGUUUCCUUCCUUAAUUAUAUUGUAUAAUUAAGUAAAUGUACUCUUUUCUCUUACCCAAGUGUGAGUGGAGUAAACAUCCCUCGAAUAUUAGUGAGGGUUAAAAUCUGGGUAGAGCUCCAUAAGUAUUGAUGUAAUUUGAUCCUAAUAAUAGUAUGAUUUGUAAAUAUCAGUUAUAUUAUCAUGUAAUAUGAGUUGUAAUUUGAGUAAUAAUUUCAUGUAAUUACAAAAAAAAUGUUACUUUCAUUACUUUUUUCUUCGUUAAAAUUCUCAAGUAUCAAUUAUGUUUGCUUAAGAAAUAAAAUUUCGUUAUGAAAAUUGUAGCAGUAUUUCCGAGCACCUCACAUUUUCAAUGAUUUUUCAUAAAUCAAUUAAUCUGCCAUACCAAUAUCAGGUUUAGUUUUUCAGACUAAAUGAUCAAGAAAGCAAACAUACAAAUUCACAUUUUAGAGGGGUAAACUAGCUUUUAGAUUUUAGAACUAGGCUAGCUACCUCACCAAAUUCCAAUCUGUACAGUGAACUACAAGAUUAAGAAAAUAAUGUAUUUAUAGUUUAAUUGAAUCAUGAGAAAACAAUGUAGUCAUAGCUCAAUCGGACAUGAUCACGGAGAGGCAUAUUCUUUUCAAGUUAAUUUGAUCCAUUUAUAAGAAAUGAAGUGGAUUGAAGUUAAAAGUUCAAAUAACAAAUCCUUGUUCUUGAGUUUUACGACGUCGUUACUCCUUCAAGAGGCUGAUUAUGCAAGUGAAUGCGGAAACAGAAUGCAUUAUCCACGGGGAUGAUAAAUCAAAAGGCGGGAUCAUAGUCUAUGCCCGCAGAUUAACAAUUUCACUCAUAUAGAAAAUUAAUUUUUUUAUAUAUACUAAUCAACACUAGAUUGAUUAUGUUUUGUAUGUUUAUAUGCUAAUCAACAAUAAAUUAUAUUAAAUGAAGAAAUGCUUCAAAUUUUUCUAAUUUAAUUUAGAAAAUCAAUUAUUAACAUUAAUAUUCCUAAUAAAAAUUAUUUUCCAUCGGUAUUCAAAAUUUUCACUUAUAGAAAAUGUGUUUUACGUGAAUACAAGUUAUUGUGUAAAUUUGAAUGAUAGCGAAAAAUAAUUUUUUUAAUUAUUGUAAAAAUAAUUAACCAUAACAAAUCCCUUGUGUAAAUAAUAAUCAUUAUUUAAAAGGUAGAAAGAUGGUUAGUGCACAAUCAAAUUUUAAGCCCCUACCUCCUCGGCCCAAGAUUCAAACUUAGAUGAUCAGCCAAAUAAAAUUAUUUGAAAAUCAUUCAAUCAGGUUCUCGGGGAAAAAAUACAAGAUCCGUAUUUGCAUGAUAUAUAUGAAUUAAUGUAAUUUAUUUGAAUUAUCCAAAUUCAUUAGAGAUAAAACUAUAAAAGAUACCAAAAAAGUUAGAAGGAAGGGUGUGCUGGGAUAUUUUACAAACUAUAGGAAUCUGGUGAGAUUUUGAGCCAAACUGUAGGGAGUUGAAGGCAUUUGCCCAAUAUGUUUAGACGUACACUAACCGUUAUUUGAUCUUGUUGUUGGUCAUGUGAACUAAGAUGUAAAUUAAAGAAAAAGUAUAAAAUUAAAAAAAGAUAAGAUUUCUAAAAUGUGUGGAAGGUGAUUCAUGAUUCACUAAAAUUACUUGCCCCACAUAUAAAGGUAAACAUGUCUAAUUUCAUUAAAAAUAGGUGGAAAAAAUUAACUAAUAGAAAGCUACGGAAAUUAACCCCCACAAAAAUGACUUUUUAUAGAAGAAUUUAUGUUUUUUAAAAUAUGUUAUCAAAGUGUAUUUGAUCAAAUCUCAAUUGCUUAGUAUGGUUAGGAUUUUGUGAACAUAACUAAAAAGUGAAAAAUAUGAAUGAUAGGGGUGAUGCUUGCAAUAUGAAUAAAUAAUGGACUGAUUCAAUUGAUGAUUAAAUUUAUAUAUUAUUGAUUAUUUAUGAAUUUUCAGACUUGUUAUGAUGUAUAACUAUGUGAUUUUGAAACUUGAAACCGUGGCAAACAUUGAAAGGAAUUAUAACUUGAAAUCAUGACUCACGGGGUAUGUCAUGAUUCACGUGCACAAAAAAGGUAGAAUUGUGGAAAUUUACAACCCAACGACAAGUACGGAAAGAAAGGAAGAAAAUUAAAAGACUUCGGGCCUAGCCUGCGUGUAUUAAUUAUUAGAUUACUUUUUUUUAUAAGGGUAAUCAUCAAUUUACUCCAUAACAAUCUUUAAUUCAUUUCUUAAAAAUAUCAAAACUUUAAUUUAUCUUUUAAACAUCGUUACCUCUCUAUUGGUUUUAACAGUUCAAAGGGUAAAAUUAUAUUUGCAUAUUUUCUUGACCGCCAACUAAAUGAUAAAACUCAAAAUUCAAUCUUGUUAUCUUGUUUCAAUCCUCUAUCAAUCAAAUAAGAUUUCUAAAAUAUGUGGAAGAUAUUGCAUGAUUUCCUCAACCUACCUGGCCCGAACAUCAAGGUAAAUAUCUCUAAAAUAGUUGAUUAAAUCUCAGUUGCUAAGUAUAGUUAGGAUUGUGUGAACAUCACUGAAAACUAUGAUUGAUAGAAGUGAUCUUUGCAAUAUGAAUAAAUAAUUAACUGAAUCAAUUGAUUUAUAUAUUAAAGUUUAUGAAUUUUCGGGCUUGUUGCGAUAUAAUAAUAGCAUAUGAUUUUGAAACUUGAAACAGUGGUAAAUAUUGAAAGGAAUUAAUUUGAAAGCAUGAUCCGUGGGGAAUGUGAUGAAUCGUGUUUACAAAAAAGGUAGAAUUGUGGAAAUUUAUAACAGAACGAUAAAUAUGGUAAAAAGGAAGAAAAUUGAAAGACUUGGGGCCUGGCCUGGGUGUAUUUUCUAACUAUCCAAUGGACAAAAUUAUAUUUCUAUACUUUCUCUUACCUAAGUUUCAUAGAAUAGCUCAUUUCAUUUUUAUUUUUUAAAUAAUAGCCCAAAAUAUCAUUAUGUUAACUCAUUAUUAGUUGAAUGGCGUUUGUUAGUAAUUCAUUAAGGGUAAAAAAUGAUUUUCUAUCAAAGAGAAAAUUAGAAAAAUAAAUAAAAAUUGAUAUAUAACUAAAAAUUAUUUUAUCUAAUCCCACUAAAUAAGAAAUGCCAAAAAAGAUGAAAAAAUUAUAUUUCAAGCAAUUCUUUUUUCACUUAUUUCUAUUUUGGCAACAUGAAAGCCCUAUAAACCCUAGAUCUAAGUACCAAAAAUAUCACAAUUUUCUUAUUCAUAUAAGUAUACUCUCUAAUUGCAUUGUAAAAUGGCUUGAAUUGAAUUGAAGAUAAAGAAGAUAUUCAGCACAUGCAAGCACAUAAAAAUUGGUGGCAUUUUUGAGUUUUUCUUCCAAUGAUUUAAAGAUAUUGUUUUAAUUACAGUUUGUUCCUUAUGACAAUUAUUCAAUGGCGAUAUCAAACUAUAUCAUCGUUGAUUUCAUUUAAGAAAAAAGUUAAUGAAUUUUGCAUACUUUGUAGUGUUAUUUAAUUGUGUAAAAAAAUUAUUUUAAUAUAGUUUGUAUCGCUUUAAUGAAAAAUCCUAUUUUGCCCUCAAUGAAUUACUGGUUAACGAUUUUACACUAAUGGUGAGUUAAUGGAAAGAUAUUUUAGGCUAUUGUUUGAAAAGUAGGGAUAAAAUGAGCUAUUGCAUUAAACUCUAAGGAUGAAAAAUGAUUUUUCCCUUUUAUUAUCAAUCAACUAUCUGAUAAAAGUCAAAACUCAUAUUUUUUUUUCCCUUGUUUCAAUCCCCUCUCAAUCAAAAAAGUUUCCUUGUCUAAGCAAUGAGGAAUAUGGCUAGAAAGAUUGUUAUUAGAAAGAUUUAUCAAUAGUAAUUAGUUCACAACUGAACAGUUUUAGAUUAUUGUGAGUCAAUAUAGGUCCUGUUUAGGAUUGAAGUGUUGCAGUUUUUAAGCUACAGCUGCUGUAGAAAAAAAAACUAUAAUUAUGAAAUAAGAGUUAAUAAUAUAUAAUAAAUAUAAAUUUUAAAUAAUAAUUUUGACAAAAUUAUUAAAAAUAUAAUAGAUUUUUCAUAAUACAAAUAAAAAAAUCAUAUCAACAUAGCUUGCAAGGUACAACAGUUAGUAUGAUGUUAGUUUAUUUUUGCGUCAAUAUAAGUAGUCAAAUUGAAUAAGUUAGUGAAAUGCUGCCUCACUGUCCCAUUGAAUAUGAUUCAGCUAACAGGGCUAGAGCUUGUGGAUGCCAAUGGCACUGAACAAAGUAUUGGGUGGUAAUUUUAAGACCACGCUAUGCCCAAAACCCAAGUUAGGCGAUUACAAAUACGGGAAUCAAUGUCACUUUGCUAGGAAUGGAGAGGAUAGAUUGCUUAGUGAAAUGCAACUUUGUAGAAUGCUGAGAGAUGUGCUGAGAGAUGAGGAUAGUUGUCGAUUUCUUCAUGUAAAUGCUGAGAGAUGUGCGGAAGUUUCUACUCAGUUUAGGCUUAGUUUAAGAAUAGCCUGGUGAUAAACAUUUUGAGUGGUGGAUCUUCUGUGGAUAACAAAAGUAGGUCUAUUCAAUGGGAACGCGACAAGGGGCUGGCUAACUCGCUCAGGUUGUGCAAAUGUUAAAAGCAGAAUGCCAGUUGUAUGAAGUUAUGUCAUUUUCUUUAUAGAACUAUGAAAGCUUGGAGUCCACGAUUCAAUGGAAUCUCGGGCUGUGCCAAUGAUUGUUUCAAGUACUUUUUCUACUUUCAAUGUCCAGACUAAGACUAUUUCUAAGCAGCAAGUGCAGGAUAUAAAGUGCAAAUCAAAAUAGACAGAAGUGAAGAGGAAGAUACGUGGUAUAUAUGUUGAUUGGAUUGAAGAUAUACCACUUUUGCCUAGUUCUUAGAACAAAGCAGAAAGCUGUAGUUAAAAAUAUACCUUCUGCUAAAGAUAAGUAGUCAAUAGUUCUAUUAGUGCAUAACUUUGCGAUUAAGGAUGAUCGCUGUCUAUUUUAAGAGCUUUUAAUAGAAUUUAGUAGCCCUGAUUUUCAAUCUCAGUGUUUUGCGGCUGUUAUCGACAUCCCUCUGUUACAUUUUUCAAGUUUCAUUGAUAAAUUAGUAGUUAGCCUUAUGAAGAAUGCACACACCAUAACCAUGUACGUUAAAUAGCAAACCUGCAUUUUAUUGAACUGUGAACUACUGAUUCAAUAAAGCUCAACAUAAGCUAACAAGUCUUUGUGAAAUUGCUUCAUGGUACAUUGUUUGAAGUAUUUAAGCUAAUAUAUGAUUAUUAAUGGGCUCGUGAGCCAACCCCAUUAAUUAUAUGUACAUAUAUAUAAUGUUACCAUCAAUAUGAUAUGUGACAUCCCAUAACAGCUAAUUAUAGAUCUUUAUCCAUUUUCAUAAUUUGCCUUCUGGCUUCCACUGCUCGUCACUAAAUUCAAAAUCCAUUGCACCUCAAAACAACAUGAGAAAUCUUAUAGGCAAAUCAUGACCAGUUCAAAGAUAAUAGCGAUUAUAGGGAAAGAAAAUUAAAAUCGAAGACGCAUAUAAAAUAAUCAAGCUACUGAUGAACAAAAUAACAUGAAAGUGUAAGUAUUUAUACUAACCUUCACUUAUUAGGAAGUUUGUUUCGCUAUUGGGUAAGAUCAAGCUCUCUGCAUAUCCUAUUGGCAAAAGGAAAUCACGCACGUGUGAUCUCUCUCUCUCUCUCUACACACGCACACAUAUACACACGCAUAUACAUAUACAUGCAUGGUCAUCAUCUUAGAAACCGAUUGAGAAAUUAUUGUCAGAGUUUGAAUUUGCGCAAUGACUAGUCAUGUUGCUAAAAAGAAAAAAGAUUGAGAUUGAAAGAAAUUCAUUAUCAUCAAAUUGGUCCAAUAUCCACUUCACUGUGUGGAUCAAAUACGUUUUCGAAUAGUGCACUGAUCUACAAUCUACUGCAAUAAUUUGUUAGGACCCUACAUCAACAAAUUAUGGGAUUAGUUGGUUUAUUAACCCUAAUACAUCCGGACAAGUCAAUCCUUUCAUGAGAAACAAAAUGAAUUUUGCAUCCCAUGAAACACAACAUACUCAGCUAGUUGAAAUUGUGGAUAUACGGGGGUAACGUAAGCAUGCUUUCACAAUUUGAAAGAUUUAUUUUUUAAGAUUUAGUAUUUCUGGGAUCCUAUUGAGAUAGAGGGGUGGUGAAGGUCUAUAGAUUUUAACUUGACAGCUUCCUAUAACCAAAGAUACAUAACUAUACUAAAUGAGCAUCAUUGAAUUUCAAAGUUAUUCAUUAUAAAUACUUAAAGAAAGAAAAAUAGAUAUUUUGGUAAUAGUAAUACAUUAUACCUUUUCUCUUUUCCAAAUUUGCUUAACCUUACUACAAGGCAAGCUGAGUCCAAUCAGGUUCUCCAAUUCAAAAUCUGAUGUCAGUAUUUUCAAAAGAUAUUUAUGCCAAUGGAGAUUUCUCAAUUCUAUAGGAAGGCAUUUUUUUUUUUUGAAACUGAUUAAGCAUCAGUUGGUUACUGUAUUACACAGAGAUAUAUACAACUGCUAUGACAGCAGGUCAUUACACUGAUAUUUACAAUCAGAUAUAUACAUGUGACUUAUAUUAUUACAUUUUUAUUCUAUGAAGUACAUGCCCAUCCAAAUACCCCUCACAGAGGAGGGAUGUCUCUACUCCACUCCCAUUGCGCAAGGGAGAAAGACGUUGUAAGAAGUCUCCAUACAAUUAUAUUUAAUUGAGGGAGGUUGAGUCCGUGGGGACUCGAACCAUUGCCCUCAUAGUCAUGCUUAACUUUGAGGGCAAUGAUUCACCACUGGGCUACAAGCCCAAGUGGCUAUAGGAAGGCAUUCUAAACCUCAGUGAAGUUACACCCUGGAGCUUAUAAUUAGAACACCAUCAUACUCGGAUAUAUAAAAUUUCAGCAAUCUAAAAUUUGACAUUGUUUUAAAUGCUCCAGAAUCUAAACGUAUGUCUCUUAUCCUGGAGAAUUCAAGAAUAUACUUUCGGUUGCAUGUGUCCCUUCAGAAAAGAAGCAAAUAAUGAGUUCGCAUAAAUUUUCUCAGGAAAAAAAUCCUAAAAUUUAUAAAGAGCUCCUUAAAUGAAGACAAAACCUGCACUCGCUCAACUCUUUUUUUUUUUUUUUAUGUUGUUCUAGUCUUCUUCAAUCCCCCCCUCUAAAACUUUAAUCCAAGCGUUAAGUGUAAGUAAACUAAAAUAUGAUUUUCGUAUGCAAGUACAACACAACAUACCCAUAAAAAUGAAGAGCGGAAGUUAGAAUCAAACCUCCAGCAAUUGAUAUUUUGCAAACUGAUAUUUGAUUCUUCUGAGACUUAUGUAAUCGUUUUGAUGGUGCAGUUUUUGAAUUAGAUUACAUAGCCUCAGGUACUAAUACCAUUUUCACCAUUUUGUUUUUAUUUCAUCUUUCCAUCAAAGAUGAAGGGGUGGGAAAUUAUCAAAGCAGCUGUUAGAUGACACCUGCUUCUAGACCUGCAAGUAAAACCAAAGAAUGAGCUCCAUUAGAUACAUUUGAGUUAAUAAAAUCCCUUGUUCCUCCUAAUGAUUAUAGACAUUAAUUAGGAGGGAGAAAUGAAGUAAAUUAAAUUAAAUGAAGGACCUUCAUUCUCCACGCAUGCAGCCGGCUAUUUUGUUACCAAGUUGUUGAAAGGAAGUAAAUAGAGAAGCAUUCAGAUACCACUCUCCCAGAUCGAUAUUCCUAGUAAGACCAAGGUGUAGUUGUACCACUCGGCCUGUGGAGUUGCUGCAGUCAACCCUUUCCCUUUGUUCAUCUACCCAGUUUUGAAGUCUAUAAGGGGAAUUGAAGAAAUGUUUAAGCCACAAAAGAUCAAAUUCCUCAUGCUCCAAACAUCCCUCACUCCACCCCCCCCACCCCCCGGCGCCCUCUUCUAAUAUUAUUAAUACGAGAACUAACAUUGUCACCAUUUUGAAUUUUGAACCACCCAUUCUAGCUAUAUCUCUAACUAUUAAAAAACACACAUUCUCUCUUUCUCUAUAACUAUAAAUAACAAAAGGGCUCUAUGUUAUUUAUAACAAACACAUCUAACAAUUUAUACACUCAGGCCCCAGCUAGCUUUCAGUUGUCUUCUUUGGUAGUCUUCAGCCUUCUCAAAGACUUUCGUCAUGCCUUACUUUCAGCCUUCCUUUCCAUAUUUGUCAUUUUGCUUUAAUUUUCCACAAUUCUACCUUGGAUGGUAAUAUUUAAUUCGCCACGAAUUGAGUGAAACGCUGGUCCGUUACCCAUCCCACUUCAAUAUUAACAAUAUUAAUAAUAAUAAAUAAAUUCUUCAAGCAAUUGAGAUUUGACACCCACCCCACUUCAAUAUUAAUAUUAAUGGGAAAUCAUAAAUUCUUCUACAAAUGAGUCAUUAUUUUAAAAUUGUUAUAAGCUUAUUUAUUUAAAAAAAAAAAAACGAGAAGGGGAACUUGUUAUCUUAAAAUUAAAAGAUUCUGGUGUGGCUACCCGAAUCCGCACGUUUUUUAAGAUUUUUUUUCCAAUCUUGUGUACCGUUCAACACCUAUAUAUGCUUUGCAAUUGAUUAGUUAACAAAAUAAAAUUCUUGAUCAGUUGUGCGGUAAAAAUAAUAUUAUUUUACAAAGCUUUACCUGGUGCAGUCAAUACGGCUAGAAAUUAAAGGAUCCCCAGCAUGAUAAUUAAGGAAUAAUUAUUAUUCUAGAUUUGUGCAGUGGCGAAGCUAAUAGCAUUUUUCGUUUUCGAGUGAGCUGAACUUUUUCCCCCCCCUAAUUCAAUACAUUUUUAUCGUACAAUAUAAUUUUGUAAAUAAGAAAUUAUAGAUGCACCUAAUAAUGCGCGACAAAAUAAGCUUUACCUCUCAAAAUAUUUGUUCUAAACAUUAUUUAAAAUAAUUUAGACACAUAUUUAUUCACAAAAUGAUGAACAGACAAGAAUUUGAUGAUAAUUGAAGAGGCAGCAUAACUAAUUAAUAUAAAAAUUUUUAUAUAGGUUUCAAUAAAGGAAAUUUUGUAACUAAAUAAUUUUUUUUCUGAGAAGCCCGGCCUUGCCCUCUCCAAAAUUCGCCACUGAAUUUGUGGGGUGGUUACUGGAGUUCACACGUUUUCAAAUUUUUUUUUCCCGAUCAUUCAAUAGUAAUUUUGCUUUUUAGUUUAUUAUUAUUGUUGUUAUUAUUAUUAACUCAGGCAUUUAUUAAAGCUCGAACACAUAAUCUAAACUUUGAUAUAUUUUUUGCUGAGAGGAGUCAAAAUUUGGGAAUUAUAUGCGCAUCAUAACAUAAUAAACAACCGCAAAGUAUCCUACGGAAACUUUCAGUGCACUCUGACAGCAGCUUUUGGUAGUCAAAUAGUCUUGGAAUCAUUUUUUAGCGCAUAUUCUUUUCGGUAAUGUGAUGAAUUCAUAUCUAAAGAAUCAAAACUAUGAUGUGAAUUUGCUGCAAAAACUGAUCCAAGACUAUUCAUUCAUUAUUAAACAUAUGAUAUCGUCCGUAAGACUGGAGAAAUAUGAAUGAAUUUGUUGAUGAUAACUCAGAAGACGGUUAACGGUUAAAUAUGCUAUGUUGAAAUGCACUGUACAGUCAAUUAAUUUAGUUAGGACUCUGUUUCUAGAAAACAGAGUAUAAAAGAUGACUAACUGUUUUGGGAGAUGCUUUUGGAGGGACUUCUAGAUGAAAUUGAGAGAGAGAGAGUGUGAGAGAAACUCUGUAAAGUCUUCUCCAAUUGGUAACCCCUUUUGUUGCGAAUAAUAAAGCUUCAAGGCUGUUCAUUUAUUUGUACAUAAGCAGGGGGAAAGCCUAUGUAUAGACAGCUUCAAAUGAGGAAACUGCACCUAACUACGCAGCAGCUGUAAUGAAGAAGACAUUGAUGCAUUAGCUUCCUGUUCCGUCUUCUUGGUCUUCGGGGAGGUUGGUAGCAGCAACUUUAAUUGUUCAAAGCAAACACUUAUCUUUCGUUUCUCAUAAAACCUCGUGAGGUAAUGCUUUAGAUGACUGGUAUGCAAUAUUGUCAAUGACAAAAUGUAAUGUUGUAUUCUGCUGAUCAACAUGUAAAAACUACAUAUUACUUGAAUUAGUUUUUUUUUUUUUUAAUUUACUAAAUUUCAGAAUUUGUUAACGAUGUUUGUACUUGGUUUUAACUCGAUUAAAGCUCAUGAAACUUAAUUGAUUAAUUAAUCAUUUAGUUAAAUUUAUUCGCUUUCAUGCUAUGGAUCUUUGCUAUAAUAACAAAUGCUUAAUUAUAUGCGUAUGUGUGAUAUAAUAGCUGCGUCUUACAUAGCAUAACACUACACCAAAUAUGCCCCCCUCAGAUACUAAUUAAUUACACAAAUGUACUUUUAUUCAAUUUAUUAUUUAAAAUAAUAUUUGAAAAAAAAUGGACUUGAGCAGAGCAAAGUAGAGAUAAUAAACAAGGGUAGAUUAUGCAUGCGUCAAAAGAUUUUAAAAAAGAAAAAGAGAAAAUAUACGGAAAACAAGAAAAUUGCGGGGAGCCACUCUUGUCUUUUACUUUGGACUUGAAGUCGUUCCAGGUGGAUAAUGUUUUCCUUUUAAAUAUUUAGAAUUAUAUUGUGGCGCUAUUUAAAAUAAGUUAUAAUUUUCUUAAAAUCAGACUAUGAUUACGGUACUCCAUGGUCAGAGUGUCGUUGAAUAAUGCUGAGUCUAUUGAGUCCUUUUCAAAUCGAAACCAGAACUAAAGAAAAAUCCAGAACUGAAACAAGGGCACGAACCAGCAAGAUUUGAAGGAAAAAUUUACUUCGUUAGUGAUCAACAACUAAUCAAACGUAAGUGGAUUUACAGAAGACUUUGUACAGAUCACAAUGAAACAGAUUCUAUGCAAAUUGACGAACAACUGAAGAAGAAAAAGGAUCGUACAACAGGCACUGCUCAUAAGCUUCUAUUUAUACUGAUGUUUCUGGAAACGUUGUAACAGAUUAUAACUAAUUCGUGCCACGUCAGCAUAAAAUAUCUACUAGACCCAUUUAACUGAAGUCAAUCUGCACAACGACUCUGAACCUCUUCAUAUUUUCCAUUUCAGUCCACAGACUCAACUACACACGUCUCCAAAAAUAAUAAGUUUUAUUUAUUUAUUUUUAUUAAUAAAAUAAAUUUUUAUUAACUUUCGUUGAUUUUGGUAGAUUUUGUUUUUGAGCUGUUACUACACUGUCGGCUGGUGUGUCAUCAUACGUAGUAGCGUCAUCAACCCUCUCAUGACUUUGACGGCCGAAACAUGUUUCAUGGCACAAAUAAUGACAGAUUUGUUUGAGGUACGGCGGAGAUGCCUAUUCAAAUAUUUGAAGCCAGCCCCUCCUUGUUUAACAUUUUUUUUUUUAAAAGGGGAACAACUGCUUUAGCUGUAUAUAUCAAGAAAAUUAGCUAACAGUUUAUGCACUUAAUUAUUUAUUUUGCCACACAUUUGUAAGUGGUCAAUGCUGCCGUAAAAUUAUUAGACCCAAAAUAAAGUGUGAUGAGGGACAGGAAUUAAUGUUCCCAUUAGCUGUAGCACCUAUCUUCCAUCUCUAAUUUUAACUUUCGAUUGAUGAAGUGUUUUCAAAUUUGUCAAAUGUCUGUAAACUGUUUAAUAAUUGAAGAAAGUUAAAAUUCAUUUUCUAAAAAUUAUUUUCAUUCAAAAUUGCGAUUGGAUGGUAAUCAGGGUUAAUAUCAGAGCUUAAGAUACUAUAACCGUGAGAACCUAUUGACUGCCAAUUAAAAUAUCCAUUAAAAUGUCUAGGGAGUUAUGAAGGUGGGGGUAACUUCCAAUUUCUAAGGCCACAGAGUAGACAUCAUCCAGGAUCCUAGGAAAGUCCAGUUAACCUCCUGCUCGAUGCAAUUAAUAAAUUUGGUCAAUGCCACUGAAACCUGCUAACUGACGUCACAAUGCGACAUGAGCACUUCAAAAUGGGACGGACAGUCAGUAGCACUGAAUUUUUCUUGCCUAAGAUUGAGCAAUUGGUCUAACUACUAAUCCCUAUUGUAGGUUGAUCAUUAUUUUUUCAAUUAUGUUCAGUUUGACCCAAAAAGUUGCAGAAUCUUGAGCUGAAUAUUGUCACGGAACACUGUCAAUGUCGCUUAGCAUAGCCAACAAACUUGAUGUUAAAACAAACACACAGUGUGUCUCAUGUCUCACAAAUCAAAUUAUCAUCUGUAAUGAUGGAGAAUUUUUCCAAUGUAUGAAGUAUGCUUUGAUACGUGGGUUACCUUGGAGAAGAUAUCUCAAAAUAAAGAAUAUGGGGAGAAAACAGUUCAGUAGUUUAUUAUUCUGUAGUCAAGUUUUGUCUCGAAAAUGGUCAAAAUUUAAAUGAUUAAGGACAGGGGAUCUUCAUUCUUUUUCCCCUUUUUUAUACCAAGAUAUCUCUCAACCUUUAUAUAAUCCCCACUGGAUAUCUGCUUCUCAUAAUUAAAAUAAAAAUUUCACCGCUCUAACAAUAAAAAGUAACAUCUUUAGUCAAAUAAUUUUGCGGUUCCUCAUCAUCUUAGUGUGAGACUAUCAGUACUUCCAAAAACAUAAUAAAACUGGUUUGAUCCUGUUUAUUAAUGUUUAAAUGUUGUUCAUUGUGACAUGUAGAAAUGAUGAGGCGAAGUUUAUUUGGGCAUCAAUUAGUAAGAUCUUGUUCGAAGUUGUUUUCUGAAAUGAACUGCCAAAUGGUAGUUUUUUGGGGGCAUUUGAUGGCUCUUUUUUUUUCCUCAUUUUCAACAUGUGCCUGCUUGGAACAGGAAGGAUUAGGCUUUAGAGUUGUUAUUUAUUUUGAGAUGCUCUGGUCAUUGCACAAUUUGUUCACACUGGAAAUUAGAAUGAGAAAUUUGUUGAUGCUGUUUUGAGAGAUCUGCAUUCUAUGCACAAUAACAUGAUUAAUGAAAAUGUAUUGUAGGACUGGAAAGAUCUGUGGCAGCCUGAGCUCGCAGGAAGAAUUUCAAUGGUUAAUUCUCCCCGAGAGGUUAUUGGUUCAGUUUUGAAGUAUAGGGGAGCAUCAUACAAUUCAAACGAUAUUGAUUCGCAAGUUGCUGGUGGGAAGAUUGCUGUUCAGCAGAAUCUGGCAUUACUGGCAAACCAGGUACUCUUACAGAAAUGAUAUCUGGUCAUUGCAUGUUAUUGCCUGACAACUGAUUUUGUUUGUAAAAGUCUACUUCUUCAUACAUAUGAAUGCAUAUGUUAGUGUUUUCUUCUCGUUUUCAUACAUAUAAAUGCAUAUGUUAGUGUUGUCUUUUCCUUUUCAUACAUAUUACUACAUAUGUUGGUGUUCUCUCCUGAGAUGGAUGCAAUAAAGGCUUUUGCUCCUAAAUUUAGCUGAAGAAAUGGCAAGGGAUGUGAGAUUCUGUCUCAUUAAAUUAACAAAAACCCAAAGCAAUGAAAAUCCAUAAUAAUGUGGUGUGGGUAAAUUGGCUCCAUUUGGUUCGUUUCCUUAAUGUGAAUGCGCGAGCAAUAGAGACUAACAAAAUGAAGUGACAACAAGAAGUCAGUGUCCUUUGAUGGAUGCAUUUUUAGGCAGAAAUAGGUUUGUAAUUGACCAAAUUUGUCUGGCAUGCCAAUUUCAAAAAAAUUAAAUUAUGUGGUUAUUAGCUGUAAUGAAGGGGGAUAGUAGGUGCAAUCAGGUGGAUCCUGGAAAGUUCAAUAAAGUUUUGGUAUGGCGUAGUGAAAUUGGUUUGUGCAACUCAGGAGUCUUUCAGGUGAACGAUGAUAGGUUUUGAUUUAUGAAUAUUAUAAAUCUACUGUGCAUAGUAUUCUAGUAGAAUCAUCUAUAAGUUCUAGUUAUUGAAAUUGUAUACUUUGCCCGGUUUGAGUUAAGGGCACAUGUAAUAUGAAAGAUAGUUGUCGCAUCUUUUAGGUUACCUAACAUUUGAUCAAUCCUAUUAUGGGGGCUUCAAGAUGUCUAACAAUAUGUAGAAUGCCCAUGCUCCUCCCCAUUGUUUAUCUUCUACAAUAAUUUGUUUUAGAUGCUAAUAUCUUUGUCGAUACCGGUAACAAUAUUACAAUAUCUGCGUUUAUUGGGUUUUACAUAGGUUCGACUGUUUGACAGUACACACUAUCUGAAGGCAUUUGCAAUUGGAGAUGUAUGGGUUGCUGUUGGGUGGAUUAGUGAUGUUCUUCCUGCUGUCAAACAUAUGUCUAAUGUUGCUGUUGUUGUUCCCAAGUCUGGUGCUAGCUGCCUGCCAUUCUACUUCGAUAUUCACAUUGUUAUCUCCUUCAUAUUAGCGAUCAGUAAACACGAUAAUGUGACUAAUAAGUUCGUAUUCUCUUUAUAGGCAAUCCCUGCUGCCUCAAGACUUGAAACAAAACAAAUUGGAGGGCGAGUCGGAGGUCCAUCUCCGUUAAUCCAUCAAUGGAUAGAAUUCUGCUUGCAAACAGCGAGAGCAUUACCUUUCAAGCAAGAGGUAAUCCCAGGUGCAUCUCCCUCUGCCCUUGAAAGUACUCUGGUUAAGUUGCCUGAAGAACUUCUGGAGGGUAAACCAAGUCUGGAUACUAACUUAAUUGCUGGAGUACUCCCGGCUGAAAUUCUGGCCAGAUGUGAGUUUUUGGAGCCAUUAUCUGAAGCUACUUUGUCAGAUUAUGAGUGGCUGGUUGUUAAUCUGCAAAAACCUGCUCCUGUCUUGAUGAAAAGGGUGCAACAUUACUUGUCAUCAUUAAUCCAAAGCUUUCUAGCAAGAGCUACAUUGAAAAGUUAAUGGCGCUGCAUGCCAGUCAUUAUAAUGCUGUCAGGACAAUUGGGUCAGGGCAAUUAGGUCAGAGCAUAACUUCAUUAGGAAAGGGGGCUUCAGCUACGUUAAAUAUUACAGGAUGUACUGAGAUGGCUGAAGUUCUUGAGGUUUUAUGAGAAACGAAAGAUGAGUGUUUGUUUGAACAAAGUUGUUGCCAAUCUUGCAGAGUUUGAAAACAAAGAUCACGGAGCGAAUGCCACCGAUUUCUUCAUCAUUUUAGCCUCCAUAAUUGAAGUUUCCUCAUUUGAAGCUGUUUAUGCAUACGAUUUUUCCCUGCUCUAGUACAGGAAAUUGAAGAAUUAACCAGAUGUGAUAUGCUGAAAGAGGGAAGUUUUCUUCCUUGAAUGUGGCCUUUGUGAUUUGUCUUGAAGGAAUAGGAUGAUCACUGGCAAGAACCCUAUCAAGGUAGAUUUUAUGGUGUUAACAUAUUAUUCAGCAUUUUGUUACAUUAGCAAUGAUGCUUUCAUAGCAUGAAAGUGUUUAAAUUUAACUGAAUGAUCUUGAUUGAUCAAUUAUGAGUUUUAAUCGAGUAAAAACUAAAUACAAUAAUCGUAACAAANNNNNNNNNNNNNNNNNNNNNNNNNNNNNNNNNNNNNNNNNNNNNNNNNNNNNNNNNNNNNNNNNNNNNNNNNNNNNNNNNNNNNNNNNNNNNNNNNNNNUGCUACCUUUUGAUUUUAGUGCUUAAUAUUUAUUGAACUAUGAUGCAGGGAAUUUGAAAUCAAACUCGUAAUACAGAUUAUCUAAUUGCGAGUUGCUGUCCAUAGCUGCUAAUUUGUAGUGAUUAUCUAAUUGACUGAGGUGACAAUAAUUCUUUUAUUUUCAAUAGCACAAUGUGGAAUUCAAUAAUUAAAUUCUCCUGUUUAAUUUGUUUCAAGUUAAAUUAUUAAUUACUUAAACUCGGUUUUAAGUCUUUAAUUUUAUGUGUUUAUGCAGAAUUGGAUUCUUGAGCGUGUUGGACACGACCAACAAUGAAAUUGACAGUAAACAAACAUUAGAACAUGUGGACUCCGGUAAGCACCAAUGAAUUUCUAGCCCCGUUGACUCCGCCAACUAAAGUUUUGUAAAAUAAAAAAAAAUACAUAGAAUUCCACCAAAUGCAAAACGCGUAAAAUUUAAUUUUCGGCCGUGUGGACCAAAACAUAAUUUAACAAAAAAGAAAAAAAUGAUAAGAUUUUUAAAAUGUGUGGAAGGUGAUCCAUAUUUUACUGAAACGACUUGUUAAAUUUUUCAAGGAUUUAGAAUAUUUGGUCAUAAAUUACGUGCAUGUUAAUUUUUCCGCCAUUGACUAUCAUAUUCUAGACUUAAUGGUACCUUUUUUGAUGAAGGGUACUUAGUCUCUCUUCUCCUCUUAUAAAAAUUAUAUUAAUUGAUUUCUUGUUAUAGUUAAUAGUCUUCAAGAACGGAUAGAUUUAUUGUUUUCAUGACCAAAUUAUGCAUGCCUAACGUUGCAACUAUUAAUAAAAUUAAUAUUUAAUAUUUAUGUUAAAAGAUAUAAGAUUUUAUGCAUUCAUUAAUUGUUAUUAGCUAAAGGAUGAAUUAUUUUUUCCCAAUCAGUUGAUGCAUCUGCAAGAGUUUUUUUUUCUUUUAUUGACCAUAAUUAUAUUCCGGGUACAAUAAAUUGUCUUUGGUGCUUGGAAGAUAUGACAUCUCUCUGUCAACUUACUGGAAAUAUCUCCUCAUCUACUCUCAUUUAUCUAAUAUCAAUUGAAGAUCUCAUAUUUCCAAACUAUGACUUCCAAAUCUCAUUAUCAUUUGAGCAUUCAAAACUAAUCAAGUGUGGAAAUAAUCAAAUAUAUGCAAAAAUCGAGUCACAAUCUUUGGCCCCUCAAAAUUCUAAUUAUAUAACUUCUAUAUAUCUCAUACAUUUUCCAAAUUCCUCUUCCAUCAACAUCAUUAGGAGUAUGUUCAUCUCUCACACAUUAACUUGAGUGGAGAGUUUCCAAAUUGAUUGUCAGAAAACAACAAAAGAACUAGACACGCUUGAUCUGUCUAAUAAUUCUCUUUCGGUAAAAUUAAUUAAUUUUAGGGGAAUUCAGCCAACCUCUGUAAUUUUAUAGUGAUCAUUAAUUAAUUAAACAAUACAAAUAUCUAAAGUGAUUAGAUGUUUACUGACAAUACAAGUUCAUGGCUUGAAAUUUGAUCUCUAUCGAUUGGUUUUGUAGUGCUUAAUAUUUACAGAACUCCGGGAAUUUGAAAUCAAACUCGUAACUACAGAUUAUCUAAUUGUAAGUUUUUGUCCAUAGCUGCUGAUUUGUAGUGAUUAUCUAAUUGACUGAGGUGACAACAAUUGUUCUUUUAAUUUUCAAUAGCAUAAUGUGGAAUUCAAUAAUUAAAUUCUCCUUUUUAAUUUGUUUCCAAUUAAAUUAUUAAUUACUUAAACUCUAUUUUAAGUCUUUAAUUUUAUGUGUUUAUGCAGAAUUGGAUUCUUGAGCGUGUUGGACACGACCAACAAUGAAAUUGACAGUAAACAAACAUUACAACGCGUUGAGUGUCGACUCCGGUAGCUGCCCUACAAGUCUACAACUUUACAAAAAAUAAUUGAGUACACACAUUCGAUUCUCGGGACCCUUCAAUGAAUUUCUAACCCCGUUGACUCCACCGACAAAAGUUUUGGAAAAUAAAAAAAAAAUUUAUAGAAUUCCACCAAAUGCAAAACGCGUGGAAUUUAAUUUUCGGCCGUGUGGACCAAAACAUAAUUUAAUGAAAAAAAAGAAGAUAAAAUUUCUAAAAUGUGUGGAAAUUGAUCCAUAUUUUACUGAAACAACUUGUUAAAUUUUUCAAGGAUUUAGAAUAUUUGGUCAUAAAUUAUGCUCAUGUUAAUUUUUCCGCUAUUGACUAUCAUAUUCUAGACACAAUGGUACCUUUCUUGAUGAAGGGUACUUAGUCUCUCUUCUCCUCUUAUAAAAAUUAUAUUAAUUGAUUUCUUAUUAUAAUAAAUAGUCUUUAAGAACGUAUAGAUUUAUUGUUUUCGUGACCAAAUUAUGCCUGCCUAAGGUUGUGACUAUUAAUAAAAUUAAUAUUUAAUGUUUAUGUUAAAAGAUAUAAGAUUUUAUGCAUUCAUUAAUUGUUAUUAGCUAAAGGAUUAAUUAUUUUUUCAACCCAAUCUGUUGAUGCAUCUGCAAGAGUUUUUUCUUUUAUUGACCAUAAUUAUAUUCCGGGUACAAUAAAUUGUCUUUGGUGCUUGGAAAAUAUGACUUCUUACUUCAAGUUUGAUAUGUCUCUCUCCAUAAGCUUACUGGAAAUAUAUCCUCAUUUACUGUCAUUUAUCUAAUAUCAAUUGAAGAGCUCACUUUUUCAAACUAUCACUUCCAAGUCUCAUUGUCACUUGCCAUUCUUGGACCAUUCAAAACCAAACAAGUGUUGNNNNNNNNNNNNNNNNNNNNNNNNNNNNNNNNNNNNNNNNNNNNNNNNNNNNNNNNNNNNNNNNNNNNNNNNNNNNNNNNNNNNNNNNNNNNNNNNNNNNNNNNNNNNNNNNNNNNNNNNNNNNNNNNNNNNNNNNNNNNNNNNNNNNNNNNNNNNNNNNNNNNNNNNNNNNNNNNNNNNNNNNNNNNNNNNNNNNNNNNNNNNNNNNNNNNNNNNNNNNNNNNNNNNNNNNNNNNNNNNNNNNNNNNNNNNNNNNNNNNNNNNNNNNNNNNNNNNNNNNNNNNNNNNNNNNNNNNNNNNNNNNNNNNNNNNNNNNNNNNNNNNNNNNNNNNNNNNNNNNNNNNNNNNNNNNNNNNNNNNNNNNNNNNNNNNNNNNNNNNNNNNNNNNNNNNNNNNNNNNNNNNNNNNNNNNNNNNNNNNNNNNNNNNNNNNNNNNNNNNNNNNNNNNNNNNNNNNNNNNNNNNNNNNNNNNNNNNNNNNNNNNNNNNNNNNNNNNNNNNNNNNNNNNNNNNNNNNNNNNNNNNNNNNNNNNNNNNNNNNNNNNNNNNNNNNNNNNNNNNNNNNNNNNNNNNNNNNNNNNNNNNNNNNNNNNNNNNNNNNNNNNNNNNNNNNNNNNNNNNNNNNNNNNNNNNNNNNNNNNNNNNNNNNNNNNNNNNNNNNNNNNNNNNNNNNNNNNNNNNNNNNNNNNNNNNNNNNNNNNNNNNNNNNNNNNNNNNNNNNNNNNNNNNNNNNNNNNNNNNNNNNNNNNNNNNNNNNNNNNNNNNNNNNNNNNNNNNNNNNNNNNNNNNNNNNNNGUAUUUUACUUGGAAGAUAUGACAUCUCUCUGUCAACUUACUGGAAAUAUCUCCUCAUCUACUCUCUUUUAUCUAAUAUCAAUUGAAGAUCUCAUAUUUCCAAACUAUGACUUCCAAAUCUCUCAUUAUCAUUGAGCAUUCAAAACUAAUCAAGUGUGGAAAUAAUCAAAUAUAUGCAAAAAUCGAGUCACAAUCUUUGGCCCCUCAAAAUUCUAAUUAUAUAACUUCUAUAUAUCUCAUACAUUUUCCAAAUUCCUCUUCCAUCAACAUCAUUAGGAGUAUGUUCAUCUCUCACACAUUAACUUGAGUGGAGAGUUUCCAAAUUGAUUGUCAGAAAACAACAAAAGAACUAGACACGCUUGAUCUGUCUAAUAAUUCUCUUUCGGUAAAAUUAAUUAAUUUUAGGGGAAUUCAGCCAACCUCUGUAAUUUUAUAGUGAUCAUUAAUUAAUUAAACAAUACAAAUAUCUAAAGUGAUUAGAUGUUUACUGACAAUACAAGUUCAUGGCUUGAAAUUUGAUCUCUAUCGAUUGGUUUUGUAGUGCUUAAUAUUUACAGAACUCCGGGAAUUUGAAAUCAAACUCGUAACUACAGAUUAUCUAAUUGUAAGUUUUUGUCCAUAGCUGCUGAUUUGUAGUGAUUAUCUAAUUGACUGAGGUGACAACAAUUGUUCUUUUAAUUUUCAAUAGCAUAAUGUGGAAUUCAAUAAUUAAAUUCUCCUUUUUAAUUUGUUUCCAAUUAAAUUAUUAAUUACUUAAACUCUAUUUUAAGUCUUUAAUUUUAUGUGUUUAUGCAGAAUUGGAUUCUUGAGCGUGUUGGACACGACCAACAAUGAAAUUGACAGUAAACAAACAUUACAACGCGUUGAGUGUCGACUCCGGUAGCUGCCCUACAAGUCUACAACUUUACAAAAAAUAAUUGAGUACACACAUUCGAUUCUCGGGACCCUUCAAUGAAUUUCUAGCCCCGUUGACUCCACUGACAAAAGUUUUGGAAAAUAAAAAAAAAAUUCAUAGAAUUCCACCAAAUGCAAAACGCAUGGAAUUUAAUUUUCGGCCGUGUGGACCAAAACAUAAUUUAAUGAAAAAAAAAAGAUAAAUUUUCUAAAAUGUGUGGAAGGUGAUCCAUAUUUUAUUGAAACAACUUGUUAAAUUUUUUAAGGAUUUAGAAUAUUUGGUCAUAAAUUACGCUCAUGUUAAUUUUUCCGCUAUUGACUAUCAUAUUCUAGACUCACUGGUACCUUUCUUGAUGAAGGGUACUUAGUCUCUCUUCUACUCUUAUAAAAAUUAUAUUAAUUGAUUUCUUAUUAUAAUAAAUUGUCUUUAAGAACGUAUAGAUUUAUUGUUUUCGUGACCAAAUUAUGCUAGAUUAAGGUUGCGACUAUUAAUAAAAUUAAUAUUUAAUGUUUAUGUUAAAAGAUAUAAGAUUUUAUGCAUUCAUUAAUUGUUAUUAGCUAAAGGAUUAAUUAUUUUUUCAACCCAAUCAGUUGAUGCAUCUGCAAGAAUGUUUUCUUUUAUUGACCAUAAUUAUAUUCCGGGUACAAUAAAUUAUCUUUGGUGCUUGGAAAAUAUGACUUCUUACUUCAAGUUUGAUAUGUCUCUCUCCAUAAACUUACUGGAAAUAUAUCCUCAUCUAUUAUCAUUUAUCUAAUAUCAAUUGGAAGAUCGCACUUUUUCAAACUAUCACUUCCAAGUCUCAUUGUCACUUGGCCAUUCUUGGACCAUUCAGAACCAAUCAAGUGUUGAAAUAAGUCGAGAGGGGGGGCAAAAUUAGAGUCACAAUUUUUGGUCCCCCAAAUUCUAAUUAUAUAACUUCUAUAUAUUUCAUUGCCAGGUCACGAACUUGUUGGCACAUUUUCCAAAUUCCUCUUCCAUCAACUCUCACACGUUAACUUAAGUGGAAAGUUUCCAAGUUGAUUGCUAGAAAGCAACGCAAAAUCAGACACGCUUGACCUGUCCCCUAAUUCUCUUUUCUACGUUGAAAAAGAAAAAAAAAAUAUAUAUAUAUAUCUAUGUAAAAAUAAAUAAUAAACUGAAUAAAAGUACAUUUGUUUAAUUAACAUCUGAUCGUGGCAUUUUUGGUGUAAUUUCGUGCUGUGUAAGCCACAACUAAAAUCAAACAGCCCCUUAGCAUACUUCUUCCAUUUUAUCUGGUACUUUUGUGGAUCUUAUAGGGUGGGCAUGUGGACAGAAUUUAAAAGUUUUAAUAGUCUCAAAGAAUAAGAUAUGUUAAAGCUAAAGUUGUUGCACCUUCUAAUUAAAUAAAGUUGUACAAUUUCACCAACUUGGAAGAAUUGACAUUAAUGGACUGGUCCCUUCUCCAUAUAUGAAGCCUUCUUAAAAGUUAAUUUUUAUUUCAGAAAAAAAAAGUUAAAGUUACAUAUAUUAUAGUAAGAUUUUUUGAGACCAAUUCCCUUCUUGAAAUAAUAAUGGAAAAGUAUUAAUUUAAUAAUAAAAUGAAUAUGUAUUGAUUAUAUCUUGAUUUUCAUCGAUUAUAGUGAGAGUUUCUCCAAAUCAAUUCCCUUAUUCAAAUAAUAUCGAAAAAAUAGUAAUUUAAUAGUAAAAUAAACAGGUGUUGAUUAUAUAUUCUAAGUUUCAUCGAUUAUGUGAUCAAAGUGGCAUUGUUGAUUUAUUUCUUGUUCAAUGUUAAUUUUUAGGUUAUCUAAAUUUCAAGGAUUUAAAAUCUUUGAUCAUGGAUUACACGCUUGUUAAUUUUUCUGCCAUUGACUAUCAUAUUCUAGACUUAAUGAUACCUUUCUUGAUCAAGGGUAAUUACUCUCUCUUCUCCUCUUAUAAAUUCCUCUUCCAUUAACAUCACUAGGAGUAUGUUGAUCUCUUACAAAACAACAAAAGAACUAGACACACUUGAUCUGUCUAAUAAUUCUCUUUCGGUAAAAUUAAUUAAUUUUAGGGGAAUAUUCGACCAACCUCUGUAAUUUUAGAGUGAUCAUUAAUUAAUUAAACGAUACAAAUAUCUAAAGUGAUUAGAUGUUUGCUGACAAUGCAAGUUCAUGACUUGAAAUUUGAUCUCUAUCGAUUGGUUUACAAAUGGACAUACUUGUGCCUUUGUGGCGAUAAUCGAACAAGUUCCAAUGAUUAUUAUUUUUUCCAAAAACUUUUUUACAACAAAUUCAUCUCGCCAAAAAUUCUAUGUUGCUAGCUAACAAUAAUUGAGCACUUGGCCGCAUUGACUCCACGUCUCCACCUCUUUCUAAAUUCUAAGUAAAAACAUGGAAAUGUAAUUUCCACAAAAUGCCAAACGUGUGGAAUUUAAUUUUUUGCCUUGUGGAUCAAAAUACAAAUGAAAGAAACAGGAAAAAAAAAAAAGGCCCAAAGACUUCUAAAAGAUGAAGAAGUCUUUGGGCCUUUUUAUAAUGGUGGAUUUUUUAAAAGAAAAAAAUAACAACACUUUUAUGGUUGGUUUUGAUAAUCAUAUGUGCGUAUAUACUCUCUAAUUUUCAAAAUGGACACAUAAAUCUUUUUUUUUCACAAAAUAUAUAUUAUUCAUAUUUUUUAUUUUUUAUUAUCAUAUUUUUAUUUAUUAUAAAUGUUUAGAGUAAAUUUUUAGGUUGAAAUAUAAUAAAAGGGUAUAAUCGUUCUCUUAUUAAACACACAUACUUUUAUUAGUUUCUAUGCAUUUGUCAUCUCAAUCUCUCUCAAUUAUUCUUUAUUGCUAGCUCAAAACACGUUGCUGUUGCAAAUUAUAGCAAAAUGACAAAUAUGGAAAAAAAGGGAAGAAAAUUAAUGCAUGAAAGACUUGGAGAAAACAACAAAAUAAGCCAACUAUGAGCUAGUUGGGUGUAUAAAUUGUUAGAUGUGUUAUAUACAAAUAGCAUAGAGCCCUCUAGUUGGUUCUAGAGACAGAAAGAGCGUGUGUGUUUUUUCACAGUUAGAGAUAUAGUUAGAAUGGGUGGCUCAAAAUCAAAAAUGAUGAUAAUGUUUAUUAUGUUAUUAAUAAUAUUUAAAAGUGGGUGGAGUGAGGGAUGUUUGGAUCACGAGAGAUUUGCUCUUUUGCGACUCAAACAUUUCUUCACUGGUCCUUGUAAUUAUCUUUACGACUGGGUAGAUGGUGAGGGAGCUACUGAUUGUUGUCAGUGGGAAAGGGUUGAGUGCAGCAACACCACAGGCCGAGUGAUAACGCUAGACCUUUUUGACACGUAUGGGGGAGAGCACAACUGGUAUCUGAAUGCUUCUUUGUUUACUCCCUUCCAACAACUUGAGUCACUUGAUUUAACUUACAACAAAAUAACCGGUUGUGUUGAGAAUGAAGGUGCUUCGUUUAAUUUAAUUAAUUUACUUUCUCCCCCCUAAUUUAAGUUGAAUAUCAAGACCGAGCAAUUAUAUGCAUAUUCAUUCAGUUGACAAUUUUGACUUUUUUUUUAAAGAUUAAUUUUGAAAUUACACUAGUAUCUAUGAUCCUUUUUUUUUUUAUUUUACUUGCAGGUAUAGAGAGGCUAUCAAGAUUGAACAACUUGAAGAUGCUUAAUUUAAGUGAUAACUCGUUCAACAAUAGCAUUUUAUCAUCACUAACUCAUCUUUCAUCAUUAAGAUCAUUAAAUUUAUAUGGGAAUAGAUUAGAAGGAAGUAUUGACGUUAAAGGUACAUAAUUAAAACUUCAUCCCUUCUCCAAGCUCUUUCAUUAACUUGCUAAAAUAAGAUUCAAGGCUUUGAAUUCAAUUUUUUUUAUGAUUAGUAUUAAAAAAAAACAGUUUUAAGCAAUUUAUAAAUACAAGUUUUAAUCUUUCUCAUAAUUUCAUCUUGUACUUUCAUGUGUCUUGAAUUUAAGAUUAAAAAGAAAUCUAAUAGCAAACCAAACACCUCCACAACUUAUUAUUAUUAUUAUUAUUAUUUGCGGUGAGGUUUGAAACAUUCAACUCAAUUUGUACUUAUUACAGAAUUUGAUUCUUUGAGAGAUUUAGAGGAGCUAGACAUUGGCGAGAACAAGAUUGACAAAUUUGUGGUCUCAAAAGGUACUACAAAUACCAUAAAAAAAAAUGCUAACUUAUACAAAUUAGUUGGAUUCUUGGCCAUUUGGUUUAUUAUUUUACAGGUUUGAGUAAGUUGAAGUCUCUCUGUUUAAGUGGUAUCAAACUCAAUCGUAGCAUCUUCGCUUCUCUUUCUUCGUUAAGAGAAUUAGAUAUAAGUUAUACGGGAUUCAAAGGAACAUUUGAUGUUCGAGGUAAGUCUAAGCCUUGCUUUCUCAUUUUAUAUAUGCGAACUAGAUUUGUGUAUCAUCGACAUAAUUUAAUAUUUAAUUUAAUAAGUCUGAAGGUAUUACAUGCUAAUUUAAACAUACUUUUAUUUACUUUGUCAAUUAAUUAAUUAAUUAAUUAAUUACUAUUUGGCUUGGUUUGGACGAAAUUCUCAUGAUGUUUUAAUUUCUUUAAAUUAAUUAAUUAAUUAACUCUGUUUUUAAGUCUUAAGUCUGGGCAUGUUUGCAGAAUUUGAUUCCUUCAAUAACUUAGAAGUGUUGGACAUGGGAUACAAUGAAAUCGACAAUCUUGUGGUUCCUCAAGGUAAACAAUUAAAAUAUUAUUCAAUUACAUUAUUUUAAUUCAUUUGAUUAGAGAAGGCCAAAAAGGUCCCAAAAAAAUUAAUAAUAAAGAAACAGAUAAUUUGUAUUAUUUAAAAAAAACAGAAUGUAAUAAAGAUUUGAUUCCAGUUCUUUAAUCUUUAAAGCGAUUGAAAAACAAUGUUGCUCUUUUCCCAAAGUAUAAAAUACGAAUUGAAUGCCAAUUAACUUAAUCAUUCAUUUCGUUUAGCUCUAAAUUUAGACAAUGAAUUUUUAUAUUAUUUCAAAAACAGGACGUAAUAGAAUUUUUUUAAAAACAGAUUGUAAUGAAGAUUUGAUUCCAAUUUUUUAAUCUUUGCAGCGAUUGAAAAACCAUACCGCUCUUUUCCCAAAGCAUAAAAUACGAAUUGACUCCCAAUUAAAUUAAUCAUUUAUUUUGUUCAUCUCUGAAUUUAAAUAAUGAAUUUUGAUCUUCAAUCAUAUUCUAACUACUAUUAAAAAACAAGUUACAAAGGUUUGAGGAAGCUGAAAAGCCUUGAUCUAUCGGAAGUUGAAAUUAGAGAUGGAAGCAAGUUGUUACAGUCGAUGGGAUCAUUCCCAUCCCUCAACACUCUUUACCUGAAGGAUAAUAAUUUUACCGAUAUAGCGACAACUACUACUCAAGGUAAGUAAAAGGUACAGAUGUGGCCAAAUUUAUAAAUAAAUUGUUAAUUAAUUAAUUUUUCCGUAUUAUUAAUUAAGCUAAAUUCGUUGCUCCUUCCUUCUAAAUCUAAACAGAGUUGCACAAUUUCACCAACUUGGAAUAUUUGACAUUGACCGGUUCCUCUCUCCAUAUAAGCCUUCUGCAAAGCAUUGCAUCAAUAUUCCCUUUGUUAAAAAUUUUGCCGAUGAUUGGUUGUGAAGUCAAUGGCAUCCUACGUGGUCAAGGUAAAAGAAAAGCGUUGAAUGUGCACUCACUGAGUGUUGUCCUACGUGUUCAAUAUUUUCAUUUAUUCAUUUUAUUGUUUAAUGUUUCUGCUAGGUUUUACUCAUUUCAAGAGUUUGGAACAUUUGGACAUGGAUUACGCGCUCAUUGCACUCAACACCAGCUUUCUUCAAAUCAUCAGUGAAUCGAUGCCUUCUCUUAAGUACUUAUCACUAUCAAAUUCUACUCUUGGCACUAACAGCAGCAGGAUUCUUGAUCAAGGUUAAUCAGAUGCUCCCACCCCCCUUCUUAAUCUAUAAUAUUAAUUUUCAAUUAAAUAUUUAAUUACACAAACGAAUCACUUAUUAUAAAAGAAUAAUACGCAUUCAUUAAUUUUUAUAUUGUAUUAAUUGAUGAAUUUAAUAAAUUUUCAGGCCUCUGUUCGUUGAUGCAUCUGCAAGAGUUGUACAUUGAUAAUAAUGAUUUAAGAGGUAGCUUGCCUUGGUGCAUGGCAAAUAUGACAUCCCUCCGAUUAUUAGAUGUUUCUUCCAAUCAACUUACGGGAAGCAUCUCCUCAUCUCCCCUCGUUCAUUUGACAUCCAUUGAAGAGUUGAUGCUUUCAAACAAUCACUUCCAGAUCCCAAUUUCACUUGAACCACUUUUCAAUCACUCAAGACUCAAGAUUUUCAAUGCUUAUAACAAUGAAAUAAAAGCUAAAAUAACUGAGUCACAUUCUUUGAUCGCCCCAAAAUUCCAAUUAAAUACACUCUUGUUGUCUUCCAGUUACGGAGACAGUUUCAUAUUCCCCAAAUUCAUUUACCAUCAACAUGACCUGGCGUAUGUUGAUCUCUCACACAUAAAGAUGAAUGGAGAAUUUCCAACUUGGUUGUUGGAAAACAACACAAAAUUGAGCCAACUUUCUGUCGUCAAUGAUUCUCUUGCAGGACCUUUUCGGUUGCCAAUUCAUUCACACAAGCAGUUAAGACUGUUGGAUAUAUCCACCAACAACAUCCGAGGCCACAUUCCAGUAGAAAUUGGAGAUGUUUUGCCACGUUUAUACGUUUUCAACAAUUCCAUGAAUGCUCUAGACGGUAGCAUUCCCUCUUCAUUUGGUAAUAUGAAAUUCCUCCAAAUUCUGGACUUAUCCAACAAUCACUUGACUGGUGAAAUCCCCGAGCACUUGGCCGUGGGUUGCGUCAACUUGCAGGCUCUUGCAUUAUCAAAUAACAACCUACAAGGUUACAUGUUCUCUAGAAAUUUUAACUUGACAAACUUGAGAUGGUUACAAUUGGAGGGCAAUCGAUUCGUAGGUGAGAUCCCACAAAGUUUGUCUAAAUGCUCCUCACUAGAAGGAUUGUAUAUUAACAAUAAUAGUCUUUCGGGUAAGAUUCCACGAUGGUUGGGUAAUCUCACAUGGUUACAAUAUAUUAUAAUGCCCAAUAAUCAUCUUGAAGGCCUUAUUCCAGUGGAGUUUUGUCAGCUUGAUUCGCUUCAGAUUUUGGACAUUUCAGACAACAACAUAUCUGGAAGUUUACCAUCUUGUUUCCAUCCUCUCUCUAUCAAACAAGUUCAUCUUUCAAAAAAUAUGUUACAUGGACAACUAAAAAGAGGUACAUUCUUUAAUUGCUCUUCCCUUGUGACAUUAGAUCUUAGCUAUAACCGCUUGAAUGGCAACAUUCUGGAUUGGGUUGAUGGGCUUUCUCGGUUAAGCCACCUGAUCUUAGGUCACAAUAAUCUUGAAGGUGAAGUGCCAGUUCAAUUGUGCGAAUUGAACCAACUACAAUUGUUAGAUCUUUCUAAUAAUAAUCUUCACGGUCCUAUUCCUCCUUGCUUUGAUAACACCACACUUCAUGAAAGUUACAGCAAUAGUUCUAGUCCUGAUGAGCAAUUUGAAAUAUUUUUUUCCAUCGAAAGCCCUGUGGGAGAUGUAAAAGAGCAAAUCCAUGAAAUUUUUGAGUUAACAACAAAGAACAUUGCGUACAUUUACCAAGGAAAAGUGUUUAGCCUCCUAUCAGGACUUGAUCUUUCUUGCAACAAGCUAAUCGGUCAUAUUCCUCCUCAAAUUGGAAAUUUGACAAGGAUUCAAACAUUGAAUCUAUCGCACCAUAACUUGACAGGAUCGAUCCCAUCAACAUUUUCAAACUUGAAGCAUGUCGAAAGUUUGGAUCUUUCCAACAACAAAUUGAAUGGAAAAAUCCCUUAUCAACUAGUGGAGUUAAAGACAUUGGAGGUUUUCAGUGUGGCAUACAAUAACUUAUCAGGCGAAAUUCCAGAAUGGAAAGCACAAUUUGCAACCUUCAACGAGAGUAGCUAUGAGGGAAAUACUUUUCUUUGUGGACUGCCAUUGCCCAUUUGCAGAUCACCAGCAACUACGCCGGAGGGUUCAAUCGGCAAUGAACGAGAUGAUAAUUUAAUUGACAUGGACAGUUUCUUUAUCACAUUUACAACAUCGUACGUAAUUGUGAUAUUCGGAAUUGUUAUUGUUUUAUAUGUAAAUUCUUAUUGGCGACGUAAAUGGUUUUACUUUGUUGAAAUGUGGAUAACUUCAUGUUAUUAUUUUAUUGUAGACAAUCUUAUUACAACAAGAUAUUGUCAUUGAAAUUAAUUAGCAGUUUAAUUACGAUUCUUUAAGUUCUAAUCAAGUUUGCACUUGAUCGCCUAUUUUACUUUAAAAAAUAAUGAUUAUGGUGCUAUCAUCAUCUUCUUCACUAGCAACAUUAACACCAAAUCCAGCGAUGGACCCAGACAUUUUAUCAAGAUAUCCACCAUAACUUAUACUUCCCUAUACUGUGCAGCCUACUUAAAUAAGAGAACCAUCUCCAAUGUUAAAACCAGCCACUCUAUAACAUUCAUUUAGAAACUAUAUUUAGAACUCUCCAAUCCACCCACCAGAAUUUCAUAUCUCCUCAACAAUUUUAAGAACUAAAGAUAAUUAGGAUAUAACAUUAGUUUUUUAUAUAUUAGUUUCAUAAUUUACAAAUCAAUGAAGAUGAAGAUUAUGUUAAUGAAUUCAAAUUAUACCAUACAUUCUCGAGAUGCUACCAAAAAUUUCUAAGUCAAUCCCACAUAUUUCAUAAUUUUAAGACUAGAAAAUUUCAUUAGGUAGAAGUUUCAUUACCUUCAAGUGGAAGAUGAAGAACAUUAUACAAUUGAUUCAGAUUAUAUCAUACAUACUCCAAAUGCAACUAGAAAUUAACAAGUUCAUGCGCACAGAUUUCAUAACAUUAUGAAUGGAAAGUUUCACAAAGAGAAAUUAUAAAUUCAAUCUCUUGCAUCAAGGUAGUUUGAUUGAUUUGAGUUACUUUCUGAUCAAGCUAUUAAUAUAACAUUCAAGUCAGGGAGAAAGUAAAUUAAAACUGGGAAGAAAUAACAGUAAAAAUUUGUUGCUAAACAUGAUGUGUAUUUUUUUUUUAAGGCAAUUUGGAAACACAGUUGUUACUACAGAUAUUCUCCUCAACUUAGAGAUAAUACAAAUAUUAAAAUGCAUAUGAUCGCACAUAUUACUUUGGAAGCUUAGUAAGAUUUCAUUAAGAGAAGCAAAUCAAACCACUUAUUUCAUUGUUGCAUCGUUCUAUAAGCUAAAAUAGCAAUAUAAUACAAGAAAAAGAACAUAUAGAUACUUGGCAAGAGUUCAUUAAGAAGUCGCAUCACAUUCGGGUGAGUUUGCUUCUGAUAUCUUGCUAGCUGGGGCUUUUUCUUGUCUUUCUAUGUAUGCCGAGGGAAACCAACCAGCUUGGCCCUUGCAUUCACCUUCCGACCAUCCAGUAGGAGCCACCUUGAGAAGUUAUAACUAAAACAGUGAAUUAAACAACAGUUGACCAUUCAAAGACCUAAGGGGAAAACUAAUUCUUUUACGUAGGAAGAGUGAAUUAAUUCUGAUCACUGAAAUAACAGCAUAACUAUGGAAGCCUAAAAAGAUAUAAAUUCACACGUCUAUAAGGGUAAACUGGGUGGUUUAGAACUGAGCUAGCAACCCUACCAUAUUCUGAUUUGCACUUCAAUGUAAAAGGGAAUAUAUGGUAUGAAGAAAGAAAACCAACCAUCAUUUGUUAACCCAUUGCUUUUCAAUCAAAAUUUUAAGAACAAAAUGCCAUGUGCUUUGAACAUCAAAUAAGUAUAAGCAUUAGUUCUAAAUUCCACAUAUCAUAAGUUAGAAGGAUAAGUUAAUAGCAUAGUAGAAAAAUCUGUGUUGUUAUUUAGAGGGGAAAGUACCUGGCGAACCACAACAUAAUCAUCAAUUGAAAGACUUAACUCUCCAUUUGCUUGAGCAUCAAAUGGAUGUAUAACCUGCAAGAUAAUGGGAUAAAUAGAACUUAAUCUCAAAAAAAGCAUAACAAAAGCAGCAACAGUAUCAGCAGCGUUCAUUGUAACCACUAUGAUCAUGGCCAACAAAGAUAUAUUAGAAACAAAAUUCCAUUUUUACUACGGCAUUAAUAUGCACUAUAUGAUAUCAUGACGAUUGGGUUACCAAGAGCUAUCAAAGUCCAAUAAAUUCUGUAUAACUUUAUGUAGUUAUUCAAAUUAUGGAUCAGAUUUUAAAUCUGAAAUUUUGACUGCUCUCCACAAAACAUGGCCUAUGCACAAGAAGGUCAUAGAUAAUGAGGAUUACAAGUGUUUGACAUCUUUAGAGUGAUGGAUUUAAGAUGACAGCUUAUGGUCAGUCAAUUUCCUCCGCCUAGCAAUAUAAGCUUUCUCGGCCGGAUUUAUCAUCAAAUAUAUAGAUUGCCCCCAAGUCACAUCCAUAUAAACAUAGUUUUUCUAGGUAAACCAAGUAAGGAGAAUCAUAAUUCAGACAUAAUCAUAAAAAGGCCCAUCUAACUUAAGAGAAAAUCUCAAAAAGAGGAAUGUUGAGCUAUCAUUCUUGUAUCUAUAAGCAAUAUCAAGACUUUACAUCACCUGCUACAUCGUGAGUGGCUACACAACUUUCAGUGGUUUGUCUUUCUUUGGCAUGCCUAACUCAGCUUUGAUGUUGCUGAGAUAUUGAUGGUAGAGACACAUGAUACUUCUAGCUCAUGCAUUCUAUCUAGCUCAUUCGACAGCUAUCUCUUUUUUAAUUCAUUAGUGUUUGCUAAACCUCAUGCUUAAAAAUCAUGCUGUUCUAAACAAAGUUUCCUAAGAAUGACUUCCUCAGCACCACACUUAGACACUUUUAGAGCAAUUUUAUUUGGGGGAAAAGAAUUUUCAAGGUGUUAACUAAUAAAUUUUAAAAAAUAAUUACAAUUUGUCCUACGAUUAUAUGACAAUUUAUCUAGGAUGAAAGGAUACAGACAGACAUCUUCCACUUUCAAGACUAAUCACUACUUCCGUAGAUGUUUUGCAAUAACACAAAUACUUGACCAGAUGGUAGUGAUGGUAGAAAAUAUUUUAUUGCUCCAAAAUUAAAAUAAGAAUGCAAUAUGUUAAGCAAAAGACUGUGCAACAUCAAAUUAAUUGAUAAGUUUGUAAUUCAGUAAAUUAACAACUUUCAUGGUAAAAUACAACAAAUUUCUUUUCAAAAAAUUUUUUUAAAAGACAGCAUUCAAUUUUGUGCGCAUCUUAUUUCUUAAGAUUUUCCAGGAGGGCAAUAGAGGGACUUUCACCUAUGCAAGAGAGCAGAAGCCUUACUUUCGCUAUAAAGUAGACGUCAUUCUGAUUAAUAUGCGUUUGCAAAUCAACUCCAUUUGAAUCAGUAUUCUGAUAGACACAUGAGGCAUUUACAUCCAUUUCCAAAGUCACAUGUUGCGAGGAGGACUCAUUUGAUUGCUCCUCUAGGAUCAUCUAAUUCAAGUAGCAAGGGUUGGAAGAGAAUAAAAAGUCACAAUUAUUCUUUUGCAUAAGUGAGACGAAAAUGAUAAAUGCACUAUUAUCAGCAGUAAACAAGAAGAGAACACUCCAAGGAAUAGAUAGAUGCGGACAAGCAAGUUAAAAUGCACAGUUCCAAACCUCCGCAUACAACUUCUCUGAAAUAGCAAUAACGUGUUGAUGAUAUGUUUUCUCAGCAUCUACCUUUAAAGGCCCGAGACCAGGAAAACAACAAUAAAACCACUAGCUAAAGGAGAAAGUAAAGAAAGAAAUACACUUGACAUAAAUCUUGACAAGAAGCACAAUUUAAGACAUAACAAACCCCAAUCAUAUUGUUUAGGACUACCAUUCGUUAUUUCGUUAUUGUAGCAUUUAGAACAAGUGUUGACUUAAUUCAACAUUGUUGGAAAGAUAGGCUUUUAGAAGCGGAAGAAAGCCACUCAAACCAAAGUGAUUGCCCUUGAAUUGAUCAAGGGAUGUAAACAUAUUACAUUUCCAGGAUGAGUUUUAAUCACUCCCCUGAUUUAUUUGGGUUGCAGUAAAACUAAGCGAGCAACUGUUUGACUUUCAAGCAACAUCUAAAUCAGCUAUUAAAAUUCAAAUAAAAUCAUAAUAGAAUAAUAACAGGCCAUCUUGCAUCAAAAAUUAAGUUUAAUUUGUGAAUUGUUUUCUAUAGACAUGUUAGUUCCUGCUAUUGAAAUGUUAAAAGCAUUGAAAAAUGAUUCAAUAAAUUAUGCAAACAUUAAAAUAGAGGACAUAUUAAAAAGUUUCUAAUUACAAUGUUAAGAUUUCCUAUAUUUUAGCAUUUGCAUAUUUUAAUUUAUGUAAAAGCUACGUCGAUCAACUUUGGGCGUGAAGAUUUUAGCUUCUACGAGACUUGAUUGGAAUAUGCAUAAGGAAGAGUGUUAAAAUAUGAUGCAUCCAACGAAAGACAAACCACGUGUAGUCUUUUAAUUAAGCCAAAGUAGCAGCUCAAACAAAUGACACUUGGACCAACAUGCAAUCAUGAAGGGGCCGGAAAAAGGACAAAUGCAACUUUGGCUUAAAUAAAAAAUAACAUGUGACUUGACUUUUGCUGGACAUGCAUCAUGUUAUUACAAGACAACAGAAAUCAGUAUGAUAGUACUAAAAGUUGACAAUAACAUGAAGAUAAGAGGCAGAAUAUCAACACAUGCAUAGGCACACACAAGGAAGUAUUAACUUAUAUACCAUAGCAAAAAGUCUUUGAAAUAUCAAUAAAAAAAAAACAAUUAAUUAAAGGUCGAAGAUGGGUCCUUUACAUAUGUUUUUGUUUUCGUAUUAGGUAGGAGGUUAUUAUAUUAUAUCAUGUAAUUAAUUUAUAUUAUAUCAUAUUAUAUCAUAUAUAUAUGAAAAAAAAAAAGAAUUUCAAAGAGAUAGCAACAUACAAUAGACUGAAGCCAUUUGAUCUACUCAUUGAUUUCAGCCUUAAACUUGUAAAUACUUACUGUACGCUAGUGCUCUAAGAAGUGAAAAUGAUGCAAACCCUGAUCCCCUUUUGACUUCCAUUUACUGUCAAAUAUUCUAUUCAUACGAAAAAAAUGUUUAGAUAUCUUACUAUAAAUAUAGCCGUUUGACUGUCUUAAUAAAGUCACACACAACCAUUCUUAUUAAAUUAGCAAGAUCAAACACUGCCCUGGAUCUUGAACAGAUCCACGCAAGUUGCACAACUUACGAUUGAAUCCGGCCAGAAAAAAUCAACUCUUUAGCAAGAAAAAUUAAUCAGAGUCAAGAAACAAGUUUAAUGAAUAUAAACCUAUAAUUGAAACAAACAUAGCCAAGAAACAAAUAGAGAUUUUACAUGUUUCAGUUGUACCAAGGAUGGCACAACCUACACCACGGGAGAAGCUUUCUGGUGACCCCAAUCUGCUUAGUUAAUAAUAGAGAUUUCAGAGAAUAAGCUAUAACCCUCUCUCCCUCUUCAGUCUCUCUCUAUUUUGUUCCCAUUGAUGACCCCAAUCUGCUUAGUUAUCCAGCUUUAUAGCUGCAUCAGUAACAAACCAGCAAACCCAGAUUGAGCAGAUUGACGACACGUGGAUAACGGCUUUAACGAACCUGGUUAAGAACUGCUCACAUGUUCGUCACGCGUGCUGCUUAAAUGAUGGCCAAAACGACUUCAAACAAAUGUCGUUUUGAGGCUUAUGAAUUACAAGUGAUAACACGAGCUUGUCUCAUGACUUUUAAAUGCAACAACGUGCCCACAACGCCGUCGUUUUACUCUGUUGAGUUUGAUUCAUUACUAAGCUUUACGACUGGCAAUGGAGAAGAUGAUAAUUUAAUUGAUACGGACAGUUUUUAUAUCACUUUUACAACAUCCUAUGCAAUUGUAAUAUUGAGAAUUAUUGAUGUUUUAUAUCCUCAUUGGCAAAAACUAGUGGUUUUAUCUUUGUUGAAAUAUAGAUGACCUCUCGUUACUGUUUUAUUAUAAACAUAUAGUUUCAUAAGUGAAACUAUAUGUUUAUAAUAAAAUUAACAUAUAGUUUCGUUACAUUUCUGCCUCAUUAAGAUUCUCAAAUACCAGUCAGGUUUGCUUAAGAAAUAAAAAUUUUCCAUUAAAAUUGCAGUAGUAUUUCCAAGCAUAUCGCAUUUUCUAUGAUUUUUCAUAAAUUAAUUAAUCUGCGGUGCCAAUAUCAGAUUUAGUUUUUCAAACUAAAUAAUCAAGAAAGCAAACAUACAAAUAUACAUACAAAUAUACUAAGCCAGCUACCUCACUAAAUUCCGAUUCGUACAGUGAACUGCAAGAAAUUGAGAAAACAAUGUAUUUAUAAUUUAAUAGAAUCAUAAGAAAACAAUGUAGUCAUUGCUUAAUAUAAGAUGAUUUCGGAGAGCCACAUUGUUUUCAAGUUAAUUUGAACCGUUUAUAAGAGAUGAAGUGGAAUCAAGUUGAAAGUUUAAAUAACAAAUCCCUGUUCUUGAGUUUUACGACGUCGUUACUCCUUCAAGUGGCAGAUUAUGCAAGUGAAUGCAGAAACAUGUGCAGAGCAUGUCAACAUGGCACAUUUAACCAUCAUUCAAGUGAUGAUGGGUUUUAUAAGACUGCUUAUGGGUUUUAUCAAGUUCCUCUGCCUCUAAGCAAAAAAUUAAAUUCGUAAUUUGUAAACGAAUUUUCCUGACAUGUAUAGUAAAUGAAGUUGUUGAUCCUUUCUUUGGAUUAUUGCAGCUCUGGUUGUGGGUCACCGAUGAGCCAAAGUCUUAUGGGUUUUAUCAAGUUCCUCUGCCUCUAAGCAGAAUUACUAUUGAAGGGCCAAAAAGAAAAUGAAAACGUGUGAACUCCAACAACCACCCCACAAAUUCAAUGACGAUGCUCAGAGACGGUUACGUUGGGCCUCUGAGAAAAAAAAUUUAUUUAGUUAAAAAAUUACCCAUAUUGAAACAUGUAUAAAAAUUUUAUAUUAAUUAGUUAUGUUUCCUCUUCAACUAUGAUCAAAUUCUUAUUCGAGCUCAUUAUUUAAUGAAUAAACGCGUAUUUUAAUUAUCUCAAUUAAUAUUUAGAACAAAUAUUUUAAGAAAUAAAGCUCAUUACAUCUCCCAUCAUUAGGUAUCUCUUUAAUUUCUUAUUUACAAAAUUAUAUUGUACAUUAAAAAUGUAUUGAAUUAGAAGAAAAUAAAUUCAACUCACUCCAAAAAUAAAUAAAAAAUGCUGGUAGCUUCGUAAUAAUUACUGUAUUGACUGCACCAGAUAAAGUUUUGUAAAAUAAUAAGUUCCCAUUAGAGGUUUUUAAAUUUUUUUUUCCGGCACACCUGAUCAAGAAUUCUAUUUUGUUAACUAAUCAAUUGCAAAGCAUAAGUGUUGAACGGUACAAAAAAUUUGAAAAAAACACUUAAAACGUGGGGUGGGUAACGGUUCACUCAAUUCGUUAGGUAGAAUUUUGGAAAACUAAAGCGAAAUGAGAAAUAUAGAAAGAAAGGAAGAAAGUUAAGAUAUGAAAGAUCAGCAGUGAAAUUGAUAGUCAUGUUUGAUUCAUCCUUCUAUGAAUUUCUAGCUGUAUUGACCCCAACUGCUAAAGUUUUGUAAAAUAAAAAAAAAAAAAAACUGGAAUUUCAACAAAAUUCAAAACGUGUGAAAUUUAAUUUUUGGCCAUGUGGAACAAAAUGUAAAUUAAGGAAAAAAAGUAUAAAUCUGAAUUGCUUAGUAUGGUUAGGAUUUUGUGAGCAUCACUAAAAAGUGAAAACUAUGAAUGAUAGAGGUGAUGUUUGCAACAUGAAUAAAUGAUGAACUGAAUCAAUUGAUGAUCGUAAUUAUAUAAAAUUUUACAAAAUCAACAAAAGUUAAUAAAAUUUUAUUUAAAUAAUAAAAAAUCAAUAAAAACUUAUUAUUUUACGACGCUCUAACCAUGGAGUACCAUAAUCAUAUUCUUCUUUUAAGAAAAUUAUUCUAGAUAUUUAAAAGAAAACAUUAUCCACCUGGAAUGACUUGAAGUCUAAAGAAAAAGAGAGAAUGGCUCCCCGCAAUUUUCUUGUCUUCAGUAUAUUUUCUUUUUUUUUUCUUUUUUAAAAUCUUUUGCCGCAUACUUAAUCUACCCUUGUUUAUUAUCUCUACUUUGCUCUGUUCAAGUCCUUUUUUUUUUCAAAUCUUAUUUUAAAUAAGAAAAUUGAAUAAAAGUACAUUUGUGUAAUUAAUUAGUAUCUGGGGGGGGGGGGGGGGGAUAUUUGGUGUAAUGUUUUGCUAUGUAAGACUCAGCUAUUAUUAAACAGUUCCUUAACCUGUUUCGCAGUUUAUUUGCUAUCUUUGUGGAUCUCAUAGGCGUUGCAGAAUUUAAUAAUUUUAUUCGUCAGAAGAAUAGGAUAUUGGCUUCAAUAAAUUUAAUUUAAACCAACUUUUAUUUACUCCAUCAAUUAAUUAAUAUUAUGCAUUUAUUAAUUGUUAUAAUCUAAAAAAAAUUAAUUAGUUCAGGUCAAUCUGAGUUGAUGCAUCUGCAGGAGAUUUUUUUUAAAUUUUUUUUUCCCCUUAUUGACCAUAAUGAUCUAAGGGGUAUAAUUCGACCUUGGUUCUUGGGAAAAAUGACAUCUCCUUCAACAUGACUAUUGACUAGGAGCAUGUAAAAACAUGGAAACAGAAUUUCCACAAAAUGCCAAACGUGUGGAACUUAAGUUUUGGCCAUGUGGACCAAAUGCAAAUGAAGGAAAAAUGAUUUCCCCUGCUUAUGUACAAAUAAAGGAACAACCUCGAAGAAAAAGGGGUUACCAAUUGGAGAAGACUUUACAGAGUUUCUCUCACACUCUCUCUGUCAAUUUCAUCUAGAAGUCCCUCUGAAAGCAUCUCCCAAAACAGUUAGUCAUCUUUUAUGCUCUGUUUUCUAGAAACAGAGUCCUAACUAAAUUGAUUGACUGUACAGUGCAUUUCAACAUAGCAUAUUUAACCGUUUUAACUGUUAUUUGAACCGUCUUCAGAGUUAACAUCAACAAACUCAUUCACAUUGGUCCAAUCUUACGGACGAUAUCAUAUGCUUAAUAAUGAACGAAUUGGAUCAGUGUUUUGCGGCAAGAGCAACUCGACACAAUCUGGAUUCAACCUCCUCCUAUCUAACAAGGGAUUUCGAUUUGAGUUACUUUGUGCUCAAGCAAAUUCACAUCAUAGUUUUGAUUCUUUAGAUAUGAAUUCAUCACUUUACAUAUAUCAGAUUAAUGUGUAACAAAAUUUUUAAUUUACUGCGAAAAGAAUAUGCACUAAAAAAUGAUUUCAAGACUAUUUGACUACCAAAAGCAGCUGUCAGAGUGCACUAAAAAUUUCUGUAGGAUAUUUUGUAGCUGUUUAAUAUGUUAUGAUGGGCAUAUAAUUCUCAAAUUUUGAUGCCUCUCAGCGAAAAUCUAUCAAAGUUACAGAUGAUAUCACGUAAAACAUGCAUGGCUCAGGCUCAGGCUCAGGUAAGAAGCCACGGAAAAGGAAAAUCUCACUGUCACGACUCACGUCACGCAUCAUUCAAGUGAUGGAUUUAACAAGACUGCUUAUGUUCUAUCAAAUUCCUCUGCCUCUCAGAAGAUAACUUUUCUGGGCCAAAUUUCUCAUCUAAAGCAUAUUAUGCCCCAAAGUCACAGAUAACAAAAUGGGGCACUACCGAUUAUGAAAGAGAACUAGUAGUUGUCAGAAGCCUAAGUCAAAUUCCGGUAGUAAGAAGAGGCCUUUCUUGAGUUUAGAUUAUGUGUUCGAGUUUUAAUAAAUGCCUGAGUUAAUAAUAAUAACAACAGUAAUAAUAAACUAAAAAGCAUAAUUACUAUUGAAUGGUAAAAAAAAAAAAAUUGUGUGAACUCCAAUAACACCCCAGUGGCGAAUUUUGGAGAGGGCUAGGCCGGGCUUCUUAGAAAAAAAAAAUAUUUAAUUACAAAAUUACCUUUAUUGAAACCUAUAUAAAAAAUUUAUAUUAAUUAGUUAUGAUGCCUCUUCAAUUAUCAUUAAAUUCUUGUCUGUUCAUCAUUUGAUGGAUAAAUGUGUAUUUAAAUAAUCUUAAAUAAUGUCUAGAACAAAUAUUUUGAAUGGUAAAACUCAUUAUGUCUUGCAUUACUAGAUGUAUCUAUAAUUUAUUAUUUACAAAUUAUAUUGUAUGAUAAAAAUGUAUUGAAUUUUUUUUUUAAAGUUCGGCUCACUCAGAAAAAAAAAUGUUAUUAGACUCGCCACUGCACAAACCUAGAAUAAUAAUUAUUCCUUAUUAUAUUGACUGCACCAGGCAAUAAACUAAUAAGUUCUCAUCAGUGGUUUUUAAUCUUUUUAAUUCUUUUUACCGCACACCUGAUCAAGAAUUCUAUUUUGUUAACUAAUCAAUUGCAAAGCAUAUAUUAGUGUUGAACGGUGCACAAAAUUGAAAAAACAAAAUCUUAAAAAACGUGCGGACUCGGAUAGCCAGACCAGAAAUCUAUGACAAUAAUUAGAUUUGAUGCUGGGAAUCUAUUAAUUUCUGGCCGUAUUGACUCCACCAGUGAAGUUUUUAAAAUAACAAGUUCCCAUUCUCGGCUUAUAAUAAUUUUAGAAUAAUGACUUAUUUGUAGAAGAAUUUAUGAUUUCCCAUUAAUAUCAAUAUUGAAGUGGCAUGGGUCAAAUCUCAAUUGCUUGAAGAAUCUAUUUAUUAUUAUUAUUAAUAUUGAAAUGGGGUGGGUAACGGUUCACUCAAUUAAUAUGUGGGGAAUUAAAUAUUACCACCCAAGGUAGAAUUGUGGAAAAUUAAAGCAAAAUGAGAAAUAUGGAAAGGAAGGCUGAAAGUAAGGCAUGAUGAAAGGCUUUGAGAAGGCUGAAGACCACCAAAUAAGUCAACUGAAAGCUAGUUGGGGCCUGGUAUAUAUGUUAGAUGUGUUUGUUAUAAAUAACAUAGAGCCCUUUUGUUAGCUAUAGCUAUGGAGACAGAGAGAGUUUGUGUUUUUUAGUAGUUAAAGAUAUAGCUAGAAUGGGUGGUUCAAAAUCCAAAAUGGUGACAACGUUAGUUUUGUUAUUAAUAAUAUUAGAAGGGGGUGAAGUGAGGAAUGUUUGGAGCUUGAGAGAUUUGCUCUUUUGCGGCUUAAGCAUUUCUUCAAUUCUCCUUAUAGACUUUAAAACUAGGUAGACGAGCAAAGAGAUUGUUGUCAGUGGGAAACCGUUGAGUGCAGGAAAGUGAUACGACUACAUCUUAGUCUUACCAGGAAUAUCGAUCUGGGAGAGUGGUCUCUGAAUGCUUCUCUAUUUACUCUCUUUCAACAACUUGGCAACAAAAUAGCCGGUUGGGUUAAGAACGAAGGUCCUUCAUUUAAUUUAAUUUACUUAAUUUCUCCCUCUUAAUUAAUGUCUAUAACCAUUAGGAGAAAUAAGGGAUUUUAUUAACUCAAAUAUGUCUAAUGGAGCUCAUUCUUUGGUUUUACUUGCAGGUCUAGAAGCAGGUGUGUCAUCUAACAGCUGCUUUGAUAAUUUCCCACACCUUCAUCUUUGAUGGAAAUAUGAAAUAAAAACAAAUUGGUGAAAAUGGUAUUGGUACCUGAGGCCAUGUAAUCUAUUUCAAAAACUACACCAUCAAAACGAUUACAUAAGUCUCAGAAGAAUCAAACAUCAGUUUUGCAAAAUACCAAUUGCUGGAGGCUAGAUUCUAACUUCCCCUCUUGAUUUUUAUGGGCAUGUUGUGUCGUACAUGCAGACAAAAAUCAUAUUUUACUUUACUUAUUUCUUACUUUCACUUGCAACCCAAAGUGGCAAGAAAUAAAUAACAUGCUCCGAUUAGCUGGACAAAAGGAUGAUGACAAUCGAGUCGAUAUUAUAUGCAGAGUUUUCGAGAUAAAAUUAUUCCAACUAAUGCAAGAUCUGAAAAAAGAUCAACCAUUUGGAAAAAUAAUUGCAUGUAAGUUCACUUCAAAUUCGUAUACAUAACAAAUUCAACUCAUUUGUUAUUGAAAAGUGCAGGGAAGAACAAUAAUUUCACAAUUGAAAUCAAUGUUUCUAACUUUUAAAUUUUACUCCAUUUUGUGGCAGGUCUAUAGACAAUUGAGUUUCAAAAAAGAGGCUUGCUGUUGUGCAAAUUUUAAUGUACUCGCAAGCGCACGAAUCUAUUGUAGUAUAGAUCAAUGGUGACGAGUGUCGAUCCCACGAGGAGGUGGAUUUUAAUUGUGUAGAAUUAAUUUUGUGAAUGGGUGAUUGGAUUUUGUGGUGAAGGUGACUUAGAUUAUCCUAAAAUUGGAAUUGAAAUGGCGAGAAUAACUUGAAGAGAAUUCUAUUGAAAUGACGUACUUGGGUAUCUGGAUCCGUAUCAACAUGCAUCAUGGGCUAAAUAAUCUGUAUUAAUGCCAAUUAAAUCAUGAGGGGGGAAUCCACACUUCAUGAACCACGCUCUAAUCAAUAUGGUGCUAAGGGCUUAUCGUGCCAAAUAAUAAUAACCUUGUACUAGAGGGCCGGUGAAACCAAGGCGGUACUAGACAAGAUUAGUAUUAUUUAUCGACGAGAAGUCAAAACAUCCACAAAAACUAGAGGGGAAGAGAAAAUAAAUUUACCAAAUUAAGCCCAUGACACAUGUUGAGACUUCACCUUCAACCCAAGCUUGAAAGAAAAUUAGCCACUCAUAAUUGAACUAGGGGUAAAAUGGGAAUUUAUUACAAUACGAAGAAAAUACAAGAUGGAGAGGGAAUUACAGAAAACAGAGUCCAAAAAUGGAUUCAGAGGUAUCAAAUUAGGGGGGGGGAGGCCCCCUUUUUAUAGAUACAUGGAGUAAAUCAUGGCCAUCGGAUUAAAAACAGUUUGGACGCUCAGGAUUGCGCCACGUCAUCAGUCAACAGUCCACGGUUUGACCACGCGGAUGAACAGUAAUACGGUUUGACUCGGAUGAACAGUAACGUGGUUUGACUCGGAUGAACAGUAACGCAGUUUGGUUGAAAAUAAUCCUGUGUGAUGCAUGUACCGUACGCGAGAUUUUUCAUCCACUGAUAUGCUGCCACGUCACCAUCAACAGUACAUAAGAAUUUUAGCCCAACAGGAUCGUGACACCUCAUCAGUCAAUGCCACAUCAUCGGUCAAUGCCAUGUCAUCGAUCCGUCUAUGUGAACAGUGUUGUGAACAGUAACGUAGAUAGUACCGUACACGUGAAUAGUACCGUACAUAUGAAUAGUGCCAUUUUUCCUUUUAUGCUUCUCCUAAGGUUUUCGACCGUCCUGAGUUCAAAAGUGAUGUUCGUUUUGCCGUCUGAUCUCUCCUUUAUUGUGAAAUGACUAUAAUGCCCCUAAAAUACAUAAAAUACUUAAUUAAAAUAAAACACAUGUAAUUAAAUCACAAGAAGGUUAAAUACAUAAAAGUAAGGGUUGUUAGUAAGACUUGAAAUGUAAAAUGACGGUUUUCUCCUUUAUAAAUAUGCAUUUUCUAACACUCAACACACCCCCCAACCAGCUUAUUGCUAGUCCCUAGCAAAUAAAGCGAAAACAAAAUUUAAUUCAAAAUAUUUUUUUUUUUUAAUAAAAACACUCGUAUUUAUUCCAUCAGAUUAAUGAUAGCAAUCAAAUAAAAGUAUAAGCAUUAUCUCCAGUCUAAAGCAACAUCACACCCACAUCAACCAUCCACAUGAAUCAGCCCAGUAGACUUUUUUAUAGCUACUUUCAAGAAUGACAUGUCAAACCCCAAAAUCUCACUGGAAGUAGUGACACUCUCACAAAGAAAUUAAAACCAAUAAAAAUAGUCACUCCAAUGAAUGGUAAUUGAGAGAGAAAAUAAUAAAGAAGUGAUAUCACAUGCUCUCACCAAGAUGAAAUAAAUAUGCCCUUAGCUUAUAAAUAAUACGAUCUCAAGUCAAACAAAAAUGGUAGUCAACCCAAUUUAUUUAUCUUUUAUUUAUUUAUUUUUAUUAUGCACCACUACAUCUUUUUAGCCCAUAUAACUAGCUUCUACUUCAAACUAUAGUUCCCUAAAAUCAAGAAGGACUUUUAUUAGGACGUAACGUAGGCUAGGGAUAUGGCUAACAAAGAAAGGAAAUAAGGAAAACAAAGUGUAUGUUUGAGAAAAAUGCAGAGAAUUUUUUUUUUUUUUUGGAAGUUGCAAGGUGGAUUUCACCUAUUUUUAUUCUUUUGAAACAACAACUUUUGUUUUUGUUUUUUUUUUUGCUUUUAUUUGGCAUAACUUCACUGAACAAAAUAAUUAUUUACAUUUUCUCAAACAUAAAUAGGUGAUGGAACUUAUAAGAUAUCGGGUAACACUCCAAAUCGGAGUGGGUCAAGAUGAUAAGUUGACAAAGAAAAUGAUUUUUUUUUUAAAGGCUCAAAAUGGUUAACUAUGGAUAUUUAAUAAAAGGGAUGGCUAGAAAGGCUCAAACGGAUCAAAGAUGGCCUUUCCAUCGUCUUUUAGGGCUCUAAAUAAUCAUCCAUAUCUACUAGUUAGAUGGGCCUCCCAAUGUAGCAACACACAUUUUUUUUUCUUUUUUUUUAUUUUACCAUUUUUUUUUAAGGGUUAACGCAAAAGAAAUCUAGAGAUCGUGUAUAAAAUAAUAAACUGUUAAGCUGUAUAAAGAAUGGGCAAAAGGGUUACUCUCCAAGAAAAAUGAUAGGCUCAAAAACUCACUUAGUACUUAUUAUGACAUGUUCAUUCCUUCAAGCAACUCAUAUAUGUCUCCGACAUCAACAUGUAGAGUAGCAAACAUAAUGUAACAUCACUUAAGACCAAAGAUAAUACAAAUACUAAAAUUUGAAAUUAAUCAUGUCAUCCAAUGUUAAAACAAAUCACACAAUUUUUAUUUUUUUAAACAACAUUCUACCCCCCAACCUAUUCUAAACAUGAAAGGAAAAAUAUGCAUGCAGGAAUGUGAAAAUGAUGCAUAAAAACUAAUUAAAAAAAGUUACACUUAAAAUGAUAGAAAACGAAAAUGGGUUUUUUUUUUUUAACUUAGAAGAUGCGUUUCUAGAGGCACUACUCUCCAUAUUCAGCCAUCUUCGACUCAAAAUUUUGAAAAUAUAUAUUUAUAAGGAGAAAUUAAAAAGAAGAAGAAAAAUAAACAUCAAAACAUAAUAAAGAAAAAAAAAAUGUCUGAAUUUUUUUUUUUAGUUUUUUUUUUAAUUUUUUUUUUAAAACGAUGAAGAUGCGUUUCUAGAGUCACUACACUCCAUAUUCAGCCAUCUUCAACACAAAAAGUUAGCAACAGUUAGUUUCUACAACAAAAAAUUAGUAAAAACCUAACCAAAAUUCCACAAUUGUCGACUAUUCCCUCCCCCCAACCAGAAUGAAACAUUGUCCUCAAUGUUUGAAAGGAAAGAAGUAGAGUUUAGAAGACAUCACCUGGGUGGUGCAACACAGAAGAAAAUAUUUACAGGCGGAGAGUUAAAUCUAAUUUGUACUUCUUACUGCUGCUACUGUUACCAUCAUUAUUUGGACGCUCCAACACAAAGGUCCAGGGGUCUGGCUCCGGUCUAUAAGCUUGUAACAGAUCAAGUAGCUCAUUAGCAGUGUGAGCACAAAUAAAGAGUUUUUUCACAUUAGCGGGAAUGAAAUAGUUUUUUAUUGCAUGGUUAAGAAAUGCGAUAAAGCCAUCAUAAAAGUUAUUGACAUUUAACAAACCGAUGGGUUUCUGGUGGAUGUGGAGAUGGGCCCAAGAUGCUAGUGUGAUAAGUGCCUCUAGUGUUGCAAGAUCUCCUGGAAGGAAAAUAAAAGCAUCAGCAUGAUUAAGCAUUUCAGUUAUUCUUUCUUGCAUACCUGAGACAACUAACUCUUCUCCAGUUGAUGAGUCAGACGAACUGCCCAACGGUUUUAGGACUCUUGGGAUGAUGCCUAACACUUGGCUGCCUCUGAUUAAAGCUGCUUCUGAGACCAUUUUUGAUAACCCUCGAUUACCUCCUCCAUACACCAAGUGUAAUUUUCUCUCUGCUAUACUUCGACCAAGAUCUAUGGCUGCCUCAACGAACUCUUUAUGUUUGCCAUAGGUAAAUCCGGAAAGCACACAAAUGUUCUUGAAUUGUCUAUUGGGAGUAGCUACCAUUGCGAUACUUCUCAAAAACAAUUUGUGAGUGCUUGACAAAAGAUAUCACAUUUAAGAGUCUUGGUGAUAGUGGGUCAUGGUUGUGUAUGAGGUAAUAUGUCAGUGUCAAAUAACGCUUAAAGCACGUGGCUCGCAAGUAAAAAAGGAAACAGUAAAAAUGAAAAAGUAAACAGUAAUAAGAAAAAAGCAAACAGUAAUAAAAUUAUUAAGGACAAUAAUACACACAAUAAACAAUAGUGAAAUAAAAUAACAGUAAAGUGAAAGGAUAUUUACAGGUAGUUGCGACUGUGGCUCACAUCUUCCUCUGGUUUUAUGUCCAGAAAUGGCUUGAACGCCCUCUAUGGGUCGAGGAUAGGCUUCCUAUCCAGUUUUCUUAUAAACUGGCAAACAAGGUCGUUUAUAGUCAGAUUCCCAAGACUAUAUCGUGCAUGCUCUUUCUGGAAUAAUGGCCAUAACUGGAGAAUCGCUCCUUGCACAUAUCCACUGGGAUGCGUUUCAAGAGACAAAAGGAUAUCAUCCAAUGACUCCUUAUUCAAGCCAUCCCUAAUGAAUUGAAUCUUAUCUUCCCUGUUAUCAGACAUCAUUCCUAAAGAACAUGGGUUUUUAUUGCAACUCAUUCUGGCACACUUAUGACAAGCAACAGAAAUUCUUCGAGCUCGUCGUUUUCUUGCAUAAUUUCCUUUACCACAACCAGGCAUGUAUGUAAUAAAUUUUGGAGGUAACUCACCUGCCGAUCGUACUUUAGCCUCAAUUAACCAACGGAUGUCAGCAGGUAUGUUAUUCCUCAUAAGUAAUCGCAUGCGUUCGGACCGAGCUUUAUAGACCGUAAGGAGGGCAUUCUGAGGAAGUGAAGGGAAUCGCUUGUGAAGCUUCGCUAGAGUCUCGUUUCUGUCCAUACUUUCGCCUCAGAAUAUCAGUUAUUAUGGGAAACUGAAGUAACCGACUUGAUUGUCACGGAGUACCGUUAUCCGCCACUUCACCGGGGUAACAAACUAAAGCACACAAAUAGAAAAAAAAAAUUAAAACACACAAAGAAAAUUAAAAUCGUCCUCUUAUUGAAUAUACCUCAAGCUCCAACUGGAUGUCGUAAACACUUCUCUCAAUGUCUCUGAGUUGGAGUUCUAAACCCUCAACAUAGGCUACUAACUCUGGUGGUUGUAGAGCCCAAAUGCGUUGUGUUUUACAAAAUUGAAUCUGCCUUUUGAGAUGAGUUUUGACACGUUGAAGUGGUUUAAGAAUGUUCAGGAGGAACGGUCUAAGUAAUGUACUCAUGAUUAAAAAUGAUAAAAGAAAACAUACUAGUUAAACAAAUACACUUAUACAAAAAUAAUUUCAAUUAGCAAAAGAAUAAUAUAAAGAAAGAAAGAAAAAUCAAAUCAACGAAAAGAAAAAUCAAUUCAAAUCUGGUGGGUCACUCAAAUUUAUUUCGGUGUCUUCUCCAUGUGAUUGGUAUUCUAGAUAUGGCUUUAAUCUUUGACCAUUAACUUUAAACGUGACACCGUUCUUUGGGUCCUUAAUUUCAAUUGCCCCAUGUGGAAAAACAGUAUGAACAAUAAAUGGGCCAGACCAACGAGAGCGUAACUUACCUGGGAAUAGGUGCAAGCGAGAAUUGAAUAAAAGCACUUUCUGACCUGGAGUGAAAGAUUUUCUCAUAAUUUGCUUGUCAUGGAAGACUUUCAUUCGUUGCUUGUAAAUCUUGGCAUUUUCGUAUGCAUCAUUGCGAAUUUCUUCAAGUUCUGCCAACUGUAAUCUUCUUUCUGAGCUGGCUUGCUGCAUGUCAAAAUUGAAUUUCUUGAUGGCCCAAUAUGCACGAUGCUCGAGUUCCACAGGUAGGUGGCAAGCUUUUCCAUACACUAGCCUGUAGGGUGACAUCCCAAUCGGGGUCUUGAAAGCCGUUCUAUAUGCCCAUAAGGCAUCAUCAAGUCUUAAUGACCAAUCUUUUCUGUCUGGCCUCACCGUCUUUUCUAAUAUGUGCUUUAUUUCUCGAUUGGAGAUCUCAACUUGGCCACUGGUUUGCGGAUGAUACGGAGUCGCCACUUUGUGUGUGAUUGAAUACUUUGUCAAAAGAGAUUUGAAUGCUUUGUUACAAAAGUGGGCACCACCAUCACUAAUUAUUGCUCGAGGGAAUCCAAAGCGCGAGACAAUGUUGCUUUUCAAAAAUCCUAUCACCACCUUGUGAUCAUUAGUACUGCAUGGAAUUGCUUCUACCCAUUUGGAUACAUAGUCAACAGCAACCAAUAUGUAUUGAUGGCCAAAAGAAGGGGGAAAGGGUCCCAUGAAGUCGAUACCCCAUACGUCAAAAAUUUCAACCACUAAAAUUGGAUUUAAUGGCAUCAUGUUCCUUCGUGUAAUGCUCCCCAUUCGUUGACACCUAUCACAUGAAGAACAAAAAGUGUAAGCAUCUCGAAAUAUAGUUGGCCAAUAGAAACCACAUUGCAAAACUUUAGUAGCUGUUUUCUUAGCACUGAAAUGGCCUCCACAAGCUUGUUCAUGGCAGAAUGAAAGGAUAUUCUGAAUUUCAUUUUCUGGGACACAUCGUCUAACAAUUUGAUCAACACAAUACUUGAACAAAUACGGGUCAUCCCAAAAGAAAUUCUUUAUCUCUGCAAAGAAUUUAGCCUUAUCUUGCUUGGUCCAAUGCUUUGGAAGUUGACCUGUAACAAGAUAAUUCACGAUGUCAGCAUACCACGGUAAUACUUCCACAUUCAUCAAUUGUUCAUCAGGGAAUGACUCAUUUAAUGGUAAUGGCUCUGUAGUUGUGUCAAAAUGGAGACGAGAGAGGUGGUCCGCCACAACAUUUUCUGUCCCUUUCUUAUCUUUGAAUUCCAAGUCAAAUUCCUGCAAAAGUAACACCCAACGAAUUAGUCUAGCUUUUGCAUCUUUCUUUGUGAGAAGAUAUUUAAGAGCAGCAUGAUCCGUGAAUAUAAUUAUUUUACAACCAAUGAGAUAAGAUCGAAAUUUUUCUAAUGCAAACACUACUGCUAGCAUUUCUUUUUCAGUAGUUGAAUAGUUCAACUGUGCAUCAUUCAAUGUCAUACUAGCAUAGUAAAUAACGUGGGGAAUUCGAUCAACUCUUUGUCCUAAUACUGCUCCUACUGCAUAAUCAGAUGCAUCACACAUGAGCUCAAAUGGUAAGUUCCAGUUCGGGGGCUGAAUGAUGGGUGAUGAUGUCAACAAAUGCUUUAAUUUUUCAAACGCAACAAGACAUGAAUCAUAAAAAACAAAAGGUACAUCUUUAGCAAGUAGAUUGCAUAAGGGUCUAGAAACUUUGCUAAAAUCUUUAAUGAAACGUCUAUAAAAACCAGCAUGCCCAAUGAAAGAUCUUACUUCUCUGACUGUUUUGGGUGAAGGAAGAUUAGAAAUGAGAUCCACCUUAGCUUUGUCAACCUCAAUACCUUUGCUCGAAAUGAUGUGACCGAGAACAAUACCUUGUUUUACCAUAAAAUGACACUUCUCCCAAUUUAAGACCAAGUUCUUCUCGAUACAUCUCUGCAGAACUAGUGUUAGAUGAUGUAAACAUUGAUCAAACGAAUCACCAAAGACAGAAAAGUCAUCCAUAAAGACUUCAAGGAAUCGUUCAACCAUAUCAGAAAAAAUGCUCAACAUGCAUCGUUGAAAUGUAGCAGGUGCAUUACAUAAUCCAAAUGGCAUCCUCCUAUAUGCAAAAGUGCUAAAGGGCAAGUGAAAGUAGUUUUCUCUUGAUCUUUUGGUGCUAUGGGAAUCUGAUUAUAUCCUGAGUAGCCAUCUAGAAAGCAAUAAAAUUCAUGGCCUGCCAAUCUAUCAAGCAUUUGAUCGAUAAAUGGUAAAGGAAAAUGGUCUUUACGUGUGACAGAAUUCAACUUUCUAUAAUCAAUGCAUACACGCCAUCCUGUAGUCACUCUAGUGGGUAUCAAUUCAUUAUCAGCAUUGGUAACUACUGUGACUCCUGACUUUUUGGGGAUGACUUGUACAGGACUGACCCAUGAACUAUCAGAAAUUGGGUAAAUGAUACCUGCAUCUAAUAGCUUAAGGACUUCUGUUCUAACAACUUCUUUCAUAUUAGGAUUUAACCGACGUUGCAUUUCCCUAGUAGAUUUAGCAUUUUCAUCGAGGUGAAUGUAAUGCAUGCAGUCUACUGGAUUUAUACCUUUUAUAUCUGCUAUGGUCCAUCCUUAUGCUCCUUUGUGCUCUUUUAAAACAUCCAACAACUUACCUUUUUGUUCGUCAUUUAGGGAUGAUGAGAUGAUUACCGGCAGAGUACUUUCUUCUCCCAAAAACGCAUAUUCCAAAGUGUUGGGCAAUGGUUUGAGCUCGAGUUUCGGUGGUGAUUCUGAUGAUGGGAUGAGUUUCUUCUCUGAUGGUGCUACUCUUGACUUCCAUUUAUUAGUGUCCAUGGAUGGUGCUGAGUCAAGUAGGGCGUUGACCUCAUCGACCGAUCUGUCAAUAUCAAUAUCAAAAUCCAAACCAAAGUGAGUUAAACAUGUUUGUAAAGGAUCACCACUAAGGUUUGAAAGAAAAGUGUCAUCAACUAAUGAUUCAAUUAAAUCCACAUCAACAAUUCCAUCAUCUACACUGUGAGGUUGUUUGGCAAUGUUGAAAAUGUUUAGCUCCAUAGUCAUGUUGCCGAAGGACAACUGCAUAUUUCCAGUCCUGCAUUGAAUGUGAGCAUCCGCAGUUGCCAAGAAAGGUCGGCCUAGGAUAAUGGGGAUGUGCUUCCUUGAAUCCUGUAUUGGUUGAGUGUCAAUUACAAUGAAAUCAACAGGAAAAUAAAACUUGUCUACCUGGAUAAGCACGUCCUCCACAAUACCACGAGGUAUUUUCGUGGACCGAUCUGCGAGUUGUAACACCACUAGAGUUGGGUGCAAUUCUCCAAGUCCAAGUUUCACAAACACAGAGUAAGGCAAUAAAUUUACACUAGCUCCUAAAUCCAACAAAACAUUCUCAAUUGUGUGGUUCCCUAUACUACAUGAGAUAGUGGGGGAGCCUGGGUCUUUGCAUUUUAAAGGAAUUUUAUGUUGGAGUAUAGAACUAACGUUUUCUGUUAAAAAUGCCUUCUUUUGAACAUGCAUAUUUCUCUUUUUAGUACAAAGGUCUUUAAGAAACUUGGCAUAAGAUGGAACUUGCUUAAUAGCAUCAAGCAAAGGGAUGUUAACACUUACCUGUUUGAAGAUUUCAAGAAUCUCACUUGUGGAUUUUCCCUUUUUUCCUUUAGCUAACCUCUGAGGAAAUGGAGCUUUGGGAACAUAUUCCCGUGGGUUGGUUUCUUCUUUCUCCUCCGGUGAUGAGUCUUCAACAUUCACAGGUACAAUUUGAUUUUCUUUUGUCACCGGCAUCUCCACUUUGUUGUCGACUUCUUUUCCUUUUCAUAAGGUCAUGACUGCUUUGACCUCUCCAUGCUGCUGUGAUGAACUGGUACUUGCUUCAUGUACUCCUUUAGGAUUAGGCACUGGUUGACUUGGAAAUUUGCCUUUCUCAACAGUCAUUGCCAAUGUCUGAACUGAAGAAGCAAGUUGUCCCACCAUCUUCUCGAGGCUUGAAACUGAUUGAGCUUGUGAGUUGAAGCCUUCUCUCAACUCAUUUCGUAGUCCAUCAAUGGUGCGGUUCUGUUGCUCAAUCGUGGAGUGAGUAACAUUCCUGAAAUUCUGGAAUUCAUCCUCCCAUGGUCUAGGUUGAGAGUGGUUCUGGUUCUGAUUGUAUGGUCUAAAUGGUGGCUGAGAGGCUUGAGGAACUUGAGGAAUUUGUUGCAUUGGUGGAGCUGGAGCUGCUGGUCCAUUCUGUUGGAAUCCUUGAGACCAUGAAAAAUUGGGGUGGUCUCUCCAUCCAGGAUUAUAUGUGUUGGAGUAUGGGUUGUAAUUUGAUGGUUUUUUCAUUAUACCUAUGGCAUUGGCUUGAUCUGAGUAUGAGUCAAGGUCAUGUGGUUCAGUUGAUUUAGCAGUCGAUAACGAUGCUAUUUGUCGAGCAAGACCUUCAACCAUCUCCUUGACUUCUUUGAUUCCUGAAGUUGAUUCGCCAAUUUAAACCUCAUUCACUCCUUUAAUUCUUCUAGUAGUCCUGAGUGAUCGACUCCGUUGUUGGGAAUUAUCUGCUUGUCGUUGGAAGAAUUCCCAAAUUUCUGAUGCACUUUUUGACAUUAGCUCUCCUCCACUUGUUGCCAUUAGCCAUUCUUGCACAUUUGGUAGUAAUCCCUCCAAAAAGUAUUGGCAUUGGUGCCAUUUCUCGUACCCAUGAUGUGGACACUUCAAGAGUAGCCCAUUAAAUCGCUCCCAUGUUUCGAAAAAUUGUUCGUCCUCUCUCUGGGUAAACUCCGAGAUUUCCCUGCGAAUAGCAUUGGUUUUAUGCACUGGGAAAUAUUUAUUCAAAAAUUUAGUUACCAUUUGUUCCCAUGAUGAAAUGCUAUUAGCAGGUAAAGUAUUUAACCAUGAACGAGCUCUAUCUUUUAAAGAAAAUGGGAAUAGUCUAAGUUUAACAUUAUCGUCUGAAAAAUUUUCAUAUUUAAAAGUUUGACAAAUGGCAUGAAAAUCAUUCAGAUGAUUAUAUGGAUCCUCAUUUUCUAGGCCAUAAAAUGUUGGGAGACAAUUUAGCACACUGGGUUUUAAUUCAAAACUCCUAGCAGCUACAUUUGGGUAUCUUAUGCAUGAUGUGCUCAAAUUAGCUAAGGGACUGAAGUAGUCCUUAAAUGGCCUCUCCUGUGGUUGCAAAUCCAUUUUAUUUUUAAUUUGUUUGUGUGUGCGAAGUGUUCUUUCUAGUUCAAGGUCCAUAGGUUCAAGAUUAGGUAAUAAUGACCUACGACCAUGCAUGCAAAACAAAUAAAAAAAAUAAAGAUGGGAACAAAAAAAUAAAAUAAAAAUAAAGAAGAGGGAGAAAUUACGAUACUAACCUUAUUGCGCUAUUACAAUCUUUCUAUAAAAAUACACAAAAAUAAAUACGUGAAAUAAAUUAACUAAAAAUAAAUUAAUAAGAUAAACAAAAAAAAAUUACAAAGAAAAAUAAGUUGAAAAUGAAAUAAUAGAAUUUUAAAGAAGAGAAAAAGAAAAAAAAAUACUAACCUUUAAAUGUAGGUUCACUUUUUUUUCUUUUUUUUUUAAGAAAAAAAUAUAUAAGAAAACAAAUAAAAGAUAUUAUUCACACAAAUUAAUUCUAUGAAUUAAAAUUACUUACCUCCCCGGCAACGGCGCCAAAAACUUGUUGUGCAAAUUUUAAUGUACUCGCAAGCGCACGAAUCUAUUGUAGUAUAGAUCAAUGGUGACGAGUGUCGAUCCCACGAGGAGGUGGAUUUUAAUUGUGUAGAAUUAAUUUUGUGAAUGGGUGAUUGGAUUUUGUGGUGAAGGUGACUUAGAUUAUCCUAAAAUUGGAAUUGAAAUGGCGAGAAUAAAUUGAAGAGAAUUCUAUUAAAAUGACGUACUUGGGUAUCUGGAUCCGUAUCAACAUGCAUCAUGGGCUAAAUAAUCCGUAUUAAUGCCAAUUAAAUCAUGAGGGGGGAAUCCACACUUCAUGAACCACACUCUAAUCAAUAUGGUGCUAAGGGCUUAUCGUGCCAAAUAAUAAUAACCUUGUACUAGAGGGCCGGUGAAACCAAGGCGGUACUAGACAAGAUUAGUAUUAUUUGUCGAUGAGAAGUCAAAACAUCCACAAAAACUAGAGGGGAAGAGAAAAUAAAUUUACCAAAUUAAGCCCAUGACACAUGUUGAGACUUCACCUUCAACCCAAGCUUGAAAGAAAAUUAGCCACUCAUAAUUGAACUAGGGGCAAAAUGGGAAUUUAUUACAAUACGAAGAAAAUACAAGAUGGAGAGGGAAUUACAGAAAACAGAGUCCAAAAAUGGAUUCAGAGGUAUCAAAUUAGGGGGGGAGGCCCCCUUUUUAUAGAUACAUGGAGUAAAUCAUGGCCAUCGGAUUAAAAACAGUUUGGACGCUCAGGAUUGCGCCACGUCAUCAGCCAACAGUCCACGGUUUGACCACGCGGAUGAACAGUAACACGAUUUGACUCGGAUGAACAGUAACGUGGUUUGACUCGGAUGAACAGUAACGCAGUUUGACUCGGAUGAACAGUAACGCGGUUUGGUUGAAAAUAAUCUUGUGUGAUGCAUGUACCGUACGCGAGAUUUUUCAUCCACUGAUAUGCUGCCACGUCACCAUCAACAGUACAUAAGAAUUUUAGCCCAACAGGAUCGUGACACCUCAUCAGUCAAUGCCACAUCAUCGGUCAAUGCCACGUCAUCGAUCCGUCUAUGUGAACAGUGUUGUGAACAGUAACGUAGAUAGUACCGCACACGUGAAUAGUAAUGUACAUAUGAAUAGUGCCAUUUUUCCUUUUAUGCUCCUCCUAAGGUUUUCGACCGUCCUGAGUUCAAAAGUGAUGUCCGUUUUGCCGUCUGAUCUCUCCUUUAUUGUGAAAUGACUAUAAUGCCCCUAAAAUACAUAAAAUACUUAAUUAAAAUAAAACACAUGUAAUUAAAUCACAAGAAGGUUAAAUACAUAAAAGUAAGGGUUGUUAGUAAGACUUGAAAUGUAAAAUGACGGUUUUCUCCUUUAUAAAUAUGCAUUUUCUAACACUCAACACUUGCCCCAUGCACACAUACUGCUUUUUUUGCAUCCAACAAUGAAAAAUCCUUCUGCAAACCAUAUUGAUAAAAUAAUAAUUGCAGAAAUCCCUAACUUAAAUGUUGAUCCUGAUGGUUAUAAUGCAGUUAACAAAUUUAUGAUUCAUGGACCGUGUGGAAAACACAAUUCUCACUCUCCAUGCAUGAUGCAAGACAAGUGCACAAAACAUUUUCCAAAAAAAUUCAAUGAUCAAACAAUAGUGGAUACAUAUGGCUUUCCAGUCUUUAAAAGGAGAAAUACAGGUAUUCAUGUCGAAAAGAAAGGUGUCUUCUUGGAUAAUCGAUAUGUGGUCCCUUAUCACAGGAAUUUAAUUGUCAAAUUUGAUGCACAUAUUAAUGUUGAGAUUUGUAAUUACUCGAGACCAGUUAAAUAUUUUUUCAAGUAUGUCCAUAAAGGGUCUGAGAGAACAACUGCAACAAUAGAAUCUAUUGACACUACCCAAGAAAUGGACGAGUGAUGGGUGUUGAAGCCAACAAAAAUAAAUUCCUACUCUAAAUAAAUUGUGUAUAGUGAUUGAGCAGGGUCGUGUCCACAGAGAUCGGUAAUUAUUUAAAUCCUUUUGAAACGUAAAACGUAAAAUGGGGGAAUUGUUGACAAUAAUAAAAAUCAAAUUAAAAAUAACAAGAAUGCAAAUUAAAGUUGUAAUUCAAAUUGGAGAAAGCUCUGGUUGAAGGAAUUAACUCAGCUUGAUUCGACUACUGAUCAUUGAUUCAAAUAUAGAUGAUUAUUACUCAUGAAUAGACUGGUUAUAGCUACUGAGACCCUCUAAUAGCCAAUCUCUCCUUAACUAGUCGAUAACCAAGGUACGACCAUUGGUUAUUUCCCUAAUCAAUAGACAACCCUAGAUACGAUCAUAGAAUUUAAUCAAUUGACAGCCUGAAAAACCAGAGAGACCCAAAUCCUAAUCAACACAUAUGAUGAUUCAUUUAAAUUAGAUUGUUUAUUCUCACAACACAACUCUCUGCUAUGUUAUUUGUCACAAGCAUUAAAUUCUUCAUACGAUGAAUCCUUUAAUUGACAAUAGAUUAAGUUGAUAAUUAAAUAGUGGCCAAUUACCUAAUUAACAAACAUAAUCAUGAAAAUAAUUUAGAGAAUAAACAAAUACCCAAAAAGCAAUAAAACAAUUAAAGCACAAGAAAGAUCUCACAGUAGUGAUGAAUCAAAGCUUCGUUAUCCUUCAACUAGAAAAAUAGGUUUAGUUCUUCAUAGAGAGAAGAGAAAAAUUAAAUCUAGGGUUUCUUUCUUUUUCUCCAAUCCAAAAAAUCCCCCCUUUUUCACAAUUGAUUCCUCCCUUAAAUACUCUCUCUCUCUUCUCUUUUAGAGUUCUAUUUAAAAUAAAAUACUAAUAUCUAAAAUAUUAAAUUCGUAAUUACAAAAAUAGCCAAAAAUAUAAAACACGUUAAACUAAAAACUGCAGGUCCGCAAUUGACAGCACGCGCCCACGCCUUAUCAACAAAGUUCUUCUGCCGCUCAUAAUUUCUCCAAGGGAACAAUCAUCCCUAAACAUCAUCUUGUAGCUCAAUUUUAUCACCAAUCAAUAGAAUUGCACCUACAAAAGUAAAUCACAGGUAAAUCACUAUUAUUAAAUGCAAAACAUCGAUAUUAAGGGAAGUAAACAAUGCAAAACUAGUGCAUAAAUUGCACUCUAACAAAUUCCCCCACACCAAGAUGAUGCUUGUCCUCAAGCAUAUAACUCAAGAUUAAUCUCAAAUUUCCACUCAAUUCUCAUCUCAACUCAUCCAAAAACAAUUUUAAGCAAGCAUACCUCAAGAAAUUAAGUCGUUCAACGUUCGAGAGACAAGGAUUUUAAAGCAUAGAAUUUCGUAAGAUAGAAUAAGAACAUUCAACCACCAAGAAGAUCCAUUCAAAACUCAAGUGCAGCAAGAUUUAAUAGCCCUCUCAAUAACUUCACUCCAUGCACUCAAAGUGUUUAGGGUGUCAUUUAUCCACUCAAAUCAAAUCAAAGAAUGCUAUUACCAUAAGCUUGCUCAUAUAUCACAUCUCAAUCCACAAAACAUGAAUAAAAUGCAAAAAUCUAAGGGUCUUAAAAGGGUUGUAAUGGGGUUAAAUUGGAGAAAUGAAAAAGAAAGGUUUAUGAAAGAAAAAGAGAUCAAAAUGAGAAGAAUGAACUCAUUGAAUGAACUUAUGAUAUCAAAAUGCUUAUUUCUACUCAAGUCACCAAGAAUGUAAAAUUUUUUUUUUCGAUUUUUCUUUUUCUUUUUUUUUCUUUUUUUUCUUUUUUUUUCUUCUUUUUUUUUCUUUUUUUUUUGUUUUUGAUUUUUUUUUUGAAUCAAACAAAAGAAACGAACCUUGCACAAUUUAAUUCAAGCAUAAUGCUUGUUGAUCUAAUUGAGAAACUUUAAUACAAGGUAGAAAAAGCAACAAAAUAUAUCCACACAAUGAGUCCAAAAAUCUCCUUAAAUUGAGGCUCAAAAAGAAGAAAAAUGGUUAAGUCGACGGAGAGAAUUAGAUGGGUAAUGGUUAAGGCUCAAACAAAGGUAGCAAAUAAAGGUCUUCGGGUAGAGAAGGAAAAAAAAAUGCGAGAAUAGAAAAAUGGAAUAUGGUUUGCCCUUAUCAUUUUAAUGCAUAAAAUCCCGUAAUGUGGCUUCAACAUGCAUAAUAAAGCAAGUUCUAGAAUAAACAAAGUAGGAUUGAUAUUCACAUAACAAAAAUAAUUAGAGCAAAGUGGUUGCUCAUAGGCUCAAAUCCUCACAAAGUUGGUAAAUUUGCCAUCAAAUCAUGUACACUCUUCAAAUGAAUCAACCAUCAAUAGUGGUGUAGAAUGAGAAGAAGGUAUGAGUGAGAUGUAAAAGGAAAGGUAAAAAUGAUAAGAAGUGAGAAAGAUGUAUGUAGUAAUAUGAAAAGUGAAAGAUAAAAUGUGAGUGAUGAAAGAGUAUGAUAGAAUAAAAAUAGAUGUAAAUAAUUUGAGAUAGAUGGGAAAAGAGUAGUGAGAGAGAGAGGAAAAGAAAAUUAAUAAUAUAUGAAGCAUACUGCAAAAAUCAUUUAAGGAUGAGUAGAGUGAAAACAAUAAUUUCAGACAUCAAUAAUGCAAAAAUCCCUCCCCCACACUAAGAACUGACAUUGUCCCCAAUGUAAGAUAAUCAAAGCUCACAUAAAAAUUAAAGCGUAAGGAUAAAAGAUUAAGGGCAAAAACUUCCUUGAAUUGUGAGCUUUGAUCCUCAUAACGUCUAUGGGCUUGGCGGGAAUGGUGGGAUAAAUCCCACACUCUUGAAGUAUGCGGCCAAAUUCUGCUCCAUCUUGUCACGGAUUUCGAUUCACGGACCUGGAAUGCAGGUCGUAGGCUGGUUGCGUUGCGAUUGCUGCUCGGCUGGAGCUUGCUUGAUGGACGCGGGAUGGCACUGAUUGUGUUGCGCGCGCGCGCUGGGGCUGCUGGAUCUGCGCGUUGCGUGGGCUGUGUUGUGCGCGAGAGCUGGGCUGACGCUGGUGCUGCGUUGCGUUGCGCGCGCGGGACUGAUGCGCUGCGUGAUGGUGAUGGCUGGAGCUUGCUGCGUUGCGCGUGGCUGGUUUCGCUGGUGGGACUUCGUUGCGCGCUGCUGGGCUGCGAGACACGGGAUGCUGGUGCUUGCGCUCACGGGAUGGUGCGUUUUCCGGCGGGUUGGUUUGCUGCUGGUGUGCUGCAAGCGGCUGGAGAAGAAAACAAGUUCUGGAAAAUUAGGGAUUUUGUGAACAGUGAAUAGUGAACAGUGAUUUUCGAUUUUUGGUUUUUUUUUUAAUAAAUAAAUAAAUAAAAAGAAAGAAAGGAACGAAAAAAGAAAAAGAAAAAAAAAUAAUAAAUAAUUUUUUUUUUUUUAUAGUGAUGAAUCACUUUGAGACACUAAAAAUUUCAGAAGUACUUUUCUAAUAAGUACAUGGGCACGCCUUAUAAAAAAUUUUCUUCUGACCAAAAUAAGCAAACACAUUAAAUUUCAGAAGUACUUUUCUAUUAAGUACGUGGGCACGCCUUAAAACUAUGUUACUUUAAAAAUUACAGAAGUACUUAUUAGCUAAGACGUGGGCACGCCUUAUCAAAAAUUUUCUUCUGACCAAAAUAAGCAAAAUUUUUCUUUUUUUUUUUUGAAUUAAAAUUAAAAGAAGAUAUAACAAAAACCAAAACAAACAAAUCAUUUGGGUUGCCUCCCAAAAAAGCGCCUUUGUUUUAUGUCUUUGGCUAGACACAUUUAUGCAUCAAUCUCCAUAAUUGGGACUCUCGAGAGCCACAUCCUCCACAAUAUUCACCGAAAAACCUUCAUAAAAAGGUUUUAAGCGAUGACCAUUAACCUUAAAAACUUUGUCAGAGGUCGGGCUCCGAAUCUCAACUGCACCAUAAGGAAAAACAUUAGUAACAAUAAAAGGUCCAACCCAACAAGAACGUAAUUUACCCGGAAAAAGUUUAAGCUUAGGAUGAAAAAGAAGAACUUUUUGACCAACAGAGAACUCCUUUCUCAAAAUCAUUCUAUCAUGAAAUGUCUUCGUCUUUUCCUUGUAAAAAAUUUCCUGCGCUAUAGGGUUAAUAACAUCCACAGAAAAUACCGAAUGUUCCUCACUAGGAUAUUUCAUGGCAUCAUUCAUAUUGAAUUCUAUAACCUCUCCAUCAAACUCCAUAGUGAGAGUCCCUUUAUGUAUAUCCAUUUUAGUCCUAGCAGUCUUAAGAAAAGGUCUUCCUAGCAAAAUUGGGAUAGAAUUAGAGGAGUUAUCAUCUUCCAUAUCAAGUACAUAAAAAUCAGCAGGAAAAACCAACUCAUUAACUUGUACUAAGACAUCUUCUAAUACCCCAUCAGGAUAUGCAUUAGACCUAUCAGCUAGUUGAAUUAUCACACAAGUUUCUUUUAAUGGACCAAUAUUCAAAGAUGAAUAAAUGGAACGAGGCAUGACAUUAAUAGAAGCUCCUAGAUCUAACAAAGCCUUUUCAACUCUAACACUACCAAUUUUACAAGGGAUAGUAAACAUACCUGGAUCCUUGCACUUAGGAGGUAGUUUCUUUUGAAGAACUGCUGAAACAUUCUCCCCCAUGUGAACUUUUUCAUCUCCUCUUAAUUUUCUCUUGGAGGUGCACAGUUCCUUAAGGACUUUAGCAUAUCGAGGUAUUUGUUUUAUAGCAUCUAAUAAAGGAAUAUUUACCUCAACCUUGCGAAAUGUCUCAAGGAUGUCUUUCUCUUGUUCCUCCUUCUUGGAUUUUACAAAUCGGCUUGGAAAAGGAGGAGGUAUCACAAUAGGUAGGGGUUUCGCUUUGGUGGGUUGCGCAUCUUGAGAUUUAGGUAUCAAUUCAUUCUUCUCAAGCUCAUCUUCUACAUGCUUUGUCACUUUCUUACUAGGCUCUUGCAACUCCUUCCCACUUCUAAGGAUGACAGCACUAACGUUUUGCUUUGGAUUCACCUCAGAUUGUGAAGGCAAUCUUCCUAAUACUUGAGACUCCAGACGGCUUACUGUAGUCGCCAAUUGACUCAUUUGGUUCUCCAAGUUCUGAAUGCUUGUUGUAGUUGCCUGCUGAAAUUGUUGAGUGUUAGUCGCAAGUGAUUUAACAAUUUCUUCAAGAGAUAUACCUGACUUGGAGUUUGACUGUGGAGGUGUUGGUUGUCUUGGUGGAUACUGUUGUGGGAAUCCUGACGGCCUAAUGCCAUAGCUGAAGUUUGGAUGAUCCUUCCAUCCCGGAUUGUAUGUUUGUGCAUAAGGAUCAUACCUCCUCUGAGGCAUGCCUGGAAAUCCUCCAACUGCAUUGGCUUGUUCAACGGGUUCUUCUUGAAGUGUAGGACACAUAUCAGUUGAAUGACCCAUAUUGUAACAAAUACCACAAGUCUUCACCUGUUGCACAUUACCUACAACAAACUUUUCCACAAGAGAAGUGAGUUUAUCUAAACGUUGUUCAACAGAAGAAAUAUUUACCUCAUUCACAUUCCUUAAGGUGGCAUCUUGUCUGCUGCCAAAUUGUUGUGCAUUGGCAGCCAUAUUUGAUAUCAACUCCCUUGCUUGAGUAGGAGUCUUGUUCACCAACACACCUCCACUAGCAGCAUCUAUCAUACUCCUAUCCAUCAAUGAUAGUCCUUCGUAAAAAUAUUGAAUAAGAAGUUGAUCAGAAAUCUGAUGCUGAGGACAACUGGCACACAAUUGUUUGAAUCGCUCCCAAUACUCAUACAAAGUCUCCCCAGGAAGUUGUCUGAUCCCACAAAUAUCUUUUCUGAUGUUGGCAGCUCUUGAAGCAGGAAAGUACUUCUCGAGGAACUGCUUCUUCAAACCAUUCCACGUUGUAAUCGAUUCAGGAGGCAAGUAGUACAACCAAUCUUUAGCUAGCCCAUCUACAGAGAACGGAAAAGCACGCAGCUUAAUCUGCUCUUCAGUCACGCCUUGUGGCCUCAUACUUGAGCACACAACAUGAAACUCCUUGAGAUGUUUAUGAGGAUCUUCACCUGCAAAACCAUGAAACUUGGGUAAUAAGUGAAUAAGACCAGACUUUAAUUCAAAAUUUACCUCCAAGUCUACAUAUUGAAUGCAGAGUGGUUGUUGAUUCAAGUCUGGGUCAGCUAACUCUCUAAGAGUUCUUUCUACAGGUGCAGGUCUAUCCAUCACUUGUUCUUCUGAAUCGCUAGAUGAUUCAACUAAAUCAGGCACCGUAUCUGUUUCAGAAAGCAAAGGCGACGAGGAUCGUUGCUUAGCUCGUUUUGUCUGCUGUCUCAGCUGGCGAGCUGUCUUCUCAAUUUCAGGAUCAAACGAAAGUGUACCUGUACGAGAAGAACGAACCAUACACCAAGUAAAACGUAAAAAGGAUUAAAUAAAUGACACCAAUCCCCGGCAACGGCGCCAAAAUUUGAUGGGUGUCGAAGCCAACAAAAAUAAAUUCCUACUCUAAAUAAAUUGUGUAUAGUGAUUGAGCAGGGUCGUGUCCACAGAGAUCGGUAAUUAUUUAAAUCCUUUUGAAACGUAAAACGUAAAAUGGGGGAAUUGUUGACAAUAAUAAAAAUCAAAUUAAAAAUAACAAGAAUGCAAAUUAAAGUUGUAAUUCAAAUUGGAGAAAGCUCUGGUUGAAGGAAUUAACUCAGCUUGAUUCGACUACUGAUCAUUGAUUCAAAUAUAGAUGAUUAUUACUCAUGAAUAGACUGGUUAUAGCUACUGAGACCCUCUAAUAGCCAAUCUCUCCUUAACUAGUCGAUAACCAAGGUACGACCAUUGGUUAUUUCCCUAAUCAAUAGACAACCCUAGAUACGAUCAUAGAAUUUAAUCAAUUGACAGCCUGAAAAACCAGAGAGACCCAAAUCCUAAUCAACACAUAUGAUGAUUCAUUUAAAUUAGAUUGUUUAUUCUCACAACACAACUCUCUGCUAUGUUAUUUGUCACAAGCAUUAAAUUCUUCAUACGAUGAAUCCUUUAAUUGACAAUAGAUUAAGUUGAUAAUUAAAUAGUGGCCAAUUACCUAAUUAACAAACAUAAUCAUGAAAAUAAUUUAGAGAAUAAACAAAUACCCAAAAAGCAAUAAAACAAUUAAAGCACAAGAAAGAUCUCACAGUAGUGAUGAAUCAAAGCUUCAUUAUCCUUCAACUAGAAAAAUAGGUUUAGUUCUUCAUAGAGAGAAGAGAAAAAUUAAAUCUAGGGUUUCUUUCUUUUUCUCCAAUCCAAAAAAUCCCCCCUUUUUCACAAUUGAUUCCUCCCUUAAAUACUCUCUCUCUCUUCUCUUUUAGAGUUCUAUUUAAAAUAAAAUACUAAUAUCUAAAAUAUUAAAUUCGUAAUUACAAAAAUAGCCAAAAAUAUAAAACACGUUAAACUAAAAACUGCAGGUCCGCAAUUGACAGCACGCGCCCACGCCUUAUCAACAAAGUUCUUCUGCCGCUCAUAAUUUCUCCAAGGGAACAAUCAUCCCUAAACAUCAUCUUGUAGCUCAAUUUUAUCACCAAUCAAUAGAAUUGCACCUACAAAAGUAAAUCACAGGUAAAUCACUAUUAUUAAAUGCAAAACAUCGAUAUUAAGGGAAGUAAACAAUGCAAAACUAGUGCAUAAAUUGCACUCUAACAACGAGAUCAAAACAUAUUUGGAGUGCAGAUAUAUAUCAGCAACCGAAGCUUGCUAACGAAUCUUCUAAUUUGACAUACAUUAAAGAAAGCCGGCAGUUGAAAGAUUGCCGUUCCAUUUACCGGGAGAGCAUACAGUAAUAUUCGAAGAAUCCAAGUGCUUAGAAAAUGUGCUUACCAUACCUGGAAUAGAAAAAACAAAGUUCACAGAAUGGUUGCAGGCAAACAAGAAUUAUGAUGAUGCACGAGAGCUAACUUAUUCUAAUUUCCCUACAUGUUGGGUAUGGAAUUCAAAAGACAAAACUUGGACUAGGAGAAAAAAUGGCUUAGCAAUUAGAAGAAUUUACUUUGCACAUCCUUCAAGUGGAGAACGAUUUUAUAUGAGAAUGUUGCUCAAUUUUGUAAAAGGAAGCACUUCAUUUGAAAGUACUAGAACAGUAAAUGGAGUGACAUAUCCAACUUUUAAAGCUGCGUGCUAUGCUUUGGGAUUAUUAGACGAUGAUAAAGAAUGGAUCGACUGCUUGACUGAAGCUGCAAUAUGGGCGACUGGAAAUGAAUUAAGACAUCUUUUUGUCACGAUACUCAUUCAUUGUCAGGUUUCUGAUGCAUCCCAACUUUGGAAAUCUAAUUAUACUAGUUUAUCAUAAGGCAUAACUUCAUUGCAAAGGAAAAGAUUCAGAUUGAAAGAUCUUCAGUUAACCGAGCAACAAGUUGAAGCAUACACAUUGUUGGAGAUUGAAACUAUCAUGUUGAAAAUGGGAAAAAGUUUAAGAGACAUAGAUGGAAUGCCACUUCCUAAUUCUUCUUUGAUAAGAGAUUCAGGUAACCGAUUGGUCAAUGAAGAGCUUGAUUAUGAUCGUGAUCAAUUAAAGAAGUUGCAUGAGAAAUCAUUUACUGCUCUAAAUGCUUGCAAAAAAUCAGCCUAUGAAGCAAUAAUGCAUUCUGUUGAGAAUGAAGAAGGGUGUUUAUUUUUUAUCAAUGGACAUGGUGGUACUGGUAAAAUAUUUUUGUGGAAUACAAUUAUUGCAAAGCUCAUAUCACAUUCUAAAAUAGUCUUGCCUGUUGCAACUUCAGGUAUAGCAGCUUUGUUAUUGCCUAAUGGUAGGACAGCUCAUUCGCGAUUUCAUAUUCCUUUGGAUGUGAUAGCAGAGUGCACUUGUGAAAUCCGACAAGGCACCUUAUUAGCUGGACUUCUUAUGAAAACUUCUUUGAUCAUUUGGGAUGAAGCGCCUAUGGCACAUAAGUUCUGCUUUGAAGCUUUGGAUAAGACCUUGAGAGAUAUUCUAAGAACAAGGUAUGAAAAUACUUCUAUCAAACCUUUUUGAGGACUUACAAUAGUAUGUGGUGGUGAUUUCCGUCAAAUAUUGCCAGUUGUGCCAAAGGGGACAAGAGCAGACAUUGUUGACGCUUCACUUAACUCAUCCUACUUAUGGCCAUUUUUCAAAAUUUAUGAGCUCAAACAAAAUAUGAGGCUCUAUAAUGGAAGCAUGAGUGGCUCUGAGGCUGCUAAAAUAGCUUCUUUUGACAAAUGGUUGUUACAGAUUGGAGAUGGUUCAUUAUAUGAUGACAUUGAUAGAGAGUUAGUUAAACUACCUUCUGAUAUCUGUAAGAAACCAUAAAAAAAUCUAAUGAAAUCAAUAGUCGACACUAUCUACCCAUCAAUUCUACAUAAUUACAGUGAUCCAACAUAUUUGAAAGAAAGAGCAAUAUUAACGCCAAAAAAUGAAAUGGUGCAUGAAUUGAACGAGAUGAUUAUGAAUAUAAUACCUGGUCAAGGGAGAACCUAUUUUAGCUCAGACAGUAUAUGCAAAGCAAGCGCAAACACAAAUGAUGAAGAUGUUCUGUAUCCAACUGAAUUUUUGAAUAGUUUGAAAUUCAAUGGCAUCCCUAAUCAUGACAUACGACUUAAGGAAGGUGCUCCCGUAAUGCUUCUCAGAAAUCUAAAUCAAAUAGAAGGCCUAUGUAACGGCACAAGAUUGAUUGUAACUCGUCUUAGUAAAUGGUCCAUUAGAGGUGACAUCAUUUCUGGAACAAAUAUUGGACAAAAUGUCACAAUUCCAAGAAUUGUUAUGUCUCCUAAUGAAUCAAGAUGGCCAUUCAAGCUUAACAGACGGCAACUUCCUUUGGCACCAUGUUUUGCCAUGACGAUCAACAAAAGCCAAGGACAAUCUCUUAAACAUGUUGGCUUGUAUCUCCCUAAGCAAGUAUUCACACAUGGUCAAUUAUAUGUCGCCGUAUCUCGAGUUACCACAAGAGAAUGAUUGACCAUACUAAAUGCUGAUCAAGAGGUAGAAGACCGAACCUUCAUAAAAAAACAUUGUCUACAAAGAAGUAUUUCAAAAUAUUCACACAUUAGCUCACAAAAUCAAGGUAUCACAUUUUUAGAUUAUAUUUUAAAAUUUAAUUUAUACAUUGCAAGCUCUUACUUCACCCUAUAAUAAUGAUUUUUAUUAUGUGUUUUAAUUAUUCAGUAGACAAAUGAAUAAAUCAAAGGAACUAUCGAGACAGCAAAAUGGUAGUUUGGUUGAGUUUUCCAAGCUAUUAUGGAGAAUUUAAUCGCCAAAGAACAUAGUACGUGAAGAAGCAUUCCUUUUUACAUCAACUAUUUCUCCUUUCAUUCUCUCUAAUCCAUGGAGACAUGGUUUAUAUACAGAUAAAGAACAUUUUGGCACUAGGUGUUGCUGAUCCCCAUUGGAACUUGCCAUAGCUGCAAGCUUGAUAUAAACAACUGCUCACCUACGCAGCUACAAACGAUGCAAAAUAACUUACAGAAGUCUUUACAUGUAUUUUACUUAUUUCUUUUAUAAUUCAACGCAUUGCUAAGGAUCCUCAAUUACAAAAUUUAAUUUGGAACUUAUCAACUACAAAAGGUAUAAGGUCUGUACACCUAGACUAUACACGUUAAUAUAUAUAUUUAAAGUUAACAAAAAAAUAGUUAACUUUCAUAAAUAACAUUAGUUUUAUAAGGCUACCUCAUUUUAAAAAAAAUCAAUUUAUAUUUUUUAUCAGUUUUAUUGAGUAUAAAGAAAGAAAAAUUGAUAAUACUAAAUUCAUUUUCUAAAGCCGCGCGAAGCGCGGUUUUAUUUCCUAGUAUAUAUAUAAAGCUGGGACUAUAAGAGGUGAUGUGACAUCACCAUUUCUCAUCUUUGUAUAUUUUCUAUUAUCUAAUAAAUAGAGAAUUUUUCUUUCAAAUUUGGCUUUUCAUCUUCUCAUAAUUAAUUUGAUUGUUAUUACAAUUAUGUAAAUGUUUUAAUGAGGCAUAUUCUUUAUAAUGAACAUCCAAUGGGGAGUGUUAUAAAUUUAUUAAAAUAAAUGUGGAUGUUCAUAACAUAUAUCUCUUAGUCUCUCCACUAUCUCUCAUUAGCAACCUUUAGCUUCUCUGUAACUCCCACAAUCUCACAAGGAAUUAUGAUCCAUAAUUUUUCAUUAAUUUCAUGGAGUGAUUAUGUAACUACAAAAGGAGAGCUCAUCUUUUUGUUUUGUAUACACAAUUGGAAUGAAUAAAAUCACUCUAAAAUAUAUUCUCUCAUUUUAUUCUUUAUCUUGCGUUGCUUCUUUAUUUGUGUUGUUGGCUAAUAGUUUUUUUUUUAUUUAAACCACCCGGUUUCCGACGACCGCAUUGGAUACUUCUACUGCAUUCAACAUUUCUAAUUUUUAUUGGUUGAUAUACGUGUGAAUGACAACACAAUCCUCUGAGGUAUUUUUUUAAUUAUUAAUGUUUGUUAAUCUUUAAGUGUAUAUUAGAAAUUAUUGAUCCUUAUGUUUUAACAUAUUUAUGUUAUUUUCCCAUAAUAUUACAGAUGUUGUCGGAAGUUUAUGUGGUGUGGGUGAUAUUGAGAUUGUUGGAGCUGGUUGGAAAAAAAGACAUAUAAAAGUUCUAAAAGAUUAGCAAGUUGAAUAUAAUUUGGAACUUAUCAACAACUACAAAAGGUAUAAGGUUUGUACACUUACUAUACACAUUAAUAUAUAUAUAUUUAAAGUUAACAAACAAAUAAUUAACUUUAAUAAAUAACAUUAAUUUUAUAAGGUUGCCUCAUCUUUAAAAAAAAUCAAUUCAUAUUUUUUAUCAGUUUCAUCAAGUGUAAAGUAAGAAAAAAUGAUAAUACUAAAUUAUUUUUUUAAAGCCGCGUGAAAUGCGGUUCUAUUUUCUAGUAAUUUAUAAACCGAGGCCGGGCCCCAAGUCUUUUAAUUUUCUUCCUUUCUUUCCAUAUUUGUCGUUGGGUUAUAAACUUCCCCAAUUCUACCUUUUAUGUGCACGUGAAUCAUGACAUACCCCUUGAGUCAUGCUUUCAAGUUAUAAUUCCUUUCAAUCUUUGCCACGGCUUCAAGUCUCAAAAUCACACAGCAAUACAUCAUAACCCGAAAAUUUAUAAAUAAUCAAUAAUAUAUAAAUGUAAUCAUCUAUUGAAUCAGUUCAUUAUUUAUUCGUAUUGCAAGCAUCACCCCUAUCAUUCAUAGUUUUCACUUUUUAGUGAUGUUCACAAAAUCCUAACCAUACUAUGCAAUUGAGAUAUGAUCAAUAACACUUUGAUAACAUAUUUUAAAAAACAUAAAUUCUUCUAUAAAAAGUCAUUAUUCUGGGGGUUAAUUUCCAUAGGUUUCUAUUAGUUAAUUUUUUCCAACUAUUUUUGAUGAAAUUAGAUAGAUUUGCCUUCAUAUUUGGGGCAAAUAGUUUCAGCGAAUCAUGAAUAAGCUUCCACACAUUUUAGAAAUCUUAUCUUUUUUAAUUUUAUACUUUUUCUUUAAUUUGCAUUUUGGUUCACAUGACCAAAAAUUAAGUUCCAUGCGUUUUUCAAUUUGUGGAAAUUCAGUUUUUUUUUUUUGUGGAAAUUUCGGUGGAGUCAAUAUGGCUAGAAAUUCGUAGAAGGAUGAAUCAAAAUACUCAAUUAUUGUUGUAGACUUGUAAGGCAGCUAACGGAGUCCACACGUUUCAAUGUUUGUUUACAGUUCAGCUUUCCCUUUGAUUAGUUAUCAAAAUAGAAACAUGAUUAUCAAUUUCAACUGUAUGUCUUUCAUGCCUUAACUUUCUUCCUUUCUUUCCAAAUUUCUCAUUUUGCUUUAAUUUUCCACAAUUUACCUCCACGAAUUGAUUGACCUGUUACCCACCACACUUCAAUACUAAUAAUAAUAAAUAAAUUCUUCAAGCAAUUGACAUUUGACCCACCCCACUUCAAUAAUAAUGCUAAUGGGACAUCAUAAAUUCUUCUAUUCAAAUAUAAUACUCAUGACUUUGACGGCCGAAACAUGUUUCAUGGCACAAAUAAUGACGGUUUUGUUUGAGGUACGGUGGAGGUGUCUAUUCAAAUAUUUGAAGCCAGCCCCUCGUUUUAUCUAAACCACAAGCAGGCUCAGCCGAAAUUGUUUAAUAUUUUUAUUUUUUCAAGAAACUCUCACUAUAAGGCUUAUGUGAAAAUUUGGUUGACAGUUUAUGUAUUUAAUUAUUUAUUUUACCACACAUGUCAUGUGUAGGUUUUAUUUACCUUGAGCAGUGGUCAAUGCAUUAGACCCAAGAUAAAGUGUGUUGAGGUAGGGGAAUUAAUGAUCGCAUUAGCUGUAGCACCUAUCUUCAAUCUCUAAUUUUAACUUUCUAUAGAUGAAGUGUUUUCAAAUUCCUCAAAUGUCUGUAAUCUGUUUAAUAAUUGAAGAAAGUUAAAAUUCAUUUUCUAAAUUUAAGGUUAAACUCCCAAUAAAAAAUUUUAUUUUCAUUCAAUAUUGUCAUUAGAUGGUAAUCACUUUGUACGAGAGAUUCCAAAAAAUUUGUCUCAUUGCUCCUCACUAGAAAGAUUGUAUCUUAGUGAUAAUAAUCUCUUGGUAGGAUUUCACAAUGGUUGGAUAAUCUUUCAACAUUACAACAUUUUAUAAUGCUCAAGAAACACAUUCUUGAAGGUCUUAUUUCAAUGGAGUUUUAUCAGCUUGAUUCUCUUCAAAUUUUGGACAUUUCAAACAAUAAUGUAUUUAAGAGUUUAUUAUCUUGUUUACAUAAAAAUAUAUGCCUAUAGGCAGGUAAAAGAAGGUACAUUUUUUAAUUACUCUUCCUUAGGGACAUCAUAUCUUAGCUAUAGCCACUUGAAUGAGAUCAUUUCAAGUUGGGUUGAUAGGCUUUCUCAAGCAAGCCACUUCAUACUGACCCACAAUAAUCUUAAAGAUGAAGUAUCUGCUCAGUUGUGCCGAUUGAACCAAUUGCUAUUGAUAAAUCAUGCUGAUAACAGUCUUUCCAGCCAUAUUCUUCAUUGCUUAAACAAGUGAACUUGUUUCAUUGAGAGAGUAGUGAAACAAGGAAAAAAAAAAGUUUUGACUUUUAUCAGUUAGUUGACUGUUAAGUAAAAAGUAUGCAAAUAUCAUUUUAUACUUUAGAUUGUUAAAAACUAAUGGAAAAAUAACGUCAUUUGAGGAUAAAUUGAAAUUUUCAUACUUUUAAAAAGUAAAGUGAAAAUUAUCAUUCUAAGUGUGGAUAAAUUAAAGUUACACUCAUAAAAAACACAUCUAAUAAUUUAUACACCAAGGCAGGCCCAAGUCUUUCAAUUUUCUUCCUUUCUUACCAUACUUAUCGUCCUGUAAUAAAUUUCCACAGUUCUACCUUUUUUGUACACAUGAUUCAUGACAUACUCCAUGAGUCAUGCUUUCAAGUUAUAAUUCCUUUCAAUAUUUGCCACGUUUGCAAGUUUCAAAAUCACAUAGUAAUAUGUCAUAACAAGUCCGAAAAUUCAUAAAUAAUCAAUAAUAUAUAAAAGGAAAUUAUCCACCGUCUAUCCGUUUUUUCAACUUUUUCAAAAAUACACAAUUUUUUUUUUUUUUGCUGGAAUCCACCUGAAGUUACAUUUCUUUUCACUUUUCCACUUCCGUUUGGAAUCCGUUAAGGAAAUUAAGGGAAUAUUGUUAAAUGACUUUUUUACCCUCAAAUGUAAAAGAUAAUUUAUCCAUCGACCACUUGUUUUUUCGUAUUUUUUCAGAAAUACACAAUUCUUAAUUUUUUUUUUGCUGACCUCCACUCGAAGUUGUAUUGUUUUACACCUAUCCACCACUGUGUCGUUGUAAAAUGAUGAUUUACCCUUAUAAUGUUAGCAAAGUUAUAACGGUCUCCAAACGGAAGUGGAAAAGUGAAAAGAAAUGUAAUUUCAGGUGGAUUCCAGCAAAAAAAAAAAAGAAUUGUGUAUUUUUGAAAAGCAGUGAAAAACGGGUGGAUGGUGGAUAAUUUCCCAUAUAUAAAUAUGAUCAUCAAUUGAAUUUGAAUCAGUUCGUUAUUUGUUCAUAUUGCAAACAUCACCUCUAUCAUUCAUAGUUUUCACUUUUUAGUGAUGUUCACAAAAUCCUAACCACACUAAGCAAUUGAUAUUCAAUCAAAGACACUUUGAUAACAUAUUUUAAAAAACAUAAAUUCUUCUAUAAAAAGUCAUUAUUCUAGGGGUUAAUUUCUGUAGGUUUCUAUUAUUUAAUUUUUUUCCAAUUAUGUUUUAUGAAAUUAGAAGAUUUGUCUUCAUAUCUAGGGUACUUAGUUUUAGUAAAUUAUGCAUCACCUUCCACACAUUUUAGAAAGAUGAUCUUUUUUUUAAUUUUAUACUUUUCUUUCAUUUACUUUUUGGUUCAUAGGGCCAAAAUUUAAGUUCCAUGCAUAUGCAUUUUGUGGAAAUUCAGUUUUUAUUUUUUUAUUUUGUGGAAAUUUCGGUGGACUCAAUACGGCUAGAAAUUCUUAGAAGGAUGAAUCUAGGGCAGCUAGCAGAGUCUACGAGUUUUAAUGUUUGUUUACAGUUCAAUUUUCCAUUUGAUUAGUUAACAAAAUAGAAACAUGAUUAUCAAUUUCAACUAUAGUUCUUUCAUGCCCUUAACUUUCUUCCUUCCUUUCCAUAAAUUCUCAUUUUGCUUUAAUUUUUCACAAUUCUACCUUGGAUGGUGUUGAUUCAAAUUUUUUCUCAAUGUACAAUGAUUGAUUUGUGUUUCGGACAUUCUUCUAAAUCGAGUUCUGUGGCAUAUUUUUUUCCUUGAGGCGAGUGUCUCAAAUCAUAUGUCUCCUUGUGGUUAAUUAUUUUGUAAAAAGAAACAAUUAUCAAAGGGUGCCGACAUGCCGGCAAUAACCCUCCGACACUCAAGUUAGUUCUUUUUACUCAAGUUUUAAAGAGAGAGAAUCUAGAGCAAGAUGGGCAGAGUUUUGCUCGCAUUUUAUGCCUUUUUUCCUCUUACUUUCAAAUGCCGGUCUUGGCCUUUAUAUAGACAACUUAGAGUCAAUUGGAGAGAUUAUGUGGCACUUUUCUUGUGACAAGUGUCAGCCAAAGUCCAUGCAUGGCGACAUAUAUUCAUAUGUGUCAAUACUUGCUCAUGACAAAUAAUCUUUGGACAUUUGUCAUGUUUUUGGGCUAUUAACCUUUAAUGGACUUUAGCUUAAAUUCGGCACUUAUAUUGGUUUCUUACAAAGAGGAUUGAUUUUGCAACAUUUUGCCCAUAAGCACAUUCCGCAAAAUGUUUGUUAGCCAGUAGGUGUUGAGUGUUAGAAAAUGUAUAUUUAUAAAGGAGAAAAUCAUCAUUUUACAUUUCAAGUUUUACUAACAAUCCUUACUUUUAUGUAUUUAAGCUUCUUGCAAUUUAAUUAUGUGUGUUUGAUUUUAAUUAAGUAUUUUAUGUAUUUUAGGGGCAUCAUGGUUAUUUCACAAUAAACGAGAGAUCAGACGGCAAAACGAAUAUCACUUUUGAACUUAGGACGGUCGAAAACCUUAGGAGGAGCAUAAAAGAAAAAAUGGCACUAUUCACAUGUACGGUAUUAUUCACGUGUACGGUACUGUUUACGUUACUGUUCAUAAUACUGUUCACAUAGACGGAUUGAUGACGUGGCAUUGACUGAUGAGGUGUCACGAUCCUGUUGGGCUAAAAUUCUUAUGUACUGUUGAUGGUGACGUGGCAGCAUAUCAGUAGACGAAAAAAUCUCGCGUACGGUACAUGCAUCACACAGGAUUAUUUUCAACCAAACCGCGUCACUGUUCAACCCAGGUCAAACCGUGUUACUGUUCAUCCACGUGGUCAAACCGCGUACUGUUGACUGAUGACGUGGCGCAAUCCUGAGCGUCCAAACUGUUUUUAAUCCGAUAGCCAUGAUUUACUUCAUGUAUCUAUAAAAAGGGGGCCUCUCCCCCCUAAUUGGAUAGCUCUGAAUCCAUUUUUGGGAUCCAUUUUUUGUAAUUCCUUCUCCAUUUUGUAUUUUCUACAUAUUUUAAUAAUUCCCAUUUUGCCCCUAGUUCAAUUAUGAGUGGCUAAUUUUCUUUCAAGCUUGGGUUGAAGGUGAAGUCUCAACAUGUGUCAUGGGCUUAAUUUGGUAGAUUUACUUUCUCUUCCCAUCUAAUUUUUGUGGAUGUUUUGACUUCUCGUCGACAAAUAAUACUAAUCUUGUCUAGUACCGCCUUGGUUUCACCGGCUCCGUAGUACAAGGUUAUUAUUAUUUGGCACGAUAAGCCCUUAGCACCAUAUUGAUUAGAGUGUGGUUUAUGAGGUGUGGAUUUCCCCCUUAUGAUUUAAUUGAUAUUAAUAAGGAAUAUUUAGCCCAUGGUACAUGUUGAUACGGAUUCAGAUACCCAAGUACGUCAUUUCAAUAGAAUUCUCUUCAAUUUAUUCUCGCCAUUUCAAUUCCAAUUUUAGAAUUUAUUCUCGCCAUUUUAAUUUAAAUUUUAGCAUAUUCCAAAUCAUUUCCACCACAAAUCCAAUCACCCAUUUACAAAAUUAAUUCUACACACAAUUAAAAUCCACCUCCUCGUGGGAUCGACACUCGUCACCAUUAGUCUAUACUACAAUAGAUUCGUGCGUUUGCGAGUACAUUAAAAUUUGCACAGCAGUAGGCUCGCUCCGUGGAAUGUUUGUUGGCCCGUUGGCACAUUCCAUAAAAUGCAUAUAUUUGCCCGUAUGCACAUAUUGUAGAAUGUAUAUUUCUUCGUAGGCGCAAUCUGCCCGUAGCCGCCAUCCGUAGAAUGUGUAUUUGUCCAUAGGCCUAUUGCAUAGAAUGUGUGUUUGCCUGUAGACCCAUUCCGUAGAAUGUGCAUUUGCCCGUACGCCCAUUUCGUAGAAUGUGUAUUUGCCCGUAGGCUCAUUCUAUAGAAUGUAUAUUUGCCCGUAGGUGCACUCCGAGUAGCUCAUGUGCUCUUAGAAAUAUUUUUGAAGUGUCUAGAUCAUGAACGGACCUAGGUCAUUUUUUGUGAGGAAUGGACCUAGGUCGUUCUUUGUAAAAAAUAGACCUAGGUCCUUCUUUGUUGAAUCAUGCCUUUGGCACUUUGUGAAGACUCGUAAGGAAUGGACUUAGGUCAUUCUUUGUAAGCAAUGAACGUAGAUCAUUCUUUAAGACUUAGGUUUUUCUAUGAUAAAUCACGCUUUUGGCUUUUUGUCGUGUCUUGCAUUUAGACACUUUAGUUAGAAUUGUAAAUACCUUGGCCAUUCUUAUAGAGAACACACAUGGGUUAUUUUAUAUAAAAUAAUUUUAUUGGGCCUAUAUUUUUUGUGGGUUUUGGACCUUUCAUAAUUUGGGCUAACAGAGGCCCCCGAAGUCUUACUUUUCAAUUUUGAGAAGUGAGACUUUUUUUGUACUUUUUUUUAGGCUUUUCUUUGGCUUUUCUUAUUACAAAUUAAAUUUUAAGGCUUGAAAUUUCUCUAAGGCACCUAUCCUAUUAAAAUUAGUCUACAACCAAUCUCACAUACUUCAUUUAAUGAUUUGUAGCUCUCUACAAUCUAUCUUAAUUUAACAAUUAUUGAAAAGUAUAAAAAUAAGGAGUUAGUAAAAGUAUCAUUUAAAAAGAGAUACUUGACUUUUUCUAAAUAGUAUGUGAGAAUUUUCUGACAAUUCUUUGGCGAGCUACUGUUGAAGCUCUUCGAGUGCUCAUCGAUCUAAGAAGCAAUGCCAAAUCUUUUCCUGAAAGGUCAUCUUUGAAACUGAAUUGCUUCAAUGGUAAACAUUUUUGUAGAUAGCGAUCCCAGUCAAUUCUCAUAUAUACUUACCCUUAGGCAUUUUGGUUGAGAUCAACCAAAGCUGUAGUCAACAUCCGCCCUUGGAAGAUUUAGUCAAUAGUUGCCCCUAAGCUUUUUGACAUUGGCUUUAAGGUGUUUCUCGUCAACACUAACUCUCGGACGUUUUUAUCUAAAACAUGUCAUUAGGUGUUUCAGACAAUCAUUUGCCUUUUAAUGUUUCACUUAGAAUAUUUUCCCUCAGGUCUAUUAUUAUAAUUCGCUUGUGGACGGUUUCCUUCAAAAAUUAAUUUGAAGUAAUUGGACCUAGGUCAUCCUUUAAAAGAAAGGACCUAGGCCCUUUUAUCAUAAUUUACUCGUGGGCAGUUUCGUAGAACUUAGCCCGUAAGCAUUCUCUUUAGAAUGAUUUUUCUAAGAAUUGGACCUAGGUCAUUUUUUACAAGAAUGGACCUAGGUCUUUUUAUUAUAAUUCGCAUGUGGGCACUUUUUAUAGAAUACUAAUUCUAAGUGAUUGGACCUAGAUCAUUCUUUGAAAGAAAGGACCUAUAUCUUUUUAUCAUAAUUCAGCCAUAUAUGGUUUCCUUAGAAGAUUAAUUCUAAGUAAUUUGACGUAGGUCUCUUUAUUAUAAUCCGCCCGUAGGCACUUUCCUUAGAAAAUUGAUUUUAAGUAAUUGGGCUUAAGUCUCUUUUUAAAGGAAAUGACGUAGGUCUCUUUUUAAAUUGAUUCUAACUUUGUCACUACUUUGAUUGCAUCAAGUGAUGAAUAAUGUCGUAAUCAGAAUUUUCAAGGGGGUAUUUGGGAAUAUUGCCCCCUUCAGAGUUUUAAAAGCCAGAGAAAGAAGACUUUUUGUAUUGUAUGGUACCAUGGUAUGCCCCGUAUGCCUUUCUUAAUGAUAAAGUAGCAGAUUCUCCUUCAAUUUAAUUUCUUUUUGUUCCAAGCCAAAAUAAAAAAAUUUCUGCUCACUAGCCGUACUCUGUUCUUGAUGAACAUUAGGAGGCAGUUCAAGACAUGGAUUCUCAAAGUCAAUUGUAUCGAUGAUACUUGGGUGUGUAUGACAUUUUUAUUAAUAAUUUUAAUCAUUCAUUGAUAAAUUCUUCUAUUAACAAAAAUAAUUUCUCCAAAAUUAAUUUUUCUACUCGCAGACCAUACUUUGUUCUUGAUGAACAUUAGUUGGUACUUCAAAACGUGGAUCCUCAAGUCAAAACGGUAAAUUUUUUUCAUCAGUGAAUCAUUAACUAAACAAGUGAUCUUAGAUUUCAUUCUUGUGUCUAUGAUAUGUGGGUGUGACUGACAUUUGAGGAACAAUUACAAGAGUGAAAAAGGAGAAUACAUAAUAUAUUCAACCACUAAAAAUAAAAGUCAUUUUUAUUUUAUUCCAUCUUACUCGAAUUUGAUACAACUAGUGGGUGUGUUGUAACUAAUCUUAUUUGUCCCUUUGAAAUAACCGAUAAUAAUCUUAUCACCGAAUGUUUAACAGACUCGUAACGUCAUAACGUAACUACCACGUCAAGCAAACACGUGGACUCAGCCGUGAACUACAACCGCAUAACCGUUACAUAUAUAGACUAGUAUGAAGCGGUGGAGUUAAAGCAAGCGUUUAAGAAGUGAUUUAAGCUGAUGCAAGCGUAAAGUAUGAGACGAAUAAAACAACAUACAAUUCAACAAAAGUCUAACAUGCCCUGUUCAAACUUAUAAUUUUCUACUAUUACCUUACCCGACAAUACAAUCCAAGUAGCUGGCAGCCACACCGCAAACUUCCACUAUCAUCUUCUCCUUUCAAACUUAUAAUUUUCUUUUUUCUUUUUUAUUUUCUGGAAAGAGCUGGCUUUCCUUGAUUUUUGCUUUUUGUCAACAAUUAUUCAUGCCUUUUUAUUUUUCUCCAUCACACUUUUUUUCUUUCCCAACUUCCACGAGCUGAGCCGUCGUCGCUUUUUGAAAGAAACAGUAUGGAAGCUAUCAAGAAACAGGCAAUCAAGCUCCGAGAACAAGUCGCCAAGCAGCAGCAAGUCCGUUUCUUUUCUUUUUUUGUUUUUAAAUUAUUUAGACUUUUAAUUAGUGAAAUUUCUCGAUUUUAUUUAUUUUUCAUUAGUUUUUUAUGGUUUGUACAGGCAGUAUUGAAGCAUCUGCUCCAUCUUGGCAUUGAAAAUGUUGCGGUUGAUAAAGCUGACAUUGAGUGUCACCAACAACUUCAAAAUCUAUACAAUUCCACCAGGGCAGCUAAGGCACCAUCCUCCUUUAGCUAAUAAUAAGACUCUGUUUGAUAUUGAUUUAUUGUGGCUUUUGGUAAUUAGAUAUGAUUUUUAAAUAAUAAUUUUGUCAAAUAUGGUACAAACAACUGUAUUUUCUAGACUGAAGUUGCAAGUAUUUACCAACGGAGCUUAAUGUAUGUUGAACAAUUAUGAUGGUUUGUAUGGUUUUAUCUGAACAAUAAUUUGGAAUAUAUGCUCUGUAGCGCAGCAUUUUCAGAGGAAUAUUGUCCGUGGCGUUGAAGGGUUUGUUGCAGUAAGCUUGAAACAAAUGGAAAUAUGUUGUUUGUUUGCUCUUGCUCUUGUUAUAAUAUUUGAUUUUUUUUUAUUUAUUUUCUUGACUAGUUCUUGUGUACAAUAUUUUUGUAUUCAAAUAUUGUAGCGAGAAAGUUGGCCGAAGAUUGUUGCAAGUAUGGAGCGGAGAAUCAAAGUGACAAUUCUUGCGUUGCAAGAGCUGCUCUUCAAUUUGGCACUUCACAUGAUUUGAUGGAAAAUGAGAGGGAAACUUUGCUUGGGAUUCUUCAUGAUCAGGUUAGUUCAUCCCUAACUAGAAAAUAAUUCAAAUAUAGAAAAUUAUAUGUAAAUUACUACGGAAACUAUUAUCUUCUCAUAAGGAAAUUUAGUUCUAAGAUAUUGAAUAAAAGAAUCCAUUUUAAAGUUACAACUCUGAAAUAUUUAAUGUUUUAUAUUAAAAUCAUUGCUAGUGACAUCCAUGACUUGAUAGUUUUAUUGGUUCAAAUGUUGAAGAGACCUUGUACUUCUUACAUCACUAGCGAAGACUGGCGUGGGACAAGUUAUUGGCCGUGAGUUCUCUCAAUUGACUCCAAGCAUUUUGGAUAAAGACAUUUGCAUCUGUAGUAAAAUCAAAUCCAUGAGACUGAAGGAUGCAUGGGGAAGUCUUACAACCUUUAUUUGCAUAGGUAGAUGCUGAGAAAACAUAUCAUCAACACGUUAUUGAUAUUUUAGAGAAGUUGUAUGCGGAGGUUUGGGACUAUGCAUUUUAACUUGCUUGUCCCCAUCUAUCUAUUCCUUGGAGCGUUCUCUUCUUGCUAUUUUCGUCUCACUUAUGCAAAAGAAUAAUUGUGACUUUUUAGUCCCUUCCAACCCUUGCUACUUGAAUUAGAUGAUCCUAUAGGAGCAAUCAAAUGAGUCCUCCUCGCAACAUGUGACUUUCGAAAUGGAUGUACAUGCCUCAUGUGUCUAUCAGAGUACUGAUUCAAAUGGAGCUGAUUUGCAAACGCAUAUUAAUCAGAAUGACGUCUACUUUAUAGCAAAAGUAAGGCUCCUGCUCUCUUGCAUAGGUGAAAGUCCCUCUAUUGCCCUCCUCCUGGAAAAUCUUAAGAAAUAAGAUGCGCACAAAAUUGAAUGCUGUCUUUUAAGAUUUUUUUUUUUAAAAAAAAAGAAUUUUGUUGUAUUUUACCAUGAAAGUUGUUAAUUUACUGAAUUACAAACUUAUCAAUUAAUUUGAUGUUGCACAGUCUUUUUCUUAACAUAUUGCAUUCAUAUUUUAAUUUUGGAGCAAUAAAAUUUUUUUUCUACUAUCACUACCAUCUGGGCAGGUAUUUGUAUUAUUGCACAACAUCUACGGAAGUAGUGAUUAGUCUUAAAAGUUGAAGAUGUCUGUCUGUAUCCUUUCAUCCUAGAUAAAUUGUCAUAUGAUCGUAGGACAAAUUGUAAUUAUUUUUUAAAAUUUAUUAGUUAACACCUUGAAAAUUCUUUUCCCCCAAAUAAAAUUACUCUAAAAGUGUCCAAAUGUGGUGCUGAGGAAGCCAUUCUUAGGAAACUUUAUUUAGGAGAACAGGACUUUUAAGCAUGAGGUUUAGCAAACACCAAUGAAUUAAAAAAGCGAUAGAUGUCGGAUGAGCUAGAUAGAAUGCAUGGGCUAGAAAUAUCAUGUGUCUCUACUAUCAAUAUCUUAGCAACAUCAAAGCUGAGUUAGGCAUGCCAAAGAAAGGCAAACCACUGAAAGUUGUGUAGCCACUCACGACGUAGCAGGUGAUGUAAAGUCUUGAUAUUGCUUAUAGAUACAAGACUGAUAGCUCAACAUCCCUCUUUUUGAGAUUUUCUCUUAAGUUAGAUGGGCCUUUUUAUGAUUAUGUCUGAAUUAUGAUUCUCCUUACUUGGUUUACCUAGAAAAACUAUGUUUAUAUGGAUGUGACUUGGGGGCAAUCUAUGUAUUUGAUGAUAAAUCUGGCCGAGAAAACUUAAAUUAUUAGGCAGAGGAAAUUGACUGACCAUAAGCUGUCAUGUUAAAUCCAUCACUUAAAAGAUGUCGGUCACUUGGAAUCCCCAUUAUCUAUGACUUUCUUGUGCAUAGGCCAUGUUUUGUGGAGAGCAGUCAAAAUUUCAGAUUUAAAAUCUUAUCCAUAAUUUAAAAAUGGAAUUUUGUUUCUAAUAUAUCUUUGUUGGCCAUAAUCAUUGUAGUUACAAUGAACGCUGCUGCUACUGCUGCUGCUUUUGUUAUGCUUUUUUAAAGAUUAAGUUCUAUUUAUCCUAGUAUCUUAUAGGUUAUACAUCCAUUUGACGCUCAAGCAAAUGGGGAGCUAAGUCUUUCAAUUGAUGAUUAUGUUGUGGUUCGCCAGGUACUUUCCCCUCUAAAUAACAACACAGAGAUUUUUCUACUAUGCUAUUAACUUAUCCUUCUAACAACUUAUGAUAUGUGGAAUUUAGAACUAAUGCUUAUACUAAUUUGAUGUUCAAAGCACAUGGCAUUUUGUUCUUAAAAUUUUGAUUGAAAAGCAAUGAGUUAACAUAUGAUGGUUGGUUUUCUUUCUUCCUACCAUAUAUUCCCUUUUAUAUUGAAGUGCAAAUCAGAAUAUAGUAGGGUUGCUAGCUCAGUUCUAAACCACCCAGUUUACCCUUAUAGAUAUGUGAAUUUAUAUCUUGUUAUGCUUCCAUGGUUAAUGUUGUUAUUUCAGUGAUCACAACUAAUUCACUCCUCCUACGUAAAAGAAUUAGUUUUCCCCUUAGGUCUUUGAACGGUCAACUUUUGUUUAAUUCACUGUUUUAGUUAUAACUUCUCAAGGUGGCUCUUAUGGAUGGUCGGAAGGUGAAUGCAAGGGCCAAGUUGGUUGGUUUCCCUCGGCAUACAUAGAAAGACAAGAAAAAGCCCCAGCUAGAAGGAUAUCAGAAACAAACUCCUCACCCAAAUGUGAUGCGACUUCUUAAUAAACUCUUGCCAAGUAUCUAUAUGUUCUUUUUCCUGUAUUAUAUUGCCAUUUUAGUUUAUAGAACGACUGCGACAAUUGAUAAGUGGUUUGAUUGCUUCUCUUAAUGAAAUCUUACUAAGCUCCAAGUAAUAUGUGCGAUCAUAUGCAUUUUAAUAUUUGUAUUUAUCUCCUAGUUGAGGAGAAUAUUUGUAGUAACAACUGUGUUUCCAAAUUGCCAAAAAAAAAAAAAUACACAUCAUGUUUAGCAACAAAUUUUUACUAUUAUUUCUUCCCAGUUUUAAUUUACUUUCUCCGUGAAUUGAAUGUUAUAUUAGUAGCUUGAUCAGAAAGUAACUCAUAUCAAUCAAACUACCUUGAUGCAAGAGAUUGAAUUUAGAAUUUCUCUAUCUUUGUGAAACUUUCCAAUCAUAAUGUUAUGAAAUAUGUGGGCAUGAACUUUUUAAUUUCUAGUUGCAUUUGGAGUAUGUAUGAUAUAAUCUGAAUCACUUGCAUAAUGUUCUUCAUCUUCCANNNNNNNNNNNNNNNNNNNNNNNNNNNNNNNNNNNNNNNNNNNNNNNNNNNNNNNNNNNNNNNNNNNNNNNNNNNNNNNNNNNNNNNNNNNNNNNNNNNNUUCUAACUAAUGAAAUUUUCUAGUCUAAAUUAUGAAAUAUGUGGGAUUGACUUAGAAAUUUUGGUAACAUGUCGAGAAUGUAUGGUAUAAUUUGAAUUCAUUAGCAUAAUCUUCAUCUUCAUUGAUUUGUAAAUUAUGAAACUAAUAUAUAAAAAACUAAUGUUAGAUCCUAAUUAUCUUUAGUUCUUAAAAUUGUUGAGGAGAUAUGAAAUUCUGGUGGGUGGAUUUGAGAGUUUUAGCUUUGAGAAUAUUGCUUCAUCUCUACUUUGAUGUUGUUGUGCCCCUUGUUGUGGCGAGGCAUUAAUCUUCCUAAAUUUUUUGUCAAGCUUCAACUUUAUUAUAUAUAUACCUUUCUUGAUAAAAUGUCUGGGUCCAUCGCUGGAUUUGGUGUUAAUGACACUAGUGAAGAAGAUGAUGAUAGCACCAUAAUCAUUAUUUUUUAAAGUAAAAUAGGCGAUCAAGUGCAUCUAGGUGUUUCAUUUCUUGUGUAUGAUUAUAAAACUAUUCUGAAUAUAGUUUCUAAAUGAAUGUUAUAGAGUGGCUGCUUUUAACAUUGGAGAUGGUUCUCUUAUUUAAGUAUGCUGCACAGUAUAGGGAAGUAUAAGUUAUGGUGGAUAGAUAUGAGUUUGGAAGUGUGGAGACAAAUGUGAAGUGCUUGGAAGUUGGAAGCUAUAUAACGCUAAAUACUUCUACAAUUUUAAUAAAAAAUAAAAAUAAAUUUAUUUCCUAAGCAAACUUGAUUAGUACUUAAAGAAUCAUAAUUAAGCUACUAAUUAAUUUCAAUGACAAAAUCUUGUUGGAAUAAGAUUGUCUACAACAAAAUAAUAACAUGAAGUUAUCCACAUUUCAACAAAGUAAAACAAUUUACGUCGCCAAUAAGAAUUUACAUAUAAAACAAUAACAAUUCCAAAUAUCACUAUUACGUACGAUGUUGUAAAUGUGAUAAAGAAACUGUCCGUGUCAAUUAAAAUGUCUGGGUCCAUCGCUGGAUUUGGUGUUAAUGUUUCUAGUGAAGAAGAUGAUGAUAGCACCAUAAUCAUUCUUUUUAAAAGUAAAAUAGGCGAUCAAGUGCAUCUAGGUGUUUCAUUUCCUGUGUAUGAUUAUAAAACUAUUCUGAAUAUAGUUGGCGAUCAAGUGCAUCUAGGUGUUUCAUUUCUUGUGUAUGAUUAUAAAACUAUUCUGAAUAUAGUUUCUAAAUGAAUGUUAUAGAGUGGCUGCUUUUAACAUUGGAGAUGGUUCUCUUAAAUAAAGUUUGCUGCACAGUAUAGCGAAGUAUAAGUUAUGGUGGAUAGAUAUGGGUUUGGAAGUGUAGAGACAAAUGUGAAGUGCUUGGAAGUUGGAAGCUAUAUAACACUAAAUACUACUACAAUUUUAAUAAAAAAUAAAAAUAAAUUUAUUUCCUAAGCAAACUUGAUUAGAACUUAAAGAAUCGUAAUUAAACUGCUAAUUAAUUUCAAUGACAAUAUCUUGUUGCAAUAAGAUUGUUUACAACAAAAUAGGAACAUGAAGUUAUCCACAUUUCAACAAAGUAAAACCAUCUACGUCGCCAAUAAGAAUUUACAUAUAAAACAAUAACAAUUCCGAAUAUCACAAUUAUGUACGAUGUUGUAAAUGUGAUAAAGAAACUGUCCAUGUCAAUUAAAUUAUCAUUUUUUGUUGGGGGGGGGAAAAAAGGGGCCCCCAAAAAAAAAAAAAAAAAAACUUUUUUUUUUUAAAAAAAAAAAAAUUUUUAAAAAUUUUUGGAAGGCGUUAAAUGUUGCAAAUUGUNNNNNNNNNNNNNNNNNNNNNNNNNNNNNNNNNNNNNNNNNNNNNNNNNNNNNNNNNNNNNNNNNNNNNNNNNNNNNNNNNNNNNNNNNNNNNNNNNNNNNNNNNNNNNNNNNNNNNNNNNNNNNNNNNNNNNNNNNNNNNNNNNNNNNNNNNNNNNNNNNNNNNNNNNNNNNNNNNNNNNNNNNNNNNNNNNNNNNNNNNNNNNNNNNNNNNNNNNNNNNNNNNNNNNNNNNNNNNNNNAUCAGCUUGUUGCAAGAAAGAUCAAGUCCUGAUAGGAGGCUAAGCACUUUUCCUUGGUAAAUGUACGCAAUGUUCUUUGUUGUGAACUCAAAAUUUUCACGGAUUUGCUUUUCUACAUCUCCGUCAGGGCCGUCGAUGGAAAAAGAUAUUUCAAAUUGCUCAUCAAGACUAGAACUAUUGCUGUAACUGUCAUGAAGUGUGGUGUUAUCAAAGCAAGGAGGAAUAGGACCGUGAAGAUUAUUAUUAGAAAGAUCUAACAAUUGUAGUUGGUUCAAUUCGCACAAUUGAACUGGCACUUUACCUUCAAGAUUAUUGUGACCUAAGAUAAGGUGACUUAACUGAGAAAGCCCAUCAACCCAAUCCGGAAUGCUGCCAUUCAAGCGGUUAUAGCUAAGAUCUAAUGUCACAAGGGAAGAGCAAUUAAAGAAUGUACCUCUUUUUAGUUGUCCAUGUAACAUAUUUUUUGAAAGAUGAACUUGUUUGAUAUUGAGAGGAUGGAAACAAGAUGGUAGACUUCCAGAUAUGUUGUUGUCUGAAAUGUCCAAAAUCUGAAGCAAAUCCAGUUGACAAAACUCCAUUGGAAUAGAACCUUUAAGAUGAUUCUUGUGCAUUGUAAUAUGUUGUAAACUUGUGAGACUGCCUAACCAUCGUGGAACCUUACCCGAAAGACUGUUAUUAUUAAGGUACAAUCCUUCUAGUGAGGAGCAUUUAUAUAAACUUUGUGGGAUCUCUCUUAUGAAGUGAUUGUCCUCCAAUUGUAACCAUAUUAAAUUUGCCAGGUUAAAAUUUCUACAGAACAUGUGACCUUUUAGGUUGUUGUUUGAUAACGCUAGAAACUCCAAGUUAACGCAACCGACGGCCAAGCGCUCAGGGAUUUCACCAGUCAAUUGAUUGCUGGAUAAGUCCAAAAUUCUGAGGAAGUUCAUUUUACCAAAUGAAGAGGGAAUGCUACCAUGCAAGGCAUUCGUGGAAAUGUUAAAAGAAAAUAAACUUGGUAAAAUAUCUCUAAUUUCUACUGGAAUAUGGCCUUGGAAGUUGUUGUUGGAGACACCCAAGAAUCUUAACCGCCUGUGUGGAUGAAUUGGCAAUUAAAAAGGUCCUCCAAUAGAAUCAUUGAUGAGAAAAAGAGUUUCUAAUUUUGUGUUGUUUUCCAACAACCAAUUUGGAAAUUCUCCAUUCAUCUUUAUAUGUGAGAGAUGAACAUCCUCCAGGUCAUGUUGAUGGUAAAGGAAUUUGGGGAAUGUGACACCAUCUCCACAACCGGAAGACAACAAGAGAGAUUGUAAUUGGAAGUUUGGGGCGGUCAAAGAAUGUGACUCAGUUAUUUCAGCUUUUAUUUCAUUGUUGUAAGCCCAUAAGCUCUUGAGUCUUGAGUGAUUGAAAAGUGGUUUAAGUGAAAUUGGGAUGCAGAAGUGAUUCUUUGAAAGUAUUAGCUCUUCAAUGGAUGUCAAAUGAACGAGGGGAGUGAUAACUCUAGGAAAUGAGAGUUAUUACAUCAAUUCUAAACUUGAAUCAGGAUCUUUUAGAGAACAAAUAAGGUGUUUUUAUUACAUUUUGCUUAAACAUUCAUUUUAGUUGAGUAUUAAUAAGUUUUGCUUGAAUUAUAGUAAUUUGUGCUAAAAACAUAUGCAUAAUUGUAGGUUCUUGGAAAGUCUUAAUUCAUGAGGGGAUGUUGAGGCAUUAGAUGAGCAAGAGGAGGAAAUAAGCCAGUCAUAAAAGAACAAAAGCACAAUCGGGAGUAAUGCAGUGCUGUUACGGAUGUUAGAGCAACCCGUUCUGUAGCAAUCUGGAAGUAAAUGCGAGAGAAAACUUGGGCGCGGGUCAGCACAUGUUUCUUAAUUUAACGCAUGCACACUCAUAGGCUUGUGUUUACCCUAAUUUGCAAUAUAAAAGGGAGGCAAUACCACAAAGAAAGGCGGCAAGGAAAUUAUCACUAGAAUAAUCACAAAGGAACGAAGAAGAAGAAGAUCAGAAUUAAAGAGUUUUGUUUUGGAAACAUUGGAGAAUCGUGCAGAAUUACUUGGCUUUGAUUUUCGCCGUGCUCAACUUAUAUUUAUCUUCUUCCUUUAAUUAUUUUGAUGUAUUCCGGGAUCAAUAUAUUUAUGAUUAUUUUUGUCAUCCAGAUUAUGAACUAAAUUUACUUGUAGUUGAGUGACAAAUAAUCCAAUGGGUUCUUGAUUGUUCUUAUAUGUUGUUAUGGUAAUGCUGUAGCAUUUUACUCUAGUAGUUUUUAUGAGUAUAACUGUUAUUUCGGUUGACCACCCAUUUAAUAGUUUCAGUUAAGAGCAGCAAAGGGGCAUGUCUUAGCGGACAUUAUUAGAGUAUUACUUGUUCUUAAAUUGAGUUUCCUGGAUUAGGUUAUCUUGAAUCCCAUAAGGGCAAUACUUGAAGUUAAGAUUUGUGACACUCUGGACAUAGGUGUUCACCUUGUAGGGUAGAGAGAUUAAAGGAUAUAAUGACGUACCAUAAAUAUAUGAGCAACUGGUCAUUGUUAGUAGAUUUAAAGGUAUGAGAUUUCUAACAUGCGAUAGCUGAGGAUGCAGAUUUAUUCUGCCCAGUGCUGCAGCACUUAUUGUAACAACUGGUGCUAAUUUGGUAAACACCAAUCACCCCAUUAGGAGAGUUUGAUUAUUCAACUACUAUAUUCUCAAUUGAAUCUUAGACACAGUUAACUUAGUUUAUUUCAUUACAGUAUUGUUUUAUUUCCAUCUCUCGCAAUUAUUAAUUACGAUAGAAUUAUUUAACAAUUGUUUGUUUCGGUUUUAGUUAAUUUGCACUAUUGUGAUUGCUUUAGCAUUUUGAGUAACAUCAAUCCCUGUGGAGACGAUCUUGAAUACUCAUCACUUUAUUACUUGUUGUGUAUAUGAUGAAGAGUAGGAAUCCAUAUUAUACUAGGAUUAGUUUCCUUAUUAACUAAAGUUUAAGACUUUUAAAUUCCUUUCUAAUUUAGAAUUUUGUUUCCCUUUCAAUUUAGGAUUUUGUUUUUACUUCAUGAAUUAGGAUAAUUACUACUACUAUAAAUAGCUUCCUCUUGUAACCUUUGAAUGCAUAAUUUUGAGUUCAAUAAUAUUUCAAUUUUCAAAUCUCUUUGUGAGUAUUUGAACAGUUAACUCUCGGUAUUCUGCGGAAUCAACGAGUCUUAAUCCCUAAAUUCACGGUAUUCUUUUGAAUCAACGUGAAUUUAAUUAUUAUUUUGUUCCGGUAUUCUCUAGAAUCAACGGAAUAUUUUGAACAUUAAACUUCCGCUGCAUCAGUAUAUUUGCACAUCGGCAUUGGUAGUAAUUGAUUAUAAAAAUAAAUCAAUAAGUGUUUGGGGUCGUUGCCGGGGAUUGAUUGUUUAUUUUUAAAGUGUAAAGUAAAUCUUGAUAGCGCCAAAUUUGAUUUGAUUUAUUCUAUUUAUUAGGAGAUCGGUACAUGCAUGCGCAAAGACAGGUCUGUGGUAUUCUAAUUCGAUCCUGAGAUUGAAAGGACUGUCAGGAGAUUGCGAAGAGAACAAAGGAAUUCAGAAAUUGAUUCAAGCAUGAAUAAUUUGCAGGAUGCGGGAAAUUUGAAUCCUCACGGGCCCUUACAACCAGUAAACAUUCAAGGAGAGCAGAAUGAACAUGUUAACGGGAGACAGCCAGGCAAUAACAAUAUUAUUUACAUGGCUGAUGACAGAGACAGAGCUAUAAGAGAUUAUGCUGUGCUAACUCCUCAAGUUGUACAUCCUGACAUCAUCAGACCUGAAGUAGACGUUGCAAAUUUUGAGUUAAAGCCAGUGAUGUUUCAAAUGUUGCAAACAGUUGGUCAAUUCAAUGGAUUGCCAGAUGAAGAUCCUCAUCUCCAUCUUAAAUUGUUCUUGGAAGUAAGUGAUACUUUCAAGAUUGCUGGAGCAAUACAAGAUGCUUUAAGGCUGAGACUCUUUCCUUAUUCCUUAAGAGAUCAAGCAAGAGUAUGGUUAAAUUCGUUACCAUCUGAUUCCAUCACUACAUGGAAUGAAUUGGCUGAUAAAUUCCUAAUGAAAUAUUUCCCACCAACAAAAAAUGCAAAGUUGCGGAAUGAGAUUACUUUCUUCCAUCAACUUGAAGAUGAAAUGCAAAAAAUGCAAAAAAUGCAAUGUUAGUUAAUGAGUGACCUCAUUAACUAACAUAGUAAAGGCCUUGACAUCUGCUCCAGCAACAGUAAAGCAAGUUACUGAACUUUCUUGUGUAUACUGUGGUGAAGAGCAUAACUUUGAUAAUUGUCCUGGAAACCCAGCUUCAGUAAACUAUGUGGGUAAUUUCAGUUGAUAACCUCAGAACAACCCAUAUUCAAAUACUUACAACCCUGGCUAGAAGCAACACCCAAAUUUUGCAUGGAGCAGUCAGAAUCGAAAUGCUCCAGCAUUAAAUAGACAAAAUAAAAACACACAACCACUUGGUUUUCAUCAGCAGAGUCAAGGGCAAAAGCAUAACAGUCAGGAUCCAAUCACUUCACUGGAAGCACUGAUUAAAGAGUACAUUGUAAAGAAUGAAGCAAUUGUGCAGAGUCAAGCUGUAUCCUUGAGAAACCUGGAAAACCAAAUGGGACAACUAGCCACAGUAAUAAGCAGCAGAACUCAAGGAAGCCUACCUACCAACACAAAAGACCCUAGGAGGGAGGGCAAAGAACACUGCAAAGUAAUUAAUUUGAGGUCUGGAAAGAAUGUUGAUAUCCCAGCUGAUGUAACAAAAAAUGGGAUGGAAUUCAAUUCAGCACAAAAAUUACCUCAAAAGGGAAGCAUGUUACAACAACCUCCUCUUCAAGACACUGGUUACAUGGGCCAAGUUACAGCAACUACAGAGGAAAUUCAACCAAAACAUGUUGAAAAAGAAAUUGCAACACCAGUAGUCACAACCUGCACCAAACCAAACAAACAGAGUUUGAUAUCUCCUGAAGCUACCUAGCAGUUUAGACAUCCACCACCUUUCCCACAAAGGAUCCAGAAGCAAUAACAAGACAAGCAGUUUAGCAAAUUCCUGGAAGGGCUGAAACAACUGCACAUAAAUAUACCUUUUGUGGAAGUUUUGGAGCAAAUGCCAAAUUAUGUGAAAUUUUUAAAAGAUAUCUUAGCAUGAAAAAGAAAGCUGAGAGAGUUUGAAACUGUUGCUUUAACACAGAAGAGCAGCCAUAUGCUCAAGAGUAAAAUUCUCACAAAAGUAAAAGAUCCAGGGAGUUUUACAAUACCCUGCGCUAUAGGAACUAGGUAUGCUGGCAAAGCACUUUGUGACUUGGGAGCUAAUAUUAAUUUGAUGCCAUUAUCUGUAUUUAAGCAGCUGGGAGUAGGGGAGUGCAGACCAACAACAGUCACUCUGCAAUUAGCUGAUAGAUCUCAUGCAUACCCUGAAGGAAAAAUAGAGGAUGUAUUGGUGAAGGUUGACAAAUUCAUUUUUCCAGUGGAUUUCAUUGUACUGGACUUUGAAGUUAAUAAAGAGGUACCCAUUGUAUUGGGAAGACCUUUUCUAGCAACUGGAAAGACUUUGAUAGAUGUGCAGAAAAGAGAGCUCACCAUGAGAGUGAAUGAUCAGCAAGUCACAUUUAAUGUCCUAGAGGCUAUGAGAAACCCCGAUGAAGUAGAAGAUUGCAAUUUCCUAAGUGCAGUGGAUUUUGUUGUAGCAAACAAAAUGGACAGAUGCUACAAUAAUGCACUUGACAAAGUCACCACCUUUGAAGAUGUUGCAGCAAUCCAAACAUAUUAGAUGGACAAACAGCAAUCUAAUAGGCACAACAUGUUUAUUGAACACCUGAAUGUUUCAGACAGGGAAGUAAAAACAACUUUACCAUCUAUUGAAUCACCUCCUAGUUUUGAAUUAAAACUGUUACCUUCACAUUUGAAGUAUGCAUAUCUUGGUCAAAACAACACACUCCCUGUAAUCAUUUCUUCUACUGUGGAUGCAGGUCAAGAACAGAGUCUAGUAGAUUUACUGGGAAAAUACAGAAGAGCAAUUGGAUGGACCAUGGCAGAUAUAAAGGGGAUAAGUCCAUCAAUAUGCAUGCAUAAAAUCCUGUUAGAAGAUUGUUCCAACAAUUCGGUGGAGCACUAGAGAAGGAUGAAUCCUAUUAUGAAAGAAGUGGUGAAGAAGGAAAUCAUCAAAUGGUUGGAUGCUGGAAUCAUAUACCCAAUAUCGGACAGUUCAUGGGUAAGCCCAGUUCAAUGUGUUCCAAAGAAAGGAGGGAUAACAGUAAUGGCUAAUGAAAAGAAUGAACUUAUUCCUACAAGGAUAGUGACUAGAUGGAGAGUGUGUAUGGAUUACAGGAAACUCAACAAAGCCACAAGGAAAGACCAUUUCCCACUUUCAUUCAUAAAUCAGAUGUUGGACAGACUUGCUGGAAAACAAUACUAUUGUUUCUUAGAUGGGUACUCAAGUUACAACCAUAUUGCUAUAGCUCUAGAAGAUCAAGAGAAUACUACAUUUACUUGUCCCUAUGGAACAUUUGCCUUCAGAAGAAUGUCAUUUGGGCUAUGCAAUGCUCUAGCAACUUUUCAGAGAUGCAUGAUGUCUAUAUUUUCUGAUAUGGUAGAGCAGACUUUGGAAGUUUUCAUGGAUGACUUCUCAGUUUUUGGAGAAACAUACAAUGAUUGUUUACACAACUUGGAAGAAGUUCUUAAAAGAUGUGAGAUGACCAACUUAGUACUCAAUUCGGAAAAGUGUCAUUUCAUGGUGCAAGAAGGAAUAGUGUUGGGUCACAAGAUAUCCAAGGAUGGUAUUGAGGUAGACAAAGCUAAGAUAGAGGUAAUAGAUAAACUGCCACCUCCAACUUCAGUAAAGGGAAUUAGGAGUUUUUUGGGCCGUGCUGGAUUCUACAGAAGAUUCAUUAAGCAUUUUUCCAAAGUAGCUAAACCACUGUGUUCAUUGCUGGAGCAUGACAAACCGUUUCACUUUGACAAAGAUUGCCUUCAAGCAUUUGGAGAAUUAAAGAAAGCUUUGAUCACUGCUCCAGUAGUUAUAUCUCCAGACUGGACUUUACCAUUUGAAUUGAUGUGUGAUACUAGUGAUCACUCUGUGGGGGCAGUAUUAGGGCAAAGAAAGGAUAAAGUUUUUCACUUCAUCUACUAUGCAAGAAAACUCUCACUCAAACUCAAAUCAAUUACACCACUACAGAGAAAGAGUUGCUAGUAGUAGUAUUUGCUUUUGACAAAUUCAGAGCCUACUUAGUAGGCACUAGAGUGACUGUAUAUACAGACCAUGCAGCAAUCAAAUACUUAAUUUCAAAGAAGGAUGCCAAGCCAAGAUUAAUUAGAUGGAUUUUAUUGCUUUAAGAAUUUGAUCUGGAAAUUAAAGAUAGAAAGGGGACUGAGAAUCAAGUAGCAGACCACCUGUCACGGCUGGAUGCAGACACAAGCACAUUGACCAGAAACGACAUCACUGAAACUUUUCCUGAUGAACAGCUGUUGGUAGUACAAUAAGCACAGAUGCUGCAGCAGUCAGAAUCUCCAUAGUAUGCAGAUUUUGCUAACUAUUUAGUAAGUGGGUUGCUACCACCUGAGCUAAAGUUUUAAGAGAAAAAGAAAUUUCUUCAUGAUGUUAGAAGUUAUCAGUGGGAUGACCCACAUUUAUAUAAGCUAUGCUCAGAUCAAGUAAUAAGAAGAUGUGUUGCAGCAGAAGAGAUACCCCAUAUACUGGAGUCAUGUCAUGCUGCAGCAUAUGGAGGACAUUUUGGUGGUCACAGAACAGCUGUCAAAGUUCUGCAAUUAGGUUAUUAUUGGCCCACUAUUUUUAAAGAUACUUAUGAAUUUGUUAAAUGUUGUGACAGGUGUCGAAGGACAGGGAACAUAAGUAGAAGACAUGAAAUGCCACUGACCAACAUCCUGGAAGUGGAAGUUUUUUAUGUCUGGAGAAUAGAUUUUAUGGGACCCUUCCCGCCAUCUUUUGGGAACUUAUAUAUCCUUGUUGCUGUGGAUUAUGUCUCCAAGUGGGUAGAAGCUGCAGCAUUACCUACCAAUGAUGCUAAAACAGUUGUGGCUUUUCUUCAGAAAAAUGUUUUCUCUAGGUUUGGCACUCCUAGAGCAAUUAUUAGUGAUGAGGGCACACAUUUUACAACAAAAUCUUUGCUGCAGCAAUGAUGAAAUAUGGAGUCAGGCUGAAGUGUCCAACAGAGAAAUUAAAAAGAUCUUAGAAAAAGUGGUGAAUCCAAUAAGGAAGGAUUGGUCUUUACACUUGCAUGACUCUCUAUGGGCCUACAGAACAGCAUACAAAACUCCACUCGGAAUGUCUCACUACCGAAUUGUUUAUGGCAAAGCUUGUCAUUUGCCACUAGAGCUAGAGCAUAAAGCACAUUGGGCACUGAAGAAAUUAAAUUGGGAUAUGCAUGCUGCAACAGAGCAAAGGAAACUUCAACUUUGUGAGCUUGAUUAAUUACAACUAUUUUCAUAUGAAAAUGCAAGAAUCUAUAAAGAGAGGACAAAACACUGGCACGACAAGCAUAUUCAGCACAGGAAAUUCAACCCUAGUCAAUUAGUGUUGCUCCACAAUACAAGACUAAGAUUAUUUUUGGGAAAGCUCAAGUUACGAUGGUCUAGCCCGUUUAAGUUGUUAAAAUCUUAUUCUCAUGGAGUUGUUGAUCUUCUAGAUGAACAAACAGGCCACGAAUUCAAAGUUAAUGGACACAGGGUUAAGCAUUACAUACAUCCAGCAGUAGAAUGUUCAAAGGAGAUGUUACUCCUUAAAGAACCCAGCUAUUGAACAAUGAAGGAAGGUCAGGCUGAAGGACCUUAAAUCAAGCGCUCCAUGGGAAGCAGCCCAUUUGGGAGACAACCACUUCAAACCAAUUUUGAUCUCCUUUGGUUUAGUUGACAGCUCUCCCUCCUUACCAUUUUAUUUAAUUUUGUUCUUUCAUUCUAGCUAUUUAAUUUUAUCUUUUCAAAUUAUUGCAUUCUUUAAUUUUGCUAUCAUUUAAUCUAUUUAUUUUUAAAUGUUAGAAUUAAUUUGAAUUUGUGGGAAGUAUGUGUAACAAUUGAAUUCCAUACUGACAAGUGAGGUUGUAUGGUGGCAGAGUAUAGAGGUGAGCCACGUGUCAGAGGCUUUAGUGUGGAGUAUGUACCGUUGCUAGAGUAAGCGAAUGGGUGCUGCAGCAACCAAUUUUACCGUUGCAAUAAAUUGAAAGAUGAAGCCUCUCACUUACCGUUGGAGAUAAAUCAUGACAGAUGGAGGCUUGGAUGUGGAUAGAAAUUGCAAAUAAAUCUCUGAAAUUAAUGCCUUAAAUUACCUAGCCGAUGUUUUUGGGAUACGCGCUUUAAAUUAAAAAAUAUUUUCUUCCCUCAUUUAUCUUUAGUUACCGUAUUUAUCUCCAAUUAAAAGUCCACUAUAAAAAAGUCAUUGUACUUAGUGCUCUACACCACUAUUCCCCAUCUCCUUCGCAAAUCCAACUCUCCUAAUUCUUAGCCUCUUCUUCUCUUUUUACUCUCAGGAACAGUAGACUAAAUUUGUUACUGCUACAGUAAUGCCGAGAUAUAAGAAAACAGCAAGCCGCCUCAAAGAUCCGUCACGAUUCUAAAGUUACCACGCCGAAAAAAAAUAUGAAGAAUUCAUAGAGCCGCGUAGGAUUCUGGAAGAAAAAAGGUUUCAAUUUCCAGACCAACUCACGGGAAUUGUGCAAACAAUUCAUAAUGCUGCAGCAAAGCGAGGAUGGCUAGAGUUUUACAAACACCCUCGGGAUCCUGUGCUGCCUGUAGUAAAAGAAUUUUACGCCAAUUUGGUAAGCCCUGAUCAGCACAACAUUUGGAUAAGAAAUACACUUGUCCCAUUAGACUCUCGUGUUAUCAAUGCUUUUUAUAACUUACCUGCUGAAAUUACUUGUGAGUAUGCUAAGUUGCGUGAUAAGUUAACCCCGAAAAAGUGGAACACCAUUUUUACAACUCUUACAAUCGAAAGAGCAUCAUGGGCUAACAAGGAAGGGCGUGUAGUUAAUAGGAUAGAUUUGAAACCUAUUGCUAAGAUGUGGGUGAAAUUUCUGAAAUCUAGGCUUAUGCCCACCACUCACACUACUACAGUUUUGCAAGAAAGGUUGGUCUUGUUAUAUGUCAUAGUUCGCGGGCUUCCCAUAGAUGUGGGUAGCAUCAUCGCAAAAGAAAUCCGAGAUUGUGCAGUCAAGACUCACCGAACUGCUGCUUUGCUAUUUCCAUCACUCGUUACUAGCAUUUGUGUAGUUUCAGGUGUUCAUCUUGACGCCAGAGAUGACCAUGUCAAUAAUGAUGGUGCCUUUACGGCAUGAACCAUUGAGAGAGUUGCUGGUGAGAGUGCUGGAACAACCACUGAACCAGCUGCUGAGACAGGAGCAAGAUGAGCUAUUGGCUUAGAAAAGACCAUCCAGGCACUCAGCACAAGUAUAACUCAAUGUACGGAACCACAGCAGUGGGAAAACGAUCGAUUUUGGAGCUAUCUCCAGCACCUGGACAACCAACUACACCAAUUUUCUCUGUACAUGAAACGCACUCACCGGAACUUCCUUGAUGCACUGCUCCAGCAGUACAAUUUUGACACCAACACCACAAAUGCAUCAACAGAGGCUAGUGCAGAAGCCACUGCCACAGAGGAACCAGCAGAAGAUGCUACAGCCGAACCUCAAGCAGAGGAAGAAUCAGAAGAUGCUGAACCAUCUGAUUAGCCUGAGGAAGAAGGUGACAAGUCUGAGAUUGAUAGCUCACCUACAGAGGAAGAAGACAACUCGGAGAAAGACCGUGAGGAACCAACCAUCCUAACCCAGCCCAAAACCAGAAAAAAAAAAAGCACGUUAUUCAAGAAAAUGAGGAGGAAGACCUUGAAGAGGAGCCGUAUAUUCCAGUCCUUGCAGGCAAGAGAAAGGACAAGGGUAAAGCAAAAAUGGCAACAACUCCAGCCUCUGAAGAUGAGAUGGAGCAAGUCGAUGCUAAGCUGGCUGCUGCAGCAGCCAGAGCUAUGCCUACACCUAAGCAAGCUAAGCAACUACUUGCGGUUAUUGCUGCCAUCACAACUGAGGGCCAGGCAGCUGAUGCAUUAACUCAACAACCUCCACAGCAAACUCCUAGCCAGCCUAUUCGCACAAGUCCAAGACAAUCCAGCAAACAAAAAGGCAGUACGUCUACAAGUACUUCUACAGCAACCCCAGCCACAACUCCUCUCACCAGCCGCGCAGUGAAAAAGACAAAGACAUUGCCAGCUACUUCCCCAAAAGCUUCACCAAAGGAUGAGCUGCGCAGUGCAUCCAAGAAGUGCUGAUAGCAUCCCGUCAUGCACUCCAGUCCCCACCACAGGGGAGUACUCUAUCCUUACUAGUUCAUAUUUAAAAAAAAAAAAUUAUGUUUGUCAAUUUGUAUGCCUUUGUUAUGUAUGCUUGUGAGGACACAGCAUCUCUCAAGUUUGGGGGGAUUGUGUCCGAAUGCAUGUGUUUAUGUAUGUGUUUAUGUUUGUGUUGUGUGAAGCUCUGUUAUCUGUUAUUUGUGUAUGGAUUUGAAAACCUAAUAAAGAUAAAUUGAGUGUUAUUCAGUAUUUAUGAGAAUGCCAAGUAGAGAUAGUUAUAGAUAGAAGUGAAAUUAUGUCCCAACACUUAGACUUUGGUUGAAUUGUAUGAGACUGUUAGAGCAAAGCCAAAAGAAUAGAAAAUAUCUUAAGUUUGAAGGGAGAAGCAAGUUGAUUGACUGUGAUAUUUAUGAGAUAAAACUCUACUCCAAUGGCUCAAGUUGCUGAGUAACCAAAUCUGAGUAUGUACCCCAUAUGCAGAAUUGUGUAAAAGGUAGCAAGAGUUAUGAGCAAUGCUGUAGCAAAUAAAAAAAAAAGUCCUAUGUCUAAGGCAUUGAGUAGUCAGGUCUGUUCAUGAACCCCAUGUUCAGCCUUGAGUAAAAGAUACCUUUAGAUGAGAUUAUACCGCAAAUAUUGCUGCAGCAACUCUGAUCUGGGCAUGGUUUAAGUAAUUGGGUGUCAUCAUUACAAGUGAUUGACAUUCACAUGAAAGAUAAAUGUUACAGUAAGGAGGUUGAUUACUCCCCAGUUUAUCAAUGUAAAACAAUCACAGUUUGAAUAUGUGAAAUUUAUGCUACCCCAUUUAUGAAUGAAGUAUAUCACUGCUGAAAUUUAUGCAGUCCUUUGGUGAUGUUACAGCAUAUCUGGAAUUCAAUCAAAGGAAGCACACACACACAAUGGACAGAAAGAAGCUUAAGUCUAGAACUGAUUUACUAUGGCAUUUUGUAUGAUUGGGAUUGUGAUCUGAAGGUGGAAGAAUCCUUGCAAAUUUGAUAAAAGAGCUAAAGUUGUGUGCAUGUUUGUUUGCGGAAAAUGUUAGUAUGUGUCAUUACUUGAAGGCAAGUAAUGGUUUAAGUUUGGGGGUGUGAUAACUCUAAGAAAUGAGAGUUAUUACAUCAAUUCUAGACUUGAAUCAGGAUCAUUUAGAGAACAAAUAAGGUGUUUUUAUUACAUUUUGCUUAAACAUUCAUUUUAGUUGAGUAUUAAUAAGUUUUGCUUGAAUUAUAGUAAUUUGUACUAAAAACAUAUGCAUAAUUGUAGGUUCUUGGAAAGUCUUAAUUCAUGAGGGGAUGUCGAGGCAUUAGAUGAGCAAGAGGAGGAAAGAAGACGGUCAUAAAAGAAGAAAAGCACAAUCGGGAGUAAUGCAGUGCUGUUGUGGAUGUUAGAGCAACCCGUGCUAUAGCAAUCUAGAAGUAAAUGUCGGAGAAAACUUAGGCUCAGGUCAGCACAUGUUUCCUAAUUUAACGCACGCACGCUCAUGGGCUUGUGUUUACCCUAAUUUGCAAUAUAAAAUGGAGGCAAUACCACAAAGAAAUGCGGCAAGGAAAUUAUCAUUAGAAUAAUCACAAAGGAACGAAGAAGGAGAAGAUCAGAAUUGAAGAGUGUUGUUUUGGUAACAUUGGAGAAUCGUGCAGAAUUACUUGGCUUUGAUUUUCACCGUGCUCAACUUAUAUUUAUCUUCUUCUUUUAAUUGUUUUGAUGUAUUCCGAGAUCAAUAUAUUUAUGAUUAUUUUUGUCAUCCAGAUUAUGAACUAAAUUUACUUGUAGUUGAGUGACAAAUAAUCCAAUGGGUUCUUGACUGUUCUUAUAUGUUGUUAUGUUAAUGCUGUAGCAUUUUACUCUAGUAGUUUUUAUGAGUAUAACUGUUAUUUAGGUUGACCACCCAUUUAAUAGUUUCAGUUAAGAUAGAGCAGCAAAAGGGCAUGUCUUAGCGGACAUUAUUAGAGUAUUACUUGUUCUUAAGUCGAGUUUCCUGGAUUAGGUUAUCUUGAAUCCCAUAAGGGCAGUACUUGAAGUUAAGAUUUGUGACACUCUAGACAUAGGUGUUCACCUUGUAGGGUAGAGAGAUUAAAGGAUAUAAUGACGUACCAUAAAUAUAUGAGCAACUGGUCAUUGUUAGUAGAUUUAAAGGUAUGAGAUUUCUAACAUGCGAUAGCUGAGGAUGCAGAUUUAUUCUGCCCAGUGCUGCAGCACUUAUUGUAACAACUGGUGCUAAUUUGGUAAACAACAAUCACCCCAUUAGGAGAGUUUGAUCAUUCAACUACUAUAUUCUCAAUUGAAUCUUAGACACAGUUAACUUAGUUUAUUUCAUUACAGUAUUGUUUUAUUUCUAUCUCUCGCAAUUAUUAACUACGAUAGAAUUAUUUGACAAUUGUUUGUUUCGGUUUUAGUUAAUUUGCACUAUUGUGAUUGCUUUAGCAUUUUGAGUAACAUCAAUCCCUGUGAAGACGAUCUUGAAUAUUCAUCACUUUAUUACUUAUUGUGUAUACUUGCACAUUGGCAUUGGUAGUAAUUGAUUAUAAAAAUAAAUCAACAGGGAGAUAAGGAGAUGCUUCCAGUAAGUUGAUUGUAAGAAACAUCUAAUAUUCGGAGGGAUGUCAUAUUUGCCAAGCACCAAGGCAAGCUACCUCUUAAAUCAUUGCUUGCAAUGUACAACUCUUGUAGAUGCACCAACGAACAGAGGCCUGAAAAUUUAUUAAUUCAACCAUUGGUACAAUAAAACAAUUAACAAAUGCAUAACAUUCUUUUAUAAGUGAUUGGUUUGUGUAAUUAUAUUUUUAAUUGAAAAUUAAAAUUAUAGAUCAAGAGGGGAGGGUGGGAGCAUCUGAUUAACCUUGAUCAAGAAUCAUGCUGCUGUUAAUGCCAAUAGUAGAACCUGACAGUGAUAAGUACUUGAGAGAAGACAUCGAUUCACCGAUGCUUUGAAGAAAGCUGGUGUUGAGUGCACUGCGCAUGAAUUCCAUGUCCAAAUGUUCCAAACUCUUGAAAUGAGGAAAGCCUAGCAAAAACAAUAAAAUAAAUAAAUAAAAAUGUUGAACACUUAAGACGACAUUGAGUUCACAAUCAACACUUUUCUUUUACCUUGACCACGUACGACACCAUUGACUUCACAACCAAUCACCGACAGAUUUUUUAACGAAGGGAAUAUUGAUGCAAUGCUUUACAGAAGGCUUAUAUGGAGAGGGGAAUCGUUCAAUUUCAAAUAUUCCAAGUUGGUGAAAUUGUGCAACUCUGUUUCGAAGCAAUAAUUUUAGCUUUAUUAACAAUACGGAAAAAUAAUUAAUUAUUUAACAGUUUAUUUAUAAAUUUGGCCACAUAUGUACCGUUUAUUAAUAAUAUGGAUAAUUAAUUAAUUAAUUAGCUGCUUAUUUAUAAAUUUGGCCACAUUUGUACCUUUUACUUACCUUGAGUAGUAAUUGUCACUGUUUCCGUAAAAUUAUUAGACGAAAGGUAAAGAUUGUUGAGGGAUGGGAAUGAUCCCAUUGACUGUAACAACUUGCUUCCAUCUCUAACUCCAACUCUCGAUAGAUCAAGGCUUUUCAACUUCCUCAAACCGCUGUAACCUAUUUAAUAACAAUAAUUAGGAUAGGAUUUAAGAAAAUCAAAAUUCAUUGUCUAAAUUUAGAGCUAAACGAAAUAACUGAUUAAUUUAAUUAGGAGUCAAUUUGUAUUUUAUGCUUUGGGCAAAGAUCAGUAUCAUUUUUCAAUCGCUGCAAAGAUUAAAAAAUUAAAAUGAAAUCUUUAUUACAUUUUGUUUUUGAAAUAAUAAUAUUACGUCCUAUUUUUGAAAUAAUAUAAAUUCUAUGUUUCUUUAUUUUUAUUUUUAUUUUUUUGUACCUUUUGGGCCUUCCCUAAUCAAAUGAAUAAAAUUUAUGUAAUUGAAUAAUAUUUUAAAUGUUUACCUUGAGGAACCACAAGAUUGUUGAUUUCAUUGAAGCUCAUGUCCAACAAUUCUAAGUUGUUGAAGGAAUUGAAUUCUGCAAACAUAAACAGACUUAAGACUUAAAACAGAGUAAAUUAAUUAAUAAAUUUAAAGAAAUUAAAACGUCAUUAGAAUUUCGUCUAAACCAAACCAAAUAGUAUUUAAUUAAUUGAUUGAAAAAGUAUGCUUACUUUGUAUGUAAUUCCUUCAGGCUAAUCAAAUUAAAUAUUAAAUUAUGUCGAUAAUACAGAAGUCUAGCUGGCAUAUAUAAAAUGAGAAAGCAGGGCUUAGACUUACCUCGAACAUUGAAUGUUCCUUUGAAUCUCGUACCACUUAAACUAAGAGACUUCAAUUUACUCAAACCUGUAAAAUAAUAAACCAAAUGGCAAAGAAUCCAGCUAAUUUGUAUAAGUUAGCAUUUUUUAUGGUAUUUGUAGUACCUUUUGAGACCACAAAUUUGUCAAUCUUGUUCCCGCCAAUGUCUAGCUCCUCUAAAUCUCUCAAAGAAUCUAAUUCUGUAAUAAGUACAAAUUGAGUUGAAUGUUUCAAACCUCACCAAAUAAUAAUAAUAAUAAUAAUAAUAAGUUGUGGAGGUGUUUGGUUCACUAUUGGAGUUUUUUUUUAAUCUUAAAUUCAAGACAUAUGAAAGUACAAGAUGAAAUUACGAGAAACAUAAAAACUUGUAUUUAUAAAUUGCUUAAAACUGUUUUUUUUAAUAUUAAUCAUAAAAAAAUUGAAUUCAAAGCCUUGAAUCUUAUUUUAGCAAGUUAAUGAAAGAACUUGAAGUUUUAAUUAUGUACCUUUAACGUCAAUACUUCCUUCCAAUCUAUUCCAAAAUAAAUUUAAUGAUCUUAAUGGUGAAAGAUGAGUUAGAGAUGAUAAAAUGCUAUUAUUGAAUGAGUUUCCACUUAAAUUAAGCAUCUUCAAGUUGUUCAAUCUUGAUAGCCUCUCUAUACCUGCAAGUAAAAUAAAAAAAAGAUCAUAGAUACUGGUGUAAUUUCAAAAUUAAUCAUUUAAAAAAAAAGUCAAAAUUGUCGACUAAAUGAAUAUGCAUAUAAUUGCUCGGUCUUGAUAUUCAACUUAAAUUAGGGGGGAGAAAGUAAAUUAAUUAAAUUAAACGAAGCACCUUCAUUCUCAACACAACUGGCUAUUUUGUUGUCAGUUAAAUCAAGUGACUCAAGUUGUUGGAAGGGAGUAAACAAAGAAGCAUUCAGAUACCAGUACUCUCCCCCAUACGUGUCAGAAAGGUCUAGCGCUAUCACUCGGCUCAUGGUGUUGCUGCACUCAACCCUUUCCCACUGACAACAAUCAGUAGCUCCCUCACCAUCUCCCCAGUCGUAAAGAAAAUUAUAAGGAUCAUUGAGGAAAUGUUUGAGUCGCAAAAGAGCAAAUCUCUCAUGAUCCAAACAUCCCUCACUUCACCCACCUUCAAAUAUUAUUAAUAACAAAACAAACAUUAUCACCAUUUUUUUAUUUUGAACCACCCAUUCUAACUAUAUCUUUAAGUUUUAAAAAACACACACACUCUUUCUAUCUUUGUAACCAACCAGAGGACUAUACGCCAUUUGCUUAUAACGCAUGUAACUAUUUAUACACCCAACUAGCUUAUAGUUGACUUUUUUAGUUGUUUCUCCAAGUCCUUCAUGCAUUAAUUUUCUUCCCUUUUUUUUUCAUCUUUGUCAUUUUGCUAUAAUUUGCAACAGCAACGCGUUUUGAGCUAGCAAUAAAUAAUAAUUGAGAGAGAUUGAGAUGACAAAUGGAUAGAAACUAAAAGUAUGGGUGUUUAAUACGAGAACGAUUAUACCCGUUUAUUAUAUUUCAACCUAAAAAUUUACUCUAAGCAUUUAUAAUAAAUAAAAAUAUGAUAAUAAAAAUAAUAAAAAAAUAUGAAUAAUAUAUAUUUGUAAAAAAAAAAGAUUUAUGUGUCCAUUUUGAAAAUUAGCGAGUAUAUGUAAAUAUAAUUAUCAAAACAAACCAUAGAAGUGUUGUUAUUUUUUCCUUUCAAAAAAUCCACCAUUAUAAAAAAAGCCCAAAGACUUUGACAUCUUUUAGGAGUCUUUGGGCCUUGUUUUUUUCCCUCUUUUUCUUUCAUUUGCAUUUUGAUCCACAAGGCCAAAAAUUAAAUUCCACACCUUUGGCAUUUUGUGGAGAUUACAUUUCCAUGUUUUUACUUAGAAAGUAGGUGGAGACGUGGAGUCAAUGCGGCCAAGUGCUCAAUUAUUGUUAGUUAGCAAAAUAGAAUUUUUGGCGAGAUGAAUUUGUUGUAAAAAAGUUUUUGGAAAAAAUAAUAAUCAUCGGAACUUGUCUUGUGUCUUUAUAACAAUUUACUACUGCGAAAUCUUUACAACUUCACAUCUUUGAUUCAAUUAUCGCCACAAAGGCACAAGUACGUCCAUUUGUAAACCAAUCGAUAGAGAUCAAAUUUCAAGCCAUGAACUUGUAUUGUCAGCAAACACCUAAUCACUUUAGAUAUUUGUAUCGUUUAAUUAAUUAAUGAUCACUCUGAAAUUACAGAGGUUGGCCGAAUAUUCCCCUAAAAUUAAUUAAUUUUACCGAAAGGGAAUUAUUAGACAGAUCAAGUGUGUCUAGUUUUUUUGUUGUUUUGUAACAAUCAAUUUGGAAACUCUUCACUCAAGUUAGCAUCUUAGAGAUCAAGAUAAACAAACUCCUAGUGAUGCUAAUGGAAGAGGAAUUUAUAAGAGGAGAAGAGAGAGUAAUUAUGCUUGAUCAAGAAAGGUACCAUUAAAUCUAGAAUAUGACAAUUAAUGGUAGAAAAAUUAACAAGCAUGUAAUCCACGAUCAAAGAUUUUAAAUCCUUGAAAUUUAGAUAACCUAAAAAUUAACAUUGAACAAGAAAUAAAUCAACACUGCCACUUUGAUCACAUAAUCGAUGAAACUUAGGAUAUAUAAUCAACACCUGUUUAUUUUACUAUUGAAUUACUAUUUUUUCUGUAUUAUUUGAAUAAGGGAAUUGAUUUGGAGAAACUCUCACUAUAAUUGAUGAAAAUCAAGAUAUAAUCAAUACAUAUUCAUUUUAUUUUUAAAUUAAUACUUUUCCAUUAUUAUUUGAAGAAGGGAAUUGGUCUCAAAAAAUCUUAUUGUAAUAUAUGUAACUUAAACUUUUUUUUUCUGAAAUAAAAAUUAACUUUUAAGAAGGCUUCAAAUAUGGAGAGGGGACCAGUCCAUUAAUGUCAAUUCUUCCAAGUUAGUGACAUUGUGCAGCUUUAUUUGAUUAGAAGGUGCAACAUCUUUAGCUUUAACAUAUCUUAUUCUUUAAGACUAUUAAAACUUUUAAAUUAUGUCCACAUGCCCACCCUAUAAGAUCCACAAAAGUAGCAGAUAAAAUGGAAGAAGUACGCUAAGGGGCUGUUUGAUUUUAGUUGUGGCUUACACAGCACGAAAUUACACCAAAAAUGCCCCGACCAGAUUUAAUAAAACAAAUGUACUCUUACUCAGUUUAUUAUUUAUUUUUACAUAGAUAUAUUUUCUUUUUUUUCUUUUUUUUUCUUUUUCAACUUAGAAAAGAGAAUUAGGGGACAGAUCAAGUGUGUCUGAUUUUGCGUUGCUUUCUAGCAAUCAACUUGGAAACUUUCCACUCAAGUUAACAUGUGAGAGCUGAUGGAAGAGGAAUUUGAAAAAUCGUGACUCUAAUUUUGCAUAUAUUUGAUUAUUUCAACACUUGAUUGGUUUUGAAUGGUCCAAGAAUGGGCAAGUGACAAUGAGACUUGGAAGUGAUAGUUUGAAAAAGUGAGAUCUUCAAUUGAUAUUAGAUAAAUGAGAGUAGACUAGGAUAUAUUUCCAGUAAGCUUAUGGAGAGAGACAUAUCAAACUUGAAGUAAGAAGUCAUAUUUUCCAAGCACCAAAGACAAUUUAUUGUACCCGGAAUAUAAUUAUGGUCAAUAAAACAAAAAACUCUUGCAGAUUCAUCAACUGAUUGGGUUGAAAACAUAAUUCAUCCUUUAGCUAAUAACAAUUAAUGAACGCAUAAAAUCUUAUAUCUUUUAACAUAAAUGUUAAAUAUUAAUUUUAUUAAUAGUCGCAACCUUAUGCAGGCAUAAUUUGGUCAUGAAAACAAUAAAUCUAUCCGUUCUUAAAGGCUAUUAACUAUAACAAAAAAUCAAUUAAUAUAAUUUUUAUAAGAGGAGAAGAGAGACUAAGUAUCCUUCAUCAAGAAAUGUACCAUUAAGUCUAGAAUAUGAUAGUCAAUGGCGGAAAAAUUAACAUGCGCAUAAUUUAUGAUCAAAUAUUAUAAAUCCUUGAAAUUUAACAAGUCAUUUCAUUAAAAUAUGGAUCACCUUCCACACAUUUUAGAAAUCUUAUCAUUUUUUUUCUUUUUUCAUUAAAUUAUGUUUUGGUCCACACAACCGAAAAUUAAAUUCCACGCAUUUUGCAUUUAGUGGAAUUCUAUGUAUUUUUUAAUUUUACAAAACUUUAGUCGGUGGAGUCAAUGGGGCUAGAAAUUCAUUGAAGGGUCCCGAGAAUCAAAGGUGCUUACUCAAUUAUUAUUUGUAAAGUUGUAGACUUGUAGGGCAGCUACCGGAGUCCACACGUUGUAAUGUUUUGUUCACUAUCAAUCUCAUUGUUGGUCGUUUCCAACACGCUCAAGAAUCCAAUUCUGCAUAAACACAUAAAAUUAAAGACUUAAAACAGAGUUUAAGUAAUUAAUAAUUUAACUGGAAACAAAUUAAAAAGGAGAAUUUAAUUAUUGAAUUCCACAUUGUGCUAUUGAAAAUUAAAAAAAAAAAUUGUUGUCACCUCAGUCAAUUAGAUAAUCACUACAAAUAGUUCUUUAUGUAGAUGAUAUUCUUCUAAUUGGAAAUGAUAUAGGAAUAUUGACUACAAUAAAGAGUUGGUUAGCAAAACAAUUUGAUAUGAAAGAAAGACAUGAGAGAAGCAAGUUAUAUUCUUGGUAUCAAAUUACUACGAGACCGGAAGAAUAAAACUUUAGCCUUGGCUCAAGUGGUCUAUAUCGACAAGAUAUUGGUUAGAUUUAGCAUAGAAAAUUCCAAGACUGGUUUAUUACCAUUUAGACAUGGAAUUGUAUUCUCUAAGGACCAAUCACCUAAAACAUCUAAAGAGAUGGAGAAAAUGAGACGAGUUCCCUAUGCAGAAGUUGUGGGAAGUCCCAUGUAUGUCAUGCUUUGCACUAGGCUAGACAUCUGUUUUGUGGUAGGAAUGGUUAGCAGAUAUCAAAUCCUGGACCUGAACACUAGACUGUAAUCAAGCAUAUAAUGAAGUAUCUUAAAAAAACUAAAACUUAUAUGCUUGUGUAUUCUAGUGAUGAACUCAUUCCAGUGGAUUCUAGAAAAUCAACUUUCGGCUAUAUGUUUACAUUAGGAAGUGGAGCUAUUAAUUGGAGGAGUGUGAAACAAUUUGUAUCACAGACUCCACAACUGAAGCUGAAUAUGUGGAUGCAUCUGAAGCUGCAAAAGAAGUUGUAUGGCUUUGCAAGUUCCUACAAAAUCUUAAGGUGGUACCUGUUGUAACUGCACCCCUUAAACUAUUUUGUGAUUAUGGUGGUGCAGUAGCUCAAUCUAAGGAACCACAAGAAACAAAAACAUAUUGAGAGGAAACAUCAUCUUAUAAGGGAAUAGUAUAGAAAGACUAUAUGACAGUACCCCAAAUGACAUUAGAUGCUUUAUGGUAGAUUUUAUUACAAUGGCCAUUAGUGGGAAACCUUUAUAACCUGCACUUAGAGCCCCUAGAGCAUGUGCAAUAUGCCAGAUAUGCUUUAAAGAGCUAGUGGGAGAUUGUUGGGAUUAUGUGCUCUUUUAAAAGUAUUAUUAAUUUAUUUUCUGAUUAAUAAAAUAUUUGAGAUAUUUCAAUUGCAUAAAUAUAUUGAAUAAGGUCCGUUUAAUCAUAUUAUAUUUUCUCUUGCUAGUUGCUUUUAGUAGUGAUAAAAGCACCCACACGUCAAGUGCAGAUCAAACUUGAGUCAUAACCCAGAAGAUUAUUUGGUGACAGAUCGUGAUCUAACAAGCGUGGUGGUGACAGAUCGUGAUCUAACAGGCGUGAUGGUGACGGAUCAUGAUCUGGGAAGCCUGGAUUAAUUUCAAUUGUUCAUCUUCUCAGUUGCACUCAAUGUGUAUUAGAAUCCACGAAGGUCCGAUCCNNNNNNNNNNNNNNNNNNNNNNNNNNNNNNNNNNNNNNNNNNNNNNNNNNNNNNNNNNNNNNNNNNNNNNNNNNNNNNNNNNNNNNNNNNNNNNNNNNNNAACGUAGAACCCUGUAGUUGGUUGCAGAGAUAGAAAGAGUGAGUGUGUUUUCCAUAGUUAAAGAUAUAGUUAGAAUGGAUAGUUCAAAAUCAAAAAUGGUGAUAAUGUUUGUUCUGUUAUUAAUUAAAUUUGAAGGUGGGUGGAGUGAGGGAUGUUUGGAUCAUGAGAUAUUUGCUCUUUUUCGACUCAAAUAUUUCUUCAAUGAUCUUCAUGAUUGGGUAGAUGAUGAGGGAGCUACUGAUUGUUGUCAAUGGGUAAGGGUUGAAUGCAACAACACCACAGAUCGAGUGAUAGCACUAGACCUUUCUGAUACUAGGAAUUGGGAUUUGGGAGAGUGGUAUCUGAAUGCUUCUUUGUUUACUCCCUUUCAACAACUUGAGUCACUUGAUUUAAGUUGGAACAAAAUAGCCGGUUGUGUUGAGAAUGAAGGUGAAUUUACUUCUCCCUCCUAAUUUAAGUGGAAUAUCAAGACUGAGCAACUAUAUGCAUAUCGAUUCAGUUGACAAUUCUGACAUUUUUUUUAAGUGAAUAAUUAAUUUUGAAAUCACACAAGUAUCUAUAAUCCUUUUUUAUUUUACUUGCAGGUCUAGAGAGGCUAUCAAAAUUGAACAAUUUGAAGAUGCUUGAUUUAAGUGAAAACUUGUUCGACAAUAGCAUCUUAUCAUUUGUAGGUCGUCUUUCAUCAUUACGAUCAUUAAAAUUAUCUUACAAUAGAUUGGAAGGAAGUAUUGAUGUUAAAGGUACAUAAUUAAAACUUUAUCUCUUCUCCAAGCUCUUUCAUUAACUUGCUAAAAUAAGAUUCAAGGUUUUGAAUUCAAUUUUUUAAUGAUUAAUAUUUUAAAAAAAUAGUUUUUAGCAAUUCAUAAAUACAAGUUCUAGUGUUUCUCAUAAUUUCAUCUUGUACUUUCAUAUGUAUUGUAUUUAAGAUGAAAAAAAAAUUCUAAUUGCGAACCGCACACCCCCACAACUUAUUUUUUUGUGAGGUUUGAAACAUUCAACUCAAUUUGUACUCUUUACAGAAUUAGAUUCUUUGAGAGAUUUAGAGGAGCUAGAUAUUGGCUGGAACAAGAUUGACAAAUUUGUGGUCUCAAAAGGUACUACAAAUACCAUAAAAAAUAUAAACUUUUACAAAUUAGCUGGAUUCUUUGCCAUUUGUUUUAUUAUUUCGUAGGUUUGAGGAAGUUGAAGUAUCUCGGUUUAAGUGGCAACAAACUCAAUCAUAGCAUCUUAUCUUCUCUGACUAUCUUUUCUUUGUUAAGAGAAUUAUAUCUACGUGAUACGGGAUUCAAAGGAACAUUUGAUGUUCGAGGUAAGCCUAAGCCUUGCUUUCUCAUUUUAUAUAUGUCAGCUAGACUUGUGUAUCAUCGACAUAAUUUAAUAUUUAAUUUGAUUAGUCUGAAGGAAUUACAUGCUAAUUUAAACAAACUUUUAUUUACCCUGUCAAUCAUUAAUUAAACACUAUUUGGUUUGGUUUAAACCUACUUUUUUAUUUUAUAUGCUAGCUAGACUUAGAUACUAACUAUUUUGAUGAGUCUGAAGGAAUUAGAUACUAACUAAACAUACUUUUAUGUACUCCCUCAAUUAAUUAAUUAAUUAUUUCACUUGGUUUGGACGAAAUUCUCAUGAUGCUUUAAUUUCUUUAAAGUUAUUAAUUAAUUAAUUCUGUUUUUAAGUCUUAAGUCUGGGUAUGUUUGUAGAAUUCAAUUCCUUCAAUAACUUAGAAGCGUUGGACAUGAGCAACAACGAAAUCGACAAUCUUGUGGUUCCUCAAGGUAAACAAUUAAAAUAUUAUUCAAUUACAUAAAUUUAAUUCAUUUGAUCAGGGAAGACGCAAAAGGUACAAAAAUAAUAAUAAUAAAAUAAAGAAACAGAGAAUUUAUAUUAUUUCAAAAACAGGACGUACUAGUUAUUUCAAAAACAGAAUGUAAUAAAGAUUUGAUUCCAGUACUUUAAUCUUUACAGUGAUUGAAAAACGAUACUAAUCCUUUCCCAAAGUAUAAAAUACGAAUUGACUCCCAAUUAAAUUAAUCAUUUAUUUAGUUCAUCUCUAAAUUUAAACAAUGAAUUUUGAUCUUCAAUCCUAUUCUAAUUACAAUUAAAAAACAGGUUAUAGAGGUUUAAGGAAUUUGAAAAGCCUUGAUCUAUCAGAAGUCGGAAUUAGAGAUGGAAGUAAUUUGUUACGGUCAAUGGGAUCAUUCCCAUCCCUCAACACUCUUUACUUGACUUCUAAUAAUUUUAUCGAUACAACGUCAGGUACAGAUGUGUCCAAAUUUAUAAAUAGGCUGUUAAUUAAUUAAUUAAUUUUCUGUAUUGUUGAAAAAGCUAAAUUUGUUGCUUCGAAACAGAGUUGCACAAUUUCACCAACUUGGAAUAUUUGGCAUUGGACUCUUCCUCUCUCCAUAUAAGCCUUUUACAAAGCAUUGCAUCAUUCACUUCGUUAAAAAUAUUGACGAUGACUAAUUGCGAAGUCAAUGGCGUCCUAAGUGGUCAAGGUAAAAGAAAAGUGUUGAUUAUAAAUAAACUAUUAAUUAAUUAAUUAAUUUUCCGUAUUAUUGAUAAAGCUAAAUUUGUUGAUCCUUCCUUUUAAUUCUAAACAGAGUUGCACAAUUUCGCCAACUUGGAAUAUCUGGCAUUGGACUUUUCCUCCCUCCAUACAAGCCUUCUGCAAAGCAUUGCAUCAUUCACUUCGUUAAAAAAAUUGUCGAUGACUAAUUGUGAAGUCAAUGGUGUUCUAAGUGGUCAAGGUAAAAGAAAAGUGUUGAUUAUGAAUAAGCUGUUAAUUAAUUAAUGUUGUUGCUCCUUGCUUCUAAAAUGAGUUGCGCAAUUUCACCAACUUGGAAUAUUUGAAUUGGACUCUUCCUCGCUCCAUAUAAGCCUUCUGCAUCUGCAAUUGCUUGAAGAAUUUAUUUAUUUAUUUAUUAUUGUUGUUGUUGUUGUUGAAAUGGGGUGGGCAAGCGUUCACUCAGUUAAUAUGUGGUGAAUUAAAUAUUACAAUCCAAGUUAGAAUUGUGGAAAAUUAAAGCAAAAUGAGAAAUAUGGACAGAAAGGAAGAAAGUUAAGGGCAUGAAAGACUAGGAGAAGACUGAAGACCACCAAAUAAGUCAAUUGAAAACUAGCUGGGGCUUGGGUGUACAAAUUGUUAGAAGUGUUUGUUAUAAAUCACAUAGAGCCCUCUUGUUGGUUGCAGAGCCAAAGAGACAAAGAGUGUGCAUUUUAUUAAUUAAAAAAAUAUAUAGAAUGGGUGGUUUAAAAUCCAAAUGGUGAUAAUGUUAGUUUUGUUAGUAUUAAUAAUAUUAGAAGGGGGUAGCGUGAGGGAUGUUUGGUGCAUGAGAGAUUUGCUCUUUCGAGACUUAAAAAAUUUCUUCAAUUCUCCUUAUAAUUUUUGUCACGACUGACCAUUGUCAAUGGGAUGGGGCUGGGUGCAGCAACACCACAGGGCGAGUGGUAUCUGAAUGUUUCUUAGUUUACUCUUUUUCAACAAAUUGAGUGGGUUAAUUUAAGUUGGAACAAUAUAGUUGGUAGUGUUGAGAAUGAAGGUGUUUCGUUUAAUUUAAUACUUUCUCCCUCCUAAUUUAAGUCGAAUAUCAGGAUUGAGCAACUAUAUGUAUCUUUAUUCAGUUGACAAUUUUGACAUAUUUUUUUAAAUGAUUAAUUUUGAAAUUACAUCAAACUGAUGUGAUCUCUGUUUUGAUUUUACUUGCAGCACUAGAGACGCUCUCAAGAUUAACCAACUUGAAGAUGCUUGAUUUAAGAGGAAACUUGUUCAAUAAUAGCAUUUUAUCAUCUCUAGCUCAUCUUUCAUCAUUAACAUCAUUAGAUUUAUCUGAGAAUAAAUUGGAAGGAAGUAUUAAUGUUAAAGGUACGUAAUUAAAAUGUCAUCGCUUCUCCCAACUCUUUCAUUAACAUGCUAAAAUAAGAUUCAAGGCUUUGAAUUCAAUUUUUUUUAAUGAGUAAUAUUAGAAAAAUAGUUUUAAGCAAUUCAUAAAUACAAGUUUCAAUGUUUCUCAUAAUUUCAUCUUGUACUUUUGUAUGUCUUGACUUUAAGAUUAAAAAAAAAAAUUAUUCUAACUGUGAAGCAAAUACCCCACGACUAAUUUAUUAUUUUGUCUAGUUAAAAAUGAUAAAAUUUAUUAUUUGCUUAUAUUGAUUAAUUAACUCUAUUUUUAAGUCUUAAGUCUUGGCGUCUUGGCAUGUUUGCAGAAUUUGAUUCCUUGAGCAACUUAGAGGAGUUGGACAUGAGCGGCAAUGAAAUAGACAAUUUUCAGGUUCCUCAAGGUAAACUAUUAAAAUAUUAUUCAAUUACAUUAAUUUAAUUCGUUUGAUUAGGGAAGGCCAAAAGGUACAAAAACAUAAUAAAAAACUAAAGAAACAAAGAAUUUAUAUUAUUUCAAAAAAUAAAAUGUAAUACUAUUAUUUCAAAAAUAGAAUGUAAUAAAGAUUUGAUUCCGGUUCUUUAAUCUUUACAGCAAUUGAAAAACAAUGUUGCUCUUUUUCUAAAGCAUAAAAUAUGAAAUGAGUCAUAAUUGAAUUAGUCAUUUAUUUUGUUUAGCUCUAAAUUUAGAUAAUAAAUUUUGAUUUUUUUCAAUCCCAUCCUUAUUAUUAUUAUUAUUAUUAUUAUUAUUAUUAUUAUUAUUAUUAUUAAACAGGUUACGGAGGUUUGAGGAAGCUGAAAAGCCUGCAUCUAUCGAGAGUUGGAAUUAGAGAUGGAAGCAAGUUGUUACGGUCAAUGGGAUCAUUCCCAUCCCUCAACACUCUUUACCUUUGGGGUAAUAAUUUUACGGAAACAAUGACAACUACAACUCAAGGUAAGUAAAAGGUAUAGGUUUGGCCAAAUUUAUAAAUAAAUUGUUAAUUAAUUAAUUUUCCACAUUAUUAAUGAAGCUAAAUUCCUUGCUCCUUCUUUGUAAUUCUAAACAGAGUUGCACAAUUUCACCAACUUGGAAUAUUUGACAUUGGACCAUUCCUCUCUCCAUAUAAGCCUUCUGCAAAGCAUUGCAUCAAUAUCCCCUUCAUUAAAAAAUUUGUCGAUGUGUGGUUGUGAAAUCAAUGGUGUCGUACGUGGUCAAGGUGAAAGAAAAGGGUUGAAUAUGAACUCACUCAAUGGUGUCCUAUGUGUUCAACUUAUUUAUUUUUUUAUUAAUUUUAUUUUUUAAUGUUUCUACUAGGUUUUCCUCAUUUCAAGAGUUUGGAACAUUUGGAGAUGGAUGACGCGCGCAUUGCACUCAACACCAGCUUUCUUCAAAUCAUCGGUGAAUUGAUGCCCUCUCUUAAGUACUUAUCACUAUCAUAUUCUACUCCUGGCACUAACAGCAUCGAGAUUCUUGAUCAAGGUUAAUGAGAUGCUCCACUCUCCCCGCUUAAUCUAUAAUAUUAAUUUUUGAUUAAAUGUUUAAUUACACAAACGAAUCACUUAUUUUAAAAGAAUAAUACGUAUUCAUUAAUUUUUAUAUUGUAUUAAUUGAUGAAUUUAAUAAAUUUUCAGGCCUCUGUUCGUUGAUGCAUAUGCAAGAGUUACACAUUGCUCAUAACGAUUUAAGAGGUAGCUUGCCUUGGUGCUUGGCAAAUAUGACAUCCCUCAGGAUAUUAGAUGUUUCUUCCAAUCAACUUACUGGAAGCAUCUCUUCAUCUCCCCUCAUUCAUUUGACAUCCAUUGAAGAGCUGAGGCUUUCAGACAAUCAUUUUCGGAUUCCAAUUUCACUUGAACCACUUUUUAAUCACUCAAGACUCCAGAUUUUCGAUGCUUACAACAACGAAAUAAAUGCAGAAAUAACUCAAUCACCUUCUUUGACCCCAAACUUCCAAUUAUCACAUCUCUCAUUGUCUUUCGGUUAUGGAGAUGGUGUCACAUUCCCCAAAUUCCUUUACCAUCAACAUGACCUUGUGAAUGUUGAUCUCUCACACAUAAAGAUGAAUGGAGGAUUUCCAAAUUGGUUGUUGGAAAACAACACAAGAUUAGAAACUCUUUCUUUGGUCAAUGAUUCUCUUGCAGGACCUUUCCGAUUGCCAAUUCAUUCACACAAGCAGUUAAGACUGUUGGAUGUCUCCAACAACAACUUCCAAGGCCACAUUCCAGUAGAAAUUGGAGAUAUUUUACCAAGUUUAAUAUCCUUUAACAUUUCAAUGAAUGCUUUAAACGGUAGCAUUCCCUCUUCAUUUGGUAAUAUAAACUCCCUUCAAAUUCUGGACUUAUCCAACAAUCAAUUGAUUGGUGAAAUACCCGAGCACUUGGCUGUGGGUUGCGUCAACUUGGAGUAUCUUACAUUAUCAAACAACAACCUAGAAGGUCAUAUGUUCACUAGAAAUUUUAACCUGACAAACUUGAGAUGGUUACAAUUGGAAAGCAAUCACUUCGUAGGAGAGAUCCCACAAAGCUUGUCUAAAUGCUCUUCACUAGAAGGAUUGUAUCUUAAUAAUAACAGUCUCUCGGGUAAGAUUCCACGAUGGUUAGGUAAUCUCAAAGGGUUAAAACAUAUUAUAAUGCCCGAGAAUCAUCUUGAAGGUCCUAUUCCAAUGGAGUUUUGUCAACUUUAUUCGCUUCAGCUUUUGGACAUUUCAGACAACAACAUAUCUGGAAGUUUACCAUCUUGUUUCCAUCUUCUCUCUAUCGAACAAGUUCAUCUUUCAAAAAAUAUGUUACGUGGACAGCUAAAAAGAGGUACAUUCUUUAAUUGCUCUUCCCUUGUGACAUUAGAUCUUAGCUAUAAUCGUUUGAAUGGCAGCAUUCCGAAUUGGGUUGAUGGGCUUUCUCAACUAAGGCACCUUAUCUUAGGUCACAAUAAUCUUGAAGGUGAAGUGCCAGUUCAAUUGUGCGGAUUAAACCAACUGCAAUUGUUAGAUCUUUCUAAUAAUAAUCUUCAUGGCCAUAUUCCUCCUUGCUUUGAUAACACCACACUUCAUGAAAGUUAUAGCAAUAGUUCUAGUCUUAAGCCAUUUGAAAUAUCUCUUGUCAUGGAAAGCGGGAUGAUCUAUGCAGAAAAGCAAAUCCAUGAAAUUUUUGAGUUCACAACAAAGAACAUUGCGCACAUUUACCAAGGAAAAGUGCUUAGCCUCCUAUCAGGACUUGAUCUUUCUUGCAACAAGCUAAUCGGUCAUAUUCCUCCUCAAAUUGGAAAUUUGACAAGGAUUCAAACAUUGAAUCUAUCACACAACAACUUGAUAGGAUCGAUCCCAUCAACAUUUUCAAACUUGAAGCAAAUCGAAAGUUUGGAUCUUUCUUACAACAAAUUGAAUGGGAAAAUCCCUCAUCAACUUAUGGAGUUAAACGCAUUGGCUGUUUUCAGUGUGGCAUACAAUAACUUAUCAGGCGAAAUUCCAGAAUGUAAAGCACAAUUUGCAACCUUCAACGAGAGGAGCUAUGAGGGAAAUACUUUUCUUUGUGGACUGCCAUUGCCCAUUUGCAGAUCACCAGCAACUAUGCCAGAGGCUUCAAUUGGCAAUGAACGAGAUGAUAAUUUAAUUGACAUUGACAGUUUCUUUAUCACAUUUACAACAUCAUACAUAAUUGUGAUAUUUGGAAUUGUUAUUGUUUUAUAUGUAAAUUCUUAUUGGCGACAUAGAUGGUUUUACUUUGUUGAAAUGUGGAUAACUUCAUGUUACUAUUUUGUUGUAGACAAUCUUAUUCCAACAAGAUUUUGUCAUUGAAAUUAAUUAGUAGUUUAAUUACGAUUCUUUAAGUACUAAUCAGGUUUUCUUGGGAAAUAAAUUUUUUUAUUUUUUAUUAAAAUUGUAGUAGUAUUUAGCAUUAUAUAGCUUCCAACUUCCAAGCACUUCACAUUUGUCUCUACACUUAAAAAGCGAGUGAUCAUGUUUUGUAGAUCUGGAUUUGGAGCAGGAUGGAUCCAAACCCAUAUCUAUCCAUCAUAGCUUAUAGCUUCCCUAUACUGUGCAGCAUACUUAAAUAAGAGAACCAUCUCCAAUGUUAAAAGUAGCCACUCUAUAACAAUCAUUUAGAAACUAUAUUCAGAAUAGUUUUAUAAUCAUACACAAGAAAUGAAACACCUAGAUGCACUUGAUCGCCUAUUUUACUUUGAAAAAGAACAGUUAUGGUGCUUUCAUCAUCUUCUUCACUAGCAACAUUAACACUAAAUCCACCGAUGGACCCAGACAUUUCAUCAAGAAAGGUAUAUAUCUAAUAAAGUUAAAGCUUGACAAAAAAUUCAGGAAGAUUAAUGCCUCGCCACAACAAGGGCCACAACAACAUCAAAGUAGAGAUGAAGCAGUAUUCUCAAAGCUAAAACUCUCAAAUCCACCUAGGGGUGUUUAGAAUCCAAUUUGAUCCGCUCAAUCCGUCUAAUCCAUAGAAAUCCAAUUUGUAAAAAUCUGAUCCGUGGAUUGGUGGAUUAGAUUAGAUUGAAAAUUUGAUAAUCCGCAAUCGGUGGAUUAGAUACGGAUCUACUUCUGUAAAUCUAUAAAAAUCUGUGAAUCCGCAAAAAAAUAAAAAGUAUUUAUUUAAUUAAAAAAUAAAACUUGUAAAUAUGGUAUUAGUACUUACUAGUACAUAAAUAAGUUAAAAUAUAGUUAUAUUAACAGUAUGUUAUAUCUUAUCCGAUAAUAAUAAAAAAUAAAAAAAUAAUUAAAUAAACAAAUAUAGCUUUCUAAAUAGUUAAUUUCUAUGUACUGAUCUAAACGAAUGAGAUUUUUUUCGUUUUGAUGUGUUAUAUUUCGAAACUUUAAAUGAAUUUUUUAAGCUUUAUUUAAACAAUUAAUUUAUUUAAAUCUUAUUUAAUUUUAAAUUUGAAGUCCGUAAACCAAUCCGCAAAAUAUUAGAUUUGGUCAAAUCUGCAUCCGAUCCGUAGAUGUAUGGAUUGGAUUUGGAUUGAAUUUUACCAAUCCGUGGAUUGAAUUGAAUUGAAGAUUUAUAAUCCGCAAAAUCGUAGAUCGGAUAUGGAUUGAGGUCUAAUCCAUAAAAUCCGAUCCACGAACACCCUUAGUUGGAUUCUUGAGUGAGAACAAUUCCUAGGCCAAAUCCAAAUUGUCUACAAGAAAUCCAACGUCCUCAAGAGAUCAUAUAUAGUUUUCAAAUUGCGGGAAAGCUCUAAAACUUGUGAAUUGAGAAAUUGUACAUGCAUGUCAAGCUUUAACCAAUGAAUUUGCUUUAAUUUAUCAACAAUAAGAAUAUAAGAUGAGAUUUGACCUAGUUGUUACUCUUGUGAAUAAAAAAAUUGUGUGCCUGAACAUGAUUUAACUAAUGAAAUGAAUUUUCUUUAAUUUUUUUUAAUAAUAGGAUGAGACUUUCCUGAAACGAAAAGUACGGAUAUAUAAUUUGUUGGCUUUAGUUACCUUACAUAAUAAUGUAUGGUACAUAACCGUUUGAUGAAAAUCCAACAGUCGUGGAAAUAAUAAAAUUUUAUUAUCUUAUAUUUUCACAACUGUUGGAUUUUCAUCAAACGGUUGUGGAAAAUCAAAUGGUUGUGGAAGAGUCAUUUACCUUACAUUAUUAUGUAAGGUAACAAGCUCCUAAUUUAUUUAGUAUGAUUGAAAAUUAUGAAUGAAAAUAGUUUUGCCAAAAUUGACAAAAUCAAAAUCUUUAAAUUAGUGAAAAGUCUUCAAGUCCUAUGUGAUAUAAACACGUAUUUGGCCUACUUCUUAGAACUCUUAUGGCUAUAGUCAAGCUAGAUGAAAAAGAGAUUUACUAAUUCUGAGUUAGAGAUCAUGAUGGUAACAUCUACACCUUACUCAAUAAAAUUCUUUGCUUAUUUUUUUAUUACUUAUGGUUGAAUUAGAAAUUCAAUUAUUCUUUUAUAACGUGGUUUAAAAUAUUUAAUAAAAGGAAAUUCUUAAAUACUUUGGAGAUUUCAGAGCUUUUUUUUUAAUUUUUAAAAAAGAUAGAGAUGUGACAAAACUAAAAAAAAAAAAUUAAACUCAGAUGACCAACUAAAAGUUAUCUGAUCACUUUAUUUGAACGAAAACUUUAAUGCUGUUAUGAAAAUGUGUAGAUCAAGCAAUGAAAAAUUCCAAAAUAUUGGUAAUAACUUCAAAUUACAACGACGGAGGUAGGUUGACGGCGACCUUAUGUAGCGGAGGCAGCCAUAAAUUUUAAAUUUUGUUUGCGUUGAAGUCAAAAUUCAACUGUCGCCGACCCAUUUGGUUUGAACUCUAUGUCAAUCGGGUCUGCCCAAAACCAAACACAACCCAAACCAUAGCCAGCAUAGGUGCUAAGAAGAUUCUUUUACUUUGUCACUUGUCGCCUACAAUGAAAUUGACAUUAAACAAACAUUAAAACGUGUGGACUCCGAUAGCUGCCCCACAACUGUACAAUAAUAAUUGAGUAUGCACUUUUGAUUCUCGGGACCUUUCAAUGAGUUUCUGCCCCGCUGAUUCUAUCAACUAAAGUUUUGUAAAAUGAAAAAAAAAAAGUACAUAGAAUUCCACAAAAUGCAAAACGUGUGGAAUUUAAUUUUUGGCCGUGUGGACCAAAAUAUAAUUUAACGAAAAAGGGCAAAAAUGGUAAGAUAUUUAAAAUGUAUGGAAGAUGAUCCAUAUUUUACUGAAACGACUUAUCUCGAACAUUAAGAUGAUUGAUUUUUUCUUUUUGAAUAAUAUCAACUUCCAUAUCUUUCUACCGGAGAACAUGCUCACAUUAAAGUCUAUCUUACUAAUUUGAAAAAGAAAAUCAAAUCAACACCAAAGCAAUGAAAAGUAAAGCUUUUGAAUUUUAACUCCGGCUGGCAAACGUAUUCAGGAAUUCUUCCCAUUGCAUAUCUUAUUCCUCCAUCAAUGCAAUAUUAAGUAAUUUUUCUUUAUCAUAUUCUUUUCUUUGCAUUUCUUCUUCCUCUAUCAAUGCAAUAUUUGAACAAUUAAGAAAGAGUUUAAGAACAUAAAAGAUCUCCUAGAUUUAUACGGUAUAACAAAUUUAAAUUCUCAAUUAUAAUGGAUAAUAAUUAAACUAAUAAUUAUUUAUUUACUUAUUUUAAUAGUUUCACCUAAGAAUAAUAUUGUAAUUAGAAAAAAUCUAAAAAGCGGGGUGGUUUUAUACAAAAUCAAUUGCAUACACAUAUCCAGAAGCAUAUGCGGAUGCAAAUAAUAUUUUUUAUUCUUUUUUUAUAAGAAAAUUGUGUAUUGAGAUGAAUAAAAUGUUUAAUUUAAUUAAUUUCCUUACUUUCAUAUACAUUGUCUUUCUAUCUAAAGAAAGCUCAUGUUUGUUAGUAUUCAUUCUUAGAGAGGUGAAAAAAUUACAAAUCUUGAACAACAAGGAGUAGUUUAAUUGCCACUAACUUUACUUGGCCUUCUUUAGUUGGAGCUGUGUUUUCUGAUAAGCCAAAGAAUUAGUAGCUGUUAGAAAGCUGAAAUGAGAUUGUAAACUUUGUUUGGAAGCUAAGAAAAUGAAAAGAAAAUGUUCUGGAAAUUUCUUGAUUUUAUUCAAUUUUUCUCAUUACAUAACAAAUACAAUCACGAUAGUAUUUAUACUAAAUCAAGUCUCUAAAACAAAAAUAAUAGUUUGCUUAACAGCUGACGAACAGGACGUAAUGCAUGCUUAACGGAAUUGCUGAGCUGGCUUCUUUUCUUAACUAACUGCUGACGUGUCAUUGGCACACACGUGUUGAAUAUGCAGCUCCCUUUUGUACAAUGUGUGCUUCCUUAACAGCCCCCCUCAAACUCAAGGGGCAGGGAUGCACAUUGAGUUUGCUUCUAAAGUAGUUAAAGUGAAUGAAUGUGAGAGGCUUGGUCAAGAUGUCUGCAAUCUGCUCUUCACUGGGAAUGUAAUUGAUCUCCAGCUCUCUUGCCAACACUUUAUCUCUUAUGAAGUGCAUGUCUAGUUCAAUAUGUUUAGUUCUCGAGUGGUAGACAUGAUUUUUGGCUAGCUCAGUUGCACUUAUAUUAUAGCACUAUUUUGUAGGCACUGAAACACAUUCUAUCUUGAUCGUCUUGAAUAAUGACUGCAACCAUGUAAUUUCUGCACUUGCAAAAGCAAGAGCUCUGCACUCACUCUCUGCACUUGAUCUUGUGACUAUUGAUUGCUUCUUGGAUGACCAAGAUAUCAAAUUAUGCCCCAAGUAAAUGCAGUAUGCCCCUAUUGAUUUUUCUAUCAUCAACAUCAUAUGCCCAAUCUGCAUCUGCAUAUUCUAUUAGCUUUAUUUCUCCACCAGCUGUACACUUUAAUCCAUAGUCUUCUGUUUCUUUCAAAUAUCUAAGUAUCCUCUUACAAGCCAUGAUAUGUUGAAGUGUUAGUGUAGACACAUAUUGACUUAAUUUGUGCACUGCAAAAGCAAUUUCUAGCCUAGUCAGGACUAAAUACUGUAACUCUCCAAUCAAGCUUCUAUAACUAGUUGCAUCUUCAACAUACUGACCCAAAGAUCCCUUAACUUCUUUAUGAAGUUUUGUUCUUGUAACCAUUGGAGUAUCACACCCUUUGCAGUCAAGCAUAUCAACUUUUCUCAGCAAGUCUUUAAUAUAUUUUUUUUUGGGACAGAUAUAUAUCAUUCUCAGUAUAAGAGACUUCUAUACCAAGAAAAUAUGAAAGCUUUCCUAAAUCUUUUAAUGCAAACAUUUUGCUCAAACCUGAGAUAAAUUUUUCAAGUUCAUCACUAUUAGGUCAUGUUAUCAAUAUGUCAUCAACGUAAAUCAGGAUUAGUAUCAUUGAAUUCUGUUCUCCCUUGAAAAAUAGUGAAGUGUCGGCUCUGGAAUUUUGAAAACCCCAAUUUGUAACCAAACAACUCUUCAGUUUGUCAAACCAUACUCUAGGAGAUUGUUUCAACCCAUAUAAGGCCUUCUUCAACUUGCAUACAUAAUCAGGUCUUAUCUCAUCAACAAAUCCUUCAGGUUGGCACAUGUAAACAUCCUCUGUCAAGUCUCCAUUUAGGAAAGCAUUACUAACAUCUACUUGUCUGAUCAUCCACCUAUGCAUUACAGCCAAGCUCAAUAUAACUCUCACUGUAGAAGCCUUUAUAACAGGGCUAAAUCUUUCAAAAUAAUUGAUUCCUUUAGUUUGUUGGAACCCUUUUGCAACCAACCUAGCUUUAUAUUUGGCAAUACUGCCAUCACUAUUUUGUUUGACUCUAAACACCCAUUUGUUUCCAACAAUUUUGUAUUCAGCUGGAGGUGGUAUAAGAGACCAAGUCUCAUUUCUGAUCAAGGCUUCAUAUUCCUCUUUCACGGCCUUAUACCAGUGUUUAUCAUUAAGAGCUUCUCGAACUGUGUUAGGUUCUUUGUUGAUCAAGGUGGUUGUGUACAACUUAGGCUUGAAUAUUCCAGACUUCGAUCUAAUGGUCAUUUUGUGUGUGGGUUGUGAAGUCAGAAUUCUGUUUGGACUGAGUUCAGUUUGUUGUUGACUGGUUACAUGUGGUUCAAAUUGUGUUUGAGUUGGUUCAGGAAUAUGACGGAUAGUUUGUGAUGUUGAUGAUUUUGAUAUGAAUGACUAGAUGAUUCUUGUUGAUGCUGAUUAUUUGUAUGCUCAGGUAAUACAGGUGUUUGUUCAUUACUCGGUACUCUUGCUGAGUAAGUAUCUUCAAAGCUGCUGUUGAGUAAGGGUAAUGUUGAGAGAUGAUAGAUUUGUUGUUUAGAGAAAUUUGACACUGGAGUUUCUGAUUGGAUGACAUUUUCAGAAGAAGAAGUGGCAAAGAUUGUUGCAUAUGGAAAUACAGUCUCAUCAAAGACAUCAUGCCUAAGAAUAUGAACUUGACCUGAGCUUGUAAGACAUUUGCAUCCUUUAUGAGAUGAGCUAUAUCCAAUAAAGAUGCAUUUGCUAGUAUGAAAAUCAAACUCAUGUCUGUUAAAGUCUCUCAUGUAUGGAUAACAAAGACAACCAAAUCAUUUAAGGAAAUUGUAAUCAGGUUUAUGCUUGAAAAGUUUCUGAUGUGGGGAUAAGAGUCUCAAUACAGGUGUUGGCAACCUGUUUAUGUGAUAUACUGCUAUAUGAACAGUUUCCCACCAGAAUUUGAAAGGAAGAUCAGCUUGAGUUAAAAGAGUCAAGGCCAAUUCAAUUAUAUGCCUAUGUUUUCUUUCUACCAGUCCAUUCUGGUGAUGAGUGUAAGGGCAUGAGUGUUUGAAAAUGAUCCCAUUUUGGUUCAAAAAAUCAGUGAAUACUCAAUAUUCUCCCCCUAGUCAGAUUACAUCAUCUUAAUUGUUGUAUUGAACUGAUUCUAUAAUUCUGUCUUUAGAAAUGCAACUAAAUUUUUAAUCUCUUACUCUACAUAAAAUUGAAAUUCGAGUGGCUUAUCAAAUAAAAUUAAAACUAUUAAUUAACCAAAUAAAAUUAUUUAAAACCAUUGGGUAUGGUAGCAGGAGUUCUUGAAACUAUCGAUGCCAUGAAAUUUACUGGCGAAAAGGGUUUUAGAUGUCUAUUUUAUAAAUCUUUUAAUAAUUUUUUUAUUUACCAUUUUACUAUCCAUGGUAAAAGUGUCGCAUCGACAUUGAACAGUUCAACAUAUCAGUCAUUUCUCAUUCAGUCAUUAAGAAUUUACGUUUGGGGUAUUUUUGUAAUUAUGAGAAGGUAAACUAAUCGCAAAAUUCAUUUGGCUUGCACUUGCUCGCCUUUGCUGUGUGUUUGGUUAUGGCGUUAUCAUUAUCAUCUUCUCCACUCCUGCUGACACCAGACCUUAACCGUUCAGAUUCCCUUUCUCGACUGUCAUACCCUACGCCCCGUCUCCGUGUCUCCGAUAAACAGUGCUCAAUUAAGACCAUCAGAUUAUCCCGGACCCACAUUAAUCCAACGGCUCACAAUGACCGACAACCUCUCCAUCUCCAUUACAAGCUCCCUCUUCAGCUGGCUUCUUCUUCCGUCCUACUCUUUCUCGGAUUCGGAGCCCGUAUAUGCUCGGCUGGUCCCACGCAGCUCCCUCUCACUCCAGCUGUCAACCAACAAGACCAAUUGCUUGAUCAAGACACAGAACAAAAAGAGGAUGAGAAAUUGAAUCAAGAAUUUGAGAAUUGGAAAUGGAAGACGUACGCAUUGACCGUGCCUUUGAGAGUCGUUUCUCUUCAGAAUUCAGUGCCUCAAUCUUGGGUUAAGGAUUUUAUGCGAAGUCAAGGAAAGAGAUUGAAGUUUCAGAUGAAUUUGUGUGCUAGCAUUGAUGGGAUCGUUAACAAUUUAUCUACGCCCUUUAACAAAGUUAAGGCUAAGUCAGCUUCGUAUAUGGCUGCUGAUUUGGUUAGUGUUGGUGAUUCAUGGCUCAGUUUUGCGAUUAAAAAGAGAUUGAUCGAGCUAAUAGCUGAAGCUGAAGAUCAAGAUUGGUUCAAAUGCUUAAGUCACAAAUGGAAGGUAACAUCUUUAUCUUUUACCCGAUAAUUUUUAUUGUCUUACCUUGAAAUUUGGUAAUGUAAUUUGUUCUCUAUCUGUGUUACCCUUUAUAGUCAUUUUAUUUAUUUGUUUAUUGCUUUUAUUUGCACUAACGAAAUCUCAGGUAUAUCUACGCAGCAAUGAUGCAGGAGAAAUUGAUCCUCGAGGUCAAAUAUGGGCGGCACCAUACAGGUGGGGCACAAUGGCGAUAGGCUACAAGAAAAGUAAAUUUCAAAACCAUAAUUUGGCUCCGAUUGAGGUAAUAAUUGUACUUAAACUCAUUUAGUUUAAUAUCAAGCAAAAUCAAGACUGCCUUUCUCUUCAAUAUUUUCAAUGAUAAUAUCUUUAGAAGCAUCUCAUUGACGGGUAACAAUGGUAUCCCUGAAAGAGUCUAUAAACUCAAUGAUAUUAUCUUCUACAAUGGCUCAUUAAACUUUGUCGUUGCAGUCAAAUGUACACUCAGAGCAAUGAAAAGCUAUGCCACUGUAGCAUGUAGUGAUGGCACUUAAUAAGUGAAUUGCUAGGAUGUGAACUAGAAAAAUUAAAUAUUGUCUCCUUGGGUAUGCUAGCUCGUAAGUCAGGGUUACUAUUAGAGCUUAAGAUACUAUAACCAUGAGAAGCUAUUGACUGCCAAUUAAAAUAUCCAUUAAAAUGUCUAGGGAGUUAUGAAGGUGGAGGUAGCUUCCAAUAACUAACUUGAGUUUGGUAAAACAAACAGACAGUGUGUCUCAUGUCUCACAAUUCAAAUUAUCAUCUGUAAUGAUGGAGAAUUUUUCUAAUGUAUGAAGUAUGCUUUCAUACGUGGAUUAGCUUGGAGAAGAUAUCUCAAAAUAAAGAAUAUGGGGAGCGAAUGGGAAAAAAACAGUUCAGUAGUUUAUUAUUCUGUAGUCAAGUUUUGUCUUGAAAAUGGUCAAAAUUUAAAUGAAUAAGGACAGGGGAUCUUCAUUCUUUUUUCCCUUUUUUAUACCAAGAUAUCUUUCAACCUUUAUAUAAUCCCCACUGGAUAUCUGCUUCUAAUAAUUAAAAUAAAAAUUUCACCCACACAAAUAAAUACUGACCAAGCUCUAACAAUAAAAACUAACAUCUUUAGUCAAGUAACAUCUUUAGUCACGUAAUUUACAGUUCCUCAUCAUCUUAGUGUGAGCUAUCAGUACGAUCUAAAAACAUAAUAAAACUGGUUUGAUCCUGUUUAUUGAUGUUUAAAUGUUGUUUAUUGUGACAAGUAAAUUAGUAAGAUCUUGUUUGAAGUUGUUUUCCGAAAUGAACUGCCAAAUGGUAGUUUUUUUGGGGCAUCUGAUGGCUCUUUUUUCCUCAUUUUAAACAUGUGCCUGCUUGGAAUGGGAAGGAUUAGGCUGCAGAGUUGUUAUAUAUUUUGACAUGCUCUGGUAAUUACACAAUUUGUUCACACUGGAAAUUAGAAUGAGAAAUUUGUUGAUGCUGUUUUGAUAGAUCUGCAUUCUAUGCACAAUAACAUGAUUAAUGAAAAUGGAUUGUAGGACUGGAAAGAUCCGUGGUGGCCUGAGCUCGCAGGAAGAAUUUCAAUGGUUAAUUCUCCCCGAGAGGUUAUUGGUUCAGUUUUGAAGUAUAUGGGAGCAUCAUAAAAUUCAAACAAUAUUGAUUUGCAAGUUGCUGGUGGGAAGAUUGCUGUUCAGCAGAAUCUGGCAUUACUGGCAAACCAGGUACUCUUAAAGAAAUGAUAUCUGAUCAUUGCAUGUUAUUGCCUGACAACUGAUUUUGUUUGUAGAAGUCUGCUUCUUCAUACAUAUGAAUGCAUAUGCUAGUGUUUUCUUCUCCUUUUCAUACAUAUGAAUGCGUAUGUUGGUGUUGUCUUUUCCUUUUCAUACGUAUUAAUAAUACAUAUGUUGGUGUUCUCUCCUGAGAUGGAUGCAAUAAAGGCUUUUGCUCCUAAAUUUAGCUGAAGAAAUGGCAAGGGAUGUGAGAUUCUGUCUCAUUAAAUUAACAAAAACCCAAAACAAUGAAAAACCAUAAUAAUGUGGUGUGGGUAAACUGGCUCCAUUUGGUUCGUUUCCUUAAUGUGAAUACGCAAACAAUGGAGACUAACAAAAUGAAGUGACAACAACAAGUCAGUGUCCUUUGAUGGAUGCAUUUUUAAGCAGAAAUAGGUUUGUAAUUGACCAAAUUUGUCUGGCAUGCCAAUUUCGAAAAAAUUAAAUUAUGUGAUUAUUACCUGUAAUGAAGGGGGAUAGUAGGUGCAAUCAGGUGGAUCCCGGAAAGUUCAACAAAGUUCUGGUAUGGUGUAUUGAAAUUGGUUUGUGCAACUCAAGAGUCUUUCAGGUGAACGAUGAUGGGUUUUGAUUUAUGAAUGUUAUAAAUCUACUGUGCAUAGUAUUCUAGUAGAAUCAUUUAUAAGUUCUAGUUAUUGAAAUUGUCUACUUUGUCCGGUUUGAGUUAAGGGCACAUGUAAUAUGAAAAAUAGUUGUCGCAUCUUUUAGGUUACCUAACAUUUGAUCAAUCCUAUUAUGAGGGCUUCAAGAUGUCUAACAAUAUGUAGAAUGCCCAUGCUCCUCCCCAUUGUUUAUCUUAUACAAUAAUUUGUUUUAGAUGCUAAUAUCUUUGUCGAUACUGGUAACAUUAUUACAAUCUCUGCUUUUAUUGGGUUCUACAUAGGUUCGACUGUUUGACAGUACACACUAUCUGAAGGCAUUUGGAAUUGGAGAUGUAUGGGUUGCUGUUGGGUGGAGUAGUGAUGUUCUUCCUGCUGUCAAACGUAUGUCUAAUGUUGCUGUUGUUGUUCCCAAGUCUGGUGCAAGCUUAUGGGCCGAUCUUUGGGUAUUCCCAUGCCUGCCAUUCUACUUCGAUAUUCACUUUGUUAUCACCUUCAUAUUAGUGAUCAGUAAACACGAUAAUGUGACUAAUAAGUUUGUAUUCUCUUUAUAGGCGAUCCCUGCUGCCUCAAGACUUGAAACAAAACAAAUUGGAGGGCAAGUCAGAGGUCCGUCUCCAUUAAUCCAUCAAUGGAUAGAGUUCUGCUUGCAAACAGCAAGAGCAUUGCCUUUCAAGCAAGAGGUUAUCCCAGGCGCAUCUCCCUCUGCCCUUGAAAGUACUCUGGUUAAGUUGCCUGAAGAACUUCUGAAGGGUAAACCAAGUGUGGAUACUAACUUAAUUGCUGGAGUACCCCCCCGCUGAAAUUCUGGCCAGAUGUGAGUUUUUGGAGCCAUUAUCUGAAGCUACAUUGUCAGAUUAUGAGUGGCUGGUUGCUAAUCUGCAAAACCUGCUCCUGUCUUGAUGAAAAGGGUGCAGCAUUACUUGUCAUCAUUAAUCCAAAGCUUUCUAGCAAAGCUACAUUGAAAAGUUAAUGGCACUGCAUACAAUCAUGAGUUUUAAUGGAGCAAGAACUAAAUACAAUUAUCGCUAACAAAUACUGAAAACACAACCCACACAGGAAAUCACCCUUCGCGUGGGGAUGGAGAUGUUUACUGGAGCGAUAUUGAAUAUGUGCAAGGUGUUGUCCACUGCUCUUUGGGUUAUGGUGUGACUUGCGAUUUCAAGAUUGCCCAGAAACAAUGGAAAAGAUUAACAUAUCCUCCCAUGAGUGAAAACGGCUUGACUAAUUCUAAUUACCGAAUUGACUCAGGAUCAGGUAGCAAUAAUAACAGUUAACUAACAUUGCACAGUCCCGAGUACUUUUCCAGGAUCAGAUACAACGUGGUCUAAUGUUGAUAAUAAUACCUUAUUAAAGGACAAAUCAUUGUUCUUGGGUGUUGAUAGUAAUAGCUUAUUAAAGUAGAAGAUGAAGGUUGUGCAGGUGAUUUCAGAAAUAAAAUACAUUCUGAGAGAUGAUGGUCUACUAUUGCAAGCCCCCAGAUUUCAGAAUCUUUUGAUUGCGGCAUUUGGCAACGAUUCCACAAAUUCUAGAUUCCAACUGAGUUAUCAAUUGAAAAUGAAGUUGAAUUGAAAAAGAACAACAAAUACACAGUGAAGUUGAAUUGAAAAUGAAGUUGCAAGUUGCGCCCAUAGCUGCUGACUAAUAAUAAAACGAGACAAAUUAAUUAAACUCAGAUCUCUAUGUACAUGUCAACCUAACUUUACUUUUCCUUGUUUGUUAUAUUCACUUAACACUUGAUGCCUAAACCAUUAAAACCAAAUGACCAUAGAGGUAUUUGUAAUAUGUAAAAACAAACAAAAACACGUAAAAAAUUUUAAAAACAAUUAAUAAUCACACUCUAAAUUUACCACUCAACUCUAAAUAAUAACCAUACUCAAACAAUUUACAACUUUUGACGGGAGUAGCUAUGAGGAAAAUCCUUUCUCAAUGGAUUGCCAUUGCCCAAGAGUUGCAAUGAAAACGUACCACCUGCAGCUGUGCCGGAAGAUUCAACUAGGUCUGAAAAAGAUGAUAAUUUAAUUGAUAUGGACAGUAAUUGUGAUAUCGGAAAGCAUUAGUAUUCUAUAUGUGAACCAUUAUUGGCGACAUCGAUAGUUUUAUAUUAUUAAAAUGUGGAUGACUUCCAUUUACUAUUUUGUUAUAGACAAUCUUAUUCAAUUAACAUAUAGUUUUAAACUAUUAUGUAAAUCAAUCUAUUAAUUUUCAUGAUAUUUAACUGAGUUAAAACUAAGUGCAAUCAAUAAAUCUCUUUUCCUUUAAAAAACCGCUACGUUUUAAUUUUAGUGCUUAAUAUUUAUUGAACUCUGAUACAGGAAAUUUGAAAUCAAACUCGUAACUACAAAUUAUUUAAUUGCGAGUUGCUGUCCAUAGCUGCUGAUCUGUAGUAAUUAUCUAAUUGACUGAGGUGACAACAAUUUUUUUUUUUUUCGGAAAAAUGUCAAUAGCACAAAUUCAAUAAUUAAAUUCUCAUGUUUAAUUUGUUUCAAGUUAAAUUAUUAAUUACUAAAACUCUGUUUUAAGUCUUUAAUUUUAUAUCUUGGCGUAUAUGCAGAGUUGGAUUCUUGAGUGAGUUGGGCAUUAAAAUGUGUGGACUCCGGUAGCUGUCCCACAAGUGUACAACUCUACAAUAAUAAUUGAGUACACACUUUUAAUUCUGGGGACCCUUCAAUGAAUUUCUAGCCCCGUUGACUCCACUGACUAGAGUUUUGUAAAAUAAUAAAAAAAAAGUACAUAGAAUUCCACCAAAUGCAAAAGCAAAAUGUGUGGAAUUUAAUUUUUGGCCGUGUGGACCAAAAUACAAUUUAACGAAAAAAGAAAAAAAAAAUUGUAAGAUUUCUAAAAUAUGUGGAAAGUGAUUCAUGUUUUACUGAAAUGACUUGUCUCAUGAUUGAUUUUUUUUUUUUUUUGAAAAAUAUCAACGUCCAUAUCUUUCUACCCUAGAACAUGCUCACAUUCAAGUCUAUCUUUGCUAAUUUGAGAAAGAAAAUCAAAUCAAAUCAAUACCAAAGCAAUGAAAAGUUAAGCUUUUGAAUUUUAACUUCAGCUAGCAAACGUAUUCAGCGUUUUCAAAUUCUUCCCAUUGCAUAUCUUCUUCCUCCAUCAAUGCAAUAUUAAGUACUUUUUCUUCAUUAUAUUCUUUUCUUUGCAUUUCUUCUUCCUCCAUCAAUGCAAUAUUUGAACAAUUAAGAAAGAGUUUAAGAACAUAAAAAAUCUUCUAGGUUUAUACGGUACAACAAAUUUAAAUUCUCAAUUAUAAUAGAUAAUAAUUAAACUAAUAAUUAUUUAUUUACUUAUUUUGGUAAUUUCACCUAAGAAUAAUAUUGCAUUAGAAAAAAUCUAAUAAGUGGGGUGGUUUUAUACAAAAUCAACUACAUACAGUAAUAAGUGAGUACGCACCUUUGAUUCUCGGGACCCUUCAAUGAAUUUCUAGCCCCGUUGACUCCACGGGCUACGGCUAAAGAUCUGUAAAACAAGUAAAUAGAAUUUCCACAAAAUGCAAAACUUGUCGAAUUUAAUUUUUGACCAUGUGGAUCAAAAUGUAAAUUAAAGAAAAAGACAAAACAAAAAGAGGUAAAAUUUCCAAAACGUGUGAAAGAUGACUCAUGAUUUAUUAAAACGACCUGCCUCGAAUAUCAAGACGAUUAAUCUUUUUAAAUUUUUUUUUUUGAAAUAAUAUCAACUCUCAUAUUUUUCCACUCGCAGAACAAGUUCACAUUCAAGUCUAACUUGCUAAUUUGGAAAACGAAAUCAAAUCAAAUCAAUAUCAAAGCAAUGAAAAGUAAAACUUUUGGAUUCUAACUCCAGCUAGCAAACGUUGGAAUGCAAUAAUUAAAUUCUUCUGUUUAAUUUGUUUUAAGUUAAAUUACUAAUUACUUAAACUCUGUUUUAAGUAUUUAAUUUUAUGUGUUGGUGGGUAUGCAGAAUUGGAUUCUUGAGUGACUUGGACAUGACCACAAUGAAAUUGAUGGCAAACAAACAUUAAAAUGUGUGGACUCCGGUACCUGCCGCACAAUUCUACAAUAAUAAGUGAGUACGCACCUUUGAUUCUCGGGACCCCUUCAAAAAAUUUCCAGCCUUGUUGACUCCACUGGCUAAGGCUAAAAUUUUGUAAUAGAAAAAAGGUCAAUUCUUGUGGAAUUUAAUUUUUGGCCUUGUAGACCAAAAUGUAAAUUAAAGAAAAAGACAAAAAAGAAAAGGGGCAAGAUUUAUAAAACGUGUAGAAGGUGGUCCAUGAUUUAUUCGAAUAACCUGCCUCGACUCGAAUAUUGUAAUGAUUGAUUUUUUUUAUUUUUUUAAAAUAAUAUCAAUUCUCAUAUCUUCCCACUCCUUGAAAAUGCUCACAUUCAAGUCAAAUUAAAUGGACACCAAAACAAUGAAAAUUGAAAAGUAAAACUUUUGAAUUCUAACUCUAGCUGGCAAACGUAUUCAGUAUUUUUAAAUUCUUCGAAUCGCUUAUCUUCUUCCUCCAUCAAUGCAAUAUCAAGUAUUUUUUUCUUUUUCGUAAUCUUUUCUUUGCAUUUCUUUUUGCUCCAUUAAUGUAAUUUAACUUCUUUUUUUAUUUGAACGGCUCGGAAAGAGUUGAAGAACAUAAAAAAGCUCUUGGUUUUAUACGGUAAAACAAAUUUAACUUAUAAUUAUUCAACUAACAAUUAUUUAUUUACCUAUUUUAGUAAUUUCACCGAAGAAUAAUAAUCUAAUUACAAAAAAUCUAGUCAGUUGGGUGGUUUUAUACAAAGAGUAAUGAUAUAGCCACAAACUCUUGUACAAACUUAUUUUGUACAAACUGAUGUGGCGUUAAUUCAUUGGUUGAAUUAAAUAUCUCUUGGCCCACAUGAUUUGUUUAUAUUAUUUUAUAUUUCUAUUCAACCAAUGAAUUAAUGCCACAUCAGUUUGUAUAAUAUAAAUUUAUACAAGAGUUUGUGGCUGUAUCAUUACUCUUAUACAAAAUCAACUACAUACCCAUAUACAGAUGCAAAUGCAAAUAAUAUUUUUAAAUAAGAAAAUUGUAUAUUGAGAUGAAUAAGAUGUUUCUAUGAUUCUAUCUUAGGAAAGCUCGGUGGUGGUAACGACAUGAAGUUGCGAGUUGCCGCACACAGUUGCUAGUAAUAUAAUAAAACAAGACAAAUUAAUUAAACUCAGGCCUUUACGUAUAUGUUAUCUUAACUUUACUUGCCCUUGUUUGAUGAUAUUCAUUCUUGGAGCUAAGGGCGCAUGUAAUAUUUGUAAUUGUAUUAAGUAUAUAUUAAUGUGAUUUUCAAAAUCAGGUUUUAAAAUCUGUAGGAUAGGCUGAUUUUGGUAGUUUUGGGUCGGCCGUUGCAGUCAUUGGGACUGACUUAUUAUUAUUAUUAUUAUUAUUAUUAUUAUUAUUAUUAUUAUUAUUAUUAUUAUCAUCAUUAUUAUUAUUAUUAUAAUUAUAAUAUCAACUUCCAUAUCUUUCUAAACCCGGAAUAUGCUCACGUCACGUUCAAGUCUAUCUUGCUAACCUGAAAAAGAAAAUCAAAUCCAAUCAACACCAAAACAAUGAAAAUUAAAGCUUUUGAAUUUCAACUCCAGCUAGCAAACAUAUUCAGCGUUCCCAAUUUCUUCCCAUUGCAUAUCUUCUUCCUCCAUCAAUGCAAUAUUAAGUACUUUUUCUUGAUCAUAUUCUUUUCUUUGCAUUUCUUCUUCCUCCAUCAAUGCAAUAUUUGAUCGAUUAGGAAAGAGUUUAAGAACAUAAAAAAUCUCCUAGGUUUAUACGGUAUAGCAAAUUUAAAUUCUCAAUUAUAAUAGAUAAUAAUUAAACUAAUAAUUAUUUAUUUACUUAUUUUAGUAAUUUCACCUAAGGAUAAUAUUGUAAUUAGAAAAAACUAAUUAGAACAAUUUAAUUUUUGGCCGUGUAGACCAAAAUAUAAUUUAACGAAAAAGGAAAAAAAAAAGGGUAAAGAUUUUUAAAAUGUGUGGAAAGUGAUCCAUAUUUUGUUCGACUUGUCCCGAACAUCACGACGAUUGAUUUUUUUAUUUUUUUUUUAAUAACAUCAACUUCCAUAUCUUUCUACCCUCAGAACAUGCUCACAUCCAUAUUUUUUAUGUACUUAUUUUAGUAAUUUCACCUAAGAAUAAUAUUGUAAUUAGAAAAAAAUCAAAUAAGUAGGGUGGUCUUAUACAAAAUCAACUGCAUACAUAUAUGCAGAUGCAGAUAAUAAUUUUUAAUUCCUUUUUUUAAUAAGAAAAUUGUGUAUUGAGAUGAAUAAGAUGUUUAAUUUAAUUAAUUUCCUUACUUUCAUAUACAUUGUCUUUCUAUCUAGAGAAAGCUUGGUGCUCAGAACGACAUGAAGUUGCGAGUUGUCGCCCAUGGCUGCUGAUUAAUAAUAAAACGACACAAAUUAAUUGAACUCUGGCCUCCAAGUAUAUGUUAUCCUAACUUUACUUGCUCUUGUUUGUUAAUAUUCAUUCUUAGAGAGGUGAAAAAAAUUACAAGUCUUGAAUAACGAGGAGUUUAAUUGCCUCUAACUUUACUUGGCCUUCUAUAAUCUCAUUAAUAAUACAGAGAAUUAAUUAUCUUUUUAUUAUUAAACCAAAGAAUUAGUAGCAGUUAAUAUUAAUAUUGCCCACCCAAGAAAUAUGAGUGAAUUAAAGUAUUGGCAAGAGUUCGCUCAGAGGAGCAUUUAAACCACUUCCUUAUCAAUUGCGGCAGCCGUCUAUUAACUAAAACGCCAAUCUAAUACACGAAGAAAGAACAUUUACAGACUUGGCAAUUGAGUUCAUUAAGAAGUAGCAUCGCAUUCGGGUGAUGAGUUUCCUUUUGUUAAUAAUUUUAGUCUAAUUUCCAUUGUACUGAGAUCGCUUCUCGAGGUAAGUGAAAGUUACAGAUGUGGCAAAAUAAAUAAUUAAAUUAACAAAAUGCUAACUAAUUUUCCUAAAUACCUAGGGUUGUACAAUUUCAUCAACCUGGAAGAAUUGACAUUAAUGGACUGGUCUCCUCCCCAUAUAAUUAUAAUCCUUCUAGAAAGCUAAUUUUUAUUAAAUAUUUUCUUUUAAGUUAAUUUCAAUUAAAAUUUUUUUUAAGUUAUAUAUACUCUAAUGAGAUUCUGAAUUCCUUUCUUCCAAUAAUAAUGAAAACGUAUUAAAUUAGAAAUGAAAAAAUUGGUGUUGAUGAUUCAACCUGUUUGGAUAGAUUACGCGAAUAAAAUUGAAAUUUUGAUUUAAUUUUUGUUUAUUGUUAAUUCUCAGGCUAUCUUAAUUUCAAGAAUUUAGAAUGUUAAUUUGGUCAUGGAUUUCAACCCAUGAGUGUCAUAUUCUAGACUUAAUGGUACCAUUCUUUGAUUGAGGGCAAUGACUCUCACUCCUCUUGUAAAAAACUAUUUUCAACUAUUUUGAUGACUUAAAAAUUGAUAGAUUUAUUGUUGUCAUGACCAAAUUAUUCAUUUUAAUUAAACAUAAUUAAUGCAUCAAAGUUACCAGGUUUAUGUUCUAUCUUAAUGCGCUUUUUUUUUUUUUUCAGUUAUCAGCUAUGCCCCUGAGGCAUUUUGUAGAGUAUAGCUUCUGCUUACCUCUGUUUCAUUUUUUUUAAUAAAAAAAACAAGGGAAGGUUUUUCCGAGUCGUCCAUUAUUUGAUUACCGUCAAUCAAGAAAACGACCAAAUUAAUUUCUCUCCAAAAUUUCCAAAAGCUAGAAAAUUUUGUUAUUUGAAAAUAACAUCAUUAAUUAUAGAGUGGAUCAAACCGCGUUAUUGUCUUUUAUAAAAUUGAUGUCUUUUUAAGAGUCAAUGCAUUUUAUUUACACAAACCAGUCGACAUCAACUUGAACUUCCAUAUUUUUAUUAUUAUGUUAUUUAUUUUAAUCCCCGAUUAUUUGAUUAGCCACUAUAUAUAUCAAGAAAGCGACAAAAUUUAUUUCUCAUGACUUCCAAAAACUAGAAAACAACAUCAUUUAUUAUUUUUUUGCAACCCUAAUUGACAUCAACUUUAACUUUAUUAUGUUAUUAUUUCAAUCCCCCAUUAUGACCUUUCUAAUCCUCCAUUAUGCAUCUUUUAUAGUGCAAAUUUAAUUGCACAUCUAAAUAAAUUGAUUAUUGUCACUCCACCACCAAUAUUUCAAAUAGUCACUAGACCAUUUCUGCCUUUAAUUUUCCCUUAACUAUUGACUGUUUUUAGCAUCUUAAAAUAUACAUUUAUUCCUUGAUUAUGUGAUAAAAUUAUGAAAAUAUCCAUUUUAGCUUAAAUUAAUUGAAAUAACCAUAAGCGUAACUUAAAUUAAUAGAACAAAAUUAUCAAGUGUAUGUUCUAUGUUACAUUUUGAAGAAUUUAACAUAUACAAUGCUAUACUAUUAAUUCAUUUAUCAUUUAAUAUAUAUGUUCAAAUAUUUUAUAUAUUUAUUAAUUGUUAUAUAGUCAAAGGAUGAAUGAUUUUUCAGGUCUACAUGAGUUGGUGCAUCUGCAAGACUCAAUUUUGACAACAAUGAUCUAAGGGGUAAUUUACCUUGGCGUUUGACAAAUUUAACCUCUCUUCAAGAUUUACUUCCAAUCUACUUACUGUAAAUAUCUCCUCAUCUCCUCUCAUUUAUAUGAUAACCCUUGAAGAUCUCACAUUUUCAAACAAUCAUAUUAGGGUUUUUAUUAUUAGCAUCAUCGUGUCAAUAAUAUAUGUUGCAGUAAGAUUUUUUCAGACCAAUUCCCUUCUUCAAAUAAUAAUGGAAAAGUAUUAAUUUAAAAAUAAAAUGAAUAUUGUAAAAUAAAGAACAGAGUUUAUGAAUAAAACUCUUGUAUUCCUUGCAUUAACGUUGCUACAUAUAUAUAUAGAUGUACAACCCUAAAGAAUAGAAUCCCAGGUAGAAAAGCAUUACAGAUUCAUAAUAUAUAUACAAAUCUAAUUGCUUUAAAUAUGAAACCGAAUUCUAUACGACUUCUAUAUACAAAACCGAAUGCUAUACGAAUUCUAUACGUUAAUAAAUAUGCAUUGAUUAUAUCCUAAUUUUCAUCAAUUAUAGCGAGAGUUUCUCCAAAUCAACUCCCUUAUUCAAAUAAUACAGAAAAAAUAGUAAUUUAAUAGUAAAAUUAACAAGUGUUGAUUAUAUAUCCUAAGUUUCAUCGAUUAUGUGAUCAAAGUGGCAUUGUUGAUUUAUUUCUUGUUCAAUGUAAAUUUUUAGGUUAUCUAAAUUUCAAGGAUUUAAAAUCUUUGUUCAUGGAUUACACGCUUAUUAAUUUUUCUGCCAUUGACUGUCAUAUUCUAGACUUAAUGGUACCUUCCUUGAUCGAGGAUAAUUACUCUAUGUUCUCCUCUUAUAAAUUCUUCUUCCAUUAACAUCACUAGGAGUAUGUUGAUCUCUCAGACGUUAACUUCAGUGGAGAGUUUCCAAAUUGAUUGUCACAAAACAACACAAAAACUAGACACACUUGAUCUGUCUAAUAAUUCUCUUUCGGUAAAAUUAAUUAAUUUUAGGGGAAUAUUCGACCAACCUAUAUAAUUUUAGAUUGAUCAUUAAUUAAUUGGACGAAAAAAGUACUUGUGCUUUUGUGGCGACAAUUGAACCAGAGAAGUGAAGCUGUAAAGAUUUGGCAGUAGUAAAUUGUUAGAAAGACAUAAAGACAAGUUCCCAUUAUUAUAAUUUUUUCAAAAAACUUUUUUACAACACAUGCACCUGGCCAAAAAUUUUAUUUUGCUAACUAACAAUAAUUGAUUAGCUGACCGAAUUGACUCCACCUACUUGCUAAAGUAAAAAAAUAGAAAUAGAAUUUCCACAAAAUGGCAAACAUGUAAAAUCUAAUAUUUGGCCGUGUGGAACAAAAUACAAAUGAAAAAAAAAAUAGAAAAAAGGCCUAAAGACUUUUAAAAUGUGUGGAAGUCUUUCUGCCCUUUUAUAAUGGUGUGUUUUUCAAAGGAACAAAUAAUAAUAAUGACACUUCAACGGUUUGUUUUGAUAAUCACACCUAUACUCUUUAAUUUGAUAAAUGGUUACACAAAUUUUGUUUACAAAAAUAUAUUAUUCAUGUUCUGUAUUAUUUUUUAACAUCAUAUUUUUAUUUAUUAUAAUUGUUUAAAGUUAAUUGUUGGGUUGAUAUAUAAUAAAAAUGUAUAAUCGUUCUCUUACUAAACACACAUACUCAUAGUUUCUGUUCAUUUGUCAUCUCAAUCUAUCUCAUUUAUCCUUUGUUGAUAGCUCAAAACGCGUCACUGUAGAAAAUUAUAGCAAAACGACAAAUAUGGAAAAAAUGGGAAGAAAAUUAAUGCAUGAAAGAGUUGCAGAAGACAACCAAAUAAGUCAACUAUACGCUAGUUGGGUGUAUAAAUUGUUAGAUGUGUUAUAAACAAAUAGCAUAGAGCCUUGGUUGGUUACAGAGAUAGAAAAAGUGUGUGUUUUUUAGAACUUAAAGAUAUAGUUAGAAUGGGUGGUUCAAAAUCAAAAAUGGUGAUAAUGUUUGUUCUGUUAUUAAUAAUAUUAGAAGGUGGGUGGAGUGAAGGAUGUUUGGAUCACGAGAGAUUUGCUCUUUUGCGACUGCAACAUUUCUUCAAUGAUCCUUAUAAUUAUCUUCCCAACCGGGUAGAUGAUGAGGGAGCUACUGAUUGUUGUCAGUGGGAAAGGGUUGAGUGCAGCAACACCACAGGCCGACUGAUAGCGCUAGACCUUUUUGGCACGUAUUGGCGAGAGUACAGCUGGUAUCUGAAUGCUUCUUUGUUUACUCCCUUCCAACAACUUGAGUCACUUGAUUUACAUGGCAACAACAUAGCCGGUUUUGUUGAGAAUGAAGGUGCUUCGUCUAAUUCAAUUAAAUUACAUUUCGCUCUCCUAAUUUAAGUCGAAUAUCAAGACUGAGCAGCUAUAUGCAUAUUCAUUCAAUUGACAAUUUUUACAUAUUUUUUAAAAUGUUUAAUUUUGAAAUUACACCAAACAUCAUAUGUGAUCUUUGUUUUGAUUUUACUUGCAGGUCUAGAAAGAUUGAGCAACUUGAAGAGGCUUGAUUUAAGUUAUAACUUGUUCAACAAUAGCAUCUUAUCAUCUGUGGCUCGUCUUUCAUCAUUAGCAUUAUUAUAUUUAAGUGGUAAUAGGUUGGAGGGAAGUAUUGAUGUUAAAGGUACAUAAUAAAAACGUCAUCUCUUCUCCCAACUCUUUCAUUAACAUGCUAAAAUAAGAUUCAAGGCUUUGAAUUCAAUUUUUUUUAUGAGUAAAUAUUAGAAAAAUAGUUUUAAGCAAUUCAUAAAUACAAUUUUCAAUGUUUCUCAUAAUUUCAUCUUGUACUUUUGUAUGUCUUGACUUUAAGAUUAAAAAAAAAAUUACUCUAACUGUGAAGCAAAUACCCCAUGACUAAUUUACAAUUUUGUCCAGUUAAAAAUGAUAAAAUUUAUCAUUUGUUCAUAUUGAUUUAUUAACUCUAUUUUAAGUCUUAAGUCUUGGCGUCUUGGCAUGUUUGCAGAAUUUGAUUCCUUGAGCAACUUAGAGGAGUUGGACAUGAGCUACAAUGAAAUAGACAAUUUCGAGGUUCCUCAAGGUACACAAUUAAAAUAUUAUUUAAUUACAUUAAUUUAUUUCGUUUGAUUAGGGAAGGCCCAAAAUGUACAAAAACAUAAUUAAAAAAAAUAAAGAAACAGAGAAUUCAUAUUAUUUCAAAAAACAAAACGUAAUACUAUUAUUUCAAAAAAAGAAUGUAAUAAAGAUUUGAUUUCGGUUCUUUAAUCUUUACAGCAAUUGAAAAACGAUGUUGCUCUUUUCCUAAAGCAUAAAAUAUGAAAUGAGUCAUAAUUGAAUUAGUCAUUUAUUUUGUUUAGAUCUAAAUUUAGACAAUAAAUUUUGAUUUUUUUUUCAAUCAUUUCCUAAUUAUUAUUAUUAAACAGGUUACAGAGGUUUGAGGAAGCUGAAAAGCCUGCAUCUAUCGGGAGUUGGAAUUAGAGAUGGAAGCAAGUUGUUACAGUCAAUGGGAUCAUUCCCAUCCCUCAACACUCUUCACCUUUCGUUUACUAGUUUUACGAAAACAGUGACAACUACUCGAGGUAAGUAAAAGGUACGGAUGUAGCCAAAUUUAUAAAUUAAUUGUUAAUUAAUUAAUUUUUCCGUAUUAUUAAUUAAGCUAAAUUUGUUGCUCCUUCCUUCUAAAUCUAAACAGAGUUGCACAGUUUCACCAACUUGGAAUAUUUGAGAUUGGACGACUCCUCUCUCCAUAUAAGCCUUCUGCAAAGCAUUGCAUCAAUAUUCCCUUCAUUAAAAAAUCUGUCGAUGUUGGGUGGUAAAGUCAACGGUCUCCUACGCGGUCAAGGUAAAAGAAAAGCUUUGAUUGUGAACUCACUCAAUGGUGUCCUACGUGUUCAACAUUUUUAUUUAUUUAUUUUAUUGUUUAAUGUUUCUGCUAGGUUUUCCUCAUUUCAAGAGUUUGGAAUAUUUGAAUAUGGAUUUCACGCGCAUUGCACUCAACACCAACUUUCUUCAAAUCAUCAGUGAAUCGAUGCCUUCUCUUAAGUACUUAUCACUGUCAGAUUCAUAACAGUAAAAAUUUGUUGCUCAACAUGAUGUGUAUUUUUUUUCAAGGCACUUUGGAAACACAAUUGUUACUACAGAUAUUCUUCUCAACUUGGAGAUAAAUACAAAUAUUAAAAUGCAUAUGAUCACACAUAUUACUUCGAGUUUAGUAAGAUUUCAUUAAAAGAAGCAAUCAAACCACUUAUCAAUUGUCGCAGUCGUUCUAUAAACUAAAAUAGCAAUAUAAUACAAGAAAAAGAACAUAUAGAUACUUGGCAAGAGUUCAUUAAGAAGUCGCAUCACAUUCGGGUGAGGAGUUUGCUUCUGAUAUCUUGCUAGCUGGGGCUUUUUCUUGUCUUUCUACGUAUGCCGAGGGAAACCAACCAGCUUGGCCCUUGCAUUCACCUUCCGACCAUCCAAUAGGAGCAACCUUGAGAAGUUAUAACUAAAACGGUGAAUUAAACAAAAGUUGACCGUUCAAAGACCUAAGGGGAAAACUAAUUCUUUUACGUAGAAUGAGUGAACUAGUUGUGAUCACUGAAAUAACAACAUAACUAUGGAAGCAUAACUAGAUAUAAAUUCACAUGGCUAUAAGGGUAAACUGAGUGGUUUAGAACUGAGCUAGCAACCCUACUAUAUUCUGAUUUGCACUUCAAUGUAAAAGGGAAUAUAUGGUAGGAAGAAAGAAAACCAACCAUCAUUUGUUAACUCAUUGCUUUUCAAUCAAAAUUUUAAGAACAAAAUGCCAUGUGCUUUGAACAUCAAAUAAGUAUAAGCAUUAGUUCUAAAUUCCACAUAUCAUAAGUUGUUAGAAGGAUAAGUUAAUAGCAGAGUAGAAAAAUCUAUGUGUUGGUAUUUAGAGGGGAAAGUACCUGGCGAACCACAAUAUAAUCAUCAAUUGAAAGACUUAGCUUUCCAUUUGCUUGAGCAUCAAAUGGAUGUAUAACCUGCAAGAUAAUGGGAUAAAUAGAACUUUAAAAAAGCAUAACAAAAGCAGCAACAGUAGCAGCAACGUUCAUUGUAACCACUAUGAUCAUGGCCAACAAAGAUAUAUUAGAAACAAAAUUCCAUUUUUACUACGACAUUAAUAUGUACUAUACGAUAUCAUGACGAUUGGGUUACUAAGAGCUAUCAAAGUCUAAUAAGUUCUGUAUAACUUUAUGUAGUUAUUUAAAUUAUGGAUCAGAUUUUAAAUUUGAAAUUUUGACUGCUCUCCACAAAACAUGGCCUAUGCACAAGAAAGUCAUAGAUAAUGAGGAUUACAAGUGUCCGACAUCUUUUGAGUGAUGGAUUUAACAUGAGAGCUUAUGGUCAGUCAAUUUCCUCUGCCUAGCAAUAUAAGCUUUCUCGGCCAGAUUUAUCAUCAAAUACAUAGAUUGCCCCCAAGUCACAUCCAUAUAAACAUAGUUUUUCUAGGUAAACCAAGUAAGGAGUAUCAUAAUUCAGACAUAAUCAUAAAAAGGCCCAUCUAACUUAAGAGAAAAUCUCAAAAAUGGCUACAUCGUCUUGUAUCUAUAAGCAAUAUCAAGACUUUACAUCACCUGCUACAUCGUGAGUGGCUACACAACUUUCAAUGGUUUGUCUUUCUUUGGCAUGCCUAACUCAGCUUUGAUGUUGCUGAGAUAUUGAUAGUAGAGACACAUGAUACUUCUAGCUCAUGCAUUCUAUCUAACUCAUCCAACAACUAUCUCUUUUUUAAUUCAUUAGUGUUUGCUAAACCUCAUGCUUAAAAGUCCUGUUCUCCUAAACAAAGUUUCCUAAGAAUGACUUCCUUAGCACCACAUUUGGACACUUUUAGAGCAAUUUUAUUUUGGGGAAAAGAAUUUUCAAGGUGUUAACUAAUAAAUUUUAAAAAAUAAUUACAAUUUUUCCUACGAUCAUAUGACAAUUUAUCUGGGAUGAAAGGAUACAGAUAGACAUCUUCCACUUUCAAGACUAAUCACUACUUCCGUAGAUGUUGUGCAAUAAUACAAAUACUUGAUCAGAUGGUAGUGAUGGUAGAAAAAAAUUUUAUUGCUCCAAAAUUAAAAUAAGAAUGCAAUAUGUUAAGCAAAAGGCUGUGCAACAUCAAAUUAAUUGAUAAGUUUGUAAUUCAGUAAAUUAACAACUUUCAUGGUAAAAUACAACAAAUUUCUUUUGAAAAAAAUAAAUCUUAAAAGACAGCAUUCAAUUUUGUGCGCAUCUUAUUUCUUAAGAUUUUUCAGGAGGAGGGCAAUAGAGGGACUUUCACCUAUGCAAGAGAGCAGAAGCCUUACUUUCCCUAUAAAGUAGACGUCAUUCUGAUUAAUAUGCGUUUGCAAAUCAGCUCCGUUUGAAUCAGUAUUCUGAUAGACACACGAGGCAUUGACAUCCAUUUCCAAAGUCACAUGUUGCGAGGAGGACUCAUUUGAUUGCUCCUAUACGAUCAUCUAAUUCAAGUAGCAAGGGUUGGAAGAGAAUAAAAAGUCACAAUUAUUCUUUUGCAUAAGUGAGACGAAAAUGAUAAAUGCAAUAUUAUCAACAGUAAACAAGAAGAAGAUGAUAGUGGAAGUAUGCGGUGUGGCUGCCAGGUACUUGGAUUGUAUUGUCGGGUAAGGUAAUAGUAGAGAAUUAUAAGUUUGAACAGAGCAUGUUGGACUUUUGUUGACCAAAUUCAAAAGCCCAAUGGCACGGCCCGGAAGCUUUUGAAUAGAAAAACUUGCUAGAAAGCAUCAGUUUAAAUCACUACUUAAACGCUUGCUUUAACUGCACCACUUUGUACUGUUUUAUGUGUGUAGCGGUUGUGCGGUUGUAAUUCACGGCUGACGCUACGUGUUUGUUAGGUCAAAACUAUGAUACAAUAGUGGUACGGUACCAUUGUUACUUUCAAUCAUUGGAUCUAUAGUUGUACAGUUGCAUUAAUAAGAUCUAAUGGCUGAAAACAACAGUGGUACCAUACCACUGUUGCAACAUAACAGGACCCUAUUAGUUAUUUCAAAGGGAUAAAUAAGAUUGCUUACAACAAACCUACUAAUUUUAUAAAAUUCAAGUAAUAUAGAAUAAAAUAAAAAAAUAAAUACAAAAUUGACUUUUAUUUUUUAUGGUUGACUAUAUUUUGUGUUCUCUUCGGGCACUACUACAAUUCUUCCCUAUAUAUCAAUUACACCACAUACUAUCGACACAAGAAAUGAAAUCUAAUAUCACCCGUUUAGUUAAAAAAUCACUCAUGAAAAAAUUUUACCAUUUUGAUUUGAGGAUCCAUAUUUUAAACUGCAAGCUAAUGUUCAUCAAGAAUUACUGAUGGCCGUUGAGUAGAAAAAUUAUUUUUGGACAAAUUAUUUUUGUUGAUAGAAGAAUUUCUUUAGGGACUACUAAAUUAUUAAUAAAAAUGUCGAACACACCCACAUAUCAUCGACACAAUUGAUUUUGAGGAUCCAUGCUUUGAACUGCAGCCUAAUGUUCAUCAAGAAUAGAGUAUGGCUUGUGAGUAGAAAAUUUUCUUAUUUUGGCCCGAAAUAAAAAGAAAUUAAAUUGGAUGAGAAUCUGCCACUUUCUCAUGAAGAAAGGCAUACGGAGCAUACCAUGGUACCAUACAAAAUAAGGAGCCUCUAUUCUUUGGUUUUUCAAACUCUAAAGGGGCCAAUAUUGCCAAAUUCCCCCUUGAAAAUUCUGAUUACGACAUUAUUCAUCGCUUGAUGCAAUCAAAGUAGUGACAAAGUUAGGAAAAAUAUGAGUCCUAAGUAAUUGCUAGGCAGGGUUCCUGAGAGCAAAAUUGUCCUAAGCAUUAUAUGCAUACAUGGUGCGGUACAUAGAGCACGUUGAAUUCCCCACUAUAACACAAACCCAGAAAGACAAGUAAUAACUCAACUGAUAUAAAGACAAAAAGAAGAUAAAAUGAUAUAGAAAAAAGAAUUCAAAGAGACAGCAACAUACGAUAGACUGAAGCCACUUGAUCUGCUCAUUGAUUGCAGCCUUAAACUUGCAAAUAGUUACUGUACGCUAGUGCUCUAAGAAGUGAAAAUGAUGCCAGCCCUGAUUCCCUUUUGACUUCCAUUUACUGUCAAACAUUCUAGUAAUACAAAAAAUUGUUUAGAUAUCUUGCUAUAAAUAUAGCCGUUUGACUGUCAUAAUAAAGUCACAAAUAACCAUUCAUAUUGAUCUACUGUCACACAGCAUGCUUUAUGCAUACAACAGCUGUAUGUAUACCAACUCCUAACCUUAUCAAUACAUUUGGCAAAAACUUAAGAAGAAAGCUAUUUCUCCAUCUCUUUUUUGAAAUUUCACAAUAACCAGCACAAUGUGAAAGCUAUGUUCUAACCUUAUGAUAAAUGCUCCAGACUCCAAAAGGAUUUUAUAUAUGAGAGUUUGUUGCAGCAGAUAUAUUGACUUAUCAAGUAUGAAUCAUUGUCUGGAUGAACUAUCUUUAGAUAAAAGAAUAUUAGAACCACUGUAGAAUAUCUUUACGCUGCUGGUUCUAACAGGAAUCUGCAUGUGGCAACAAUUGCUAGAUCCACAAUUCCCCAACUUGAAAUACAUAGUUGCACACCAUGAGAUAGUGCUACAAUCUACUGAGAUCUAACUUAUAUGGUACUUUAAGCUACUAAUGUUUGCAUAUUUCUACAUGUUAAAUUAACACUAUCAUCUAUAAUCACUCCAAAACAACAAAUGAUAAGCAGCUUUUGGCCACUUAUUACUAGCAUCCACAAUUAUAAAUAAGAGAUCAUGGGUUUACUUGUUGCACCUACUUAAUUAUCUGCAGUUGACAUCCUGAAGCAAGGUUUAAAUAGUGACUGCUUAGAACCCUUGUAGUUGGAUCUUGACCUCUCCCAUUGUAGCCAAGAUUGGUUACUCUGGUAAUGAAUCAACACUCUCCUGCUCAGGGCCAUGAAGAUCUGAAAGCUCAGCACUAGUGGAGAACUUCAUCAAUCUCUUCUUCUCAGCACACUUGAGACAAGGCUGCAUUACGAGACCAAUCACCACAGCACCAACGCUUAAAACUGCAACUUUUAAAGAAGAAAGAGCCAACACAACACAACACAACACAACACAAAUCAAUAUGGUUGGAGGAAUACACAUGAUAAUGGCUCCAACAGUGCCAGUGGGUAUCUUGUAGGGACGAGAUGCAGCAGGAUAUUGUAUCCUUAACCAUACAAAUGCUAUGAACUCCAUAACCAUUCCAAAACAGUACAGGAAGUUCUCUGCAGCUACAAUAUCUCGAAAGCUCAGCCAUGAUAGCAAAACCACACCAGAUGCUGAGAAUAUGAUUCCAAUCAAAGGAGUCCCAUAACAAGACCUCUUAGCAAAAAACUCAGGUAGCAUUCCACACUCAGCCAUCCCCAAAAGUUGGAAAGAGUUGCUGCUCAUCUCAGCCACAAACAUGCCCAUAUUGGACAUUGCUGCAGCCCCCUGGAUGCAUUAUCUCAACCAAACUCCUCCAAGCACUUUAGCGAUAUCUGAAAAGUAACCAUCGGUCCACAAGUCGCGAUCUAAUGGAAUAGCUCCAGUUCCAACUAGAAGGGGAAAGAAAUACCCAAAAAUGACCAAGAUCAAAGCAUAAAACAAAGCCUUUGGAAGAGUCUUCUUGGGGUUAUCCACCUCUCCAGCUAGUGUACUUAUUGAGUCCCAGUAGUUGAGAUUCCAAAACAGGGUGUUCAAAUACAAAUUCCAAUCCACUUCACCUAAAUUUACUACAAGCCAUCUUGAAGGCUCUAACUUGGGAAGGGACACAAGUCCCAUAACCACAAAAGGAAGGAGUGAGAAAAUCCCUAAAAGAACAGCAGCCCAUCCCACAAUGGUUAGACCCCUAUAGUUCAUGAAAGUGAGAACAAAAGUCAAAGCUAACGCCGCAAAGGCUCUAGGUAACCCAUUGCCCAACGCAGGGAUACCAGACUUCAAGUAGUCAAGAAACAGAACUGGGUAUAAAGCAUUAUCAAUAACCCCACUUAGCCAUUUCAUCCAACCUUGCUGAAAACCCCAAUAUGGGCCUAAGGCAGAUGAAACCCAAACCACAUAACCACAAUUUUCAGAAAACACGGUACCCAUCUCGGCAGUAAUUAAAGCUUCAGGGACACUCCAUAUAAUCGGAAACACCAAGAAACCAAGAAGUGCUAAAAGAGGACCAGCUGCCUUUACACUAUCCUCAACACCAAACGGCCCCCCAGAAACCUCAUAGAAUAUAAGGAAAAUAAGUGGCAAGAUUGAUACUUUUUUAGUGCCAUGGACUCUAGGAGAAGAUGGUUGGUCAUUGAUAUUAACAUAUUCAACAGCAUCAGACUGCCCCAUUUCUACUGAAACUUGCCUAUUUACAGUGUUCCUCAAUUUCUGCAUCAAGUUUUAGCAUAACUAUCAAAAGGGUAUCCGCAUGUAAAUUAUGAAACAAAAUGAGCAUUUACUUUUUAAAAAAAAAUCAAAAAACAGAAAUGGAUUUCGCAGAGCACAUGAAUUUAAGUUCAACAUUAAACAGGCGCUUAAGAAAACAAAAGGGUCUGUUCGUAAAGCCAUCAGAUUGCAAGAUUGAACAACAUUAACGGAAUCAAUAGAAUAGAUGUAAAGAGAUCUGAAAAGAAAAUAAAAUAAAAGAUGAAGAGAGAUAAAACGAACCAUCAAAUAAGUGCAUGCAGAGCAGAGAGGCAGAUACUAGAGAAGCUCCGUCAUGUUAGAGAGAGCCUAAAUCAAUCAGAGCUCACUGAGUUUCUUUUCAACCGACCGGCAAAUUUGGAGUGGCACAAAAUAAUAUUUUUGCUUUUAAUUUUUGGAACACUUUUGAAUGGAAUUUUUUGUUUUUAAAAAAGGUAAGGGAGAUUAGGGCAUCAUAAAAAGAUUUUUUAAAUAAAAUUUUAUUAAUUAUUUAAAAAAUUAUUUUAAUAUUUAAUAUUUUAAAAAAUAUUUUAAUUAAAAUUUUUUAAAUAAAAAAUAAUUUUUUUUAAAUUUAGAGAAUUAAUUUUUUUUAUAAUUUUUUUUAUUAUUUUUUAUUGAAAAAAAAGAGAUAAAUACUUUAAUUGUUAUUAUUUUUUUUAAAUAAUUAUUUGAUUAAAAUAAUAUUAAAUUAUUUUUAUUUGAAGAGUUUUUUAAAAAAUAUCAUAUUUUUUUAUCCUUCUAUUUGCCACAUGAGUAAACAAAUAGAUAUUUAAAGAAUAAAAUUUAUAUAAUCUUUUGGAAAUGCUCUUAAUAUUUAUUUAGUCUUAUAUUUUUUAAAAUAUUUUUAAAAUAUUUUUGUCGUUAAAAUAUUGAUAUUAUUAUUAUUUUUUUAUAUUUUUUAAUUUAUUUUUAUAAUAUUAUUUUUAUAAUAAUUUUUUAUUUAGAUAUUAAUAAAAAAAUAAUUUAAUUAAUAAUUUAAUCCUAAAAUAAAUAAACACGUGUUUGGUUUUGGGCCUUUUCUUUUGUUCGUUUAAUAUCAUCUGGCUCGCUGAUUUGUGACUAAUUAUCAACGGAAUCCCGUUGGUUUCUAAAUUGAAAUAAUAGAAGGUCAUGAGACUAUUUACUCCAUUUAGCACUGCAGACUUAGAGUAUAUUGAAAAAGCUUUGUCAAAUAGUAGUAAUAGGGGCAUAAGAAAUAAAUUAUAGCUAUCACAAAUUCGUUAGGAGAAUUUCAAUUUUUUCCGUCAAUAAUGGCUAUGAAGCAAAAUUACCUUAGGUUAUAUUGCAACACUAAUACUUCAAAUCCUGAUAAGGGGUGAUAAAAUUAAGGUUGUUCAAAUCCCUUAAAAUGCUCCUUUGUUUAGUUUAAAAGUUGUUCUUAAAAUGGAAACGAUGACUUAUUUAGAAGAAAUGGUAAAUUUAUAAUUUGUAAUAUUAUUUGCACAAACAAUAAUAAUGAAGUGUUAAUUACCACUUAACAUUUUUAAUUAAUUUCUAAAUUUAAAACAAAUAUGAAAGUUGAUUGCUUCGAAGGUUGGAUCGACAAAUUGACAUUUGAAAAGAGAAGUAGGGAAUGUAUAUUCUGAUGAAAGGGACAAGAUUAAGUAAGGGGACAAUAUUCUCUAUUGGACCUACAAAUGGGGGGAAAGAUAUAUAUAUAUAUAUAUAUAUUCUUAUUUGUGGAUUGGGCAUCACGUGUAACUAAUAUAAAAGGAGAAAAUUUAGCAUGGUUUUAACAUAUAUAAGAAGAGAAAAUUAAUUGUUCAAACAAAUUAGAAGCAAAUUCUUUCAUAUCUUUCUUUAUUUUUCCGCUUACUUUCUUAGCAUCCAAACAAGUUAAAGUUAAAACGCUGUUGAGCCAACAAUAUGCAGGCAUCAAUAAGCAUAGUAGUUUUGUAUAUGUAUUCUAUACGAUAUUCUGGGGAUGUCAAUUGUAGAACAUUUUGUGGUAACUUUUUUACAUUAAUUAAUGUUUGAAGAACUUGUUAAAAAGAAAAUGGUAAUUUUAUUAUUUUGAAAGACAAAAAAAAAUAAAAAUAAAAGAGUGAAAGUGGCGUUACCUCAUGGUCAUUAGAGACUUGUUGCAAUGAUAGCUCAAAAUUAAAAAUUUGUGAAGAAUUAGUAGACAACGACGAUACUAUAUUUAUAUAGUCACCAACAUGUUGAUUUUUGUUUAAUGUUUGAUCGAUAGAAACUUUUGUCGUCGUCGUCGCCGUUGUUGAAUUCAUGCUUAGAAUACCACAAGAGAAGAAGAAGGGAUGAAAGGGAAGAGAAGAAGAGAGAAGUAGUGGAUAGCAAAUAUGAUAUGCUAGCUACACACAGGCCUUAGAGAGUUUUUUUUUUAAUAUUUAUUGUAUUUUUGUUUUUGUUAUUGGUUUGUCAUAUGCUUCCAAGGCAGCAAUGUGUUACAUCAUAAAUUGCACCUUUUAGGGGAGGUGGUAAAAAACAUGAGAGGAAUGCAUUCUAGCGCAUACAUGCAGAAAGAGUUUCCAAAUUUUCAAAAGUUUGUUAUUUCUUCCACCUUUUUUUUGCUUAAAAUAAAUUUUAAUUGUAUUUUGCAUUAACUUAGAGAAAAAAAAAAUCAAGUUCUAUGCAUAAACGCAUACAUUGAUUAGAAAAUGAGUUUUAUGGACACAAAGGGACAAUAUAAGAGAUUCUUUUUGUUUAUUAGAAGUAACAUAACUAGUUAGUGUAACAUGUAAUUAUAAGCUACCAAGAAUUUGCACUGAUGAUAAUUAACGGUAUAGAUUUUGAGCUAUGAAUGUCUUGUGGCUAGUUUAAUUGGAUUUUCGAGUUUUCAGCAGAUCUAUUUUAAUGAUUAUUAAAUUAUUUUCACUUCUUAUGCUUUAAUAAAAAAAAUUCAAUAUUUUUUGCUGUAUUCUAUAUUUUAAAACUUAAUUUUUAAUUCUUUAUAUUGCAAACCAAACUGAGUCAAAUAGAGUAUGCUCGAAUUUUUCCAAUGCCUUCAAGAAGAAUUCAUUUUAUUUUUAUAUAUUAAUUUAACACAUGUAAACCGGGCCGUUGGAUUGCACAUAAAGCAAAUGAUCAAACCGUUACAAGACCGGCCCAGGCCCACCGACUCUAUUUUCUUUCAUUUGACCAUUAAAAAGCUUUUGGCCACCCCCACCAAAUAAAUAAGCUCUUGUUCUCUUUUGUUUCCCUCUCAAAGGAAAAUAUCUGAUCACCGGAUAAUGAUUCCGGUGACACAAAAGAUCGAAACACCCCCCUAAAUUCCCUAAAUUUACAAUAAUACCCCACCAUGGAUGAUUCCGUUGAAAUGCCGCCUUACGAUGAAAGGCCUAAAAAGGGUUUUAACUUCACCUCCAUGCGCUUGAUCUUAACCCUCGUUUUCCCAAUUUUAACUUGCUUUUUGUUGGCAUUUUUUAUUGGAAUCGUAGCUGUUUUAUUCGGCGAAUCAUCAGUUUCCAGUUCCAUUUUUGUCCCUUCCUAGUGCAAAAUAGUGUCCAGCAGUAAGCUUUUUUUAACAUUUUCAAUUUUUUUUCCAUUUAUGAAGUCCAAAAAUUUUAUUAAUUUUGAUUUUUUUGAAUGAUUUUGCAGGUGUUGAUAUAAGGUCAUCAAAAGUUCGUGAACUUGGGGUGUUGAAUUAUAAGGCGAAGCGUGCGUUUUAUCCAUUUGAAGCAAUUAAAUUUCGCUGUCGGUAUGAUUACUAUUGGGCUUCUAUCUUCAAGGUAUUCAUACAUUUUCCCCUGUACUAUAAGCUUCUUAGUGGCGGUCUUGUGAGCGGAAGUGAGCGGUGUGGCUGACAGCUUCUUGAAAAUUAUGAACAGAGCAUGUUAGACUUUUGUUGACCAAAUUCAAAAGCCAAAUGGCACAACUCAGAAGCUUUUGAAUUGAAUAACUUACUAGAAAGCUCCAAUUUUUUGUUGGCUACAGUAAAAGGAUGUUGUUUUAUUCUUCUUAUACUUUACGCUUGCAUCAGCUUAAAUCACUUCUUAAACGCUUUGCUUUAACUCUACCGCUUCAUACUGUUCUAUAUAUGUAUCGGGUAUGCGGUUGUAGUUCAUUGCUGAGACUACGUGUUUGUUUGACGUGGUAGUUACGUUCCGAGUCUGUUAAACAUUCGGUGAUUAAAGUAUUAUCAGUUAUUUCAAAGGGGCAAAUAAGAUUAGCUACAACACACCCACUAGUUUUAUAAAAUUCGAAUAAGAUGGAAUAAAAUAAAAAAAUAAAUAAGUAAAUUGACUUUUAAUUUUUGUGGUUGAAUAUAUUUUGUAUUCUCUCAGGGCACUGCUGUAAUUGUUCCUUAAAUGUCAGUCACACCCACAUGUUACAGACACAAGAAAUGAAAUCUAAGAUCACCUGUUUAAUUAAAGAAUCACUCAUAAAAAAAUUUUGCCAUUUUGAUUUGAGGAUCCACAUUUUGAACAACCAACUUAUCUUCAUCAAGAACAGAUCAUGGCCUUUGAGUAGAAAAAUUAUUUUUGGACAAACUAUUUUUAUUAAUAGAAGAAUUUCUCAAGGGACUAUUAAAAUUACUAAUGAAAAUGUCAGACACACCCACGUACCAUCGACACAAUUGACUAUGAGGAUCCAUGUUUUGAACUGCCACUUAAUGUUAAUCAAGAACAGAGUAUGGCUUGUGAGAAGAAAAAUUUCUGAUUUUGGCCUGGAACAAAAAGAAAUUAAAUUGAAGGAGAAUCUGGUACUUUCUCAUUAAGAAAGGCAGACGGGGCAUACUAUGGUACCAUACAAUACGAAAAGUCUCCGUUCUCUGGCUUUUAAACUCUAAAGGGGGCAAUAUUCCCCAAUUACCCCGUGAAAAUUCUGAUUACGACAUUAUUUAUUGCUUGAUACAUAAGUAAAAGUAGUGACAAAAUUAGGAAAAAUAUGACUCAUAAGUAAUUACUAGGCAGGGCUCUUGAGAGCAACAUUGUACUAGGCUUUAUAUGCAUACAUGGUGUGGUACAUAGAGCACGUUGAAUUCCACACUAUAACAUAAACCCAGAAAGACAAGUAAUAUCUCAACAUAUAUAAAGACAAAAAGAAGAUAAAAUGAUACAGAACAAAGAAUUUCUAAGAGACAGCAACAUACAAUAGACUGAAGCCAGUUGAUCUGCUCAUUGAUUGCAGCCUUAAACUUGCAAAUGUUUACUGUAGCCUGGUGCUCAAAGAAGUGAAAAUGAUGCAAACCUUGAUUCCCUAUUUACUUCCAUUUACCAUCAAACAUUCUAUUCAUAAGAAAAAAAAUGUUUAGAUAUCUUGCCGUAAAUAUAGCCAUUUGAUUGUUUUAAUAAAGCCACACACAACCAUUCAUAUUGAUCCACAUUGCCACAUAGCCUGAUUUAAGCAUACAACAGCUGAAUGUAUACCUGACUCCUAACCUUAUCAAUACAUUGGCGACAACUUAAGAAGAAAACUAUUUCUCCAUCUCUUUUUUGAAAUUUCACAAUAAAACAGCACAAUGUAAGAGCUGCAAUGAAAAUGGACCGUCUGGAACUAUGGCGGAAGCUUCAACUAGUGUAGUGAUUUGACCUUCUUAUUAACCUGGCAAGAUCAAACACUGCCCUUGAUCUUGAACAGAUCAAUACGAUACGCACAACUUAUGAUUGAAUCCAGAAACCAUCAAAUCUUUAGCAAGAAUAAUUAAUCAGAAUCAAGAAACAAGUUUAAUGAAUAUAAACCUAUAAUUGGAACAAACACAGCCAAAGAACCCAAGAAUGACACAACGUACACCAAGGGAGAAGCUUUCCAGUGAGAUUAUAUUGAUGAUCAAAGAAGAAUCUUUUUACAAAGGUAACAAAAGUGAUUUCAGAGAAUAAGCUAUGACCCUCUCUCUUUUCAAUCUCUGUCUAGUUUGUUAACAGUGAUGACCCCAAUCUGCUUCGUUAGCCAGGUUCAUAACUGCGUCAGUGACAAACUAGCAAACCUAGAUUGAGCAGACUAACGACACGUGCAUAACGGCUUUAACGAACUUGGUUAAAGAACUGCUCACAUGUUCGUCACGCGUGUUGCUUAAAUGAUAGCCAAAACGACUUCAACCAGAUGCCGUUUUGAAGCUUAUGAAUUAUAAGUGAAAACACGUGCUUGUCUCGUGACAUUUAAAUGCAACAACAAGCCCAAAACACUGUCGUUUCACUAUGUUGAGUUUGCCAUCUCCAAGCUUCACAACUAGCAGCGAACAAGAUGAUAAUUUAAUUGACAUGGAGAGCUUUUAUAUCACUUUUACAACAUUCUAUAUAAUUGUGAUAUUGGGAAUCGUCGGUGCUGUAUAUGUGAACCCUCAUUGGCGACACUGGUGGUUUUAUCUUUGUUAAAAUAUGGAUGACUUUUCGUUACUAUUUUGUUGUACAUAACCUUAUUCCUACGAGAUUUAAUCAUUGAAAUUAUGUUAGUUUCAUUAGAAGGCUGAGUGGUUAGUGCUGCUACCCUCCAAUUUGGAGGGCAGUAGUUUGAACCCCCACAAGCGCAAUGUGGGGGUAUUUCCUUCUUUAAUUACAUUGUAUAAUUGAGUAAAGGUAAUUUUCUCUCUUACCCAAGUGUGAGUGGAGUAGACAUCCCUCGAUGGUUAAAACCUGGGCAGAGCUUCAUAAGUAUUGAUGUAAGUUGGUCCCAGUAAUAGUCUGAUUUGUAAAUAUCAGUUAUAGUCUCAUGUUUCCUUCCUUAAUUAUAUUGUAUAAUUAAGUAAAGGUACUCUUUUCCCCUACCCAAGUGUGAGUGGAGUAAAUAUCCAUCGAAUAUUAGUGAGGGUUAAAAUCUGGGCAAAGCUCCAUAAGUAUUGAUGUAAGUUGAUCCCAGUAAUAGUAUGAUUUGUAAAUAUCAGUUAUAGUCUCAUGUAAUAUGAGUUGUAAUUUGAGCAAUAGUUUCAUGUAAUUAAAAAAAAUGUUACUUUCAUUACAUUUUUCUUCGUUAAAAUUCUCAAGUAUCAAUUAUGUUUGCUUAAGAAAUAAAAUUUUGUCAUUAAAGUUGUAGUAGUAUUUCUAAGCAUCUCACAUUUUCAAUGAUUUUUCAUAAAUCAAUUAAUAUGUCGUACCAAUAUCAUGUUUAGUUUUUCAGACUAAAUAAUCAAGAAAGCAAACAAAUUCACAGUUUAGAGGGGUAAACUAGCUUUUAGAUUUUAGAACUAGGCUAGCUACCUCACCAAAUUCCAGUUUGUACAGUGAACUACAAGAUUGAGAAAAUAAUGUAUUUAUAGUUUAAUUGAAUCAUGACAAACAAUGUAGUCAUAGCUCAAUCGGACAUGAUCACGGAGAGGCAUAUUCUUUUCAAGUUAAUUUGAUCCAUUUAUAAGAAAUGAAGUGGAUCGAAGUUAAAAGUUCAAAUAAAAAAUCCUUGUUCUUGAGUUUUACGACGUCGUUACUCCUUCAAGAGGCUGAUUAUGCAAGUGAAUGGAGAAACAUAAUGCAUUUAUAAUUUUUUUAAUAAUUAUAAAAAUAAUUAACCAUAACAAAUCCCUUGCGUAAAUAAUAAUCAUUAUUUAAAAGGUCCAAAGAUGGUUAGUGCACAAUCAAAUUUUAAGCCCCUACCUCCUCGGCCCAAGAUUCAAACUUAGAUGAUAAGCCAAAUAAAAUUAUUUGAAAAUCAUUCAAUCAAGUUCCGGGGCAAAAAUACAAGAUCCUUAUUUACAUGAUAUAUAUGAAUUAAUGUAAUUUAUUUGAAUUGUCCAAAUUCAUUAGAGAUAAAACUAUAAAAUAUACCAAAAAAGUUAGAAGGAAGGCUGUGUUGGGAUAUUUUACAAACUAUAGGGAUCUGGUGAGAUUUUGAGCCAAACUGUAGGGAGUUGAAGGCAUUUGCCCAAUAUGUUUAGACGUACACUAACCGUUAUUUGAUCUUGUUGUUGGUCCCGGAUGAGCUGUAGUCUUAUUUUAAUUUUAUUUAAACUCACCAUAAGAUUCGCGGAGCUCCUAACUAACUUAAAUGACUCUGCAGAGCAUGUCAACACAUACCAUGUUUAACCGUUUUAUUUGUAGAAGAAUUUAUGAUUUCCCAUUAGCAUUAUUAUUGAAGUGGGGCAGGUCAAAUCUCAAUUGCUUGAAAAUUUUAUUUAUUAUUAUUAGUCUUGAAGUGGGGUGGGUAACGGUUCGCUCAAUUCGAGGGGAAUCAAAUAUAUCAUCCAAGGUAGAAUUGUGGAAAAUUAAAGCAAAAUAAGAAAUAUGGAAAGACAAGAAGAAAGUUAAGGCAUGAAAGACAUAUACAGUUGAAAUUGAUAAUCAUGUUUCUAUUUUGUUAACUAAUCAAAUGGAAAGCUGAACUGUAAACAAACAUUAAAACGUGUGGACCAAGCUCGCUGUCCUACAAGUCUACAAUAAUAAUUGAGUACUUUGAUUCAUCCUUCUAUGAAUUUCUACCCAUAUUGACUCCACCGAAAUUUCCACAAAAUAAAAUUAAAAAAAAAAACUGAAUUUCCACAAAAUACAAAACCCGUUGAACUUAAUUUUUGGUCAUGUGAACUAAGAUGUAAAUUAUAAAAAAAAGUAUAAAAUUAAAAAAGAUGAGAUUUCUAAAAUGUGUGGAAAGUGAUUCAUGAUUCACUGAAAUUACUUACCCCAGAUAUAAAGGUAAACCUAUCUAAUUUCAUUAAAAAUAGUUGAAAAACAUUAACUAAUAGAAAGCUACGGAAAUUAACCCCCCACAAAAAUGACUUUUUAUAGAAGAAUUUAUGUUUUUUAAAAUAUGUUAUCAAAGUGUAUUUGAUCAAAUCUGAAUUGCUUAGUAUGGUUAGGAUUUUGUGAACAUCACUAAAAAGUGAAAACUAUGAAUGAUAGGGGUGAUGCUUGCAAUAUGAAUAAAUAAUGGACUGAUUCAAUUUCUGAUUACAUUUAUAUAUUAUUGAUUAUUUAUGAAUUUUCAGACUUGUUAUGAUGUAUAACUAUGUGAUUUUGAAACUUGAAACCGUGGCAAACAUUGAAAGGAAUUAUAACUUGAAAGCAUGACUCACGGGGUAUGUCAUGAUUCACGUGCACAAAAAAGGUAGAAUUGUGGAAAUUUACAACCCAACGACAAGUACGGAAAGAAAGGAAGAAAAUUAAAAGACUUUGGGCCUAGCUGCGUGUAUAAAUUAUUAGAUUACUUUUUUUUUUAUAAGGGUAAUCAUCAAUUUACUCCAUAAAAAUCUUUAAUUCAAUUAAAAUUUAUGGUAUUUUAUAUAUUAAAAAUUCUAAAAUAAUUAUGUAUUCACUUGAAUAUAGUUUUAGUUAUAAAUGUUAAAAUAUUGUGGUAUUUAAUAUAUUAUUUAUUUGACAUUCAAAUUUAAUAAGGAUACAAAUGUAAAAGUAUAUAUUUUUCAGCUUUUUAAGUUGAAAAAAACAAACAACUUAAUACUUAUUUUUUGAGAUUCAGACAAAAAAAUAAACAUAUUAUUCAGAUUCAGACAUUCAGAUCUAUUCAGAAUUCUCACUAAUUCAGAUCUAUUCAGAUUUCAGAUAAAAAAAAAAAAAACAAAACGCCACCUAAGUAUAGUUAGGAUUGUGUGAACAUCACUGAAAACUAUGAUUGAUAGAAGUGAUCUUGGCAAUAUGAAUAAAUAAUUAACUGAAUCAAUUGAUUUAUAUAUUAAUGAUUGUUUAUGAAUUUGCGGACUUGUUGCGAUAUAAUAAUAGCAUAUGAUUUUGAAACUUGAAACAGUGGUAAAUAUUGAAAGGAAUUAAUUUGAAAGCAUGAUCCGUGGGGAAUGUGAUGAAUCGUGUUUACAAAAAAGGUAGAAUUGUGGAAAUUUAUAAUAGAACGAUAAAUAUGGUAAAAAGGAAGAAAAUUGAAAGACUUGGGGCUUGGCCUGGGUGUAUUUUCUAACAGUCCAAUGGACAAAAUUAUAUUUGUAUACUUUCUUUUCAGGAAAAAGUUAUUCUCAUCCCUAGGUUUCAUGCAAUAGCUCAUUCCAUCCUUAUUUUUUAAAUAAUAGACCAAAACAUUCUUCCGUUAACUCACUGUUAGUUGAAUGUCGUUUGUUAGUUAUUCAUUAAGAGUAAAAAAUGAUUUUCUAUCAAAGAGAAAAUUAGAAAAAUAAAUAAAAGUUGACAUAUAACUAAAAAUGAUUUUAUCUAAUCCCACUAAAUAAGAAAUACCAAAAAAGAUGAAAAUUUUAUAUUUCAAGCAGUUCUUUUUUCACUUAUUUCUAUUUUGGCGGUAUGAAAGCCCUAUAAACCCUAGAUCUAAGUACCAAAAAUAUUGCAAUUUUCUUAUUCAUAUAAGUAUACUCUCUAAUUGCACUAUAAAAUGACUUGAAUUGAAUUGAAGAUAAAGAAUAUAUUCAGCACAUACAAAGCACAUAAAAAUUGGUGGCAUUUUUGAGUUUUUCUUCCAAUGAUUUAAAUAUAUUAUUUUAAUUACAGUUUGUUCCUUAUGACAAUUAUUAAAUGGCUAUAUCAAACUAUAUCAUCGUUGAUUUCAUUUAAAAAAAAAAGUUAAUGAAUUUUGCAUACUUUGUAGUGUUAUUUAAUUGUGUAAAAAAAUUAUUUUAAUAUAGUUUGUAUCACUUUAAUGAAAAAUUCUAUUUUGCCCUCAAUGAAUUACUAGUUAACAGUUUUACACUAACGGUGAAUUAACAUAAGGAUAUUUUAGGCUAUUGUUUGAAAAGGAGGGAUAAAAUGGGCUAUUACAUUAAACUCUAAGGAUGAAAAAUGCUUUUUCCCCUUUCUUAUCAAUCAACUAACUGAUAAAAGUCAAAACUCAUAUUUUUUUUUCCUUGUUUCAAUCCCCUCUCAAUCAAAAAAGUUUCAUUGUCUAAGCAAUGAGGAAUAUGGCUAGAAAGAUUGUUAUUAGAAAGAUUUAUCAAUAGUAAUUGGUUCACAAUUGAACCGUUUUAGAUUAUUGUGAGUCAAUAUAGGUCCUGUUUGGAAUUGAAGUGUUGCAGCUCUUAAGUUAUAGAUGCUUUGGAAAAAAAACUAAAAUUAUGAAAUAAGAGUUAAUAAUAUAUAAUAAAUAUAAAUUUUAAAUAAUAAUUGUGACAAAAUUAUUAAAAAUAUAAUAGAUUUUUGAUAAUACAAGUAAAAAAAUCAUAACAACAUAGCUUGCAAGCUACAACAGUUAGUGUUUAACAAAUACUUUAAUACUGUGGCUUUUAAGUUACAGCUGUUCAAUACCUCAAUUCCAAACGCACCUAUAAAAUGGCUUGCUUCAAAAGUCUAUCAACCCAACUUGGAAUGCUCUCAUUCAAGUGGCUAUAACUAAGAUAAAACUUCGCUAAGGAAGAGUAAUUAAAAAAUGUAACUUUAACAUGUCCAUAUAGCAUUUUUGUUUACAAGUGAAUUUGUGUGAUAGAGAGAGGAUGUAAGCAAGAUAGUAAAGUCCUAAAUAUAUUAUUGUGUAUAAUGUCUAAAAUUUAAAGAGAAUCAAGCUGAUAAAACUCCAUUGAAAUUAGACCUUCAAGAAUACGGUUCUUGGGCAUUAUAAAAUGUUGUAAUGUUGAGAGAUUACCCAACCAUUAUGGAAUCCUACCAAGAUGAUUGUUACCACUAAGAUACAAUCCUUCUAGUGAACAACAAUCAGAUAAAUUUUUUGGGGAUCUCUCUUACAAAGUGAUUACCAUCCAAUCGCAAUUUUGAAUGAAAAUAAAUUUUUUUUAUUGGGAGUUUAACCUUAACAUUAAAUUUAGACAAUGAAUUUUAACUUUCUACAGUUAUUAAGCAGAUUACGGACAUUUGAGGAAUUUGAAAACAUUUCAUCCAUCGAAAGUUAAAAUUAGAGAUGGAAGAUAGGUGCUACAGCUAAUGGGAACAUUACUUCCUGUCCCUCAUCACACUUUAUUUUGGGUCUAAUAAUUUUACGGUAGCAUUGACCACUGCUCAAGGUAAGUAAAACUUACAAAUGUGUGGCAAAAUAAAUAAUUAAGUACAUAAACUGUUAACCAAUUUUCUUGAUAUAUACAGCUAAAGUAGUUGUAUAUUAGUGUCCUGAAACAUGUUUAUUAUGAUAGACACCUCCACCGUACCUCAAACAAAUCUGUCAUUAUUAGUGUCCUGAAACAUGUUUCGGCCGUCAAAGUCAUGAGAGGGUUGAUGACGCUACUACGUAUGAUGACACACCAGCCGACAGUGUAGUAACAGCUCAAAAACAAAAUCUACCAAAAUCAACGGAAGUUAAUAAAAAAAUAUUUUAUUAAUAAAAAAACUUAUUAUUUGUGGAGAUAUGUGUAUUUGAGUCUGUGGACUGAAAUGGAAAAUAUGAAGAAGUUCAGAGUCGUUGUGCAGAUUGACUUCAGUUGAGCGGGUCUAAUAGAUAUUUUAUGCUGACGUGGCACGAAUUAGUUAUAAUCUGUUAUAACGAUUCCAGAAAUAUCGGUAUAAAUAGAAGUUGAUGAGCAGUGCCUGUUGUACGAUCCUUUUCUUCUUCAGCAGUUCGUCAAUUUGCAUAGAAUCUGUUUCACUUAUGUUUGAUUAGUUGUUGAUCGAUAACGAGAGUAAAUUUUUCCUUCAAAUCUUGCUGGUUCGUGCCCCUGUUUCAGUUUUGGGUUUUUUUUUUUUUUUAGUUCUGGUUUCUUAAUUCAAUUGAAUUUCUUGGUGCUUAAUUCAUCAAGAUUCAGUGGAAUUGACUUGAAAAGGACUCAAUAGACUCAACAUUAUUUAACGACACUCGGACCGUGGGGUACCGUAAUCAUAAUAUUAAAAGAUUUAAAAUUUUAUGCAUUUAUUAAUUGUUAUAAUCUAAAAAAAAAUUAAUUAAUUCAGGUCAAUCUGAGUUGGUGCAUCUGCAGAGCCUUUUUUUUUUUUCCCCUUAUUGACCAUAACUUUCGACUUAUUAAUAGUUAUAUCAAAGGGUGUGGGUGUUUUACCUCAUCAUGUCUUCAAGCGGAAGAUGAAGACUAUGCAAGUGAAUACAGUGCAUUUCAACAUAGCAUAUUUAACCGUUUUAACAGUUAUUUGGACCGUCUUCAGAGCUAACAUCAACAUACUCAUUCAUAUGCUUAAUAAUGAACGAAUAGUCAUGGAUCGAUGUUUUGCAGCAAGAGCAACUCGACACAAUCUGGAUUCAACCUCCUCCUUUCUAACAGGGUGAUACGCCGCGGAGGUCGUCAAGGAUUCCAAAGCCUAGCAACAAGUAUGCUGGGUACAUUUGAAUUAUGCAUGGAUGCUUGGAAGUCGAACGGUCACAUGGCUCAAGACUUAUGCAUACGUUACAUGCAACAUGCAGCACGUUGGAAGAAUGGUCAUUGGAGCAGUCUACAUGGAUCAUGGGGGGGAUUCGGUCAACAUGGGAUCACUUGCUGAUUUAAUGGAGAUUUAUCAUUUGGUUUAAUUCAUUUUCGGUUGUUUAGUUAAGCUAAAAGAAUAAGUUAAGUUGUUAGCUUAGGACCUGCCUACAAUCUCGAGUGAUAGUUAGAUUGUUUGGCUAAGUUGUUUUAAGUAUAAAUAAGCUCCAACGGACUUGAAUAAAGGGCAUUGACUAUUAUCCAAAAAUCAAAUAUCUUGUGGUCUUAUUUCUCACCCUAAGUAGAAAUAUAUUCAACCACUUACGCUUUGACUGGGACCCCUAUCAGUGGUAUCAGAGCGAGGUUACUAUGUCAACCAACAAGGAACGCAUAGAGCGUGUGGAAGCCGAGAUCGGAAGCUUGCAAGAUGGAAUGAAGCGUAUGGAACUAGGGCUUACUGACAGAUUGCACCGCCUAGAAGAAACAAUGAGCAAACUGGUAGAUUCACUUCCAACUUCAAAAGGGAUGCCAAGUCACAACAAUUCUGAUCACGUUGGAUCCUCACAGCCUAGCCGUGGAGAUAGUGAAGGGAGCCGCCAUCAGCUAGCAUCAAGACUUACCAAACUGGAGUGUCCACGAUAUUCCGGCGACGACCCAACGGAGUGGUAUAAUAGGAUCAUGCAAUUUUUCGAGUACCAGAAAGCAACCAAUGAACAGAAAGUCUCCUUAGCUUCUUUUCACCUCGAAGGAGAGGCCAACCAAUGGUGGCAGUAGAUGCGACGAACUUAUCAAGAAGACGAAAAAAUAGUAACGUGGGAAAUUUUUGUGGAGGAGCUUUGGGCACGGUUUGGCCCUACUGAGUGCGAAGAUUAUGAUGAGGCGUUGUCCAGGGUUAAGCAGACAGGGUCACUACGUGAUUAUCAGAGGGAAUUCGAAAGGCUUGGGAACUGGGUACGAGGCUGGACGCAAAAGGCCUUGGUCGGGACCUUUAUGGGAGGAUUGAAGCCGGCAAUCUCAGAGGAAAUUCGGAUGUUUCGGCCCAAAACUUUAAAAGAAGCUAUAAGCCUCGCACGUAUGAAGGAUGAUCAAUUAACGCGACAAAGGAAGUUGCUACGACCACAGUACCUCAACCGUACACCACCAACACCAACAAACAAUACCCGUGCCCAACCAACGAGACCCAUCAAACGGCUGACUUGGGACGAAAUGCAGCGGCAUCGAGUAAUGGGACUUUGCUUCAAUUGCAACGAUCGGUUUACAGCAGGUCAUAAGUGCACCCAACCUCAGCUAUUGCUCCUUGAAAGUGAGACAAUGAAUGAUGAAACUACAUAUGAGGGAAUUCCUGAAGUCUUAUGAACAAAACCUGACACUAAAGAGCCUACCGAUCCAAAAAUCACUUUCUAUGCCCUCACUGGAUGGGCAGCCCCAAGAACCAUGCGGGUCACGGCAACGGUAGGACCAUAUGAGAUUAUGGUUCUGAUCGAUAGCGGUUCAACUCACAAUUUCAUCAGCUCCCGAAUGGCCAACAUGUUACGGCUGCCAAUCAUUCCCACAGCAGGAUUUUUGGUGCGAGUGGCAAACGGAGAAACGCUAUCGUGCAAGGGAAAAUUCGAACGGGUUCAGGUAUUAUUACAAGAAGUUCCAUUCACUUUGACUCUUUAUUCACUUCCAAUUACAGGGUUGGAUAUGGUGCUUGGAGUCUAGUGGCUUGAGAUGCUAGGCUCAGUGGUUUGCAAUUGGAAACAACUUACCAUGGAUUUCACUUGGGAGAACAAAAGUUGCCGGUUACAAGUCAUCGGGCCUCAAUCAAUCCAAACAGCAUCCUUGACCGAAAUUACCAAAGAGCUGAGACAAGGGCAGUCCGGUUUUGCUAUUUGUUUCCAUGUGAAUGUAGAAGACUCUCUCAACACAACAACUCCAGAUAUGCAAGACUUGUUAAAGGAAUACAACACUUUAUUUCAAAAGCCAACAAAACUGCCACCUAGACGAGAAAUCGACCAUAACAUCACAUUGAAAGAGGGAACUGAGCCAGUCAACGUACGGCCAUACCGUUAUGCCUAUUUCCAGAAAGCCGAAAUUAAAAAACAAGUCCAGGAGAUGCUGAAUUCGGGACUCAUUCGGCCUAGUACCAGCCCUUUUUCAUCACCAGUACUACUUGUCAAAAAAAAAGAUGGAAGUUGGCGAUUUUGCACCGACUAUCGGUCUCUCAAUAACGCCACUGUUAAAGACCGAUUUCCAAUCCCUACAGUCGAUGACAUGCUGGACGAGUUACAUGGAGCAGCAUACUUCACUAAAUUGGACCUAAGGGCCGGAUACCAUCAGGUACGUGUAAACCCAGCCGAUAUCCACAAAACGGCUUUUCGUACAUACAAUGGACAUUACGAAUACUUAGUAAUGCCGUUUGGCUUAUGCAAUGCACCAUCGACAUUCCAGGCCAUCAUGAACUCUAUCUUCCGUCCCUAUCUCAGGAAAUUUAUCCUUGUUUUCUUUGACGAUAUAUUGAUAUACAGUCCCUCUUGGUGUAGCCACCUUACUCAUGUUAAGCAGGCAAUGGAGGUUCUUAAACAACAUCAAUUUUUUCUUAAAGCAAGCAAGUGCACUUUUGGCCAACAAGAACUCGAGUACCUUGGCCACAUAAUUACCAGCCAAGGGGUAAAAGUAGAUGAGACAAAAAUUGCGGCCAUGGUCUCCUGGCCUCAACCGAAGAACAUCUCAGAGUUACGGGGAUUCCUUGGCCUUACAGGUUACUAUAGAAAGUUCGUCCAAGGAUAUGGAGUUUUAGCUCGGCCACUCACGAAUCUUCUAAAAAAAGGACAGUUUGAAUGGAAUGCAGAAGCGGACAAAGCUUUUAUCAAUUUAAAAAAGGCAAUGACAAGUACACCCACAUUAGCCAUGCCUAAUUUUAAUGAAACUUUUAUUAUUGUGACAGAUGCAUCCGGUGACGGCAUCGGCGCAAUACUCCAGCAACAAGGGCAUCCCAUCGCAUUUAUGAGUCGUGCCUUGGGAGUCACAAAAAAAUCUUAGUCCACAUACGCAAAAGAGAUGUUGGCGAUUAUAGAAGCUAUCCGUGUGUGGCGACCUUAUCUGGUGGGACGAAAGUUUAUCAUCCAAACCGAUCAACGCAGCCUUAAGUACCUUUUGGAACAAAAAAUAACGACACCCGAAUAGCAACAGUGGCUGGCCAAAUUGAUGGGGAUUGAAUAUGAAAUCCAAUAUAGGCCCGGCCGUGAGAAUGUUGCCGCCGACGCCCUUUCACGACGACCUGACAGUUCUGCUCUUAACAGUUUAUUUGUGGCGCAGGUAUCUAUUUGGAAUGAAAUAAAAACGGCUGCCCAAGAUGAUGAUUACAUGCAGCAAAUUACACAUCAGGCUCUGACUCAACCUACUGGCCCUUAUUUCAUGCGUAACGGGCUAAUUUUCUUCAAGGGCCGAGUUGUAGUUCCUCUUCGACUCCGUCAAUCUUUAAUUUUUUAAGCCCAUGACACUAAGAUGGGAGGUCAUUCAUGAGUUCUACGUACUUACAAACGUUUGAAACAACAAUUCUAUUGGCCUUCAAUGUUUCAAACGGUUCAUGACUAUGUAGGUAAAUGCGAGAUUUGUCAAAAAACGAAAGCAUCAACCCUUAAGCCUGCGGGUCUCCUCCAGCCCUUGCCAAUUCCUUGCCAAGUGUGGGAUGAUAUCACGCUCGACUUCAUUGAAGGGCUGCCAAACUCACACGGUAAAAAUUCUAUUCUAGUGGUGGUGGAUCGGCUCAGCAAGAGUGCACACUUUAUGGCCUUGACUCACCCAUUCACAGCAAAAACAGUGGCUGAGAAGUUUAUUGAUGGAGUGGUAAAAUUACAUGGCAUGCCGAAAUCAAUAAUCAGUGACCGAGACCCUAUUUUUAUUAGCAAGUUUUGGCAGGAGUUUUUUCAUAUGUCCGGUACACAACUCAAUAUGAGUUCUGCGUACCAUCCGCAAACCGACGGUCAAACGGAAGUUAUUAAUAGAUGUCUUGAACAAUACCUGCGAAGCUUUGUUCACCAAUGGCAGAAGCAAUGGAACUCUUACCUACCUUGGGCAGAAUACUGGUACAACACAACGUACCAUGAGUCCACAAGCAUGACUCCUUUUUUGGCUUUGUAUGGGCGACAUCCACUGGUAGUACCAAUGUAUCAUGUGGAAUCUUCUCCAGUGCACAAGGUAGAUCAAGCUUUGUUGUCUAGGGAUGAGCUGCUGCGACAAUUAAAACAGAAUUUGAAAAUGGCAACCAAUCGCAUGAAACAAUUUGCGGAUACAAAAACGCGCGACGUGGAGUUUAAGGAGGGUGACAUGGUAUUCCUAAGACUUCCACCGUAUAGGCAGACUACUGUAUUCCGUCGUGCUCAUCAGAAGUUGACCAGCAAAUACUCUGGGCCAUAUCCAAUUCUGCGAAGAGUGGGACAAGUGGCUUAUGAGCUUAAACUACCGACGGGAUCUCGAGUGCAUCCGGUAUUUCAUGUGUCCUUACUCAAAAAAUACGUUGGUGAGAUGCCUCAAUUCAGUGCAGAUCUUCCAUAUGUCAAUGACGACGGAGUACUCGUUUUAGAACCGGACAAAAUUAUUGAUGUUCGUUGGCUUAAAAGAGGUGGCAAGUUGGUGGAACAAAGUCUUGUCCGUUGGAAACGCCUUCCACAUGAGGACGCAACAUGGGAAGAUUCAGAGUUCCUGGCAAAGCAAUUCCCUCACCUGACCCUUGAGGACAAGGGUCCUCUUCGUGGAGGCGGUAUUGAUACACCGCGGAGGUCGUCAAGGAUUCCAAAGCCUAGCAACAAGUAUGCUGGGUACAUUUGAAUUAUGCAUGGAUGCUUGGAAGUCGAACGGUCACAUGGCUCAAGACUUAUACGUUACAUGCAACAUGCAGCACCUUGGAAGAAUGGUCGUUGGAGCAGUCUACAUGGAUCAUGGGGGGGAUUCGGUCAACAUGGGAUCACUUGCUGAUUUAAUGGAGAUUUAUCAUUUGGUUUAAUUCAUUUUCGGUUGUUUAGUUAAGCUAAAAGAAUAAGUCAAGUUGUUAGCUUAGGACCUGCCUACAAUCUCGAGUGAUAGUUAGAUUGUUUGGCUAAGUUGUUUUAAGUAUAAAUAAGCUCCAACGGACUUGAAUAAAGGGUAUUGACUAUUAUCCAAAAAUCAAAUAUCUUGUGGUCUUAUUUCUCACCCUAAGUAGAAAUAUAUUCAAUCACUUACGCUUUGACUGGGACCCCUAUCACAGGGGAUUUCGAUUUGAGUUACUUUGUGCUCAAGCAAAUUCACAUCAUAGUUUUGAUUCUUUAGAUAUGAAUUCAUCACAUUACAUAUAUCAGAUUAAGUGUAACAAAAUUUUUAAUUUACUGCGAAAAGAAUAUGCACUAAACAAUGAUUUCAAGACGAUUUGACUACCAAAAGCAGCUGUCAGAGUGCACUAAAAAUUUCUGUAGGAUAUUUUGUAGCUGUUUAAUAUGUUAUGAUGGGCAUAUAAUUCUCAAAUUUUGAUGCCUCUCAGCGAAAAAUAUAUCAAAGUUUAGAUUAUGUGUUCGAGCUUUAAUAAAUGGUCGGAAAAAAAGCUGCUGUCAGAGUGCACUGAGUGAAUAAUAAUAACGACAAUAAUAAUAAACUAAAAAACAGAAUUAAUUACUAUUGAAUGGUCGGAAAAAAAUUUGAAAACGUGUGAACUCCAAUAAUCACCCCACAAAUUCAGUGGCGAAUUUUGGAGAGGGCAAGGCCGGGCUUCUCAGAAAAAAAUUUAUUUAGUUACAAAAUUAUCUUUAUUGAAACCUAUAUAAAUUUUUUUUUAUAUUAAUUAGUUAUGUUACCUCUUCAAUUAUCAUCAAAUUUUUGUCUGUUCAUCAUUUGGUGAAUAAAUGUGUGUCUAAAUAAUUUCAAAUAACAUUUAGAACAAAUAUUUUGAGAGGUAAAGUUUAUUUUGUCUCCCAUUAUUAGGUGCAUCUAUAAUUUCUUAUUUACAAAAUUAUAUUGUACGAUAAAAAUUUAUUGAAUUAGGGGGAAAAAAAAAGUUCAGCUCACUCAAAAACAAAAAAUGGUAUUAACUUCGCCACCGCACAAAUCUAGAAUAAUAAUUAUUCCUUAUCAUGCUGGGGAUCCUUUACUUUCUAGCCGUAUUGACAGCACCAGGUAAAGCUUUGUAAAAUAAUAAGUUACUCAUUAGUGGUUUUUAAUCUUUUUAAUUCUUUUUACCGCACACCUGAUCAAGAAUUUUAUUUUGUUAACUAAUCAAUUGCAAAGCAUAUAUAAGUGUUGAACGGUACGCAAGAUUGGAAAAAAAAAUCUUAAAAAACGUGUGGAUUCGGGUGGCCACACCAGAAAUCUAUUACAAUAAUUAGCUUUGAUGCUGGGAAUCUUUUAAUUUCUGGCCGUAUUGAAAUUUUUAAAAUAACAAGUUCCCCUUCUCGUUUUUUUUUUUAUAAAUAUAUAAGCUUAUAACAAUUUUAGAAUAAUGACUCAUUUGUAGAAGAAUUUAUGAUUUCCCAUUAAUAUUAAUAUUGAAGUGGGGUGGGUCAAAUCUCAAUUGCUUGAAGAAUUUAUUUAUUAUUAUUAAUAUUAUUAGUAUUGAAGUGGGGUAGGGAACGGACCAGCAGUUCACUCAAUUCGUGGCGAAUUAAAUAUUACCAUCCAAGGUAGGAUUGUGGAAAAUUAAAGCAAAAUGACAAGUAUGGAAAGGAAGGCUGAAAGUAAGGCAUGACGAAAGGCUUUGAGAAGGCUGAAGACUUACCAAAGAAGUCAACUGAAAACUAGCUGGGGCCUGAGUGUAUAAAUUGUUAGAUGCGUUUGUUAUAAAUAACAUAGAGCCCUUUUGUUAUUUAUAGUUAUAGAGAAAGAGAGAAUGUGUGUCUUUUAAGAGUUAGAGAUAUAGCUAGAAUGGGCGGCUCAAAAUCCAAAAUGGUGACAAUGUUAGUUCUCGUAUUGGUAAUAUUUUGGGUGGGGGGGGGGGGGGGGGGGGGGGGGGGUUGUGAGGGAAGGAAGGUCCACAGGCCGAGUGGUACAACUACACCUUGGCCUUACUAGGAAUAUCGAUCUGGGAGAGUGGUAUCUGAAUGCUUCUCUAUUUACUUCCUUUCAACAACUUGGUAACAAAAUAGCCGGCUGCAUGCGUUGAGAAUGAAGGUCCUUCAUUUAAUUUAAUUUACUUAAUUUCUCCCUCCCAAUUAAUGUCUAAUGGAGCUCAUUCUUUGGUUUUACUUGCAGGUCUAGAAGCAGGUGUCAUCUAACAGCUGCUUUGAUAAUUUCCCACCCCUUCAUCUUUGAUGGAAAGAUGAAAUAAAAACAAAAUGGUGAAAAUGGUAUUGGUACCUGAGGCUAUGUAAUCUAAUUCAACAACUGCACCAUCAAAACGAUUACAUAAGUCCCAGAAGAAUCAAACAUUAGUUUGCAAAAUAUCAAUUGCUGGAGGUUAGAUUCUAACUUCCGCUCUUGAUUUUUAUGGGCAUGUUGUAUUGUACUUGCAUACGAAAAUCAUAUUUUAGUUUACUUACACUCAAUGCUUGGAUUAAAGUUUCAGGUGGGGAAAAUUGAAGGAGACUAAAAUGACUCAAAAAAAUAGUUGAAUGAGUGAGGGUUUUGUCUUCAUUUGAGGAGCUCUUUAUAAAUUUUAGGAUUUUUUUUCCCGAGAAAAUUUAUGCCAACUUAUUCUUUGCUUCUUUUCUGAAGGGACAAAUGCAACUGAAAGUGUAUUCUUGAAUUCUCCAGGAUAAGAGACAUAUGUUUAAUUAGAUUCUCGAGCCUUCAAAACAAUAUAAAAUUUUAUAUAUCUGAGCAUGAUGGUGUUUGACAUGACUUAAAAUUGUUUAAUUUACUCUCACGUACAAGAAUGCCUAGUUAUAUUGUCGCUCAGAGUCCGAGGUUAAUCCAUAAAGAAAUGAUUUAAUUUGUUUAUUUAAGAUUAUCCCAAAAAAUAAAAAUAAAAUUUAAAUAUAUGUAAUUUAAUUUGAAAAAAGUUAUGAAAUUAAAUUAUUUAGAGUCAUGGAUCCACUCUUAGUAAUAAAUACAAUUUAAUAAAUUCUUUUUAUUUUUAUUUUAUUGCCCAAAAGAUUAAUUAUAUAAAUUAUAAUUAUUUUUCCAUUAAUUUUAUUAUGGAUUAAGUACUUAAUGUGCCAAAACUUAACUUGUCUACAAUAUGUCAAAAUACCAUUUUACCAUACUUUAUGCUAAGAUAUUAAGAAUUCAUGUGCCAAACUCCCAUGUUUGUCUACAAUAAAUCCAAAUUUCAAAACAUAAAAUAUGGAUCAAAUUAAAUAAAAAAUAAUUUAAUUUAUAUAAUUAAAAAUAGAAUUUGAUUAAAUCAUAUUUUUCUACUUAGAGUUUUACCUCACCCUAACUAUUAGUAUUUAGCUAAACAUAUUUGAAAUAAAUGAAAUUAUUAAAAUUGAAAAAUACAUAAUUAAAAAAAUGGUAUUUGAAAAUUAGAAAUAAAACUAAUUUUAUUUAUUGAAAAUGUAUUACAAAGAGAGAUGAGAAGAAGAAUUUGAGGGAAAAGAAGAGAAGAAAAUGUGUGGAGAGGUGUGUGAAAUUAUAUUGUAAAGAUGUUACACAAACAAAUGAAUAAAAAAAAACUAAAUGAAAAUUACACAAAUUAAAAAGAAAAUGAAAAUUAAAUAAAAAAGAUAAAUGUGUAAGAAAAAAAUGCGCAAUAAAAAUAAAUAAACUGAAAAGUAAUUAACUAAAAUUAAAAUAACUAAAUAGGCGGUAAACAAAGUAAAUGCCAAAAAUAAAAUAAGUGCGAAAAUUAAAUUACAGAAAUUAAAAGAAGAAAGAAAGAAAAAAAUAAUUAUCUCAAAGUGUAAACUCUUUUUCUUUUUCUUUUCAAAUUUUAAAUAUUACCAGCCAAUUAAGUGAUUAAUUCAAAUUAUUAGGCUUUAAUAGUAAUUUUUAAAAUCAAUAUUCAGUUUAUUGAGUCCAAAUAAGGUCCAAAGAAGUUCAAGUUGUUGGUCUAAAAUUGAGAAUUUUGGGAAAUAUUGGCAACGGACCUAUUCAAAAAGCUCUAUAAUUUUGUGGUCAAACUGCAAUUAUGAGAAGAAUGAUCCAAAAAUUAGAAUUUUUGGGGUGAGUGAGAUUUAGAAAGAUUUUGUGGAUAUAACAUAAUUUAAGAAAGAAAAAGGAGGUAAAUGAAAAUUUACACAAAAAGUAUAAAAAGAAAGAAAAAAGAAAACAAAAUAAAUACCUCUCCCAGCAAUGGCGGUAAAAACUUAACACGACUUAAAAGCAUUUAAUUUACUCUAAAGUAUAAGAGUACCUAGUUAUAUUAUAUCGCGAGAAGUCCGAGAUCGAUCUACAGAAAAAUGAUUUAAUUUAUUUAUUUAAGUUUAUCUAAAAAAUAAAAAUAAAAUUAAAUACAUGCAAUUUAAUUUGAGAAAAACUAUGAAAUUGAAGUAGUUAGGAUUAUGGAUCUACUCCUAGUAAUAAAUGUAAUUUAAUAAAUUCUUUUUAUUUUUAUUUUAUUGACCAAAAGAUUACUUGUAUAAAUUACAAUUAUUUUCCCAUUAAUUUUAUUAUGGAUUAAGUACUUAAUGUGCCAAAGCUUAACUUGUCUACAAUAAGUCAAAAUACUAUUUUACCAUACUUUAUACUAAGAUAUUAACAAUUCAUUGUGCCAAACUCCCAUGUUUGUCUACAAUAAAUCAAAAUUUCAAAAUAUAAAAUAUAGAUAAAAUUAAAUAAAAAAUAAUUUAAUUUAUAUAAUUAAAAAUAGAAUUUGAUUAAAUCAUAUUUUUCUACUCAGAGUUUUACCUCACCCUAACUAUUAGUAUUUAGCUAAACCUAUUUGAAGUAAAUGAAAUUAUUAAAAUUGAAAAAUACAUAAUUAAAAAAAUAGUAUUUGAAAAUUAGAAAUAAAACUAAUUUUAUUUAUUGAAAAUAUACUACAAAAAGAGAUGAGAAGAAAAAGUUGAGGGGAAUGAAGAGAAAAUAAGGUGUGGAGAGGUGUGUUCCUCCCCCCACUUCUCUAUUUAUACUAAUACAUGAUUAAUCUAUACCACACAAAUAAAUAAAACUAAUUACAUCUUAGGCAUACAUUUGUCCCACUAACAAAAUAUAAACCUAAGUUAAUCCACUUAAGCACAUCCAACACAUUUCACUAACAAUUACCACACCUAACAUGAUAAAAACUUAUAAUUUCACAAUUACCACAUUUACUUUUACAACAAAAACCACGAAUCUUCUCGACAAUAACCUAAUUUCUCGGACUUUCGGAAUCUAAAAAUUUAAAUAAUAUUAAAUUUAUCUAAUAUAAUUAAAUGUAUUAAAUAAAAUAAUGUUUCAUUUUAUAUUUACCCUCCUUUUAUUAAAUUUACUAUAAUUAUAUUUAAUAAAAUAAAUAAUAUUAUAUAUUUAAAUAAUAUUAGUUAUAUUUAACUAAAUUAAAGCAAAAUGACAAGUAUGGAAAGGAAGGCUGAAAGGAAGGCAUGACAAAAGGCUUUGAGAAGGCUGAAGACUACCAAAGAAGUCAACUGAAAGCUAGCGGGGGCGUGAGUGUAUAAAUUGUUAGAUGUGUUUGUUAUAAAUAACAUAGAGCCCUUUUGUUAUUUAUAAUUAUAGAGAAAGAGAAUGUGUGUUUUUUAAUAGUUAGAGAUAUAGCUAGAAUGGGUGGCACAAAAUCCAAAAUGGUGACAAUGUUAGUUCUCGUAUUGAUAGGGGGGGGGGGAGAGGUCGAGUGAGGGAUGUUUGGAGCAUGAGAAAUUUGAUCUUUUGCGGCUGGAUGUUUGGAGCAUGAGAAAUUUGAUCUUUUGCGGCUUAAACAUUUCUUCAAUUCCCCUUAUACACUUCAAAACUGGGUAGGUGAACAAAGGGAAAGGGUUGAGUGCAGCAACUCCACAGGCCAAGUGGUACAACUACACCAUGGCCUUACUAGGAAUAUUGAUCUGGGAGAGUGGUAUCUGAAUGCUUCUCUAUUUACUUCCUUUCAACAAUUUGGUAACAAAAUAGCCGGCUGCAUGCGUUGAGAAUGAAGGUCCUUCAUUUAAUUUAAUUUACUUAAUUUCUCCCUCCCAAUUAAUGUCUAAUGGAGCUCAUUCUUUUGUUUUAUUUGCAGGUCUAGAAGCAGGUGUCAUCUAACAGUUGAUUUGAUAAUUUCCCACCCCUUCAUCUUUGAUGAAAAGAUGAAAUAAAAACAAAAUGGUGAAAAUGGUAUUGGUACCUGAGGCUAUGUAAUCUAAUUCAAAAACUGCACCAUCAAAACGAUUACAUAAGUCCCAGAAGAAUCAAACAUUAGUUUGCAAAAUAUCAAUUGCUGGAGGUUUGAUUCUAACUUCUGCUCUUCAUUUUUAUGGGCAUAUUGUGUUGUACUUGCAUCCGAAAAUCAUAUUUUAGUUUACUUACACUCAACGCUUGGAUUAAAGUUUUAGGGGGGGCAUUGAAGAAGACUAAAAUGACACAAAAAAAGAGUUGAGCGAGUGCGGGUUUUGUCUUCAUUUAAGGAGCUCUUUGUAAAUUUUAGGAUUUUUUUCCUAAGAAAAUUUAUGCCAACUCAUUCUUUGCUUCUUUUCUGAACGGACAGAUGCAACCGAAAGUAUAUUCUUGAAUUCUUUAGGAUGAGAGACAUACGUUUAGAUUCAUCGAGCCUUUAAAACAAUAUCAAAUUUUAGAUUGCUGAAAUUUUAUAUAUCUGAGUAUGAUGGUGUUCCAAUUAUAAGCUCCAGGGUGCAACUUCACUAAGGUUUAGAAUACCUUCCUAUAGAAUUGAGAAAUCUCCAUUGGCAUAAAUAUCCUUUGAAAAUAUUGCCAUCAGAUGUUGAAUUGGAGAACCUGAUUGAACUCAGCUUGCCUUGUAGUAAGGUUAAGCAAAUUUGGAAAAGAGAAAAGGUAUAAUGUAUUACUAUUACCAAAGUAUCUAUUUUUCUUUCUUUAAGUAUUUAUAAUGAAUAACUUUGAAAUUGAAUGAUGCUCAUUUAGUAUAGUUGUGUAUCUUUGGUUAUAGGAAGCUGUCAAGUUAAAAUCUAUAGAUCUUCACCACCCUCUGUAUCUCAAUAGGAUCCCAAAAAUACUAAAUCUUAAAAAAAUAAAUCUUUCAAAAUGUGAAAGCAUGCUUACGUUACCCGCGUAUAUCCACAAUUUCAACUAGCUCAGUAUGUUGUGUUUCAUGGGAUGCAAAAUUCAUUUUGUUUCUCAUGAAAGGAUUGACUUGUUCGGAUGUAUUAGGGUUAAUAAACCAACUAAUCCCAUAAUUUGUUGAUGUCGGGUCCUAACAAAUUACUGCAGUAUAUUGUAGAUCAAUACACUAUUUGAAAACGUAUUUGAUCCACACAGUGAAUGUUUGAGGGUGCAUUUCUCGCGAACCAGCCAUACCCUAAACGAGGAGCCGGUCUCCUUGUAAUUGAGCAGGCAGGUGAAGUCUGGUAGCAAAUAUCCAAGAGCAGGAAUUCUAUGCUCAAUCACAAGGACAUCCUCUUUUGGACUAUAAUUCGAACAAGGUUCCUGCUAGGAGCCGAGAGCCUUUCCUGCUGGAGAGCGGGGUCGGCAGGCCUAGUCUAUAACGGUUAGCGAGACGUGCACUCCUAUUCGAGAAUCUAGGCACGAAACCAACUCAGCUGCAACUACGACAUUCAGGCAUCCACUUCCGUAAGCUGAGGGAGGUGAUGGACGUGGAUCGUAGGGCGUCGGAUUUGUAAGACGGCUAUAAAACGGUAAUCAACGAAGGUAAAGGGGUUAGACACUUUUACACUAGAACUUAAGAAAUAAGACCAUUUACUAAAAAAGGAGAGAAACACUCAUAGGUGUUCCACUGCCUAAGAGAUCAUGAGAGAGCCACGAGAUCAGUGGCCGAGUUUCCCAAAAAGUAAACCUAAAUUUCUGACUUGAGCGUAGGAGGAUUUUUCCGGCGUGCUCUGACAAGUUUUUGUGUGCGCAUGAGUCUGCUAAGUCAUACAAGGCAUAGCUUUGCUCGGUUAGAAGAGUUACGUGAAGUAUCCUAGGUUGGUCGUGAGUUCGGGAGUUAAGGAGAGAUCCUGGUUGCAGACGAGCAGACACCAGAAUCUCGCAUCAACAGUGAAGAUGAUUCAAUAUUAAGCAUGUCAUAUAAUCUAGAAGUGGAUAUUGGACCAAUUUGAUGAUAAUGAAUUUCUUUCAAUCUCAAUCUUUUUCUUUUUAGCAACAUGACUAGUAAUUGUGCAAAUUUAAACUCUGAGAAUGAUUUCUCAAUCGGUUUCUAAAAUGAUGACCAUGCAUGUAUACGUGUGUGUGUGUAGAGAGAGAGAGAGAGAGAUCACACGUGUGUGAUUUCCUUUUGCCAAUAGGAUAUGCAGAGAGCUUGAUCUUACCCAAUAGCGAAACAAACUUCCUAAUAAGUGAAGGUAUAGUAUAAAUACUUAUACUUUCAUGUUAUUUUGUUCAUCGGUAGCUUGAUUAUUUUAUAUGCGUCUUCGAUUUUAAUUUUCUUUCCCUAUAAUCGCUAUUAUCUUUGAACUGGUCAUGAUUUGCCUAUUAGAUUUCUCAUGUUGUUUUGAGGUGCAAUGGAUUUUGAAUUUAGUGACGAGCAGUGGAAGCCAGAAGGCAAAUUAUGAAAAUGGAUAAAGAUCUAUAAUUAGCUGUUAUGGGAUGUCACAUAUCAUAUUGAUGGUAACAUUAUAUAUAUGUACAUAUAAUUAAUGGGGUUGGCUCACGAGCCCAUUAAUAAUCGUAUAUUAGCUUAUAUACUUCAAACAAUGUACUAUGAAGUAAUUUCACAAAUACUUGUUAGCUUAUGUGGAGCUUUAUUGAAUCAGUAGUUCACAGUUCAAUAAAAUGCAGGUUUGCUAUUUGAAGUACAUGGUCAUGGUGCGUACAUUCUUCAUAAGGCUAACUACUAAUUUAUCAUUGAAACUUGAAAAAUGUGAUAGAGAGAUGUAGAUAACAGCCGCAAAACACUGAGAUUGAAAAUCAGGGCUACUAAAUUCUAUUAAAAGCCCUUAAAAUAGACAGCGAUCAUCCUAAAAUAUUAAUUGCAAAGUUAUGCACUAAUAGAACUAUUGACUACUUAUCUUUAGCAGAAGGUAUAUUUUUAACUACAGCUUUCUGCUUUGUUCUAAGAACUAGGCAAAAGUGGUAUAUCUUCAAUCCAAUCAACAUAUAUACCACUUAUUUUCCCCUUCACUUCUGUCCAUUUUGAUUUGCACUUCAUAUCCUGCACUUGCUGCUUAGAAAUAGUCUUAGUCUGGACAUUGAAAGUAGAAAAAGUACUUGAAACAAUCAUUGGCACAGCCCGAGAUUCCAUUGAAUCGUGGACUCCAAGCUUUCAUAGUUCUAUAAAGAAAAUGACAAAACAUCAUACAACUGGCAUUCGGCUUUUAACAUUUGCACAACCUGAGCGCGUUAGCAAGCCCCUUAUUGCGUUCCCAUUGAAUAGACCUACUUCUGUUAUCCACAGAAGAUCCACCUCUCAAAAUGUUUAUCACCAGGCUAUUCUUAAACUGAGCCUAAACUGAGUAGAAACUUCCGCACAUCUCUCAGCAUUUACAUGAAGAAAGCGACAACUAUCCUCAUCUCUCAGCACAUCUCUCAGCAUUCUACAAAGUUGCAUUUCACUAAGCAAUCUAUCCUCUCCAUUCCUAGCAAAGUGACAUUGAUUCCCGUAUUUGUAAUCGCCUAACUUGGGUUUUGGGCAUAGCGUGGUCUUAAAAUUACCACCCAAUACUUUGUUCAGUGCCACUGGCAUCCACAAGCUCUAGCCUUGUUAGCUGAAUCAUAUUCAAUAGGACAGUGAGACAGCAUUUCACUGACAUAUUCAAUUUGACUACUUAUAUUGACGCAAAUAUUAGAAUUUGAAAUCACUUCUUUUAUUGGAAUAUUAUAUUAAAAUGACCCCAAAUGAAAGUUCUUGAAUGGAAAUGAUUUUUAUUUAAUUUUCCAACAGAUUCAAGAAAACCCAGAGAACAUUAAUUUACACAGUAAUAUGAUUAAGAGCUGAGAACGUACAUGUAGUAAAUGUCUAUCAAAAAACACCCAAGGGUUUCUUUAAAAUUAGAAACUAGUAAACAAAAAGAAAGAAUCAUUUUACAUUUUUAUCAACUUUGGGGUGAGUGAGGAGUGAGAAAUUGAAACCCUAAAGUAAUGACAACAGUAAGAUUCAGUAUGAAGUGAAACCCCAAUUUGAAAUGUAGGCAUGAGUUGCUGAGUCAGUAGAUGAAGCUGUAAAUAGGCAUUCGGUUUCCUUCUUUUCGGUUUGGAGGGCCAUGGAAUAGUGUAUUGGAGUGGGCUCCAAGUAAUAGCCUCUAUCACUGGAAUGACACAUCUAUAAAAUGUGAUACAUGGGGAAGGAUUGGACAUUAUAUUCUUAGAUUAGCGCCUUAUUUAGGGUGUAUAUUAAGCAGAUUAUAUAUUACAUGGAGAUGGAGUUUAUGAAAUAGAUUAAAAAGAAAAGGAAAUUUUGGUGCCUAAAGUUUGCCACUUGGAAUAUUUCGGUGUCUAAAAAUUCACUCACCACUUAUUUCAUGUUUGAUUAUAUGUUGAAAAGAUAUUAAAAUAGUAUAAUGCUAUUAAGGCUUAACGUAUAUUUUUUAUUAGUAGAGUGUAGAAUUUUUAAGAAAUAAAUUAUUAAAUUAUUAUAACUAACAUAUUAUUUUAAAGUUGUGUUAUGAAAAAAAUGAAAUAAAAAUGUACAGUAAAUAAGAAUAUUUUAAAACUUUUAUCUUUUUAAAAUUAUUUUUUAACAUAAGGUGAACUAUUUUUUUUUUAAAUCACAUAUUCUAGUUAAAAUCAAAUAUGUAUUUAUAUGAAGCUUGUAAAUUUUUUUUUUAGUACUGAUAUUUGGAUAUUACCAAUAAAAAAAAAGGUAAUGUGCAUGCUGAAUUAUUUUUGUAGCACACAAAAGGACAACACCGUUUAUGUUAUCAUACUAUCACUUCUGUUAUGAUAAUAUUUUUUUGUGGCCAAAUAUCUUCUUUUUUUUUUUAAGUAAAAGUGUGGACAAAAUGCAAAUCAGUUUUUAAUCCUCAAUCUCUCCCAAAAUAUAAAUUCGUAGGUACAUGGGUUGUUAAAACUAUAGCUGACAAAAAGUUACUAACAAAAACAGAAUGUCCAUUUUAUAACUUUCUUAAAAAACUUUCCUUAACUUUUUUAAAAAGUUACCAAUAAAAAGUUAUUUCUAAUUUUUAUUUUGUUAUAAUUUUUAUAACAAAAUUCGUAGUUCGUAGUUAACUAAACUCUUCUUAUUCCCUUUCUCAACUGCCAUACCCUAACCUUGUUCCCCACACUAAACCACGCUCAAUUAAGGCCAUCAGAUUCUCCCGGGCCCACAUUAAUCCAACUGCUCACAGAGACCGACAGCCUCUCUAUCUCCAUUUCAAGCUCCCUCUUCAACUGGCUUCUGCUACCGUCCUACUCUUUCUCGGCUUCGGAGUCCGUAUUUGCUCGGCCUGUCCCACGAAGCUCCCUCUCACUCCAAUUGUCGCCCCACAAGACCAAUUGCUUAAUCAAGACACCGAACAAGAAAAGGAUGAGAAGUUGAAACAAGAAUUUGAGAAUUGGAAAUAAAAAACGUACGCAUUGACCGUGCCUUUGAGAGUCGUUUCUCUUCAGAACUCAGUGCCUCAAUCUUGGGUUAAGGAUUUUAUGCGAAGUCAGGGAAAGAGAUUGAAGUUUCAGAUGAAUUUGUGUGCUAGCAUUGAUGGGAUCUUUAACAAUUUAUCUGUGCCCUUUAACAAAGUUAAGGCUAAGUCAGCUUCUUAUAUGGCUGCUGAUUUGGUUAGUGUUGGUGAUUCAUGGCUUAGUUUUGCCAUUAAAAAGAGAUUGAUUGAGCCAAUGGCUGGAGCUGAAGACCAAGAUUGGUUCAAAUGCUUAAGUCACAAAUGGAAGGUAACAUCUUUGUCUUUGAUCCUCGAGGUAAAAUAUGGGCGGCACCGUACAGGUGGGGCACAACGGUGAUAGCCUACAAGAAAAGUAAAUUUCGAAAGCAUAAUUUGGCUCCGAUUGAGGUAAUAAUUUUCUUUAAACUCAUUUAGUUUUAUAUCAAACAAAAUCAAGACUGCCUUUCUUUUCAAUAUUUUUUAUGAUAAUAUCUUUAGAAGCAUCUCAUUGACGGGUAACAAUGGCAUCCCUGAAAGAGUCUAUAAACUCAAUGAUAUUAUCUUCUACAAAUGGUUCAUUAAACUUUGUCGUUGUACUCAAAUGUACACUCAGAUCAAUGAGAAGCUAUGCUACGUUAGCAUGUAGUGAUGGCACUUAAUAAGUGAGUUGCUAGGAUGUGAACUAGAAAAAUUAAAUAUUGUCUCCUUGGGUAUGCUAGCUGGUAAGUCAGGGUUAAUAUCAGAGCUUAAGAUAGUAUAACCGUGAGAACCUAUUGACUGCCAAUUAAAAUAUCCAUUGAAAUGUCUAGGGAGUUAUGAAGGUGGAGGUAACUUCCAAUUUCUAAGGCCACAGAGUAGACAUCAUCCAGGAUCCUAAAAUAUCCAGUUAACCUCCUGCUCGAUGCGAUUAAUAAAUUUGGUCAAUGCCACUGAAACCUGCUAACUGACGUCACAAUGCGACAUGAGCACUUCAAAAUGGGACAGAUGGUCAGUAGCACUAAAUUUUUCUUGCCUAAGAUUGAGCAAUUGGUCUAACUACUAAUCCCUAUUGUAGGUUGAUCAUUAUUUUUUCAAUUAUGUUCAGUUUGACCCAAAAAGUUGCAGAAUCUUGAGCUGAAUAUUGUCACUGAACACUGUCAAUGUUGUUUAGCAUAGCCAACUAACUUGAUGUUAAAACAAACACACAGUGUGUCUCAUGUCUCACAAUUCAAAUUAUCAUCUGUAAUGAUGGAGAAUUUUUCCAAUGUAUGAAGUAUGCUUUGAUACGUGGGUUACCUUGGAGAAGAUAUCUCAAAAUAAAGAAUAUGGGGAGAAAACAGUUCAGUAGUUUAUUAUUCUGUAGUCAAGUUUUGUCUCGAAAAUGGUCAAAAUUUAAAUGAAUAAGGACAGGGAAUCUUCAUUCUUUUUUCCCUUUUUUAUACCAAGAUAUCUCUCAACCUUUAUAUAAUCCCCACUGGAUAUCUGCUUCUAAUAAUUAAAAUAAAAAUUUCACCGCUCUAACAAUAAAAAGUAACAUCUUUAAUCAAAUAAUUUACAGUUCCUCAUCACCUUAGUGUGAGACUAUCAGUACAUUCCAAAAACUUAAUAAAACUGGUUUGAUCCUGUUUAUUGAUGUUUAAAUGUUGUUCAUUGUGACAUGUAGAAAUGAUGAGGCGAAGUUUAUUUGGACAUCAAUUAGUAAGAUCUUGUUUGAAGUUGUUUUCUGAAAUGAACUGCCCAAUGGUAGUUUUUUGGGGGCAUUUGAUGGCUCUUUUUUUCCUCAUUUUCAACAUGUGCCUGCUUGGAACAGGAAGGAUUAGGCUGCAGAGUUGUUAUAUAUUUUUAGAUGCUCUGGUCAUUGCACAAUUUGUUCACACUGGAAAUUAGAAUGAGAAAUUUGUUGAUGCUGUUUUGAGAGAUCUGCAUUCUAUGCACAAUAACGUGAUUAAUGAAAAUGCAUUGUAGGACUGGAAAGAUCUGUGGCAGCCUGAGCUCGCAGGAAGAAUUUCAAUGGUUAAUUCUCCCCGAGAGGUUAUUGGUUCAGCUUUGAAGAAUAGGGGAGCAUCAUACAAUUCAAACGAUAUUGAUUUGCAAGUUGCUGGUGGGAAGAUUGCUGUUCAGCAGAAUCUGGCAUUACUGGCAAACCAAGUACUCUUACAGAAAUGAUAUCUGGUCAUUGCAUGUUAUUGCCUGACAACUGAUUUUGUUUGUACAAGUCUGCUUCUUCAUACAUAUGAAUGCAUAUGUUAGUGUUUUCUUCUCCUUUUCAUACAUAUAAAUGCAUAUGUUAGUGUUGUCUUUUCCUUUUCAUACAUAUUAAUACAUAUGUUGGUGUUCUCUCAUGAGAUGGAUGCAAUAGAGGCUUUUGCUCCUAAAUUUAGCUGAAGAAAUGGGAAGGGAUGUGAGAUUCUGUCUCAUUAAAUUAACAAAAACCCAAAACAAUGAAAAUCCAUAAUAAUGUGGUGUGGGUAAAUUGGCUCCAUUUGGUUCGUUUCCUUAAUGUGACUGCGCGAGCAAUAGAGACUAACAAAAUGAAGUGACAACAAGAAGUCAGUGUCCUUUGAUGGAUGCAUUUUUAGGCAGAAAUAGGUUUGUAAUUGACCAAAUUUGCCUGGCAUGCCAAUUUCAAAAAAAUUAAAUUAUGUGGUUAUUGGCUGUAAUGAAGGGGGAUAGUCGGUGCAAUCAGGUGGAUCCUGGAAAGUUCAACAAAGUUUGGUAUGGCGUAGUGAAAUUGGUUUGUGCAACUCAGGAGUCUUUCAGGUGAACGAUGAUAGGUUUUGAUUUAUGAAUAUUAUAAAUCUACUGUGCAUAUUAUUCUAGCAGAAUCAUCUAUAAGUUCUAGUUAUUGAAAUUGUAUACUUUGCCCGGUUUGAGUUAAGGGCACAUGUAAUAUGAAAGAUAGUUGUCGCAUCUUUUAGGUUACCUAACAUUUGAUCAAUCCUAUUAUGGGGGCUUCAAGAUGUCUAACAAUAUGUAGAAUGCCCAUGCUCCUCCCCAUUGUUUAUCUUAUACAAUAAUUUGUUUUAGAUGCUAAUAUCUUUGUCGAUACUGGUAACAAUAUUACAAUAUCUGCCUUUAUUGGGUUUUACAUAGGUUCGACUGUUUGACAGUACACACUAUCUGAAGGCAUUUGCAAUUGGAGAUGUAUGGGUUGCUGUUGGGUGGAGUAGUGAUGUUCUUCCUGCUGUCAAACGUAUGUCUAAGGUUUUAUGAGAAACGAAAGAUGAGUGUUUGUUUGAACAAAGUUGUUGCCAAUCUUGCAGAGUUCGAAAAGAAAGAUCACGGAGCGAAUGCCACCGAUUUCUUCAUCAUUUUAGCCUCCAUAGUUGAAGUUUCCUCAUUUGAAGCUGUUUAUGCAUACGCUUUUUCCCUGCUCUAGUACAGGAAAUUGAAGAAUUAACCAGAUGUGAUAUGCUGAAAGAGGGAAGUUUUCUUCCUUGAAUGUGGCCUUUGUGAUUUGUCUUGAAGGAAUAGGAUGAUCACUGGCAAAAACCCUAUCAAGGUAGAUUUUAUGAUGUUAACAUAUUAUUAAGCAUUUUGUUACAUCAGCAAUGAUGCUUUCAUAGCAUGAAAGUGUCUAAAUUUAACUGAAUGAUCUUGAUUAAUCAAUUAUGAGUUUUAAUCGAGUAAAAACUAAAUACAAUAAUCGUUGACAAAUACUGAAAUUGGGUAAAUAUGAUCUUGAUAUUGAGAAUCUGAAAACACAACCCACACAGGGAAUCACCCUUCGCGUGGGGAUGGAGAUGUUUACUGCAGCGAUAUUGCAUAUGUCCACUGCUCUUUGGGUUAUGGUGCGACUUGCGAUUUCAAGGUUUCCCUGAAACAAUGAAAAGAUUGACGUACCCUGCAAUGAAUGAAAGCGGCUGGACUAAUUCUGAUUACCUAAUUGACUCAGGAUCGGCUGGCAAUAAUGACAGUUUAUUAACAAUGCACAGUCCCGAGUACUUUCCAGGAUCAGAUAUUACGUGGUCUAAUGUUGAUAAUAAUAGAUUAUCAAAUGACAAAUCGUUGUUCUUGGGUGUUGAUUUCAGAAAUAAAAUACGUUCUGAGAGAUGCUGGUCUACUAUUGCAAGCCCCCAGAUUUAAGAAUCUUUUGAUGAUAAUUUACCACCUGUAACUGUGCCGGAAGAUUCACCUAGCACUGAAAAAGAUGAUAAUUUAAUUGAUAUGGACAGUUUCCAUAUCACUUUUAAAUCAUCUUAUGUAAUUGUGAUGUUAGGAAGCAUUAGUGAUCUACAUGUGAACUAUUAUUGGCGCCAUUUGUGGUUUUAUUUUAUUAAAAUAUGGAUGACUUCCCGUUACUAUUUCGUUGUAGACAAUCUUAUCAAUUAACAUAUAGUUUAAAAUCAUUAUGAUCUAUUAAUUUUCAUGAUAUUUAACUGAGUUAAAACUAAGUGCAUUCAAUAAAUCUUUCUUCCUUUAAAAAACUGUUGCGCUUUAAUUUUAGUGCUUAAUAUUUACAGAACUCUGGUACAGGGAAUUCGAAAUCAAACUAGUAACUACAGAUUAUCUAAUUGCAAGUUUUUGUCCAUAGUUGCAGAUUUGUAGUGAUUAUCUAAUUGACUGAGGUGACAACAAUUUUUUUUUUAAUUUUCAAUAGCAUAAUGUGGAAUUCAAUAAUUAAAUUCUCCUUUUUAAUUUGUUUCCAGUUAAAUUAUUAAUUACUUAAACUUUGUUUUAAGUCUUUAAUUUUAUGUCUUGGCCUAUAUGCAGGGUUGGAUUCUUGAGCGUGUUGGACACGACCAACAAUGAAAUUGACAGUAAACAAACAUUACAACACGUUGAGUGUCGACUCCAGUAGCUGCCCUACAAGUCUACAACUUUACAAACAAUAAUUGAGUACACACAUUUGAUUCUCGGGACCCUCCAAUGAAUUUCUAGCCCCGUUGACUCCGCCGACAAAAGUUUUGGAAAAUAAAAAAAAUUCAUAGAAUUCCACCAAAUACAAAACGCGUGGAAUUUAAUUUUCGGCCAUGUGGACCAAAACACAAUUUAAUGAAAAAAAAGAUAAGAUUUCUAAAAUGUGUAGAAAGUGAUCCAUAUUUUACUGAAACAACUUGUUAAAUUUUUCAAGGAUUUAGAAUAUUUGAUCAUAAAUUACGCCCAUGUUAAUUUUUCCGCUAUUGACUAUCAUUUUCUAGACUCACUGUCACCUUUCUUGAUGAACGGUACUUAGUCUCUCUUCUCCUCUUAUAAAAAUUAUAUUAAUUGAUUUCUUAUUAUAAUAAAUAGUCUUUAAGAACGUAUAGAUUUAUUGUUUUCGUGACCAAAUUAUGCCUGCUUAAGGUUGAGACUAUUAAUAAAAUUAAUAUUUAAUGUUUAUGUUAAAAGAUAUAAGAUUUUAUGCAUUCAUUAAUUGUUAUUAGCUAAAGGAUUAAUUAUUUUUUCAACCCAAUCAGUUGAUGCAUCUGCAAGAGUUUUUUCUUUUAUUUACCAUAAUUAUAUUCCGGGUACAAUAAAUUAUCUUUGGUGCUUGGAAAAUAUGACUUCUUACUUCAAGUUUGAUGUGUCUCUCUCCGUAAGCUUACUGGAAAUAUAUCCUCAUUUACUGUCAUUUAUCUAAUAUCAAAUGAAAGAUCUCACUUUUUCAAACUAUCACUUCCAAGUCUCAUUGUCACUUAGCCAUUCUUGGACCAUUCAAAACCAAUCUGUUGAAAUAAUCAAAUAUAUGCAAAAUUAGAGUCACGAUUGUUGGUCCCCCAAAUUCUAAUUAUAUAACUUCUAUAUAUCUCAUUGUCAGGUCACGAACUUGUUGGCACAUUUCCAAAUUCCUCUUCCAUCAGCUCUCACACGUUAAUUUUUAGGUUAUCUAAAUUUCAAGGAUUUAAAAUCUUUGAUCAUGGAUUACAUGUUUAAUUUUUCUGCCAUUGACUGUCAUAUUCUAGAUUUAAUGGUACCUUUCUUGAUCAAGCGUAAUUACUCUCUCGUCUCCUCUUAUAAAUUCCUCUUCCAUUAGCUGUUAGCCUAUAUGGCUAUAGAUAUUGAUUUUGAUGAUAACAAACCACAUGUGUUGAUUAAACAAAGAUUUAUGAAUUGUGCAUUUAUAAUAAGAAAAUGAUGUUAUGGAAUUAAAGUGUUUUUGGACUAAAGUGAAAGUAUUUUAAAACCUUUGAUAUUAUUUUAAAAUUUCAGAUUUGGACCUAUUUGAAAAUAUUUAAAUAUUUUGGGUCAUUCUAUAUUUUUACAUGGUUUGGGUGAAAUCAUAAUUUCAAUUUGAGUGUGUGAGACACUUGAGUGAAGAGGUUGGGAGAUAAUCUCUUUGUUGUAAGGGUUCAUUGACACAUUGAAGUCAAUUGUAAACGUUUGAAGCCUUAAAAAAACUUGGAUAGUGAAAUCCUCAAGUUUGAAUCGCUUGGAGGCGUGGACGUAAGCGGGGAUUGCCGAACUACGUAAAAAUUCGUGUGUUUGUUUCUCUUCUCUCUUGCUCAAUUGUUAUUGUGCUUUUAUUGAACUUAUUACUUUUGAAUUUAUUAAUGCAUUAAAUUGGAUUGUUAUGUGGCUUUGUUAGGAUAUUUUUUAAAAUACCAAUUCACCCCCCUCUUAGGUUGCACACUUGUAUUUCAUUAGCAUUACUAGGAAUUUGUUGAUCUCUAAGAUGCUAACUUGAGUGAAGAGUUUCCAAAUUGAUUGUUACAAAACAACAAAAAAACUAGACACACUUGAUCUGUCUAAUAAUUCUCUUUCGGUAAAAUUAAUUAAUUUUAGGGGAAUUUUCGGCCAACCUCUGUAAUUUCAAAGUGAUCAUUAAUUAAUUAAACGAUACAAAUAUCUAAAGUGAUUAGAUGUUUGCUGACAAUACAAGUUCAUGGCUUGAAAUUUGAUCUCUAUCGAUUGGUUUACAAAUGGACGCACUUGUGCCUUUGUGGCGAUAAUUAAACAGAGAUGUGAAGUUGUAAAGAUUUGACAAGUUCCCAUGAUUAGUAUUUUUUUUCAAAAACUUUUUUACAACAAAUUCAUCUCGCCCAAAAAUUAUAUUUUGCUAUCUAACAAUAAUUGAGCACUUGGCCGCAUUGACUCCACGUCUCCACCUACUUUCUAAGUAAAAACAUGGAAAUGUAAUCUCCACAAAAUGUCAAACGUGUGGAAUUUAAUUUUUGGCCUUGUGAACCAAAAUGCAAAUGAAAGAAAAAGAGAGAAAAAAACAAGGCCCAAAGACUACGAAAAGAUAUAAAAGUCUUUGGGCCUUUUUAUAACGGUGGAUUUUUUAAAAGGAAAAAAUAACAACACUUCUAUGGUUUGUUUUGAUAAUCACAUUUACAUAUACUCUCUAAUUUUUAAAAUGGACACAUAAAUCUUUUUUUUUUUUUUCUACAAACGUAUAUUAUUCGUAUUUUUUAUUAUUUUUAAUAUCAUAUUGUUAUUUUUUUUAGAAGAUAUUGUUAUUUAUUAUAAAUGUUUAAAGUAAAUUUUUAGGUUGAAAUAUAAUAAAAAGGUAUAAUCGUUCUCUUAUUAAACACCCAUACUUUUAAUUUCUAUCCAUUUGUCAUCUCAAUCUCUCUCAAUUAUUCUUUAUUGCUAGCUCAAAACGCGUUGCUGUUGCAAAUUAUAGCAAAAAGACAAAUAUGGAAAAGAAAAAAGGGAAGAAAAUUAAUGCAUGAAAGAUUUGGAGAAAACAACGAAGUAAGUCAACUAUAAUCUAGUUGGGUGUGUAAAUUGUUUGAUGCUUUAUAAGCAAAUAACAUAUAGAGACAGACAAUGUGUGUUCGUUUUUUCAUAGUUAAAGAUAUAGUUAGAAUGGGUGGUUCAAAAUCAAAAAUGGUGAUAAUGUUUGUUAUGUUAUUAAUAAUAUUUAAAAGUGGGUGGAGUGAGGGAUGUUUGGAUCACGAGAGAUUUGCUCUUUUGCGACUUAAACAUUUCUUCGAUGAUACUAGUAGUUAUCUUUACGAUUGGGGAGAUGGUGAGGGAGCUACUGAUUGUUGUCAGUGGAAAAGGGUUGAGUGCAGCAACACCACAGGUCGAGUGAUAGUGCUAGACCUUUCUAGCAUGUAUUGGGGAGAGUACAGCUGGUAUCUGAAUGCUUCUUUGUUUACUCCCUUCCAACAACUUGAGUCACUUGAUUUAACUGACAACAAAAUAGCCGGUUGUGUUGAGAAUGAAGGUGCUUCGUUUAAUUUAAUUAAUUUACUUUCUCCACCCUAAUUUAAGUUGAAUAUCAAGACCGAGCAAUUAUACACAUAUUCAUUUAGUCGACAAUUUUGACUUUUUUUUAAAUGAUUAAUUUUGAAAUUACACCAAUAUCUAUGAUCCUUUUUUUUUAUUUUACUUGCAGGUAUAGAGAGGCUAUCAAGAUUGAACAACUUGAAGAUGCUUAAUUUAAGUGAUAACUCGUUCAACAAUAGCAUUUUAUCAUCUCUAACUCAUCUUUCAUCAUUAAGAUCAUUAAAUUUAUUUUGGAAUAGAUUGGAAGGAAGUAUUGACGUUAAAGGUACAUAAUUAAAACUUCAUCCCUUCUCCAAGCUCUUUCAUUAACUUGCUAAAAUAAGAUUCAAGGCUUUGAAUUCAAAUUUUUUUAUGAUUAGUAUUAAAAAAAAACAGUUUUAAGCAAUUUAUAAAUACAAGUUUUAAUGUUUCUCAUAAUUUCAUCUUGUACUUUCAUAUGUCUUGAAUUUAAGAUUAAAAAAAAAAAACUCUAAUAGCGAACCAAACACCUCCACAACUAAUUAUUAUUAUUAUUAUCAUUUUUUUUUUAUUUGUGGUGAGGUUUGAAACAUUCAACUCAAUUUGUACUUAUUACAGAAUUUGAUUCUUUGAGAGAUUUAGAGGAGCUAGACAUUGGCGAGAACAAGAUUGACAAAUUUGUGGUCUCAAAAGGUACUAGAACGACUGCAAAAAAUGUAAACUUCUACAAAUUAGCUAGAUUCUUUGCCAUUUGGUUUAUUAUUUUGCAGGUUUGAGGAAGUUGAGGUAUCUCAGUUUAAGUGGUAUCAAACUCAAUCAUAGCAUAUUAUCUUCUCUGACUGUCUUUUCUUCGUUAAGAGAAUUAUAUCUAGAUGAUACGGGAUUCAAAGGAACAUUAGAUAUUCGAGGUAAGUCUAAGCCCUGCUUUCUCAUUUUAUAUAUGCCAGCUAGACUUGUGUAUCAUCGACAUAAUUUAAUAUUUAAUUUGAUUAGUCUGAAGGAAUUACAUGCUAAUUUAAACAUACUUUUAUUUACUCUGUCAAUCAAUUAAUUAAUUAAUUACUAUUUGGCUUGGUUUGGAUGAAUUCUCAUGAUGUUUUAAUUUCUUUAAAUUAAUUAAUUAAUUAACUCUGUUUUUAAGUCUUAAGUCUGGGCAUGUUUGCAGAAUUUGAUUCCUUCAACAACUUAGAAGUGUUGGACAUGAGUUACAACAAAAUCGACAAUCUUGUGGUUCCUCAAGGUAAACAAUUAAAAUAUUAUUCAAUUACAUUAAUAUAAUUCAUUUGGUUAGGGAAGGCCCAAAAGGUACAAAAAAAAUUAAAUAAAGAAACAGAGAAUUUGUAUUAUUUAAAAAACAGAAUGUAAUAAAGAUUUGAUUCUAGUUCUUUAAUCUUUAAAGCGAUUGAAAAAUAAUGUUGCUCUUUUCCCAAAGCAUAAAAUACGAAUUGAAUGCCAAUUAACUUAAUCAUUCAUUUCGUUUAGCUCUAAAUUUAGACAAUGAAUUUUUAUAUUAUUUCAAAAACAGGACGUAAUAGAAUUUAAAAAAAAAACAGAUUGUAAUAAAGAUUUGAUUCUAAUUUUUUAAUCUUUACUGCGAUUGAAAAAUGAUACAGCUCUUUUCCCAAAGCAUAAAAUACGAAUUGACUCCCAAUUAAAUUAAUCAUUUAUUCCAUUCAUCUCUUAAUUUAAAUAAUGAAUUUUGUUUUCUUAAAUCGUAUUCUAAUUACUAUUAAAAAACAGGUUACAGAGGUUUGAGGAAGUUGAAAAGCCUUUAUCUAUUGAGAGUUAGAAUUAGAGAUGGAAGCAAGUUGUUACAGUCAAUUGGAUCAUUCCCAUCCCUCAACACUCUUUACCUUUCGUCUAAUAAUUUGACGGAAACAGUGACAACUACUACUCAAGGUAAUUAAAAGGUACAAAUGUCGCCAAAUUUAUAAAUAAAUUGUUAAUUAAUUAAUUUUUCCGUAUUAUUAAUAAAGCUAAAUUCGUUGCUCCUUCCUUCUAAAUCUAAACAGAGUUGCACAAUUUCACCAACUUGGAAUAUUUGACAUUGGACGAUUCCUCUCUCCAUAUAAGCCUUCUGCAAAGCAUUGCAUCAAUAUUCCCUUCGUUAAAAAAUUUGUCGAUGAUUGGUUGUGAAGUCAAUGGCGUCCUACGUGGUCAAGGUAAAAGAAAAGUGUUAAUUGUGAACUCGCACAAUGGUGUCCUACGUGUUCAACAUUUUUAUUUAUUUAUUUUAUUGUUUAAUGUUUCUGCUAGGUUUUCCUCAUUUCAAGAGUUUGGAAUAUUUGAAUAUGGAUUUCACGCGCAUUGCACUCAACACCAACUUUCUUCAAAUCAUCAGUGAAUCGAUGCCUUCUCUUAAGUACUUAUCACUGUCAGAUUCUACUCUUGGCACUAACAGCAGCAGGAUUCUUGAUCGAGGUUAAUCAGAUGCUCCCACCCUCCCUUCUUAAUCUAUAAUAUUAAUUUUCAAUUCAAUAUUUAAUUACACAAACGAAUCACUUAUUAUAAAAGAAUAAUACGCAUUCAUUAAUUUUUAUGCUGUAUUAAUUGAUGAAUUUAAUAAAUUUUCAGGCCUCUGUUCGUUGGUGCAUCUGCAAGAGUUGCGCAUGGCUGAUAAUGAUUUAAGAGGUAGCUUGCCUUGGUGCUUGGCAAAUAUGACAUCCCUCCGAAUAUUAGAUGUUUCUUUCAAUCAACUUACUGGAAGCAUCUCCUCAUCUCCCCUCGUUCAUUUGACAUCCAUUGAAGAGCUGAGGCUUUCAGACAAUCAUUUUCGGAUCCCAAUUUCACUUGAACCACUUUUCAAUCACUCAAGACUCAAGAUUUUCCAUGCUAAAAAUAACCAAAUGAAUGCAGAAAUAACUGAGUCACAUUCUUUGACCGCCCCAAACUUCCAAUUACAAUCUCUCUCAUUGUCUUCCAGUUAUGGAGAUGGUGUCACAUUCCCCAAAUUCCUUUACCAUCAACAUGACCUGGAGUAUGUUCGUCUCUCACAUAUAAAGAUGAAUGGAGAAUUUCCAAAUUGGUUGUUGGAAAACAACACAAAAUUAGCAACUCUUUUUUUGGUUAAUGAUUCUCUUGCAGGACCUUUUUGGUUGCCAAUUCAUUCACACAAGCGGUUAGGAAUAUUGGAUAUAUCCAACAACAACAUCCGAGGCCACAUUCCAGUAGAAAUUGGAGAUGUUUUACCAAGUUUAUACGUUUUCAACAUUUCCAUGAAUGCUUUAGAUGGUAGCAUUCCCUCUUCAUUUGGUAAUAUGAAAUUCCUCCAAUUGCUGGACUUAUCCAACAAUCAAUUGACUGGUGAAAUCCCCGAGCACUUGGCCGUCGGUUGCGUCAACUUGCAGUUUCUCAUGUUAUCAAACAACAGCCUAAAAGGUCACAUGUUCUCUUGAAAUUUUAACCUGGCCAAUUUGAUGUGGUUACAAUUGGAGGGCAAUCACUUCGUAGGAGAGAUCCCACAAAGUUUGUCUAAAUGCUCCUCCUUAGAAGGAUUGUAUCUUACCAAUAAUAGUCUCUCGGGUAACAUUCCAGGAUGGUUGGGUAAUCUCACAUGGUUAAUACAUAUUAUAAUGCCCGAGAAUCAUCUUGAAGGUCCUAUUCCAGUGGAGUUUUGUCAACUUUAUUCGCUUCAGAUUUUGGACAUUUCAGACAACAACAUAUCUGGAAGUUUGCCAUCCUGUUUCCAUCCUCUCUCUAUCGAACAAGUUCAUCUUUCAAAAAAUAUGUUACAUAGACAGCUAAAAAGAGGUACAUUCUUUAAUUGCUCUUCCCUUGUGACAUUAGAUCUUAGUUAUAACCUCUUGAAUGGCAGCAUUCCGGAUUGGAUUGGUGAGCUUUCUCAGUUAAGCCACCUUAUCUUAGGUCACAAUAAUCUUGAAGGUGAAGUGCCAGUUCAAUUGUGCGAAUUGAACCAACUACAAUUGUUAGAUCUUUCUAAUAAUAGUCUUCACGGUUCUAUUCCUCCAUGCUUUGAUAACACAACACUUUAUGAAAGUUACAACAACAGUUCUAGUCUUGAUGAGAAAUUUGAAAUAUCUUUUUUCAUCGAAGGCCCUCAGGGAGAUGUAGAAAAGUGAAUCCGUGAAAAAUUUGAGUUCACAACAAAGAAUAUUGCGUACAUUUACCAAGGAAAAGUGCUUAGCCUCCUAUCAGGACUUUAUCUUUCUUGCAAUAAGCUAAUCGGUCAUAUUCCUCCUCAAAUUGGAAAUUUGACAAGGAUUCAAACAUUGAAUCUAUCAUAUAACAACUUGACAGGAUUGAUCCCAUCAACAUUUUCAAACUUGAAGCAUAUCGAAAGUUUGGAUCUUUCCUACAAUAAAUUAAAUGGGAAAAUCCCUCAUCAACUUGUGGAGUUAAAGACAUUGGAGGUUUUUAGUGUGGCAUACAAUAACUUAUCGGGCGAAAUUCUAGAAUGGACUGCACAAUUUGCAACAUUUAACAAGAGUAGCUAUGAGGGAAAUACUUUUCUUUGUGGAUUGCCAUUGCCCAUUUGCAGAUCACCAGCAACUAUGUCGGAGGCUUCAAUUGGCAAUGAACGAGAUGAUAAUUUAAUUGACAUGGAUAGUUUCUUUAUCACAUUUACAACAUCGUACGUAAUUGUGAUAUUCGCAAUUGUUAUUAUUUUAUAUGUAAAUUCUUAUUGGCGACGUAGAUGGUUUUACUUUGUUGAAAUGUGGAUAACUACAUGUUACUAUUUUGUUGUAGACAAUCUUAUUCCAACAAGAUUUUGUCAUUGAAAUUAUUUAGUAGUUUAAUUACGAUUCUUUAAGUACUAAUCAAGUUUGUAUAGGAAAUAAUUUUUUAUUAAAAUUGUAGUAGUAUUUAGCAUUAUAUAGCUUCCAACUUCCAAGCACUUCACAUUUGUCUCUACACUUACAAAACUGAGUGAUCAUGUUUUGCAGAUCUGGAUUUGGAGCAGGAUGGAUCCAAACCCAUAUCUGUCCACCAUAACUUAUAGCUUCCCUAUACUGUGCAGCAUACUUAAAUAAGAGAACCAUCUCCAAUGUUAAAAGCAUUCACUCUAUAACAUUCAUUUAGAAACUAUAUUCAGAAUAAUUUUAUAAUUAAACACAAGAAAUGAAACACCUAGAUACACUUGAUCGCCUAUUUUACUCUAAAAAAUAACGAUUAUGGUGCUAUCAUCAUCUUCUUCACUAGCAACAUUAACACCAAAUCGAUGGACCCAUACAUUUCAUCAAGAAAGGUAUAUAUCCAAUAAAGUUGAAGCCUAACAAAAAAAUCAGGAAGAUUAAUGCCUCACCACAACAAGGGGCAUAACAACAUCAAAGUAGAGAUUAAACAGUAUUCUCAAAGCUAAAACUCUCAAAUCCACCCACCAGAAUUUCAUAUCUCCUCAACAAUUUUAAGAACUAAAGAUAAUUAGGAUUUAACAUUAGUUUUUUAUAUAUUAGUUUCAUAAUUUACAAAUCAAUGAAGAUGAAGAUUAUGCGAAUAAAUUCAAAUUAUACCAUACAUUCUCUAGAUGUUACCAAAAAUUUCUAAGUCAAUCCCACAUAUUUCAUAAUUUUAAGACUAGAAAAUUCACUAGUUAGAAGUUUCAUUACCUUCAAGUGGAAGAUGAAGAACAUUAUGCAAGUGAUUCAGAUUAUAUCAUACAUACUCCAAAUGCAACUAGAAAUUAACAAGUUCAUGUGCACAUAUUUCAUAACAUUAUGAUUGAAAAGUUUCACAAAGAGAAAUUCUAAAUUCAAUCUCUUGCAUGAAGGCAGUUUGAUUGAUUUGAGUUACUUUAUGAUCAAGCUACUAAUAUAACAUUCAAGUCAGGGAGAAAGUAAAUUAAAAAUGGGAAGAAAUAACAGUAAAAAUUUGUUGCUAAACAUGAUGUGUAUUUUUUUCAAGGCAAUUUGGAAACACAAUUGUUACUACAGAUAUUCUCCUCAACUUAGAGAUAAAUACAAAUAUUAAAAUGCACAUGAUCGCACAUAUUACUUGGAGCUUAGUAAGAUUUCAUUAAAAGAAGCAAUCAAACCACUUAUCAAUUGUCGCAGUCAUUCUAUAAACUAAAAUAGCAAAUAUAAUAUAAGAAAAAGAACAUAUAGAUACUUGGCAAGAGUUCAUUAAGAAGUCACAUCACAUUCGGGUGAGGAGUUUGCUUCUGAUAUCUUGCUAGCUGGGGCUUUUUCUCGUCUUUCUAUGUAUGCCGAGGGAAACCAACCAGCUUGGCCCUUGCAUUCACCUUCCAACCAUCCAGUACGAGCCACCUUGAGAAGUUAUAACUAAAACGGUGAAUUAAACAAAAGUUGACCGUUCAAAGACCUAAGGGGAAAACUAAUUCUUUUAUGUAGAAUGAGUGAACUAGUUGUGAUCACUGGAAUAACAACAUAACUAUGGAAGCAUAACAAGAUAUAAAUUCACAUGUCUAUAAGGGUAAACUGGGUGGUUUAGAACUGAGCUAGCAACCCUACUAGAUUAUGAUUUGCAUUUCAAUGUAAAAGGGAAUAUAUGGUAGGAAGAAAGAAAACCAACCAUCAUUUGUUAACUCAUUGCUUUUCAAUCAAAAUUUUAAGAACAAAAUGCCAUGUGCUUUGAAUAUCAAAUAAGUAUAAGCAUUAUUUCUAAAUUCCACAUAUCAUAAGUUGUUAGAAGGAUAAGUUAAUAGCAUAGUAGAAAAAUCUAUGUGUCAGUAUUUAGAGGGGAAAGUACCUGGCGAACCACAACAUAAUCAUCAAUUAAAAGACUUAGCUCUCCAUUUGCUUGAGCAUCAAAUGGAUGUAUAACCUGCAAGAUAAUGGGAUAAAUAGAACUUAAAAAAAGCAUAACAAAAGCAGCAACAGUAGCAGCAGCGUUCAUUGUAACCACUAUGAUCAUGGCCAACAAAGAUAUAUUAGAAACAAAAUUCCAUUUUUACUACGACAUUAAUAUGUACUAUACGAUAUCAUGACGAUUGGGUUACUAAGAGCUAUCAAAGUCUAAUAAGUUAUGUAUAACUUUUGUAGUUAUUUAAAUUAUGGAUCAGAUUUUAAAUUUGAAAUUUUGACUGCUCUCCACAAAACAUGGCCUGUGCACAAAAAAGUCAUAGAUAAUGAGGAUUACAAGUGUCCGACAUCUUUUGAGUGAUGGAUUUAACAUGAGAGCUUAUGGUCAGUCAAUUUCCUCUGCCUAGCAAUAUAAGCUUUCUCGGCCAGAUUUAUCAUCAAAUACAUAGAUUGCCCCCAAGUCACAUCCAUAUAAACAUAAUUUUUCUAGGUAAACCAAGUAAGGAGAAUCAUAAUUCGGACAUAAUCAUAAAAAGGCCCAUCUAACUUAAGAGAAAAUCUUAAAAAGAGGGAUGCUGAGCUAUCAGUCUUGUAUCUAUAAGCAAUAUCAAGACUUUACAUCACCUGCUACAUCGUGAGUGGUUACACAACUUUUAGUGGUUUGUCUUUCUUUGGCAUGCCUAACUCAGCUUUGAUGUUGCUGAGAUAUUGAUAGUAGAGAGCAGAAGCCUUACUUUCGCUAUAAAUUAGACGUCAUUCUGAUUAAUAUGCGUUUGCAAAUCAGCUCUGUUUGAAUCAGUAUUCUGAUAGACACAUGAGGCAUUUACAUCCAUUUCCAAAGUCACAUGUUGCGGGGAGGACUCAUUUGAUUGCUCCUAUACGAUCAUCUAAUUCAAGUAGCAAGGGUUGGAAGAGAAUAAAAAGUCACAAUUAUUCUUUUGCAUAAGUGAGACGAAAAUGGUAAAUGCAAUAUUAUUAGCAGUAAAUAAGAAGAGAACGCUCCAAGGAAUAGAUAGAUGCAGACAAGCAAGUUAAAAUGCAUAGUCCCAAACCUCCGCAUACAACUUCUCUAAAAUAGCAAUAACGUGUUGAUGAUAUAUUUUCUCAGCAUCUACCUGCAAAGGCCCGAGACCGGGAAAACAACAAUAAAACCACUAGCUGAAGGAGAAAGCAAAGAAAAAAAUACACUUGACAUAAAUCUUGACAAGAAGCACAAUUUAAGACAUAACAAACCCCAAUCAUAUUAUUUUUGCUAGUCACACGCUAGUCUGUGCUAGUGAUGUAAGAAGUCACAAGGUCUCUUCAACAUUUGAACCAAUAAAAUUAUUAAGUCAUGGAUGUCACUAGCAAUGAUUUUAAUAUAAAACAUUAAAUAUUUCAGAGUUGUAACUUUAAAAUGGAUUCUUUUAUUCAAUACCAUAGAACUAAGUUUCCUUAUGAGAAGAUAGUAGUUUCGAUAAUAUUUUACAUAUAAUUUUUGCGAUACCUUCGUCUCGCACUACCAGUGAUACCCUCACUCUUNNNNNNNNNNNNNNNNNNNNNNNNNNNNNNNNNNNNNNNNNNNNNNNNNNNNNNNNNNNNNNNNNNNNNNNNNNNNNNNNNNNNNNNNNNNNNNNNNNNNUGUUGAAAUUUAUCUAAGUUCAAAAGUAAUGCAGAGUGGGUUUCUAAACUCCAUUCCACUAGCUACUUCCUUUAAGAAAAAUUCCACAUCAUUGGUUUGAAUUUUAACUGGUGGCAUAGGAUCAUAUGUCUUAAGCUUGAACUUCAUUGUGAUUUCGAAUUCCGAAGUAUUUAUAUCAAUAACUUGAGCUAUCUUCUCCACCAAUUCGGCAUAUGUUGUCGAUCGUGGUAUCAUUAUCCCUUUAGCCUUGGAACCUUUGAAUUUAUACUCGUCAUUUUGCUCAAUCCAUUCACCAUUGAAGAGAAUAAGCACACGUACCAAAACCAUAUAUGAUGAUACAAUAAAAACAAUAAUAUCAAAUUUCAUAUACAAGUAACUACACGACCUACACAACUACAUUACUUACAUGACCUACAUGACCUACAUGACUAUAUUACUUACAUGACCUACACGAAUUAUACGACUUACACGACUAUAUUACUUACACGACUUACAUGACUAACUAUAUGACAUACACAGUAUCAAAAGGAAUGCACGACGCGAAACAUUUUCGCCAUAAAUAAGUUAUAAACAACCUAUAUUGCAUAUAUUUCUAUAUAUAAGAAAAAAUGGUGAAAAUAAAACAUUAUAAUGUGAAGAAAAUUUCUAAAUUUUCCUAAAAAUAAAAAAACUUAAAACCCAACAACAUUAACAUACCUUAUUGGGUUGUUUAAUAAGUAAUGCACAUUAUUUCAGUUAAAAAAAAGUGGGUGUUAAAGAAAUGAAUACAUAAUCAUAUUUGUGUAAGAAGUUAUGAGAGAUUUUGAGAGAUUCUAGGAGAUUUUGAGAGAAUUUCGGCAGCAAGAAGAGAUUUGGGUGUUAAAGAAAUAUGAAGACAAGGAAGUUGAGUGAAUUUGAUUCAUUCAUUAAGGGCAUUUUAGACUUUACUCACAUUUGUUAGGGUAUCCAUGAAAACAAAAAAGGAAAGGGGUAUUUAAAUAAUUUUAAAACUAUUAAAGGGUAUUUAAUUAAAAACCCUAGGAGAAGAUGAUAGUGGAAGUAUGCAGUGUGGCUGCCAGGUACUUGGAUUGUAUUAUCGGGUAAGGUAAUAGUAGAGAAUUAUAAGUUUGAACAGAGCAUGUUGGACUUUUGUUGACCAAAUUCAAAAGCCCAAUGGCACGACCCAGAAGCUUUUGAAUAGAAAAACUUGCUAGAAAGCAUCAGUUUAAAUCACUACUUAAACGCUGCACCGCUUUGUACUGUUUUAGGUAUGUAGCGGUUGUGCAGUUGUAAUUCACGGCUGACGCUACGUGUUUGUUUGUACUGUUCUAUUCAGUGAUAGAGUAUUAUUAGUUAGGCCAAAACUAUGUUGCAACAGUGGUACAGUACCACUGUUGCUUUCAUAGCUGGACCCUAUUAGUUAUUUCAAAGGGAUAAAUAAGAUUGGUUACAACAAAUCUACUAUUUUUAUAAAAUUCAAGUAAUAUAGAAUAAAAUAAAAAAAUAAAUACAAAAUUGACUUUUAUUUUUUAUGGUUGACUAUAUUUUGUGUUCUCUUCGGGCACUGCUACAAUUGUUCCCCAUAUAUCAAUUACACCACAUACUAUCGACACAAGAAAUGAAAUCUAAUAUCACCUGUUUAGUUAAAAAAUCACUCAUGAAAAAAGUUUACCAUUUUGAUUUGAGGAUCCAUAUUUUGAACUGCAAGCUAAUGUUCAUCAAGAAUCACUGAUGGCCGUUGAGUAGAAAAAUUAUUUUUGGACAAAUUAUUUUUGUUGAUAGAAGAAUUUCUUUAGGGACUACUAAAUUAUUAAUAAAAAUGUCGAACACACCCACAUAUCAUCGACACAAUUGAUUUUGAGGAUCCAUGCUUUGAAUUGCCGCCUAAUGUUCAUCAAGAAUAGAGUAUGGCUUGUGAGUAGAAAAUUUUCUUAUUUUGGCCCAAAAUAAAAAGAAAUUAAAUUGGAUGAGAAUCUGCCACUUUCUCAUGAAGAAAGGCAUACGAAGCAUACCAUGAUACCAUACAAUAUAAGGAGCCGCCGUUCUUUGGUUUUUCAAACUUUGAAGGGGCCAAUAUUGCCAAAUUCCCCCUUGAAAAUUCUGACUACGACAUUAUUCAUCGCUUGAUGCAAUCAAAGUAGUGACAAAGUUAGGAAAAAUAUGAGCCCUAAGUAAUUGCUAGGCAGGGUUCCUGAGAGCAAAAUUGUCCUAAGCAUUAUAUGCAUACAUGGUGCGGUACAUAGAGCACGUUGAAUUCCCCACUAUAACACAAAUCCAGAAAGAGAAGUAAUAACUCAACUGAUAUAAAGACAAAAAGAAGAUAAAAUGAUAUAGAAAAAAGAAUUUCAAAGAGACAGCAACAUACGAUAGGCUGAAGCCACUUGAUCUACUCAUUGAUUGCAGCCUUAAACUUGCAAAUAGUUACUGUAUGCUAGUGCUCUAAGAAGUGAAAAUGAUGCAAGCCCUGAUUCCCUUUUGACUUCCAUUUACUGUCAAACAUUCUAGUAAUACAAAAAAUUGUUUAGAUAUCUUGCUAUAAAUAUAGUUGUUUGACUGUCAUAAUAAAGUCACAAAUAACCAUUCAUAUUGAUCUACUGUCACACAGCAUGCUUUAUGCAUACAACAGCUGUAUGUAUACCAACUCCUAACCUUAUCAAUGCAUUUGGCAAAAACUUAAGAAGAAAACUAUUUCUCCAUCUCUUUUUUGAAAUUUCACAAUAACCAGCACAAUGUGAAAGCUAUGUUCUAACCUUAUGAUAAAUGCUCCAGACUCCAAAAGGAUUUUAUAUAUGAGUUUUUGUUGCAGCAGAUAUAUUGACUUAUCAAGUAUGAAUCAUUUUCUGGAUGAACUAUCUUUAGAUAAAAGAAUAUUAGAACCACUGUAGAAUAUCUUUACGCUGCUGGUUCUAACAAGAAUCUGCUUGUGGCAACAAUUGCUAGAUCCACAAUUCCCCAACUUGAAAUACAUAGUUGCACACCAUGAGAUAGUGCUACGAUCUACUGAGAUCUAACUUAUAUGGUACUUUAAGCUACUAAUGUUUGCAUAUUUCUACAUGUUAAAUUAACACUAUCAUCUAUAAUCACUCCAAAACAACAAAUGAUAAGCAGCUUUUGGCCACUUAUUACUAGCAUCCACAAUUAUAAUAAGAGAUCAUGGGUUUACUUGUUGCACCUACUUAAUUAUCUGCAGUUGACAUCCUGACGCAAGGUUUAAAUAGUGACUGCUUAGAACCCUUGUAGUUGGAUCUUGACCUCUCCCAUUGUAGCCAAGAUUGGUUACUCUGGUAAUGAAUCAACACUCUCCUGCUCAGGGCCAUGAAGAUCUGAAAGCUCAGCACUAGUGGAGAACUUCAUCAAUCUCUUCUUCUCAGCAUACUUGAGACAAGGCUGCAUUACGAGACCAAUCACCACAGCACCAACGCUUAAAGCUACAACUUUUAAAGAAGAAAGAGCCAACACAACACAACACAAAUCAAUAUGGUUGGAGGAAUACACAUGAUAAUGGCUCUAACAGUGCCAGUGGGUAUCUUGUAGGGACGAGAUGCAGCAGGAUAUUGUAUCCUUAACCAUACAAAUGCUAUGAACUCCAUAAUCAUUCCAAAACAGUACAGGAAGUUCUCUGCAGCUACAAUAUCUCGAAAGCUCAGCCAUGAUAGCAAAACCACACCAGAUGCUGAGAAUAUGAUUCCAAUCAAAGGAGUCCCAUAACAAGACCUCUUAGCAAAAAACUCAGGUAGCAUUCCACGCUCAGCCAUCCCCAAAAGUUGGAAAGAGUCGCUGCUCAUCUCAGCCACAAACAUGCCCAUAUUGGACAUUGCUGCAACCCCCUGGAUGCACCAACUCAACCAAACUCCUCCAAGCACUUUAGCGAUACCUGAAAAGUAACCAUCGGUCCACAAGUCGCGAUCUAAUGGAAUAGCUCCAGUUCCAACUAGAAAGGGAAAGAAAUAUCCAAAAACGACCAAGAUCAAAGCAUAAAACAAAGCCUUUGGAAGAGUCUUCUUUGGGUUAUCCACCUCUCCAGCUAGUGUACUUAUUGAGUCCCAGUAGUUGAGAUUCCAAAACAGGGUGUUCAAAUACAAAUUCCAAUCCACUUCACCUAAAUUUAAUACAAGCCAUCUUGAAGGCUCUAACUUGGGAAGGGACACAAGUCCCAUAACCACAAAAGGAAGGAGUGAGAAAAUCCCUAAAAGAACAGCAGCCCAUCCCACAAUGGUUAGACCCCUAUAGUUCAUGAAAGUGAGAACAAAAGUCAAAGCUAACGCCGCAAAGGCUCUAGGUAACCCAUCGCCCAAAGCAGGGAUACCAGACUUCAAGUAAUCAAGAAACAGAACUGGGUAUAAAGCAUUAUCAGUAACCCCACUUAGCCAUUUCAUCCAAACUUGCUCAAAACCCCAAUAUGGGCCUAAGGCAGAUGAAACCCAAACCACAUAACCACAAUUUUCAGGAAACACGGUACCCAUCUCGGCAGUAAUUAAAGCUUCAGGGACACUCCAUAUAAUCGGAAACACCAAGAAACCAAGAAGUGCUAAAAGAGGACCAGCUGUCUUUACACUAUCCUCAACACCAAACGGCCCCCCAGAAACCUCAUAGAAUAUAAGGAAAAUAAGUGGCAAGAUUGAUACUUUUUUAGUGCCAUGGACUCUAGGAGAAGAUGGUUGGUCAUUGAUAUUAAAAUAUUCAACAGCAUCAGACUGCCCCAUUUCUACUGAAACUUGCCUAUUUACAGUGCUCCUCAAUUUCUGCAUCAAGUUUAAGCAUAACUAUCAAAAGGGUAUCCGCAUCUAAAUUAUGAAACAAAAUGAGCAUUUACUUAUUAAAAAAAAAAUCAAAAAACAGAAAUGGAUUUCACAGAACACAUGAACUUAAGUUCAACAUUAAACAGGCGCUUAAGAAAACAAAAGGGUCUGUUCGUAAAGCCAUCAGAUUGCAAGAUUGAACAACAUUAACGGAAUCAAUAGAAUGGAUGUAAAGAGAACUGAAAAGAAAAUAAAAUAAAAGAUGAAGAGAGAUAAAACGAACCAUCAAAUAAGUGCAUGCAGAGCAGAGAGGCAGAUACUAGUGAAGCUCCGUCAUGUUAGAGAGAGCCUAAAUCAAUCAGAGCUCACUGAGUUUCUUUUAAACCGACCGGCAAAUUUGGAGUAGCACAACAUAAUAUUUUUGCUUUUAUUUUUGGAACACUUUUGAAUGGAAUUUUUUGUUUUAAAAAAUGGCAAAGGAGAUUAGUAUUUCUAUCGUUAAAAUAAUAAUUUUCCUAACAUUAUUUUUUAUAUUUUUUAAUUUAUUUUUAUAAUAAUUUUUUAUUUAAAUAUUAAUAAAAAAUAAUUAAAUUAACAAUUUAAUCCUAAAAUAAAUAAACACGGUUUUGGGUUUUUUCUUUUGUUCGUUUAAUAUCAUCUGGUUCCCUGAUUUGUGACUAAUUAUCAACGGAAUCCCGUUAGUUUCUAAAUUGAAAUAAUAGAAGGUCAUGAGAUUAUUUACUCCAUUUAGCACUGCAGACUUAGAGUAUAUUGAAAAAGCUUUGUCAAAUAGUAGUAAUAGGGGCAUAAGAAAUAAAUUAUAGCUAUCACAAAUUCGUUAGGAGAAUUUCAAAUUUUUCCAUCAAUAAUGGCUAUGAAGCAAAAUUACUUUAGGUUAUAUUGCAACACUAAUACUUCAAAUCCUGACAAUAAAUUUGAAGAACUUGUUAAAAAGAAAAUGGUAAUGUUAUCAUUUUGAAAGACAAAAAAAAAAAGAGUGAAAGUGGCGUUACCUCAUGGUCAUUAGUGACUUGUUGCAAUGAUAGCUCAAAAUUAAAAAUUUGUGAAGAAUUAGUAGACAACGACGAUAUUAUAUUUAUACAGUCACCAACGUAUUGAUUUUUGUUUAAUGUUUGAUUGAUAGAAACUUUUGUCGUCGUCGCCGUUGUUGAAUUCGUGCUUAGAAUACCACAAGAGAAGAAAAAGGGAUGAAAGGGAAGAGAAGAAGAGAGAAGUGGUGGAUAGCAAAUAUGAUAUGCUAGCUACACACAGGCCUUAGAGAGUUUUUUUUUUUAAUAUUUAUUGUAUUUUUGUUUUUGUUAUUGGUUUGUCAUAUGCUUCCAAGGCAACAAUGCAUUACAUCAUAAAUUGCACCUUUUAGGGGAGGUGGUAAAAAACAUGAGAGCAAUGCAUUCUAGCGCAUACAUGCAGAAAGAGUUUCCAAAUUUUCAAAAGUUUCUUUAUUUCUUCCACCUUUUUUUGCUUAAAAUAAAUUUUAAUUGUAUUUUGCAUUAACUUAGAGAAAAAAAAAUCCAAUUCUAUGCAUAAACGCAUACAUUGAUUAGAAAAUGAGUUUUAUGGACACAAAGGGACAAUAUAAGAGAUUCUUUUUGUUUAUUAGAAGUAACAUAACUAGUUAGUGUAACAUGUAAUUAUAAGCUACCAAUAAUUUGCACUGAUGAUAAUUAACGGUACAGAUUUUGAGCUAUGAAUGUCUUGUGGCUAGUUUAAUUGGAUUUUUGAGUUUUCAGCAGAUCUAUUUUAAUGAUUAUUAAAUUAUUUUCACUUCUUAUGCCUUAAUAAAAAAAAUUCAAUAUUUUUUGCUGUAUUCUAUAUUUUAAAACUUAAUUUUUAGUUCUUUAUAUUGCAAACCAAACUGAGUCAAAUAGAGUAUGCUCUUCAAAUAAUUUUUCCAUUGCCUUCAAGAAGAAUUCAUUUUAUUUUUAUAUAUUAAUUCAACACUUGUAAACCGGGCCGUCAGAUUGCACAUAAAGCAAAUGAUCAAACCGUUACAAGACCGGCCCAGGCCCACUGACUCUAUUUUCUUUAAUUUGACCAUUAAAAAGCUUUUGGCCACCCCCACCAAAUAAAUAAGCUCUUGUUCUCUUUUGUAGGGGUGGGCAAAAAAACCGUAGUCUUAAAAAAACCGAACCGAACCGACGGUUUUUUCUAAUUCGGUUUGGUUUUUAUUUUUUUAAAAAACCGAAAUAUACCAUUUGUAAAAAAAAACCGAAAUGUCGGUUUGGUAUUCGGUUCACUUAGCUGAACCGAAAAACUGAACCGAAAAACCGAAUUAUUUUUUGAUUUUAUUCAAAUCAAACAUGUGUUAAUUUUUAACUGAUUGUGCAAGAUAACUAACAUAAACUUGCAUACACACAAUCAUGAGUAUAUAUAUGUAAGUGUUACAAUUUCGUAAAUCUUUAUUUCCCCCAAAAUAAACCCUAAAGCUAAAAUCAAAGAUUCAAAAUCGAAACCAAAUCCAAAUCACCCACCCCAAUCCACUGCAAUCACAGCCGACGCUGCUCACCGGCGAUAGUGUCACCGUGCAACACGCUGCUCACCGCGAAAGCUGCAGCUUCUUUUCACCGUGGGACAGCUUCAACUCACAGGCCUGAGGCCACCACGCGACAGCUUUGCUCUGCUCACCUGAUUGGAGUGGAAAUUCGAUGGUUUUGAAUGGUUUAUAUAUGCAUGUGAGGUGUUCGGCGCAUAUAAUCAACUUAAUUGUGCAAGAUGGGUUGUCACAAGUGAGUCAAUCAAUAGCUAGUAUUCGAAAUGCGGUGAAAUAUGUUAGAUCAUCUCCGGCAAGAUUACAAAAGUUCAAAACAUGUGUUGAUAGGGAGAAAAUCUCACGUGGAGGGCUUAUGGUGUUAGACGUGCCGACUCGGUGGAAUUCAACAUAUUUGAUGUUAGAAAAAGCGGUAGCAUUUGAGAGGCUAAAGGAAGAUGAUGGCCAUUAUACAAACUGGUUUGAUGAGGAUGAGAGUGAAUAAAGGAGGGUGGGGCCACCGAUUGAUAAGGAUUGGGAAAAUGCAAAGAGGUUAGUCAAGUGUCUUUCGAUUUUUUAUCAUGUGACUUUAAAAUUCAGCAGCUCUUUAACAGUCACUUCCAAUAAUUUCUUGAAUGAAAUGUGGAAAGUUUAUAUUCAUUUGAAGUCACUGGUUGAUUUUGUUAACAUAUAUGUUUUCAUAAUGUUAAUUUUGAUGAUAACAAACAAGAUUAAGAAUGAUUAAUCUUUUAAGAUCAAAUUAUUUUUUAUAUAUUUUAAAUAAAUCAUUAUUUUCACAUUAUAAAUGUUUUAUAUUUAAUGGAAAAAUGAUUUUAUGAAAAAUGAUUGUUUAAAUACAUGAAAUGUUUGUCAUCAUCAAAAAGGGGGAGAUUGUUAACAUAUAUGUUUUCAUAAUGUUGAUUUUGAUGAUAACAAACAAGAUUAAGAAUGAUUAAUCUUUUAAAAUCAAAUUAUUUUUUAUACAUCUUAAAUAAAUCAUUAUUUUCACAUUUUAAAGGUUUUAUAUUUAAUGGAAAAAUAUUUUAUGAAAUUGAUUGUUUUUAUUCUUUUUAAAUAAAUCAUUAUUUUCACAUUAUAAAUGUUUCAUACUUAAUGGAAAAAUGAUUUUAUGAAAUUGGUUGUUUUUCAAAGUUUAUGGUUUAAUUGAAAGAAUUUUGAAAACUUUGAUAUAAACAAGUAUUGCUUGAAAUUUUGGUAAAGGACUUAUUUGAAAAGUGUCAUAGCAUCUUUGGGCGAAAUCAUAAUUUCAGAAAGUUUUGGGAUUAACGAAGAAUUAUUUAGAAAUUCUGAAAUUGGACUUAUUUGCAAAGUUUAAUAACGUUUUGGGCCAUACUACAGUUUUAUAAAGUUUUGGGGUCAAACUAUAAAUUUUGGGAAAUGUUUUACUGUAGCAGUUACUGUAGCAAGCGGCUUACCGGAUACUAAUAAACGGCAAGUCGGAUACGGGGUAGUAAGCACCAGAACGAAAGCGGCUAACCGGAUGUCCAUAAACGGCAAGCCGGUUACGACAAAAAAUGUGCAUAACGGCUAGUAACGGCUAGUUUUUGAGUUCAAACUAUAUAAACUCAAAACCAAUUCAUUUUUGGUAACUCAAGCAAGCAUAAACAAGUGCACACAACUUAUAUUGAGCUUCAAAUUCGAAAAUCUUCAUAGAUUAAAUCUUCAUUGGGCUAUCAUUUGUAAAUCCACUCUUAAAGAGAGUUUUUGUUGUAAUUUUCAUUUCUCAUCAAAUUGUGAGAGUACAAGUGUGAGAAACACUUGGAGUGAAGAGAUUGGAGAUAUAAUCUCUUGUUGUAAAGGUUCAUUGACACCUUGAAGUCAAUUGUAAUCGUUUGAAGCCUUGGAAAGGCUUGGAUAGUGAAAUCCUCAAGCCCGGUGUGCUUGGAGGCGUGGACGUAGGCGGGGAUUGCCAAACCACGUAAAAAUCCUUGAGUUUGCUUUCUCUUCCCUUACUCUUUAAUUAUUGUGCUUUGAUUGAAUUUAUUGUUUUCGAAUUUAUUAAGGCAUUAGAUUGCUUGUUGUGUGGAUUUGUUAGGAUAAUUUUUAAAAUUCCAAUUCACCCCCCCCUCUUGGGUUGCACACUCAUAUUUCAGAUUUUAAUGAUUUUUUGUUAAAUCAAAUGGGUUACAAGAUGGAGGAAAAAUUUGUCAAGUAUUGGGGUCAUUUUUUUGAAAAGGUUAACAUGUUGUUGAUUGUGGCAAAUGUGCUUGAUCCUCGCUGCAAACUUGACUUUGUUAUAUGGUGUUUUAGUAGCUUGUAUGAUAUUAGAAAGGUUGAUGAAUUGAGAGCUAAUAUUAAAGAGUUGUUGUUGAAGCUUCUUGAAAGCUAUGGUGGUGAGAGUAAUCCAAAUAGAGGUGAGAGAUGUACGGCUGUUCAUGAUGGUGCUAGUAGUAGUAUUGAGUUAUUUGAUCCUUUUACACAAUUUAAAAAGAUGAAAGAAAGUUCAAAUGAUGACAUUAGUGGAAAAAAUGAUGUUGAAAAGUACUUGUCAGAGACUUGUGAGAGUGCUAGUAAUCCCCAGUUUGAUAUUUUGACUUGGUGGAAAUUGAAUGGGCCUCGGUAUCUGAUUUUAUCUCAAAUUGCCAAAGAUGUUUUGGCAAUUCCGGUGUCUACUGUGGCUUCUGAAUCAGCAUUUAGUACAGGAGGGCGCAUUCUUGAUCCUUUUAGGAGUUCUUUAACUCAUAAAACAGUCGAGUCAUUAAUAUGCACUCAAAAUUGGCUUCGUUCAACUCUAUUAGGAGAGCGUACAAUACAACCAAGUCAGGAAGAAGCUGAAUUCUAUGAAUUAGUUGAAACAUGUAAUAUUGUAAUUUAUUAUGUUAUUUUUUUCUAUUUCACUUAUAACAUUUUGAAUAUUAGAAUUAAUUAUUUUAAUAUAAUUGUUUUAAUUUCUUGAAGAAUUUUUUAGGCCAAUGCAAUCUCAAGAACAACAGCAAGUAGCUGAGGAGUAAAUGACAAUUGAUUGAUGUUGCUUACCAGUAAGUUUUCUUUAUUUUUUUUAAACUAGCAUCUUAUUUAUAUAGAUUGUUUAUUUAAUUAUUUAUUGUUUAAAUUUUUUUUAUAGAUCCAAAUAUUGAGUUGGAAAAUGCCUAAAGUUGAUGUUGAUAUUGAUGAAGAUGGGAGAAUAUUGUUGGCAUUUGUUUGCAAUUUUUUUUUUAUUUUGUGUUGUAAGUUGUAAUUGUUGUUAUUUUUAUUUCUCUUUAUAACAUUAUGAUUAUGUUUAUAUAGAUGGAGUAUUGGAGUUUGGUUAUGUAUUUUGAAAUUUUAAUAUUUCAUAUUUUGGGAGUAUCUUAUUAAUAGUUAGUAAGAUAUUAGUGAUAAAAUGUGUUUUGAAUACUUUGUAUUUAUUGUUAAUAUUUGUAAUAAAAUUAGAAUAAAUUAAUUGUUAAAAAAAUUAUUACAUUCAUGAGGCCCAAUGGGCUAAAAAUUCAAAAUAGGCCCAAUAGGCCCAGAAUCGAAAAAACCGAACCGAACCGAACCGAUCCGAAAAGAACCGUUUGAGUUCGGUUCUUAUUGAGUUCGGUUCUUAUUCAGUUCUUUUGAUAAAAUAACUGAUUUAAAUCGGUUCUACUUAAUUUCGAUCCGAACCGAACCGUGCCCACCCUUACUCUUUUGUUCCCUCUCAAAGGAAAAUAUCUAAUCACCGGAUAAUGAUUCCGGUGACACAAAAGAUCGAAACACCCCCUAAAUUCCCUAAAUUUAUGAUAAUACCCCACCAUGGAUGAUUCCGUUGAAAUGCCGCCUUACGAUGAAAGGCCUAAAAAGGGUUUUAACUUCACCUCCAUGCGCUUGAUCUUAACCCUCGUUUUCCCAAUUUUAACUUGCUUUUUGUUGGCAUUUUUUAUUGGAAUCGUAGUUGUUUUAUUCGGCGAAUCAUCAGUUUCCAGUUCCAUUUUUGUCCCUUCCCAGUGCAAGAUAGUGUCCAACAGUAAGCUUUUUUUAACAUUUUCAAUUUUUUUUCCAUUUAUGAAGUCCAAAAAAUUUAUUAAUUUUGAUUUUUUUGAAUGAUUUUUCAGGUGUUGAUAUAAGGUCAUCAAAAGUUCGUAAACUUGGGGUGUUCAAUUAUAAGGCGAAGCGCGUGUUUUAUCCAUUUGAAGCAAGUAAAUUUCGCUGUCGGUAUGAUUACUAUUGGGCUUCUAUCUUCAAGGUAUUCAUACAUUUUCCCCUGUACUAUAAGCUUCUUAGUGGCGGUCUUGUGUGCGGAAGUGAACGGUGUGGCUGACAGCUUCUUGAAAAUUAUAAGUUUGAACAGAGCAUGUUAGAGCACCACCAAAAGGCUCUUUAAAUAAGAUUUUAUUAUUUAUUUGAAGAGCCACAUCAAUAUUGAAAACUUCAAAAGACACUUCAAUUAAAAUUCUUCAAAUAAGAAUUGAUUCUCUCUCUUCAAAUUUGGAGAGUUAAUUUAUUCCUCUUCAAUUUAUAUUUUAUUACUUUUCAUUGAAGAAAGAGAGAAGUGCUUUAAUUGCUAUUGACUUUUCCUUUAAAAAACUAAUUAUAUGAUUAAAACAAUAUUAACUUAUUUAUAUUUGAAGAGUCUUUUGGAGAAUAUCAUAUUUUUUCACCCUUCUAUUUGCCACAUAGGUAAACAAAUAGAUAUUUAAAGAGUAAAAUUUAUAGAGGCUUUUAGAGAUGCUCUUAGACUUUUGUUGACCAAAUUCGAAAGCCAAAUGGCACAGCUCAGAAGCUUUUGAAUUGAAUAACUUACUAGGAAGCUCCAAUUUUUUGUUGGCUACAGUAAAAGGAUGUUGUUUUAUUCUUCUUAUACUUUACGCUUGCAUCAGCUUAAAUCACUUCUUAAACGCUUUGCUUUAACUCCACUGCUUCGCUGGGGCGGAUUUACCUUGGAACAAGUGGGGACUUAAGUCCCCACUGAAAAAAAAAAAUUGUUUUAAUAAUUAAUUUGAUUUGCCAAAACUUCUCAAUAAAUUUUUCUUAAGCCCCCCAUAAUUUCUUUCAACAAACAAUUGAUCUAAAUGAGUUAUUUUCUGUCAGUUGUAUCCAAAUGAGUUCUCUGCAAUUGAUAUCAUGGCACUUAAAAUUCAACUUGAUACAUAUAUUUUGGAUAUGCGCACUAGUGCGAGACUAAAAGACAUAAGGUAUAUCCAUUGGUUUACUUGUUAAUAAUAUUAGCAUUGACUUUACCUGUUGCCACUGCUAGUGUAGAGAGAGUAUUUUCAGCCAUGAACAUUUUGAAGAAUUGAUUAUAAAGCUGUGAGUAAUGGAUGAAUGAUAGUUUAAUUAUUUACAUAGAAAAAUACUUAUUUAAUAAUAUUGAUAAUGAACUUGUAAUGCAACAUUAUUAAUGUAUGAAAACUUGAAAGGACAAUUGUAAACAUAUAUUGAAGUAUGAUAAAUCUUUCAAAUUUAUAUAUUUAUUACUUUUUAAAUUUUUUUAUAUUGCCGUUGAAUGAGCCCCCAGUCAAUCAAUAUGUUGUCUUCGCCCUACUUCGUACUCUUCUAUAUAUGUAUCGGGUAUGCAGUUUUAGUUAACAGCUGAGACUACGUGUUUGUUUGACGUGGUAGUUACGUUACGAGUCUGUUAAACAUUCAAUGAUUAAAGUAUUAUCAGUUAUUUCAAAGGGACAAAUAAGAUUAGCUACAACACACCCACUAGUUUUAUAAAAUUCGAAUGAGAUGGAAUAAAAUAAAAAAAUAAAUAAGUAAAUUGACUUUUAGUUUUAGUGGUUGAAUAUAUUUUGCAUUCUCUUAGGGCACUGCUGUAAUUAUUCCUUAAACGUCAGUCAUACCCACAUAUAAUAGACACAAGAAAUGAAAUCUAAAAUCACCUGUUUAGUUAAAGAAUCAUCAUGAAAAAAUUUUGCCAUUUUGAUUUGAGGAUCCACAUUUUGAACAACCAACUUAUGUUCAUCAAAAACGGAUCAUGGCCUGUGAGUAGAAAAAUUAUUUUUGGACAAAUUAUUUUUUUUAAUAGAAUAAUUUCUCAAGGGACUAUUAAAAUUACUAAUAAAAAUGUCAGACACACCCACGUACCAUCGACACAAUUGACUAUGAGGAUCCAUGUUUUGAACUGCCACAUAAUGUUCAUCAAGAAUAGAAUAUGGCUCGUGAAAAGAAAAUUUUCUGAUUUUGGCCUGGAACAAAAAAAAAUUAAAUUGAAGGAGAAUCUGCUACUUUCUCAUUAAGAAAGGCAGACAGGGUAUACUAUGGUACCAUACAAUAUAAAAAGUCUCCGUUCUCUGGCUUUUCAAACUCUGAAGGGGGCAAUAUUCCCCAAUUCCCCCUUGAAAAUUCUGAUUACGACAUUAUUCAUCACUUGAUACAUAAGUACAAGUAGUGACAAAAUUAGGAAAAAUAUGACUCAUAAGUAAUUACUAGGCAGGGCUCUUGAGAGCAACAUUGUACUAGGCUUUAUAUGCAAACAUGGUGUGGUACAUAGAGCACGUUGAAUUCCACACUAUAACACAAACCCAGAAAGACAAGUAAUAUCUCAACUGAUAUAAAGACAAAAAGAAGAUAAAAUGAUACAGAACAAAGAAUUUCUAAGAGAUAGCAACAUACAAUAGACUGAAGCCAGUUGAUCUGCUCAUUGAUUGCAGCCUUAAACUUGCAAAUGUUUACUGUAGCCUGGUGCUCUAAGAAGUGAAAAUGAUGCAAACCUUGAUUCCCUGUUUACUUCCAUUUACCAUCAAACAUUCUAUUCAUAAGAAAAAAAAUGUUUAGAUAUCUUGCCGUAAAUAUAGCCAUUUGAUUGUCUUAAUAAAGCCACACACAACCAUUCAUAUUGAUCCACAUUGCCACAUAGCCUGAUUUAAGCAUACAACACCUGAAUGUAUACUGACUCCUAACCUUAUCAAUACAUUGGCGACAACUUAAGAAGAAAACUAUUUCUCCAUCUCUUUUUUGAAAUUUCACAAUAAAAUAGCACAAUGUAAGAGCUGCAAUGAAAAUGGACCAUCUGGAACUAUGGCGGAAGCUUCAACUAGUGUAGUGAUUUGACCUUCUUAUUAACCUAGCGAGAUCAAACACUGCCCUUGAUCUUGAACAGAUCAAUACGAUACGCACAACUUAUGAUUGAAUCCAGAAACAAUCAAAUCUUUAGCAAGAAUAAUUAAUCAGAAUCAAGAAACAAGUUUAAUGAAUAUAAACCUAUAAUUGGAACAAACACAGCAAAAGAACCCAAGAAUGACACAACCAGCACCAAGGGAGAAGCUUUCCAGUGAGAUUAUAUUGAUGAUCAAAGAAGAAUCUUUUUACAAAGCUAACAAAAGAGAUUUCAGAGAAUAAGCUAUGACCCUCUCUCUUCUCAAUCUCUGUCUAGUUUGUUAACAGUGAUGACCCCAAUCUCCUUCGUUAGCCAGCUUCAUAACUGCGUCAGUGACAAACUAGCAAACCCAGAUUGAGCAGACUAACGACACGUGCAUAACGGCUUUAACGAACUUGGUUAAAGAACUGCUCACAUGUUCGUCACGCGUGUUGCUUAAAUGAUAGCCAAAACGACUUCAACCAGAUGCCGUUUUGAAGCUUAUGAAUUAUAAGUGAAAACACGUGCUUGUCUCGUGACAUUUAAAUGCAACAACAAGCCCAAAACACUGCCGGUCCACUAUGUUGAGUUUGCCAUCUCUAAGCUUCACAACUAGCAGCGGACAAGAUGAUAAUUUAAUUGACUUGGAGAGCUUUUAUAUCACUUUUACAACAUUCUAUAUAAUUGUGAUAUUGGGAAUCGUCGGUGUUGUAUAUGUGAACCCUCGUUGGCGACACUGGUGGUUUUAUCUUUAUUGAAAUAUGGAUGACUUUUCGUUACUAUUUUGUUGUACAUAACCUUAUUCUCAGGAGAUUUAAUCAUUGAAAUUAACAUGUUAGUUUCAUUAGAAGGCUGAGUGGUUAGGGCUGCUACCUUCCAACUUGGAGGGCAAUAGUUUGAACCCACAAGCGCAAUGUGGGGGUAUUUCAUUCUUUAAUUACAUUGUAUAAUUGAAUAAAGAUAAUAUUCUCUCUUACCCAAGUGUGAGUGGAGUAGACAUCCUUCGAAUAUUAGCGAGGGUUAAAACUUGGGCAGAGCUCAAUAAGUAUUGAUGUAAGUUGGUCCUAAUAAUAGUCUGAUUUGUAAAUAUCAGUUAUAGUCUCAUGUUUCCUUCCUUAAUUAUAUUGCAUAAUUAAGUAAAUGUACUCUUUUCUCUUACCCAAGUGUGAGUGGAGUAAACAUCUCUCGAAUAUUAGUGAGAGUUAAAAUCUGGGCAGAGCUCCAUAAGUAUUGAUGUAAUUUGAUCCCAAUAAUAGUAUGAUUUGUAAAUACCAGUUAUAGUAUCAUGUAAUAUGAGUUGUAAUUUGAGUAAUAAUUUCAUGUAAUUACAAAAAAAAAUGUUACUUUCAUUACUUUUUUCUUCGUUAAAAUUCUCAAGUAUCAAUUAUGUUUGCUUAAGAAAUAAAAUUUCAUUAUGAAAAUUGUAGCAGUAUUUCCGAGCACCUCACAUUUUCAAUGAUUUUUCAUAAAUCAAUUAAUCUGCCAUACCAAUAUCAGGUUUAGUUUUUCAGACUAAAUGAUCAAGAAAGCAAACAUACAAAUUCACAUUUUAGAGGGGUAAACUAGCUUUUAGAUUUUAGAACUAGGCUAGCUACCUCACCAAAUUCCAAUCUGUACAGUGAACUACAAGAUUAAGAAAAUAAUGUAUUUAUAGUUUAAUUGAAUCAUGAGAAAACAAUGUAGUCAUAGCUCAAUCGGACAUGAUCACGGAGAGGCAUAUUCUUUUCAAGUUAAUUUGAUCCAUUUAUAAGAAAUGAAGUGGAUUGAAGUUAAAAGUUCAAAUAACAAAUCCUUGUUCUUGAGUUUUACGACGUCGUUACUCCUUCAAGAGGCUGAUUAUGCGAGUGAAUGAGGAAACAGAAUGCAUUAUCCAAUUUCACUCAUAUAGAAAAUUAAUUUUUUAUAUAUACUAAUCAACACUAGAUUGAUUAUGUUUUGUAUGUUUAUAUGCUAAUCAACAAUAAAUUAUAGUAAAUGAAGAAAUGCUUCAAAAUUUUUUAAUUUAAUUUAGAAAAUCAAUUAUUAACAUUAAUAUUCCUAAUAAAAAUUAUUUUCCAUCGGUAUUCAAAAUUUUCACUUAUAGAAAAUGCGUUUUACGUGAAUACAAGUUAUUGUGUAAAUUUGAAUGAUAGCGAAAAAUAUUUUUUUUAAUAAUUGUAAAAAUAAUUAACCAUAACAAAUCGCUUGCGUAAAUAAUAAUCAUUAUUUAAAAGGUAGAAAGAUGGUUAGUGCACAAUCAAAUUUUAAGCCCCUACCUCCUCGGCCCAAUAUUCAAACUUAGAUGAUCAGCCAAAUAAAAUUAUUUGAAAAUCAUUCAAUCAGGUUCUCGGGGCAAAAAUACAAGAUCCUUAUUUGCAUGAUAUAUAUGAAUUAAUGUAAUUUAUUUGAAUUAUCCAAAUUCAUUAGAGAUAAAACUAUAAAAUAUACGAAAAAAGUUAGAAGGAAGGGUGUGUUGGGAUAUUUUACAAACUAUAGGAAUCUGGUGAGAUUUUGAGCCAAACUGUAGGGAGUUGAAGGCAUUUGCCCAAUAUGUUUAGCCGUACACUAACCGUUAUUUGAUCUUGUUGUUGGUCCCGGAUGAGCUAUAGUCUUAUUUUAAUUUUAUUUAAACUCACCAUAAGAUUCGCAGAGCUCCUAACUAACUUAAAUGACUCUGCAGAGCAUGUCAACACAUAGCAUGUUUAACCGUUUUAUUUGUAGAAGAAUUUAUGAUUUCCCAUUAGCAUUAUUAUUGAAGUGGGGCGGGUCAAAUCUCAAUUGCUUGAAAAUUUUAUUUAUUAUUAUUAAUUUUGAAGUGGGGUGGGUAACGGUUCGUUCAAUUCGAGGGAAUCAAAUAUAUCAUCCAAGGUAGAAUUGUGGAAAAUUAAAGCAAAAUAAGAAAUAUGGACAGAAAAGAAGAAAGUUAAUGCAUGAAAGACAUUUACAGUUGAAAUUGAUAAUCAUGUUUCUAUUUUGUUAACUAAUCAAAUGGAAAACUGAACUGUAAACAAACAUUAAAACGUGUGGACCAAGCUAGCUGCCCUACAAGUCUACAAUAAUAAUUGAGUACUUUGAUUCAUCCUUCUAUGAAUUUCUACCCAUAUUGACUCCUCCGAAAUUUCCACAAAAUAAAAAAAAAAAAAAAACUGAAUUUCCACAAAAUGCAAAACCCGUAGAACUUAAUUUUUGGUCAUGUGAACUAAGAUGUAAAUUAAAGAAAAAGUAUAAAAUUAAAAAAGAUAAAAUUUCUAAAAUGUGUGGAAGGUGAUUCAUAAUUCACUGAAAUUACUUGCCCCAGAUAUAUAGGUAAACCUAUCUAAUUUCAUUAAAAAUAGUUGGAAAAAAUUAACUAAUAGAAAGCUACGGAAAUUAACCCCCCACAAAAAUAACUUUUUAUAGAAGAAUUUAUGUUUUUUAAAAUAUGUUAUCAAAGUGUAUUUGAUCAAAUCUCAAUUGCUUAGUAUGCUUAGGAUUUUGUGAACAUCACUAAAAAGCGAAAGCUAUGAAUGAUAGGGGUGAUGCUUGCAAUAUGAAUAAAUAAUGGACUGAUUCAAUUGAUGAUUACAUUUAUAUAUUAUUGAUUAUUUAUGAAUUUUCAGACUUGUUACGAUGUAUAACUAUGUGAUUUUGAAACUUGAAACCGUGGCAAACAUUGAAAGGAAUUAUAACUUGAAAUCAUGACUCACGGGGUAUGUCAUGAUUCACGUGCACAAAAAAAGGUAGAAUUGUGGAAAUUUAUAACCCAACGACAAAUACGGAAAGAAAGGAAGAAAAUUAAAAGACUUCGGGCCUAGCCUGCGUGUAUUAAUUAUUAGAUUAUUUUUUUUUUAUAAGGGUAAUCAUCAAUUUACUCCAUAACAAUCUUUAAUUCAUUUCUUAAAACUAUCAAAACUUUAAUUUAUCUUUUAAACAUCGUUACCUCUUCAUUGGUUUUAAUAGUUCAAAGGGUAAAAUUAUGUUUGCAUAUUUUCUUGACCGCCAACUAAAUGAUAAAACUCAAAAUUCAAUCUUGUUAUCUUGUUUCAAUCCUCUAUCAAUCAAAUAAGAUUUCUAAAAUAUGUGGAAGAUAUUGCAUGAUUUCCUCAACCUACCUGGCCCGAACAUCAAGGUAAAUAUCUCUAAAAUAGUUUAUUAAAUCUCAGUUGCUAAGUAUAGUAAGGAUUGUGUGAACAUCAAUCAAAACUAUGAUUGAUAGAAGUGAUCUUUGCAAAAUGAAUAAAUAAUUAACUGAAUCAAUUGAUUUACAUAUUAAAGUUUAUGAAUUUUCGGACUUGUUGCGAUAUAAUAAUAGCAUAUGAUUUUGAAACUUGAAACAGUGGUAAAUAUUGAAAGGAAUUAAUUUGAAAGCAUGAUCCGUGGGGAAUGUGAUGAAUCGUGUUUACCAAAAAGGUAGAAUUGUGGAAAUUUAUAACAGAACGAUAAAUAUGGUAAAAAGGAAGAAAAUUGAAAGACUUGGGGCCUGGCCUGGGUGUAUUUUCUAACAGUCCAAUGGACAAAAUUAUAUUUGUAUACUUUCUUAACAGUCAACUGAUUGAUAAAAGUCAAAACUGGUCUCUUUUUUUUUUCCUUGUUUCAAUCCCCUCUCAAUCAAAAAUGUUUCCUUGUCUAAGCAAUGAGGAAUAUGGCUGAAAAGAUUGCUAUUAGAAAGAUUUAUCAAUUGUAAUUGGUUUAAAAUUGAAUAGACACUUCAUUUUUAAGAUUGUUAUGAGUCAAUAUAGGUCCUAUUUGGGAUUGAGUUCUUGUAAUUUUUAAGCUACAGCGGCUGUGGAAAAAAAAUUAUAAUUAUGAAAUAAGAGUUAAAAACAUGUAAUAAAUAUAAAUUUUAAAUAAUAGUUUUGACAAAAUUAUAAAAUAUAUAAUAUAUCUUUCAUAAUACAAGUAAAAGAUCAUAUCAACAUAGAUUGCAAGCCACAACAGUUAGUGUUUACCAAACAAUUUAGUGCUGUAACUUUCAAGUUACAGCUGCCCAAUCUCAAUUUCAAAUGCACUUAUAAAGUGACUUGCUUCAAAAGCCUAGCAACCCAAAUUGGAAUGCUUUCAUUCAAGUGGCUAUAACUAAGAUAUAACGUCCCUAAGGAAGAGUAAUUAAAAAAUGUACCUUCUUUAACAUGUCCGUAUGGCAUUUUUUUUUUAAGUGAAUUUGUGUGAUAGAGAGAGGAUGUCAGCAAGAUAGUAAACUCCUAAAUAUAUUAUUGUUUGUAAUGUCUAAAAUUUGAAGAGAAUCAAGCUAAUAAAACUCCAUUGAAAUUAGACCUUCAAGAGUACGGUUCUUGGGCAUUAUAAAAUGUUGUAAUGUCGAGAGAUUACCCAACCAUUAUGGAAUCCUACCAAGAUGAUUGUUACCACUAAGAUACAAUCCUUCUAGUGAACAACAAUCAGACAAAUUUUUUGGGGAUCUCUCUUACAAAGUGAUUACCAUCCAAUCGCAAUUUUGAAUGAAAAUAAAUUUUUUUUAUUGGGAGUUUGACCUUAACAUUAAAUUUAGACAAUGAAUUUUAACUUUCUUCAAUUAUUAAACAGUUUACAGACAUUUGACAAAUUUGAAAACACUUCAUCCAUAGAAAGUUAAAAUUAGAGAUGGAAGCUAGGUGCUACAGCUAAUGGGAACAUUAAUUCCUGUCCCUCAUCACACUUUAUUUUGGGUCUAAUAAUUUUACGGCAGCAUUGACCACUGCUCAAGGUAAGUAAAACUUACAAAUGUGUGGCAAAAUAAAUAAUUAAGUGCAUAAAUUGUUAGCUAAUUUUCUUGAUAUAUACAGCUAAAGUAGUCGUUCCCCUUUAAAAAAAAUGUUAAACAAUUUCGGCUGAGCCUGCUUGUGGUUUUGAUAAAAAGGAGGGGCUGGCUUCAAAUAUUUGAAUAGGCAUCUCCGCCGUACCUCAAACAAAUCUGUCAUUAUUUGUGCCAUGAAACAUGUUUCGGCCGUCGAAGUCACGAGAGGGUUGAUGACGCUACUACGUAUGAUGACACACCAGCCGACAGUGUAGUAACAGCUCAAAAACAAAAUCUACCAAAAUCAACGAAAGUUAAUAAAAAUUUAUUUUAUUAAUAAAAAUAAAUAAAUAAACUUAUUAUUUUUGGAGACGUGUGUAUUUGAGUCUGUGGACUGAAAUGGAAAAUAUGAAGAAGUUCAGAGUCGUUGUGCAGAUUGACUUCAGUUAAAUGGGUCUAGUAGAUAUUUUAUGCUGACGUGGCACGAAUUAGUUAUAAUCUGUUACAACGUUUCCAGAAACAUCAGUAUAAAUAGAAGCUGAUGAGCAGUGCCUGUUGUACGAUCCUUUUUCUUCGUCAGUUGUUCGUCAAUUUUCAUAGAAUCUGUUUCAUUGUGAUCUGUACAAAGUCUUCUGUAAAUCCACUUAUGUUUGAUUAGUUGUUGAUCACUAACGAAGUAAAUUUUUCCUUCAAAUCUUGCUGGUUCGUGCCCCUGUUUCAGUUCUGGAUUUUUCUUUUUCUUUUUUUAGUUCUGGUUUCUUAAUUCAAUUGAAUUUCUUGGUGCUUAAUUCAUCAAGAUUCAGUGGAAUCGACUUGAAAAGGAAAACAUUAUCCACCUGGAACGACUUCAAGUCCAAAGUAAAAGACAAGAGUGGCUCCCCGCAAUUUUCUUGUUUUCAGUAUAUUUUCUCUUUUUCUUUUUUAAAAUCUUUUGACGCAUGCAUAAUAUACCCUUGUUUAUUAUCUCUACUUUGCUCUGCUCAAGUCCAUUUUUUUCAAAUAUUAUUUUAAAUAAUAAAUUUAAUAAAAGUACAUUUGUGUAAUUAAGACUCUGCUAUUAUAUCACACAUACGCAUAUAAUAUAACUAAGCAUUUGUUAUUAUAGCAAAGAUCCAUAGCAUGAAAGUGAAUAAAUUUAACUAAAUGGUUAAUUAAUCAAUUAAGUUUCAUGAGCUUUAAUCGAGUUAAAACCAAGUACAAACAUCGUUAACAAAUACUGAAAUUGAGUAAAUUAAAAAAAUAAAAAAAAUUAAUUCAAGUAAUAUGUAGUUUUUACAUGUUGAUCAGCAGAAUACAACAUUAAAUUUUGUCAUUGACAAUAUUGCAUACCAGUCAUCUAAAGCAUUACCUCACGAGGUUUUAUGAGAAACGAAAGAUAAGUGUUUGCUCUGAACAAUUAAAGUUGCUGCUACCAACCUCCCCGAAGACCAAGAAGACGGAACAGGAAGCUAAUGCAUCAAUGUCUUCUUCAUUAUAGCUGCUGCGUAGUUAGGUGUAGUUUCCUCAUUUGAAGCUGUCUAUACAUAGGCUUUCCCCCUGCUUAUGUACAAAUAAAUGAACAGCCUUGAAGCUUUAUUAUUCGCAACAAAAGGGAUUACCAAUUGGAGAAGACUUUACAGAGUUCCUCUCACACACUCUCUCAAUUUCAUCUAGAAGUCCCUCCGAAAGCAUCUCCCAAAACAGUUAGUCAUCUUUUAUACUCUGUUUUCUAGAAACAGAGUCCUAACUAAAUUAAUUGACUGUACAGUGCAUUUCAACAUAGCAUAUUUAACCGUUUUAACAGUAAUUUUAACCGUCUUCUGAGUUAUCAUCAACAAAUUCAUUCAUAUUUCUCCAGUCUUACGGACGAUAUCAUAUGUUUAAUAAUGAAUGAAUAGUCUUGGAUCAGUGUUUUGCAGCAAAUUCACAUCAUAGUUUUGAUUCUUUAGAUAUGAAUUCAUCACAUUACCGAAAAGAAUAUGCGCUAAAAAAUGAUUCCAAGACUAUUUGACUACCAAAAGCUGCUGUCAGAGUGCACUGAAAUCUUGACUCCUCUCAGCGAAAAAUAUAUCAAAGUUUAGAUUAUGUGUUCGAGCUUUAAUAAAUGCCUGAGUUAAUAAUAAUAACAACAAUAAUAAUAAACUAAAAAGCAAAAUUACUAUUGAAUGAUCGGAAAAAAAAAAAUUUGAAAACGUGUGAACUCCAAUAACCACCCCACAAAUUUAGUGGCGAAUUUUGGAGAGGGCAAGGCCGGGCUUCUCAGAAAAAAAAUGACGAGUAGAAUUGUGGAAAAUUAAGCAAAAUGACAAGUAUGGAAAGGAAGGCUGAAAGUAAGGCAUGACGAAAGGCUUUGAGAAGGCUGAAGACUACCAAAGAAGACAACUGAAAGCUAGUUGGGGCCUGGGUGUAUAAAUUGUAGAUGUGUUUGUUAUAAAUAACAUAGAGCCCUUUUGUUAUUUAUAGUUAUAGAGAAAGAGAGAAUGUGUGUUUUUUAAUAGUUAGAGAUAUAGCUAGAAUGGGUGGUUCAAAAUCCAAAAUGGUGACAAUGUUAGUUCUCGUAUUAAUAAUAUUAGGGAGGGGGGGGGGGGGGGGUGUGGAGUGAGGGAUGUUUGGAGCAUGAGGAAUUUGCUCAUUUUCGGCUUAAACAUUUCUUCAAUUCCCCUUAUAGACUUCAAAACUGGGUAGGUGAACAAAGGGAAAGGGUUGAGUGCAGCAACUCCACAGGCCGAGUGGUACAACUACACCUUAGUCUUACUAGGAAUAUCGAUCUGGGAGUGUGGUAUCUGAAUGCUUCUCUAUUUACUCCCUUUCAACAACUUGGUAACAAAAUAGCCGGCUGCAUGCGUUGAGAAUGAAGGUCCUUCAUUUAAUUUAAUUUACUUAAUUUCUCCCUCCUAAUUAAUGUCUAUAACCAUUAGGAGGAACAAGGGAUUUUAUUAACUCAAAUAUAUCUAAUGGAGCUCAUUCUUUGGUUUUACUUGCAGGUAUAGAAGCAGGUGUCAUCUAACAGCUGCUUUGAUAAUUUCCCACCCCUUCAUCUUUGAUGGAAAGAUGAAAUAAAAACAAAAUGGUGAAAAUGGUAUUGGUACCUGAGGCUAUGUAAUCUAAUUCAAAAACUGCACCAUCAAAACGAUUACAUAAGUCCCAGAAGAAUCAAACGUUAGUUUGCAAAAUAUCAAUUGCUGGAGUUGUUUCGGUUGCACGUUAAUAUCAAUUCCGCUCUUGAUUUUUAUGGGCAUGUUGUAUUGUACUUGCAUACGAAAAUCAUAUUUUAGUUUACUUCACUCAACACUUGGAUUAAAGUUUUAGGUGGGGAAAAUUGAAGGAGACUAAAAUGACUCAAAAAAAUAGUUGAAUGAGUGAGGGUUUUGUCUUCAUUUAAGGAGCUCUUUAUAAAUUUUAGGAUUCUUUUUCCUGAGAAAAUUUAUGCCAACUCAUUCUUUGCUUCUUUUUUGAAGGGACACAUGCAACCGAAAGUAUAUUCUUGAAUUCUCCAGGAUAAGAGACAUACGUUUAGAUUCUGGAGCAUUUAAAACAAUGUCAAAUUUUAGAUUGCUGAAAUUUUAUAUAUCCGAGUAUGAUGGUAUUCCAAUUAUAAGCUCCAGGGUGCAACUUCACUGAGGUUUAGAAUGCCUUCCUAUAGAAUUGAGAAAUCUCCAUUGGCCUAAAUAUCUUUUGAAAAUACUGGCAUCAGAUUUUGAAUUGGAGAACCUGAUUGGACUCAGCUUGCCUUGUAGUAAGGUUAAGCAAAUUUGGAAAAGAGAAAAGGUAUAAUGUAUUACUAUUACCAAAGUAUCUAUUUUUCUUUCUUUAAGUAUUUAUAAUGAAUAACUUUGAAAUUCAAUGAUGCUCAUUUAGUAUAGUUAUGUAUCUUUGGUUAUAGGAAGCUGUCAAGUUAAAAUCUAUAGACCUUCACCACCCCUCUAUCUCAAUAGGAUCCCAGAAAUACUAAAUCUUAAAAAAAUAAAUCUUUCAAAUUGUGAAAGCAUGCUUACGUUACCCCCGUAUAUCCACAAUUUCAACUAGCUGAGUAUGUUGUGUUUCAGGGAUGCAAAAUUCAUUUUGUUUCUCAUGAAAGGAUUGACUUGUCCGGAUGUAUUAGGGUUAAUAAACCAACUAAUCCCAUAAUUUGUUGAUGUAGUAGAUUGUAGAUCAGUACACUAUUCGAAAAUGUAUUUGAUCCACACAGUGAAGUGGAUAUUGGACCAAUUUGAUGAUAAUGAUUUUCUUUCAAUCUCAAUCUUUUUUCCUUUUAGCAACAUGACUAGUCAUUGCGCAAAUUCAAACUCUGACAAUGAUUUCUCAAUCGGUUUCUAAGAUGAUGACCAUGCAUGUAUAUGUAUAUGCGUGUGUAUAUGUGUGUGUGUGUGUGUGUAGAGAGAGAGAGAGAGAUCACACGUGUGUGAUUUCCUUUUGCCAAUAGGAUAUGCAGAGAGCUUGAUCUUACCCAAUAGCGAAACAAACUUCCUAAUAAGUGAAGGUUAGUAUAAAUACUUACACUUUCAUGUUAUUUUGUUCAUCAGUAGCUUGAUUAUUUUAUAUGCGUCUUCGAUUUUAAUUUUCUUUCCCUAUAAUCACUAUUAUCUUUGAACUGGUCGUGAUUUGCGUAUAAGAUUUCUCAUGUUGUUUUGAGGUGCAAUGGAUUUUGAAUUUAGUGACGAGCGGUGGAAGCCAGAAGGCAGAUUAUGAAAAUGGAUAAAGAUCUAUAAUUAGCUGUUAUGGGAUGUCACAUAUCAUAUUGAUGGUAACAUUAUAUAUAUGUACAUAUAAUUAAUGGGGUUGGCUCACGAGCCCAUUAAUAAUCAUAUAUUAGCUUAAAUACUUCAAACAAUGUACCAUGAAGCAAUUUCACAAACACUUUUUAGCUUAUGUUGAGCUUUAUCAAUAAAAUGCAGGUUUGCUAUUUUACGUACAUGGUUAUGGUGUGUGCAUUCUUCAUAAGGCUAACUACUAAUUUAUCAAUGAAACUUGAAAAAUGUGACAGAGAGAUGUCGAUAACAGCCGCAAAACACUGAGAUCGAAAAUCAGGGCUACUAAAUACUAUUAAAAGCUCUUAAAAUAGACAGUGAUCAUCCUUAAUCGCAAAGUUAUGCACUAAUAGAACUAUUGACUACUUAUCUUUAGCAGAAGGUAUAUUUUUAACUACAGCUUUCUGCUUUGUUCUAAGAACUAGGCAAGUGGUAUAUCUUCAAUCCAAUCAACGCAUAUACCACUUAUCUUCCUCUUCACUUUUGUCUAUUUUGAUUUCCACUUUAUAUCCUGCACUUGCUGCUUAGAAAUAGUCUUAGUCUGGACAUUGAAAGUAGAAAAAGUACUUGAAACAAUCAUUGGCACAGCCCGAGAUUCCAUUGAAUCGUGGACUCCAAGCUUUCAUAGUUCUAUAAAGAAAAUGACAUAACUUUAUACAACUGGCAUUCUGCUUUUAACAUUUGAUCAACCUGAGCGAGUUAGCAAGCCUCUUGUCGCGUUCCCAUUGAAUAGACCUACUUCUGUUAUCCACAGAAGAUCCACCACUCAAAAUGUUUAUCACCAGGCUAUUCUUAAACUGAGCCUAAACUGAGUAGAAAUUUCCGCACAUCUCUCAACAUUUACAUGAAGAAAUCGACAACUAUCCUCAUCUCUCAGCACAUCUCUCAGCAUUCUACAAAGUUGCAUUUCACUAAGCAAUCUAUCCUCUCCAUUCCUAGCAAAGUGACAUUGAUUCAUGUAUUUGUAAUCGCCUAACUUGGGUUUUGGGCAUAGCGUGGUCUUAAAAUUACCACCCAAUACUUUGUUCAGUGCCACUGGCAUCCACAAGCUCUAGCCCUGUUAGCUGAAUCAUAUUCAAUGGGAGAGUGAGGCAGCAUUUCACUAACAUAUUCAAUUUGACUACUUAUAUUGAUGCAAAUAUUAGAAUUUGAAAUCACUUCUUUUCUUGGAAUAUUAUAUUAAAAUGACCCCAAAUGAAAGUUCUUUAAUGGAAAUUAUUUUUAUUUAAUUUUCCAACAGAUUCAAGAAAACCCAGAGAACACAAAAUUUACACAGUAAUAUGAUUAAGAGCUGAGAACAUACAUGUAGUAAAUGUCUAUCAAAAAACACCCAAGUGUUUCUUUAAAAUUAGAAACUAGUAAACAAAAAGAAAGAAUCAUUUUACAUUUUUAGCAACUUUGGGGUGAGUGAGUGAGUGAGUGAGUGAGAAAUUGAAACCCUAAAGUGAUGACAACAGUAAGAUUCAGUAUGAAGUGAAACCCCAAUUUGAAAUGUAGGCAUGAGUUGCUGAGUCAGUAGAUGAAGCUAUAAAUAGGCAUUCGGUUUCCUUCUUUUCGGUUUGGAGGGCCAUGGAAUAGUGUAUUGGAGUGGGCUCCAAGUAAUAGCCUCUAUCACUGGAACGACACAUCUGUAAAACGUGAUACAUGGGGAAGGAUUGGGCAUUAUAUUCUUAGAUUAGCGCCUUAUUUAGGGUGUAUAUUAAGCAAAUUAUAUAUUACAUGGAGAUGGAGUUUAUGAAAUAGAUUAAAAAGAAAAGGAAAUUUCGGUGUCUAAAGUUUGCUACUUGGAAUAUUUCGGUGUCUAAAAAUUCACUCACCACUUAUUUCAUGUUUGAUUAUAUGUUGAAAAGAUAUUAAAAUAGUAUAAUGCUAUUAAGGCUUAACGUAUAUUUUUUAUUAGUAGAGUGUAGAAUUUUUAAGAAAUAAAUUAUUAAAUUAUUAUAACUAACAUAUUAUUUUAAAGUUGUGUUAUGAAAAAAAUGAAAUAAAAAUGUACAAUAAAUAAGAAUAUUUUAAAACUUUUAUCUUUUUAAAAUUAGUUUUUAACAUAAGGUGAACUAUUUUUUUUUUUAAAUCACAUAUUCUAGUUAAAAUCAAAUAUGUAUUUAUAUGAAGCUUGUAAAUUUUUUUUUUUAGUACUGAUAUUUGAAUAUUAUCAAUAAAAAAAAGGGUAAUGUUCAUGCUGCAUUAUUUUUGUAGCACACAAAAGGACAACAAAGUUUAUGUUAUAAUACUAUCGCUUCUGUUAUGAUAAUAUUUUUUUGUGGCCAAAUAUCUUUUUUUUUUUUAAGUAAAAAAAAGUGGACAAAAUGCAAAUCAGUUUUUAAUCCUCAAUCUCUCCCAAAAUAUAAAUUCGUAGGUCCAUGGGUUGUUAAAACUAUAGCCGACAAAAAGUUACUAACAAAAACAGAAUGUCCAUUUUAUAACUUUCUUAAAAAACUUUCCUUAACUUUUUUAAAAAGUUACCAACAAAAAGUUAUUUCUAAUUUUUAUUUUGUUAUAAUUUUUAUAACAAAAUUCGUAGUUAACUAAACUCUUCUUAUUCCCUUUCUCAACUGCCAUACCCUAACCCGAGCAAAUUGCGUAGGAUAUACCUGUUUUCCCUCAAAAUACUUAAAAUAUACCUCCAUAUAUUAAAAUUGCUAGCUUUACACAUUUAUACUUAAAAAGAUCAGGGAAAAUACAAAAAUAACCUUAAUAAAAAUACUCAACUUAUUAAUAUGCUUAAUCGACUCAUUUAAUAUUCUUACUCGACUUUUUACCGGACCAUACACUCGACUUAGUUAAUAUGCUUACUCGACUUAUUUAAUAUUCUUACUCGACUUCUUACCCGACCAUAUACUCGAUUUAUUUAAUAUGUUUACUCGACUCAUUUAAUAUUCUUACUCGACUUCUUACCCGACCAUAUACUCGACUUAUUUAAUAUGCUUACUCGACUCAUGUAAUAUUCUUACUCGACUUCUUAUCCGACCAUAUACUCAACUUAUUUAAUAUGCUUACUCGACUCAUUUAAUAUUCUUACUCGACUUCUUACCGGACCAUAUACUCAACUUAUUUAAUAUGCUUACUCGACUCAUUUAAUAUUCUUACUCGACUUCUUACCGGACCAUAUACUCGACUUAUGUAAUAUGCUUACUCGACCCAUGUAAUAUUCUUACUCGACUUCUUACCCGACCAUAUACUCAACUUAUUUAAUAUGCUUACUCGACUCAUUUAAUAUUCUUACUCGACUUCUUACCCGACCAUAUACUCGACUUCUUUAAUAUGCUUACUCGACUCAUUUAAUAUUCUUACUCGACUCAUUUAAUAUUCUUACUCGACUUCGUACCCGACCAUAUACUCGACUUCUUUAAUAUGCUUACUCGACUCAUUUAAUUUUCCUACUCGACUUCUUACCCGACCAUAUACUCGACUUAUUUAAUAUGCUUACUCGAUUCAUUUAAUAUUCUUACUCGACUUCUUACCCGACCAUAUACUCGACUUACUUAUCUCUAAUUCUUACUCGACUAAAUUCUCGAUUUACCCGACUUCUUCCUGCACUGAUUCUUCAAUCACUCAUAACUUAAAUGUAGUCUUAAAUCCCUACAUUGAAAUAGUGUGUGUGUGCAAGCACAAAAAAUGAAUAAUGUACUACUAAAAUUCAUAAAUCAUUAGGAAGUACACUUAUAAGAAAAAUAGAGAAUGGUGAGAGAAGCCCAAAAAAGAGAAGCAAUGGGAGAAGAGAGAUGUGAAUUCUUAGUUUUUUUAAGGUUAUUUUUGACUUGUCCUAUCUUCAUAAGGUAUAUGUGUGUAAUAGGGUACAAAUUUGGCAUUUAAGGGUAAAUUGAGGGUAUUUAAAUAAAAAACCCCCUAACCCUGUUCCCCAUGUCCCCACUAAACCACGCUCAAUUAAGGCCAUCAGAUUCUCCCGGGCCCACAUUAAUCCAACUGCUCACAGAGACCGACAGCCUCUCUAUCUCCAUUUCAAGCUCCCUCUUCAACUGGCUUCUGCUACCGUCCUACUCUUUCUCGGCUUCGGAGUCCGUAUUUGCUCGGCCUGUCCCACGAAGCUCCCUCUCACUCCAAUUGUCGCCCCACAAGACCAAUUGCUUAAUCAAGACACCGAACAAGAAGAGGAUGAGAAGUUGAAACAAGAAUUUGAGAAUUGGAAAUCAAAAACGUUUGAGAGUCGUUUCUCUUCAGAACUCAGCGCCUCAAUCUUGGGUUAAGGAUUUUAGAAGUCAGGGAAAGAGAUUGAAGUUUCAGAUGAAUUUGUGUGCUAGCAUUGAUGGGAUCUUUAACAAUUUAUCUGUGCCCUUUAACAAAGUUAAGUCUAAGUCAGCUUCUUAUAUGGCUGCUGAUUUGGUUAGUGUUGGUGAUUCAUGGCUUAGUUUUGCCAUUAAAAAUAGAUUGAUUGAGCCAAUAGCUGGAGCUGAAGACCAAGAUUGGUUCAAAUGCUUAAGUCACAAAUGGAAGGUAACAUCUUUGUCUUUGAUCCUCGAGGUAAAAUAUGGGCGGCACCAUACAGGUGGGGCACAACGGUGAUAGCCUGCAAGAAAAUUAAAUUUCGAAAGCAUAAUUUGGCUCCGAUUGAGGUAAUAAUUUUCUUUAAACUCAUUUAGUUUUAUAUCAAACAAAAUCAAGAAUGCCUUUCUCUUCAAUAUUUUUUAUGAUAAUAUCUUUAGAAGCAUCUCAUUGACGGGUAACAAUGGCAUCCCUGAAAGAGUCUAUAAACUCAAUGAUAUUAUCUUCUACAAAUGGUUCAUUAAACUUUGUCGUUGUACUCAAAUGUACACUCAGAGCAAUGAGAAGCUAUGCCACUUUAGCAUGUAGUGAUGGCACUUAAUAAGUGAGUUGCUAGGAUGUGAACUAGAAAAAUUAAAUAUUGUCUCCUUGGGUAUGCUAGCUCGUAAGUCAGGGUUAAUAUCAGAGCUUAAGAUAGUAUAACCGUGAGAACCUAUUGACUGCCAAUUAAAAUAUCCAUUAAAAUGUCUAGGGAGUUAUGAAGGUGGAGGUAACUUCCGAUUUCUAGGGCCACAUGGUAGACAUCAUCCAGGAUUCUAGGAAAGUGCAGUUAACUUCCUGCUCGAUGCAAUUAAUAAAUUUGGUCAAUGCCACUGAAACCUGCUAACUGACAUCACAAUGUGACAUGAGCACUUCAAAAUGGGACAGACGGUCAGUAGCACUAAUUUUUUCUUGGCUAGGAUUGAGCAAUUGGUCUAACUACUAAUCCCCUAUUGUAGGUUGAUCAUUAUUUUUUAAAUUAUGUUCAGUUUGACCCAAAAAGUUGCAGAAUCUUGAGCAGAAUUUUGUCACUGAACACUGUCAAUGUCAUUUAGCAUAGCCCACUAACUUGAUGUUAAAACAAACACACAGUGUGUCUCAUGUCUCACAAUUCAAAUUAUCAUCUGUAAUGAUGGAGAAUUUUUCCAAUGUAUGAAGUAUGCUUUGAUAUGUGGGUUACCUUGGAGAAGAUAUCUCAAAAUAAAGAAUAUGGGGAGAAAACAGUUCAGUAGUUUAUUAUUCUGUAGUCAAGUUUUGUCUCGAAAAUGGUCAAAAUUUAAAUGAAUAAGGACAGGGGAUCUUCAUUCUUUUUUCCCUUUUUUAUACCAAGAUAUCUCUCAACCUUUAUAUAAUCCCCACUGGAUAUCUGCUUCUAAUAAUUAAAAUAAAAAUUUCACCGCUCUAACAAUAAAAAGUAACAUCUUUAGUCAAAUAAUUUACAGUUCCUCAUCAUCUUAGUGUGAGACUAUCAGUACAUUCCAAAAACAUAAUAAAACUGGUUUGAUCCUGUUUAUUGAUGUUUAAAUGUUGUUCAUUGUGACAUGUAGAAAUGAUGAGGCGAAGUUUAUUUGGACAUCAAUUAGUAAGAUCUUGUUUGAAGUUGUUUUCUGAAAUUUCUGAAAUGAACUGCCAAAUGGUAGUUUUUUUGGGGCAUUUGAUGGCUCUUUUUUUUCCCUCAUUUUCAACAUGUGCCUGCUUGGAACAGGAAGGAUUAGGCUGCAGAGUUGUUAUAUAUUUUGAGAUGCUCUGGUCAUUGCACAAUUUGUUCACACUGGAAAUUAGAAUGAGAAAUUUGUUGAUGCUGUUUUGAGAGAUCUGCAUUCUAUGCACAAUAACAUGAUUAAUGAAAAUGCAUUGUAAGACUGGAAAGAUCUGUGGCAGCCUGAGCUCGCAGGAAGAAUUUCAAUGGUUAAUUCUCCCCGAGAGGUUAUUGGUUCAGUUUUGAAGUAUAGGGUAGCAUCAUACAAUUCAAAUGAUAUUGAUUCGCAAGUUGCUGGUGGGAAGAUUGCUGUUCAGCAGAAUCUGGCAUUACUGGCAAACCAGGUACUCUUACAGAAAUGAUAUCUGCUCAUUGCAUGUUAUUGCCUGACAACUGAUUUUGUUUGUAAAAGUCUGCUUCUUCAUACAGAUGAAUGCAUAUGUUAGUGUUUUCUUCUCCUUUUCAUACAUAUAAAUGCAUAUGUUAGUGUUGUCUUUUCUUUUUCAUACAUAUUAAUACAUAUGUUGGUGUUCUCUCCUGAGAUGGAUGCAAUAAAGGCUUUUGCUCCUAAAUUUAGCUGAAGAAAUGGCAAGGGAUGUGAGAUUCUGUCUCAUUAAAUUAACAAAAACCCAAAGCAAUGAAAAUCCAUAAUAAUGUGGUGUGGGUAAAUUGGCUCCAUUUGGUUUGUUUCCUUAAUGUGAAUGCGCGAGCAAUAGAGACUAACAAAAUGAAGUGACAACAAGAAGUCAGUGUCCUUUGAUGGAUGCAAUUUUAGGCAGAAAUCAGUGUCCUUUGAUGGAUGCAUUUUUAGGCAGAAAUAUGUUUGUAAUUGACCAAAUUUGUCUGGCAUGCCAAUUUCAAAAAAAUUAAAUUAUGUGGUUAUUAGCUGUAAUGAAGGAGGAUAGUAGGUGCAAUCAUGUGGAUCCAGGAAAGUUCGACAAAGUUUUGGUAUGGCGUAGUGAAAUUGGUUUGUGCAACUCAGGAGCCUUUCAGGUGAACGAUGAUAGGUUUUGAUUUAUGAAUAUUAUAAAUCUACUGUGCAUAGUAUUCUAGUAGAAUCAUCUACAAGUUCUAGUUAUUGAAAUUGUAUACUUUGCCCGGUUUGAGUUAAGGGCACAUGUAAUAUGAAAGAUAGUUGUCGCAUCUUUUAGGUUACCUAACAUUUGAUCAAUCCUAUUAUGGGGGCUUCAAGAUGUCUAACAAUAUGUAGAAUGCCCAUGCUCCUCCCCAUUGUUUAUCUUCUACAAUAAUUUGUUUUAAAUGCUAAUAUCUUUGUCGAUACCGGUAACAAUAUUACAAUAUCUGCAUUUAUUGGGUUUUACAUAGGUUCGACUGUUUGACAGUACACACUAUCUGAAGGCAUUUGCAAUUGGAGAUGUAUGGGUUGCUGUUGGGUGGAUUAGUGAUGUUCUUCCUACUGUCAAACAUAUGUCUAAUGUUGCUGUUGUUGUUCCCAAGUCUGGUGCUAGCUGCCUGCCAUUCUACUUCGAUAUUCACAUUGUUAUCUCCUUCAUAUUAGCGAUCAGUAAACACGAUAAUGUGGCUAAUAAGUUCGUAUUCUCUUUAUAGGCAAUCCCUGCUGCCUCAAGACUUGAAACAAAACAAAUUGGAGGGCGAGUCAGAGGUCCAUCUCCAUUAAUCCAUCAAUGAAUAGAAUUCUGCUUGCAAACAGCGAGAUUUUUGCCUUGCAAGCAAGAGGUUAUCCCGGGUGCAUCUCCCUCUGCCCUUGAAAGUACUCUGGUUAAGUUGCCUGAAGAACUUCUGGAGGGUAAACCAAGUCUGGAUACUAACUUAAUUGCUGGAGUACUCCCGGCUGAAAUUCUGGCCAGAUGUGAGUUUUUGGAGCCAUUAUCUGAAGCUACUUUGUCAGAUUAUGAGUGGCUGGUUGUUAAUCUGCAAAAACCUGCUCCUGUCUUGAUGAAAAGGGUGCAACAUUACUUGUCAUCAUUAAUCUAAAGCUUUCUAGCAAGAGCUACACUGAAAAGUUAAUGGCGCUGCAUGCCAGUCAUUAUAAUGCUGUCAGGGCAAUUGGGUCAGGGCAAUUAGGUCUGAGCAUAACUUCAUUAGGAAAAGAGGCUUCAGCUACGUUAAAUAUUACAGGAUGUACUGAGAUGGCUGAAGUUCUGAAGGUUUUAUGAGAAGCGAAAGAUGAGUGUUUGUUUGAACAAAGUUGUUGCCAAUCUUGCAGAGUUCGGAAAGAAAGAUCACGGAGCGAAUGCCACCGAUUUCUUCAUCAUUUUAGCCUCCAUAGUUGAAGUUUCCUCAUUUGAAGCUGUUUAUGCAUACGCUUUUUCCCUGCUCUAGUACAGGAAAUUGAAGAAUUAACCAGAUGUGAUAUGCUGAAAGAGGGAAGUUUUCUUCCUUGAAUGUGGCCUUUGUGAUUUGUCUUGAAGGAAUAGGAUGAUCACUGGCAAGAACCCUAUCAAGGUAGAUUUUAUGGUGUUAACAUAUUAUUAGGCAUUUUGUUACAUCAUGAAAGUGUUUAAAUUUAACCGAAUGAUCUUGAUUGAUCAAUUAUGAGUUUUAAUCGAGUAAAAACUAAAUACAAUAAUCGUUAACAAAUAUUGAAAUUGGGUAAAUAUGAUCUUGAUAUUGAAGAAUUUGAAAUCACAACCCACACAGGAAAUCACCCUUCGCGUGGGGAUGGAGAUGUUUACUGCAGCGAUAUUGAAUAUGUCCACUGCUCUUUGGGUUAUGGUGCGACUUGCGAUUUCAAGGUUGCCAUGAAACAAUGGAAAAGAUUAACAUACCCUCCAAUGAAUGAAAACGGGUGGACUAAUUCGGAUUACCUAAUUGACUCAGGAUCAAGAUCGGCUGGCAAUAAUAACAGUUUAUUAACAAUGCACAGUCCGAGUACCUUUCCAGGAUCAGAUACGACGUGGUCUAAUGUUGAUAAUAAUAGUUUAUUAAAUGACAAAUCGUUGUUCUUGGGUGUUGAUUUCAGAAAUAAAAUACAUUCUGAGAGAUGCUGGUCUACUAUUGCAAGCCCCCAGAUUUAAGAAUAUUUUGAUGAUAAUUUAUCACCGGCAACUGUGCCGGAAGAUUCAAGUAGCACUGAAAAAGAUGAUAAUUUAAUUGAUAUGGACAGUUUCCAUAUCACUUUUAAAUCAUCUUAUGUAAUUGUAAUGUUAGGAAGCAUUAGUGAUCUAAAAGUGAACUAUUAUUGGUGUCAUUGGUGGUUUUAUCUUGUUAAAAUAUGGAUGAUAUUUUAUUGUAGACAAUCUUAUUCAAUUAACAUAUGGUUUAAAACCAUUAUGUUUUAUAUAAAUCAAUCUACUAAUUUUCAUGAUAUUUAACUGAGUUAAAAUCAAGUGCACUCAAUAAAUGUCUUUUCCUUUAAAAAAACAGCUACGCUUUGAUUUUAGUGCUUAAUAUUUCGUAACUACAAAUUAUAUAAUUGCGAGUUGCUGUCCAUAGCUGCUAAUUUGUAGUGAUUAUCUAAUUGCCUGAGGUGACAAUAAUUCUUUUAUCUUCAAUAGCACAAUGUGGAAUUCAAUAAUUAAAUUCUCCUAUUUAAUUUGUUUCAAGUUAAAUUAUUAAUUACUUAAACUCUGUUUUAAGUCUUUAAUUUUAUGUGUUUAUGCAGAAUUGGAUUCUUGAGCGUGUUGGACAUGACCAACAAUGAAAUUGACAGUAAACAAACAUUACAACGUGUGGACUCCGGUAAGCACCAAUGAAUUUCUAGCCCUGUUGACUCCGCCAACUAAAGUUUUGUAAAAUAAAAAAAUAAUACAUAGAAUUCCACCAAAUGCAAAACGCGUGAAAUUUAAUUUUCGGCCGUGUGGACCAAAACAUAAUUUAACGAAAAAGGAAAAAAAUAAUAAGAUUUUUAAAAUGUGUGGAAGGUAAUCCAUAUUUUACUGAAACGACUUAUUAAAUUUUUCAAGGAUUUAGAAUAUUUGAUCAUAAAUUACGUGCAUGUUAAUUUUUCCGCCAUUGACUAUCAUAUUCUAGACUUAAUGGUACCUUUCUUGAUGAAGGGUACUUAGUCUCUCUUCUCCUCUUAUAAAAAUUAUAUUAAUUGAUUUCUUGUUAUAGUUAAUAGACUUUAAGAACGGAUAGAUUUAUUGUUUUCAUGACCAAAUUAUGCAUGCCUAAGGUUGCAACUAUUAAUAAAAUUAAUAUUUAAUGUUUAUGUUAAAAGAUAUAAGUUUUUAUGCAUUCAUUAAUUGUUAUUAGCUAAAGGAUGAAUUAUUUUUUCCCAAUCAGUUGAUGCAUCUGCAAUAGUUUUUUUUUUCUUUUAUUGACCAUAAUUAUAUUCCGGGUGCAAUAAAUUGUCUUUGGUGCUUGGAAAAUAUGACAUCUCUCCGUCAACUUACUGGAAAUAUCUCCUCAUCUACUCGCAUUUAUCUAAUAUCAAUUGAAGAUCUCAUAUUUCCAAACUAUGACUUCCAAAUCUCAUUAUCAUUUGAGCAUUCAAAACUAAUCAAGUGUGGAAAUAAUCAAAUAUAUGCAAAAAUCGAGUCACAAUCUUUGGCCCCUCAAAAUUCUAAUUAUAUAACUUCUAUAUAUCUCAUACAUUUUCCAAAUUCCUCUUCCAUCAACAUCACUAGGAGUAUGUUCAUCUCUCACACAUUAACUUGAGUGAAGAGUUUCUAAAUUGAUUGUUAGAAAAUAAUACAAAAGCUAGACACGCUUGAUCUGUCUAAUAAUUCUCUUUCUGUAAAAUUAAUUAAUUUUAGGGGAAUUUAGCCAACCUCUGUAAUUUCAGAGUGAUCAUUAAUUAAUUAAACAAUACAAAUAUCUAAAGUGAUUAGAUGUUUGCUGACAAUACAAGUUCAUGGCUUGAAAUUUGAUCUCUAUCGAUUGACUUACAGAUGGACGUACUUGUGCCUUUCUGGUGAUAAUUGAACCAGAGAUGUGAAGCUGUAAGGAUUUGGCAGUAGUAAAUUGUUAUAAAGACAUAAUGACAAAUUCCCAUGAUUAUUAUUUUUUCCAAAAACUUUUUUACAACAAAUUCAUCUCGCCAAAAAUUUUAUUUUGCUAACUAACAAUAAUUGAGCACUUGACCGCAUUGACUCCACGUCUCCACCUACUUUCUAAGUAAAAACAUGGAAAUGUAAUCUCUACAAAAUGCCAAACGUGUGGAAUUUAAUUUUUGGCCUUGUGGACCAAAAUGCAAAUGAAAGAAAAAGAGAGAAAAAAACAAGGCCCAAAGACUUCUAAAAGAUGUAAAAGCUUUGGGCUUUUUUAUAAUGGUGGAUUUUUUAAAAGGAAAAAAUAACAACACUUCUAUGGUUUGUUUUGAUAAUCACAUUUACAUAUACUCUCUAAUUUUCAAAAUAGACACAUAAAUAUUUUUUUUCUACAAAUGUAUAUUAUUCAUAUUUUUUUAUUAUUUUUAAUAUCAUAUUAUUAUUUAUUAUAAAUGUUUAAAGUAAAUUUUUAGGUUGAAAUAUAAUAAAAGGGGAUAAUCGUUCUCCUAUUAAACACCCAUACUUUUAGUUUCUAUCCAUUUGUCAUCUCAAUCUCUCUCGAUUAUUCAUUCUUUCUAGCUCAAAACGCGUUGCUGUGGAAAAUUAUAGCAAAAAGACAAAUAUGGAAAAGAAAAAAGGGAAGAAAAUUAAUGCAUGAAAGACUUGGAGAAAACAACGAAGUAAGUCAACUAUAAUCUAGUUAGGUAUAUAAAUUGUUUGAUGCUUUAUAAGCAAAUAACAUAUAGAGACAGACAGUGUGUGUUCGUUUUUUCAUAGUUAAAGAUAUAGUUAGAAUGGGUGGUUCAAAAUCAAAAAUGGUGAUAAUGUUUGUUAUGUUAUUAAUAAUAUUUAAAAGUGGGUGGAGUGAGGGAUGUUUGGAUCACGAGAGAUUUGCUCUUUUGCGACUUAAACAUUUCUUCGAUGAUACUGGUAGUUAUCUUUACGACUGGGCCGAUGAUGAGGGAGCUACUGAUUGUUGUCAGUGGGAAAGGGUUGAGUGCAGCAACACCACAGGUCGAGUGACAGCGCUAGACCUUUCUGACACGUAUUCGGGAGAGUACGGCUGGUAUCUGAAUGCUUCUUUGUUUACUUCCUUUCAACAACUUGAGUCACUUGAUUUUAGUUUAAACAAAAUAGCCGGUUGUGAUGAGAAUGAAGGUACUUCGUUUAAUUUAAUUAAUUUACUUUCACUCUCCUAAUUUAAGUGGAAUAUUAAGACUGAGCAACUAUAUGCAUAUACAUUAGUUGACAAUUUUGACAUAUUUUUUGAAGUGAUUAAUUAAUUUUGAAAUUACACCAAUAUCUAUGAUCUUUUUUUUUUUUUUAAUUUUGCUUGCAGGUCUAGAGAGGUUAUCAAGAUUGAACAAUUUAAAGAUGCUUAAUUUAAGUUAUAACUGGUUCAACAAUAGUAUCUUAUCAUCUUUAACUCGUCUUUCAUCAUUAAGAUCAUUAAAAUUAUAUGCGAAUAAUUUGGAAGGAAGUAUUGAUGUUAAAGGUACAUAUUUAAAACUUCUCUCUUCCCCAAGCUCUUUCAUUAACCUGCUAAAAUAAGAUUCAAGGCUUUGAAUUCAAUUUUUUUAUGAUUAAUAUUUUAAAAAAAAGUUUUAAGCAAUUUAUAAAUACAAGUUUUAAUGUUUCUCAUAAUUUCAUCUUGUACUUUCAUAUGUCUUGAAUUUAAGAUUAAAAAAAAAACUCUAAUAGCGAACCAAACACCUCCACAACUUAUUAUUAUUAUUUUUUAAUUUGUGGUGAGGUUUGAAACAUUCAAGUCAAUUUGUACUUAUUACAGAAUUUGAUUCUUUGAGAGAUUUAGAGGAGCUAGACAUUGGAUGGAACAUGAUUGACAAAUUUGUGGUCUCAAAAGGUACUACAAAUACCAUAAAAAAAUGCCAACUUUUACAAAUAAGCUGGAUUCUUUGCCAUUUGGUUUAUUAUUUUACAGGUUUGAGUAAGUUGAAGUCUCUCGGUUUAGCUGGUAUCAAACUCAACCGUAGCAUCUUAUCUUCUCUGACUGUCUUUUCUUCGUUAAGAGAAUUACAUCUACGUGAUACCGGAUUCAAAGGAACAUUCGAUGUUCGAGGUAAGUCUAAGCCUUGCUUUCUCAUUUUAUAUAUGCCAGCUAGAUUUGUGUAUCAUUGACAUAAUUUAAUAUUUAAUUUGAUUCGUCUGAAGGAAUUACAUGCUAAUUUAAACAUACUUUUAUUUACUUUGUCAAUUAAUUAAUUAAUUAAUUACUAUUUGGCUUGGUUUGGAUGAAAUUCUCAUGAUGUUUUAAUUUCUUUAAAUUAAUUAAUUAAUUAACUUUGUUUUUAAGUCUUAAGUCUGGGCAUGUUUGCAGAAUUUGAUUCCUUCAAUAACUUAGAAGUGUUGGACCUGAGUUGGAACGAAAUCGACAAUCUUGUGGUUCCUCAAGGUAAACAAUUAAAAUGUUAUUUAAUUACAUUAUUUUAAUUCAUUUGAUCUGGGAAGGCCAAAAAGGUAAAAAAAAAAUUAAAUAAAGAAACAGAGAAUUUGUAUUAUUUAAAAAACAGAAUGUAAUAAAGAUUUGAUUCUAGUUCUUUAAUCUUUAAAGCGAUUGAAAAACAAUGUUGCUCUUUUCCCAAAGCAUAAAAUACGAAUUGAAUGCCGAUUAACUUAAUCAUUCAUUUUGUUUAGCUCUAAAUUUAGACAAUGAAUUUUUAUAUUAUUUCAAAAACAGGACGUAAUAGAAUUUUUUUUAAAAACAGAUUGUAAUAAAGAUUUGAUUCCAAUUCUUUAAUCUUUACAGUGAUUGAAAAACGAUACUGCUUCCCAAAGCACAAAAUACGAAUUGACUCCCAAUUAAAUUAAUAAUUUAUUUCGUUUAGGUCUAAAUUUAGAAAAAUGAAUUUUGAUUCUCUUCAAUCCUUUCCUAAUUAUUAUUAAUAAACAGGUUACAAAGGUUUGAGGAAGUUGAAAAGCCUUGAUCUAUCGGGAGUUGGAAUUAGAGAUGGAAGCAAGUUGUUACAGUCAAUGGGAUCAUUCCCAUCCCUCAACACUCUUCACCUUUUGUUGAAUAAUUUUAACAAUAUAGCGACAGCUACUCAAGGUAAGUAAAAGUUGGAGAUGUGACCAAAUUUAUAAAUAAGCUGUUAAUUAAUUAAUUAAUUAAUUUUUCCGUAUUAUUAAUUAAGCUAAAUUCCUUGCUCCUUCCUUCUAAAUCUAAACAGAGUUGCACACUUUCACCAACUUGGAAUAUUUGACAUUGGACCAUUCCUCCCUCCAUAUAAGCCUUCUGCAAAGCAUUGCGUCAAUAUUCCCUUCGUUAAAAGAUUUGUCGAUGUUUGAUUGCAAAGUCAACGGUCUUGUACGCGGUCAAGGUAAAAGAAAAGUGUCGAUUGUGAACUCACUCAGUGUUGUCCUACGUGUUCAACAUUUUUAUUUAUUUAUUUUAUUGUUUAAUGUUUCUGCUAGGUUUUCCUCAUUUCAAGAGUUUGGACCAUUUGGACAUGGUUUUCGCGCGCACUGCACUCAACACCAGCUUUCUUCAAAUCAUCCGUGAAUCAAUGCCUUCUCUUAAGUACUUAUCAAUGUCAGAUUCUACUCUUGGCACUAACAGCAGCAGGAUUCUUGAUCAAGGUUAAUAAUAUAAAUAUUUAAUUACACAAACGAAUCACUUAUUAUAAAAGAAUAAUACGCAUUCAUUAAUUUUUAUGUUGUAUUAAUUGAUGAAUUUAAUAAAAUUUCAGGCCUCUGUUCGUUGAUGCAUCUGCAAGAGUUGUACAUCGAUAAUAAUGAUUUGAGAGGUAGCUUGCCUUGGUGCUUGGCAAAUAUGACAUCCCUCCGAAUAUUAGAUGUUUCUUCCAAUCAACUUACUGGAAGCAUCUCCUCAUCUCCCCUCGUUCAUUUGACAUCCAUUGAAGAACUGAUGCUUUCAAACAAUCACUUCCAGAUCCCAAUUUCACUUGAACCACUUUUCAAUCACUCAAGACUCAAGAUUUUCGAUGCUGCGAACAACGAAAUAAAAGCUGAAAUAACUGAGUCACAUUCUUUGACCGCCCCAAACUUCCAAUUACAAGCUCUCUCAUUGUCUUCCGGUUAUGGAGAUGGUGUCACAUUCCCCAAAUUCCUUUACCAUCAACAUGACCUGGAGGAUGUUCGUCUCUCACACGUAAAUAUGGAUGGAGAAUUUCCAAACUGGUUGUUGGAAAACAACACAAAAUUGAGACAACUUUAUCUCGUCAAUGAUUCUCUUACAGGACCUUUCCGAUUGCCAAUCCAUUCACACAGAUGGUUAAGAUUCUUGGAUGUCUCCAACAACAACUUCCAAGGCCACAUUCCAGUGGAAAUUGGAGAUAUUUUACCAAGUUUAAUAUCCUUCAACAUUUCAAUGAAUGCUUUAGAUAGUAGCAUUCCCUCUUCAUUUGGUAAUAUGAAAUUCCUCCAAAUUCUGGACUUAUCCAACAAUCACUUGACUGGUGAAAUCCCCGAGCACUUGGCCGUGGGUUGCGUCAACUUGCAGGCUCUUGCAUUAUCAAACAACAACUUAAAAGGUCAUAUGUUCUCCAGAAACUUUAACCUGACAAACUUGAGAUCAUUACAAUUGGAAGGCAAUCACUCGUAGGUGAGAUCCCACAAAGUUUGUCUAAAUGCUCCUCACUAGAAGGAUUGUAUAUUAACAAUAAUAGUCUUUCGGGUAAGAUUCCACGAUGGUUGGGUAAUCUCACAUGGUUACAAUAUAUUAUAAUGCCCAAUAAUCAUCUUGAAGGCCUUAUUCCAGUGGAGUUUUGUCAGCUUGAUUCGCUUCAGAUUUUGGACAUUUCAGACAACAACAUAUCUGGAAGUUUACCAUCUUGUUUCCAUCCUCUCUCUAUUGAACAAGUUCAUCUUUCAAAAAAUAUGUUACAUGGACAGCUAAAAAGAGGUACAUUCUUUCAUUGCUCUUCCCUGGUGACAUUAGAUCUCAGCUAUAACCGUUUGAAUGGCAGCAUUCCGAAUUGGGUUGAUGGGCUUUCUUAGUUAAGCCACCUUAUCUUAGGUCACAAUAAUCUUGAAGGUGAAGUGCCAGUUCAAUUGUGCGAACUGAACCGAUUGCAAUUGUUAGAUCUUUCUAAUAAUAAUCUUCACGGUCCUAUUCCUCCUUGCUUUGAUAACACCACACUUCAUGAAAGUUACAGCAAUAGUUAUAGUCUUGAUGAGCAAUUUGAAAUAUUUGUUUCCAUCGAAGGCUCUUGGGGAUCGGUAGAAAAGUAAAUCCAUGAAAUUUUUGAGUUCACAAUAAAGAACAUUGCGUACAUUUACCAAGGAAAAGUUCUUAGCCUCCUAUCAGGACUUGAUCUUUCUUGCAACAAGCUAAUCGGUCAUAUUCCUCCUCAAAUUGGAAAUUUGACAAGGAUUCAAACAUUGAAUCUAUCACACAACAACUUGACAGGAUUGAUCCCAUCAACAUUUUCAAACUUGAAGCAUAUCGAAAGUUUGGAUCUUUCCUACAACAAAUUGAAUGGGAAAAUCCCUCAUCAACUUGUGGAGUUAAAGACAUUGGAGGUUUUCAGUGUGGCAUACAAUAACUUAUCAGGCGAAAUUCCAGAAUGGACAGCACAAUUUGCAACCUUCAAUGAGAGUAGCUAUGAGGGAAAUACUUUUCUUUGUGGAUUGCCAUUGCCAAUUUGUAGAUCACCAGCAACUAUGUCGGAGGCUUCAAUUGGCAAUGAACGAGAUGAUAAUUUAAUUGACAUAGACAGUUUCUUUAUCACAUUUACAACAUCGUACGUAGUUGUGAUAUUCGGAAUUGUUAUUGUUUUAUAUGUAAAUUCUUAUUGGCGACGUAAAUGGUUUUACUUUGUUGAAAUGUGGAUAACUUCAUGUUACUAUUUUGUUGUAGACAAUCUUAUUCCAACAAGAUUUUGUCAUUAAAAUUAAUUAGUAGUUUAAUUACGAUUCUUUAAGUUCUAAUCAAGUUUGCUUAGGAAAUAAAUUUAUUUUUAUUUUUUAUUAAAAUUGUAGUAGUAUUUAGCGUUACAUAGCUUCCAACUUCCAAGCACUUCACAUUUGUCUCUACACUUCCAAACCCAUAUCUAUCCACCAUAACUUAUACUUCCCUAUACUGUGCAGCCUACUUAAAUAAGAGAACCAUCUCCAAUGUUAAAACCAGCCACUCUAUAACAUUCAUUUAGAAACUAUAUUUAGAAUAGUUUUAUUAUCAUACACAAGAAAUGAAACACCUAGAUGCACUUGAUCGCCUAUUUUACUUUAAAAAACAAUAAUUAUCGUGCUAUCAUCAUCUUCUUCACUAGCAACAUUAACACCAAAUCCAGCGAUGGACCCAGACAUUUAAUCAAGAAAGGUAUAUAUAUAACAAAGUUGAAGCUUGACAAAAAAUUCAGGAAGAUUAAUGCCUCGGUAUAUAUAUAUAAUAAAGUUGAAGCUUGACAAAAAAUUCAGGAAGAUUAAUGCCUCGCCACAACAAGGGGCACAACAACAUCAAAGUAGAGAUGAAGCAAUAUUCUCAAAGCUAAAACUCUCAAAUCCACCCACCAGAAUUUCAUAUCUCCUCGACAAUUUUAAGAACUAAAGAUAAUUAGGAUUUAACAUUAGUUUUUUAUAUAUUAGUUUCAUAAUUUACAAAUCAAUGAAGAUGAAGAUUAUGCUAAUGAAUUCAAAUUAUACCAUACAUUCUAUAGAUGUUACCAAAAAUUUCUAAGUCAAUCCCACAUAUUUCAUAAUUUUAAGACUAGAAAAUUUCAUUAGUUAGAAGUUUCAUUACCUUCAAGUGGAAGAUGAAGAACAUUAUACAAGUGAUUCAGAUUAUAUCAUACAUACUCCAAAUGCAACUAGAAAUUAACAAGUUCAUGCGCACAGAUUUCAUAACAUUAUGAUUGGAAAGUUUCACAAAGAGAAAUUCUAAAUUCAAUCUCUUGCAUCAAGGUAGUUUGAUUGAUUUGAGUUACUUUCUGAUCAAGCUACUAAUAUAACAUUCAAGUUAGGGAGAAAGUAAAUUAAAACUGGGAAGAAAUAACAGUAAAAAUUUGUUGCUAAACAUGAUGUGUAUUUUUUUUAAGGCAAUUUGGAAACACAGUUGUUACUACAGAUAUUCUCCUCAACUUGGAGACAAAUACAAAUAUUAAAAUGCAUAUGAUCGCACAUACUACUUGGAGCUUAGUAAGAUUUCAUUAAAAGAAGCAAUCAAACCACUUAUCAAUUGUCGCAAUCGUUCUAUAAACUAAAAUAGCAAUAUAAUACAAGAAAAAGAACAUAUAGAUACUCGGCAAGAGUUCAUUAAGAAGUCGCAUCACAUUAGGGUGAGGAGUUUGCUUCUGAUAUCUUGCUAGCUGGGGCUUUUUCUUGUCUUUCUACGUAUGCCGAGGGAAACCAACCAGCUAGGCCCUUGCAUUCACCUUCCGACCAUCCAGUAGGAGCCACCUUGAGAAGUUAUAACUAAAACGGUGAAUUAAAAAAAAGUUGACAAUUCAAAGACCUAAGGGGAAAACUAAUUCUUUUACGUAGAGGAAGUGAACUAGUUGUGAUCACUGAAAUAAAAAAAUAACUAUGGAAGCAUAACAAGAUAUAAAUUCACAUGUCUAUAAGGGUAAACAGGGUGGUUUAGAACUGAGCUAGCAACCCUACUAUAUUCUGAUUUGCACUUCAAUGUAAAAGGGAAUAUAUGGUAGGAAGAAAAAAAACCAACCAUCAUUUGUUAACUUAUUGCUUUUCAAUCAAAAUUUUAAGAACAAAAUGCCAUGUGCUUUGAACAUCAAAUAAGUAUAAGCAUUAGUUCUAAAUUCCACAUAUUAUAAGUUGUUAGAAGGAUAAGUUAAUAGCAUAGUAGAAAAAUCUAUGUGUUGGUAUUUAGAGGGGAAAGUACCUGGCGAACCACAACAUAAUCAUCAAUUGAAAGACUUAGCUCUCCAUUUGCUUGAUCAUCAAAUGGAUGUAUAACCUGCAAGAUAAUGGGAUAAAUAGAACUUAAAAAAAGCAUAACAAAAGCAGCAACAGCAGCAGCAGCAUUCAUUGUAACCACUAUGAUCAUGGCCAACAAAGAUAUAUUAGAAACAAAAUUCCAUUUUUACUACGACUUUAAUAUGUACUAUACGAUAUCAUGACGAUUGGGUUAUCAAGUGCUAUCAAAGUCUAAUAAGUUCUGUAUAACUUUAUAUAGUUAUUUUAAUUAUGGAUCAAAUUUUAAAUUUGAAAUUUUGACUGCUCUCCACAAAAUAUGGCCUAUGCACAAGAAAGUCAUAGAUAAUGAGGAUUACAAGUGUCCGACAUCUUUUGAGUGAUGGAUUUAACAUGAGAGCUUAUGGUCAGUCAAUUUCCUCUGCCUAGCAAUAUAAGCUUUCUCGGCCAGAUUUAUCAUCAAAUACAUAGAUUGCCCCCAAGUCACAUCCAUAUAAACAUAGUUUUCUAGGUAAACCAAGUAAGGAGAAUCAUAAUUUAGACAUAAUCAUAAAAAGGCCCAUCUAACUUAAGAGAAAAUCUCAAAAAGAGGGAUGUUGAGCUAUCAGUCUUGUAUCUAUAAGCAAUAUCAAGACUUUACAUCACCUGCUACAUCGUGAGUGGCUACACAACUUUCAGUGGUUUGUCUUUCUUUGGCAUGCCUAACUCAGCUUUGAUGUUGCUGAGAUAUUGAUAGUAGAGACACAUGAUACUUCUAGCUCAUGCAUUUUAUCUAGCUCAUCCGACAACUAUUUCUUUUUUAAUUCAUUAGUGUUUGCUAAACCUCAUGCUCAAAAGUCCUGUUCUCCUAAACAAAGUUUCCUAAGAAUGACUUCCUCAACACAACAUUUGGACACUUUUAGAGCAAUUUUAUUUGGAGGAAAAGAAUUUUCAAGGUGUUAACUAAUAAAUUUUAAAAUAUAAUUACAAUUUGUCCUACGAUCAUAUGACAAUUUAUUUGGGAUGAAAGGAUACAGACAGACAUCUUCCACUUUCAAGACUAAUCACUACUUCCGUAGAUGUUGUGCAAUGAUACAAAUACUUGACCAGAUGGUAGUGAUGGUAGAAAAAAAUUUAUUGCUCCAAAAUUAAAAUAAGAAUGCAAUAUGUUAAGCAAAAGACUGUGCAACAUCAAAUUAAUUGAUGAGUUUGUAAUUCAGUAAAUUAACAACUUUCAUGGUAAAAUACAACAAGUUUCUUUUAAAAAAAAUAAAUCUUAAAAGACAGCAUUCAUUUUUGUGCGCAUGUUAUUUCUUAAGAUUUUUCAGGAGGAGGGCAAUAGAGGGACUUUCACCUAUGCAAGAGAGCAGAAGCCUUACUUUUGCUAUAAAGUAGACGUCAUUCUGAUUAAUAUGCGUUUGAAUCAGCUCCGUUUGCUAUAAAGUAGACGUCACACAUGAGGCAUUUACAUCCAUUUCCAAAGUCACAUGUUGCGAGGAGGACUCAUUUGAUUGCUCCUCUAGGAUCAUCUAAUGCAAGUAGUAAGGGUUGGAAGAAAAUAAAAAGUCACAAUUAUUCUUUUGCGUAAGUGAGACGAAAAUGAUAAAUGCAAUAUUAUCAGCAGUAAACAAGAAGAGAACGCUCCAAGGAAUAGAUAGAUGCAGACAAGCAAGUUAAAAUGCAUAGUCCCAAACCUCCGCAUACAACUUCUCUAAAAUAGCAAUAACGUGUUGAUGAUAUGUUUUCUCAGCAUCUACCUGCAAAGGCCCGAGACCAGGAAAACGGCAAUAAAACCACUAGCUAAAGGAGAAAGUAAAGAAAGAAAUACACUUGACAUAAAUCUUGACAAGAAGCACAGUUUAAACCCCAAUCAUAUUGUUUAGAACUACCAUUCGUUAUUGUAACAUUUCGAACAAGUGUUGACUUAAUUCAACAUUGUUGGAAAGAUAGGCUUUUAAAAGCGGAAGAAAGCCACUCAAACCAAAGUGAUUGUCCUUGUAUUGAUCAAGGGAUGUAAACAUAUUACAUUUGCAGGAUAAGUUUUAAUUAAUCACUCCCCUGAUUUAUUUGGGUUGCAGUUUAAUUUGUGAAUUUCGUUAUUGUAACAUUUCGAACAAGUGUUGACUUAAUUCAACAUUGAAAAAUUAUUCAAUAAAUUAUGCAAACAUUAAAAUAGAGGACAUAUUAAAAAGUUUCUAAUUACAAUGUUAAUAUUUCCUAUAUUUUAGCAUUUGCAUAUUUUAAUUUAUUUAAAAGCUACGUCGAUCAACUUUGGGCGUGAAGAUUUUAGCUUCUACGAGACUUGAUUGGAAUAUGCAUAAGGAAGAGUGUUAAAAUAUGAUGCAUCCAACGAAAGACAAACCACGUGUAGUCUUUUAAUUAAGCCAAAGUAGCAGCUCAAACAAAUGACACUUGGACCAACAUGCAAUCAUGAAGUGGCCGGAAAAAGGACAAAUGCAACUUUGGCUUAAAUAAAAAAUAACAUGUGACUUGACUUUUGCUGGACAUGCAUCAUGUUAUUACAAGACAACAGAAAUCAGUAUGAUAGUACUAAAAGUUGACAAUAACAUGAAGAUAAGAGGCAGAAUAUCAACACAUGCAUAGGCACACACAAGGAAGUAUUAACUUAUAUACCAUAGCAAAAAGUCUUUGAUAUGUCAUCUGUUGCUGCUGUGAUUCAACUGACAGCAUGGCAGUUGUCGCUUCUCUACCAAGAGCCAUUAUUGUAGAUUUAAGCUCGGUCAAUCUUGCUUCUGCAUUUCGAAGCUUCACAGCACUCUCUGCUGAUAUAUCAGAUUCCCUAAUCUUUGAUCGGCGCCUAAAUACUUCAGCUGCCUGGUGAAAAUAUUCAAUAUAAAUCUAACAUAAUUCUAAUCUUGCCUUAUACAUGCAUAUGUUAACUCAAAGCUUACCUGGGCUUCAACUUCAUGUCGAAGUUUGUCAUAACGAUGAGUCAGGUGUCGAGCAUCUUCCAAAGGUGCUCCGUUGAUUAACGCCCGUAGUGGCUCAGAUACCUACAUGUCCAAAAACCUGUAACAUAGUUAGAAAAAUGAAAAGAAAGAGCGAAACCUCAAUUAAAAAGUUCCUCCAACAUAAUCAUGGAAUUUGGGCCUACUUCAAGGACAUAUAUAAGGAUAAUUUAUGCAAUUUUGGGUCUUAGGAUGAUUGGCAUUAGGUUAGUGUUCUUCUCUUCUGUAUUUAAGGUUAAAAUAGAAAUAAACCUAUGAAAAUAUCUAAAUUAGGGCUGUAAGACUUCCACAUGCAUCCUUCAGUCUCAUGGAUUUGAUUUUACUAUAGAUGCAAGUGUCUUUAUCGAAAAUGCUUGGAGUCAAUUGAGAGAACUCACGGCCAAUAACUUGUCACACGCUAGUCUUUGCUAGUGAUGUAAGAAGUCACAAGGUCUCUUCAACAUUUGAACCCAUAAAAUUAUUAAGUCAUGGAUGUCACUAGCAAUGAUUUUAAUAUAAAACAUUAAAUAUUUCAGAGUUGUAACGUUAAAAUUCUUUUAUUCAAUAUCUUAGAACUAAGUUUCCUUAUGAGAAGAUAAUAGUUUCAGUAGUAAUUUACAUAUAAUUUUCUAUAUUUGAAUUAUUUUCUAGUUAGGGAUGAACUAACCUGAUCACCAAGAAUCCCAAGCAAAGUUUCCCUCUCAUUUUCCAUCAAAUCAUGUGAAGUGCCAAAUUGAAGAGCAGCUCUUGCAACGCAAGAAUUGUCACUUUGAUUCUCCGCUCCAUACUUGCAACAAUCUUCAGCCAACUUUCUCGCUACAAUAUUUGAAUACAAAAAUAUUGUGCACAAGAACUAGUCAAGAAAAAAAAAAUCAAAUAUUAUAACGAAUGCAAGAGCAAACAAACAACCUAUUUCCAUUUGUUUCAAGCUUACUGCAACAAGCCCUUCAAUGCCACGAACAAUAUUCCUCUGAAAAUGCUGCGCUACAGAGCAUAUAUUCCAAAUUAUUGUUCAGAUAAAACCAUAGAAACCAUCAUAAUUAUUCAACAUACAUUAAGCUCCGUUUGGUAAAUACUUGCAACUUCAGUCUAGAGAAUACAGUUCUAUAUAUGUAGCAGUCUAAAGGAGGAUGGUGCCUUAGCUGCCCUGGUGGAAUUGUAUAGAUUUUGAAGUUGUUGGUGACACUCAAUUUCAGCUUCAUCAACUGCCUGUACAAAUCAUAAAAAACUAAUGAAAAAAAUAAAUAAAAUCGAGAAAUUUCACUAAUUAAAAGUCUAAAUAUAAUUUUAAAAAAGAAAGAAACGCACUUGGUGCUGCUUGGCGACUUGUUCUCGGAGCUUGAUUGCCUGUUUCUUGAUAGCUUCCAUACUGUUUCUUUCAAAAAGCGGCGACGGCUCAGCUCAUGGAAGUUGGGGAAAAAAAAAAGUGUGAUCAAGAAAAUAAAAAGGCAUAUUAUUGUUGACAAAAUGUGAAAAUAAAAAAGAAAAAAGAAAAUUAUAAGUUUGAAAGGAGAAGAUGAUAGUGGAAGAGUGCGGCGUGGCUGCCAGCUACUUGGAUUGUAUUGUCGGGUAAGGUAAUUGUAGAAAAUUAUAAGUUUGAACAGAGCAUGUUAGACUUUUGUUGACCAAAUUCAAAAGGCAAAUGGUACGGCCCAGAAGCUUUGGAAUACAGUAACUUACAAGAAAGCUCCAUUUAUUCUUCUUAUACUUUACGCUUGCAUCAGCUUAAAUCACUUCUUAAUCGCUUGCUUUAACUGCGCCGCUUUGUACUGUUCUAUAUAUGUAGCAGUUAUGCGGAUGUAGUUCACGGCUGAGGGUACGUGUUUGUUUGACGUGGUAGUUACGUUACGACGUUACGAGAGUAUUAUUAGUUAUUUCACAGGGAUAAAUAAGAUUAGUCACAAUAAACCCACUAGUUUUAUAAAAUUCGAGUAAUAUAGAAUAAAAUAAAAAAUGAAUACAAAAUUGACUUUUAUUUUUUAUGGUUGACUAUAUUUUGUGUUCUCUUCUGGUACUACUACAAUUGUUCCCUGUAUAUCACUCAUACCCAUAUAUCAUUGACACAAGAAAUGAAAUCUAAUGUCAGAUGUUUAGUUAAAGAAUCACUUAUGAAAAAAUUUUACCAUUUUGAUUUGAGGAUCCCUAUUUUGAACUGCAAGCUAAUGUUCAUCAAGAACAGAGUAUGGCAGUUGAGUAGAAAAACUAUUUUUGGACAAAUUGUUUUUAUUGAUAGAAGAAUUUCUCAAGGGACUACUAAAAUUAUUAAAAAAAAAUGUCAAACACGCCCAUAUAUCAUCAACACAAUUGGUUUUGAGAAUCCAUACUUUAAACUGCCGCCUAAUAUUCAUCAAGAGCAGAGCAUGGCUUGUGAGUAGAAAAUUUUCUGAUUUUGGCCCCAAAUAAUCCAGCACUUUCUCAUGAAGAAAUGCAUACAAAGCAUACCAUGGUACCAUACAAUACAAGGAGUCUCCGUUCUCUAGUUUUUCAAACUCUAAAGGGGCCAAUACUCCCUAAUUCCCCCUCGAAAAUUCUGAUUAUGACAUUAUUCAUCCCUCGAUGCAAUCAAAGUAGUGACAAAGUUAGGAAAAAUAUGAGUCCUAAGUAAUUGCUAGGCAGGGCUCCUGUGAGCAAAAUUGUCCUAAGCAUUAUAUGCAUACAUGGUGUGGUACAUAAAGCACAAUGAAUUCCACACUAUAACACAAACCCAGAAAGAGAAGAAACAACUUAAUUGAUGUAAAGACAAAAAGAAGAUAAAAUGAUAUAGAAAAAAAAAUUCAAAGAGAUAGCAACAUACUAUAGACUGAAGCCACUUGAUCUGCUCAUUGAUUGCAGCCUUAAACUUGCAAAUAGUUACCGUAAGCUAGUGCUAUAAGAAGUGAAAAUGAUGCACACCCUGAUUCCCUUCGACUUCCAUUUACUGUCAAACAUUCUAUUAAUACAAAAAAAUUGUUCAAAUAUCUUGCCAUAAAUAUAGCCGUUUGACUGGCUUAAUAAAGUCACAAAUAACCAUUCAUAUUGAUCCACAGUGUCACACCGCCUGCUUUAUGCAUACAACAGCUGUAUGUAUACCAACUCCUAACCUUAUCAAUACAUUUGGCAAAAACUUAAGAAGAAAACUAUUUCUCCAUCUCUUUUUUGAAAUUUCACAAUAAACCAGCAUAUUGUAAACGUUAUGUUGUAACCUUAUGAUAAAUGCUCUAGACUCCAAAUGAAUUUUAUAUAUGAGGGUUUGUUGCAGCAGAUAUAUUGACUUAUCAAGUAUGAAUCAUUGUCUAGAAGAACUAUCUUUAGAUAAAAGAAUAUUAGAACCAUUCUAGAAUAUCUUUAGGUUGCUAGUUCUAACAGGAAUCUGCAUGUGGCAACAGUUGCCAGAUCCACAAUUCCCCAACUUGAAAUACAUAGUUGCACACCGUGAGAUAGUGCUGCAAUCUACUGAGAUCUAACUUAUAUGAUACUUUAAGCUACUAAUGUUUGCAUAUUUCUACAUGUUAAAUUGACACUACCAUCUAUAAUCACUCUAAAACGACAGAUGAUAAGCAGCUUUUGGCUACUUAUUACUAGCAUCCACAAUUAAUUUUUGUUCAGCAAUCAGCUUAUUUUAUAGAAAUUGAUUUAGUCAGCAACAAACACUAUAAUCCUUGAAAUUAGUUCUUGUUCUUUGUAAUUUUCUAUGAUUUUUCAUACAUCAAUUAAUCUGCAGUGCCAAGAUGAGGUUUGGUUUUUCAAACUAAAUAAUCAAGUAGCAAAAAUACAAAUUUAGAGAUUAGGGGGUGAACUAGCUAGGUGGUUUACAAAUAUUCCUAUUUGUAAGGUGAAUUAAUUGAAUCAUGAGAAAACAAUGUGACCAUAGCUCAAUAUGAGAUGAUUUCGGAGAGGCAUAUUGUUUUCAAGUGAAUUUGAUCCAUUAAGAGAUGAAGUGGAUUGAAGUGGAAAGUUUAAAUAACAAAUCCUUGUUCUUGAGUUUUACGACGUUGUUACUCCUUCAGGUGGCAGAUUAUGCAAGUGAAUUCAAAAACACAAUGCAUCAAUCACGGGGAUGCUACACCAAAAGACGGGAUCAUAGUCUAUGCAUUGAACAGUUACAGUUGCUGCUACCAAUUGACUCGGCAAAGAUCAAGAAGACUGAACGGGAAGUUAAUGCCAUCAAUGUCGUCUUCACUAUAGCUGCUGGGAAUGUAGGUGAACUUUCCUCAUUUGCGGCUGUCUAUACAUAGGCUUUUCCCCAGCUUAAGUACAAAUAAAUGAACCUGCUUUGAAGGCUUUAUUAUUGACCACAAUAAGGAUUACUAAUUGAAGAAGACUAUACGGAGUUAAUCCCACACUUUCGUUCUCUCAAUUUCUUUCAGAAGUGCCUCUGAAAAUAGCUGCCAAACCGUUAGUCAGCUUGUUAGACUCUGUUUUCUGGAAACAGAGCCCUAACUAACUGACUGUACAGAGUAAGUCAACAUAGCAUAUUUAAUCGUUUUAAUUGAAUUGUCUUCGUAGCGAUCAUCAACAAACUCAUCAUGAGAUUUUUGAAGCACCCAAGGACUAUCACUGGGUUUCUCUUCUGGUUGAUUAAUUAAUUAAUCAAAGAACGGUUGGAUACCCAAGGACAAUUAAAAUUAUUCGACUUCUGGAACUGGGAAUGAAGUGCAAUGAUGGAGCAAAAUUUACAAUGUCUCCGGUUUCUCCUACCAUCGGACUUUUGCAGUGAGAACAUAUAACAAAAAGGCCUUCAUCAAAAUUUGUAGACUCCGGGUAUGGAUUGGAUCGAUUUUUUUGUUUGAUAUUGAAGAACCUCUUUACUAUCGCGAUAUAGAUUAUGUGCAAGGAGUUGUCUACUGUUCUUUGCCUUGUGCUAUGAUCGGUGCUCUUGAGGCUGCCCUGAAACACAGGAAAAUACUUCGAUAUCCUCCGUUCGAUGAUGCAAAGAACCGGUUAAUGUAUGAUUACCUAAUUGACUCAGGAUCAGGUAACAACAACAACAAUUUAUUAAUAUCACAAACGAAGAAGAUCGCGGAGAGGGAGAUGUAUGCCUAUACUGUUUACAGGUUUGAUCCAUUGGGGAUGAAGUGGUCUCAAGUCGAAAGUGAUUUAUUAAACAACAAAUCAUUGUUCUUGGGUUAUACCUCAUGAUGUCAUCAAGUGGAAGAUUAAGAUUAUGCAAGACGAAGAUCGUUUGAUAUUGAAGAAUUUGAACAGAAAGCCCAUAGAAAGUACUUAAAAAAGCAUAUUCUUGUUGGGGUAGAAUAUUGAGAAAGGAGUUGUCUACUGUGUGUUGCGUGAUUAUGCUAUGAUCUGUGCUUUGAACAUUGCCCUGAAAACAGUGGAAAAUACUUCAUAUCCUCGACAUGAUGAUAAAAAAUUGGUUACCGAUUACGUAACUGACUCAGGUGACAACAAUCCAUUAAUAGCACAAUUUGAGGUGAUGCCGUUUAGGUAUAUGGUUAACAGGUUUGAUUCAUCAAUGAUGAAGUGGGCUUAAAUUAAAAGAUCAUAUAAUAAGUCGUUCUUCUUGGGCAUAUCGUCAUUACUACUUCAAGUGAUCAAAGAUGAAGAUGAAGAUGAAAAUUGUGCAAGUGAGUUCAAGAAUACCAUACAUCGUUACUUGGGAUACUUCUUCAAAUAUGGAUGGGGUCAUAAUUUACUCCCACGAAUUUCAACCCAAUUUUAUGAUUGGAGUGUCCCACCAUGACUCAGAAAAAUUUUGAUUCAACCUCCUCCACCAAUGGAUUUUGAUUAGUCACUUUGUGAUCAAGCAACUUAAUUAAACUCAGAGAGUCAGAGUUCGAUUUUGCUGGCACCGCAUUUUCUUUAAAAUGUGGCCAUGUAAGGAGAGCGGCACAUAAUGUCACUUCCUUAUCAAGCACUUUAAAGAGGGAUUUUAGAAGAAGAUACAACUGCAAUUGUUUUCGUAUGUAUAUAUAUAAACAACAGCACACAUUCAGUUCAUAAAAGAAAUUUUUGCUAACCAUGAUAUGUGGUAGUGCUUUUUAGGCAAUUUAGAAACAGAGUUGUUCAACUUACAGCAGGUAUUCUCCUCAAGUUCGACGUAAAUACAAAUAUUAAUUAGAAUCCAUAUUAUAAUGACACACAUAACUUGCUUCAAAAUUAUCAGAAAUUAAAAUUGCUGAUUCAUAAUGCAGAUAACUUGGAUGAAUUGAUGUUAAAGGAAAAAUCACAGGCAUAACUUGGAGAGCAAUUGCGACAGCAGCCAAGUAUAUAUUUUUAUUUGAGAGUUGAGAAGAAUAUAUUUAAUGAAGCUUGAUAACAUUUGAUGGGAUAGCAAGUAAGGGUAAAUAAGAUAUUUUUAUUUGUUAUUUAUUUGAAUUAUAUCUAUUUUGUUCAAGUUAAAAUACUAAAUAUAAAUUGGAGGUAGACAUUUUAACAGAUCAUCUAAGCUCUCAAAUCUGAAAUUUUGUGUAGAUUUAAAUUCAUAAUUUUAGUUAAUUUUCAUUCAUUCAUAUAAACAAAUUUAUGAGAUUUUUCUUUUCAGCAUGUUAUAUUUUGAAACUUUCAAUGUAUUAUUCUAGCUUUAUUUAAACAAUUAAUUUAUUUAAUUUUGAAUUUGAUCAGUAGUAAAAUUAUUUUUAUAUCAAAUUUUUUUUAUUUAAAUAGUUCGUGGAUUGGACAAAAUUAAAAAAUUUUAAUCUACAAAAUGGUGGAUUAGAUAUGAAUUGGGUUAAAUCCACAUUCGAUUUGCAGUCGUAUGAAUUUGAUUUGGAUUGAAUUUCAUCAAUCCAUGGAUUAGAUUGGAUUGAAAAUUUAUUAUCCGCAAAAUCGUGGAUCGAAUAUGGACUGAUGUCCAAUCAGCAAAAUCCGAUCCCCGAACACGCCUCUAUCAAAAUUUUCAAGAAUAUGUUUUAUCUUACAAAUUUUUUUUUAAAGUCAUAAUCUAAUGGCAGCCCAAUUUUAUAAAGUCACACACAACCAUUCUUAUUAAAUUAGAAAGAUCAAACACUGCACUGGAUCUUGAACAGAUCAACACAAGUUGCACAACUUGCGAUUGAAUCCGGCCUGAAACAAUCAACUCUUUAGCAAGAACAAUUAAUCAGAGUCAAGAAACAAGUUUAAUGAAUAUAAACCUAUAAUUGAAACAAACAUAGCAAAGAAAAAAAAUACAGAUUUUACACGGUUCAGUUGUACCUAGGAUGGCACAACCUACACCACGAGAGAAGCUUUCUGGUGAGAUUUUAUUGAUGAUCAAAGAAGAAUCUUUUGACAAAGCUAAUAAUAGAGAUUUCAGAGAAUAAGCUAUAACCUCUCUCCCUCUUCAAUCUCUCUCUAUUUUGUUCCCAUUGAUGACCCCAAUCUGCUUAGUUAGCCAGCUUUAUAGCUGCAUCAGUAACAAACCAGCAAACCCAGAUUGAGCAGAUUGACGACACGUGGAUAACGGCUUUAACGAACCUGGUUAAGAACUGCUCACAUGUUCGUCACGCGUACUGCUUAAAUGAUGGCCAAAACGACUUCAAACAAAUGUCGUUUUGAGGCUUAUGAAUUACAAGUGAUAACACGAGAUUGUCUCAUGACUUUUAAAUGCAACAACGUGCCCAAAACGCUGUCGUUUUACUCUGUUGAGUUUGAUUCAUUACUAAGCUUUACGACUGGCAAUGGAGAAGAUGAUAAUUUAAUUGAUAUGGACAGUUUUUAUAUCACUUUUACAAAAUCCUAUGCAAUUGUAAUAUUGGGAAUUAUUGAUGUUUUAUAUGUGAAUCCUCAUUGGCAAAAACUAGUGGUUUUAUCUUUGUUGAAAUGUAGAUUACCUCUCGUUACUAUUUUAUUAUAAACAUAUAGUUUCGUAAGUGAAACUAUAUAUUUAUAAUAAAANNNNNNNNNNNNNNNNNNNNNNNNNNNNNNNNNNNNNNNNNNNNNNNNNNNNNNNNNNNNNNNNNNNNNNNNNNNNNNNNNNNNNNNNNNNNNNNNNNNNCAUUUCUGCCUCAUUAAGAUUCUCAAAUACCAGUCAGGUUUGCUUAAGAAAUAAAAUUUUUCCAUUAAAAUUGCAGUAGUAUUUCCAAGCAUAUCGCAUUUUCUAUGAUUUUUCAUAAAUUAAUUAAUCUGCGGUGCCAAUAUCAGAUUUAGUUUUUCAAACUAAAUAAUCAAGAAAGCAAACAUACAAAUAUACAGUUUAGAGGGGUAAACUAGGCAGGUGGUUUAGAUUUUAGAACUAAGGCAGCUACCUCACUAAAUUCCGAUUCGUACAGUGAACUGCAAGAAAUUGAGAAAACAAUGUAUUUAUAAUUUAAUAGAAUCAUAACAGAUGAAGUGGAAUGAAGUUGAAAGUUUAAAUAACAAAUCCUUGUUCUUGAGUUUUUACGACGUCGUUACUCCUUCAAGUGGCAGAUUAUGCAAGUGAAUGCAGAAACACAAUGCAUCUUCCGCGGGAUGAUACAUCAAAAGGCGGGAUUUGUUUAUGCCUUCAGAUUAGCAAUUUCACUCAUAUAGAAAAUUAAUUUUUUAUAUAUACUAAUCAACACUAAAUUGAUUAUGUGUUGUAUGUUUAUAUGCUAAUCAACACGAAAUUAUAUUGAAUUAUUAACAUUCAUAUUCCUAAUAAAAAUUAUUUUCCAUUAGUAUUCAAAAUUUUCACUUAUAGAAAAUGCAUUUUACGUGAAUACUAGUUAUUGUGUAAAUUUGAAUGAUAGCAAAAAAUAAACCUAUUUGAAAACUGUAAGGGUGUGUUGGGAUAUUUUACAACUGUCGGAAUCUGGUAGGAUAUUGCACCAUUUGCCCAAUAUUUUUAGACGUACUCUAACCGGUAUUCAAGAUAAGUAAAAUUUACAAGCGUGGCAAAAUAAAAAAAAUUAAAUUCGUAAUUUGUAAACGAAUUUUCCUGACAUGUAUAGUAGAUGAAGUUGUUGACCCUUUCUUUGGAUUAUUUCAGCUCUGGUUGUUGGUCACCGAUGAGCCGAAGUCUUAUUUUAAUUCUAUUUAAACUCAUCAUAAGAUUCGUGGAGCACCUAACUAACUUAACUGACUGUGCAGAGCAUCUCAACAUGGCAAAUUUAACCAUCAUUCAAGUGAUGGGUUUAAUAAGACUGCUUUUGUUCUACCAAGUUCCUCCGCCUCUAAGCAGAAUUACUAUUGAAGGGCCAAAUGGAAAAUGAAAACGUGUGAACUCCAACAACCACCCCACAAAUUCAAUGACGAUGCUCGGAGAGGGUUAGGUUGGGCCUCUGAGAAAAAAAAAAAUUAUUUAGUUAAAAAGUUACCCUUAUUGAAACCUGUAUAAAAAUUUUAUAUUAAUUAGUUAUGUUGCCUCUUCAACUAUGAUCAAAUUUUUAUCUGAGCUCAUCAUUUAAUGAGUAAACAUGUAUUUUAAUGAUCUCAAUUAAUAUUUAGAACAAAUAUUUUAAGAAGUAAAGCUCAUUAUAUCCCCCAUUAUUAUGUAUCUCUGUAAUGUAUUGAAUUAGAAGAAAAAAAAAAUUCAACUCACUCAAAAAAAAAAAAAUGCUGGUAGCUUCGUAAUAAUUACUGUCUUGACUGCACCAGAUAAAGUUUUGUAAAAGAAUUCUGAUAUUUACCCCGGGUCAAACCCCGAAAAUAACUUAAACGGUGUCGUUUUGAUUUUUUUUUUUUUUAUACUCCAAAACGUUCUUACCAUUUCCGUUUCACUUACCAUUUAAUGCUCACAACUCAAAUAAAAAGCCCAGAAACUAGAAUCAAACUUUACAGAAACUAGAAUGCCCAGAAACGUUGUAUAGCAGGAACGUAUGUAAAGAGAGUAAACAAGAGGGAUUAAACAGAACAUACGUUUUCUUCACUUAUUAUUAGCAACAAACACCCUACACAACACACAUUUAAUGCUCACAACUCAAAUAAAAAGCCCAGAAACUAGAAUCAAACUUUACAGAAACUAGAAUCAAACAAUACACAUUUCAUUUCUUCAAGGUUAGGGAGAGACUCAGGGGAGUGAUUAAUUAACAAAAAUAAGAAUAAUAAUACCAACAUUUGUACAGGUCAAAUAAGAAUAAUAAUACUCAACCUAAUACCCAGUAUAUACAAACAAAUGCCCAGGCCAUCGUUCCUAUUUUGCCAUAACCUAAAGAGGAAAAAGCGAAGCACUACCUCAGGCUGUGAACUUUGCCGCUUCGUGAGUUUAAUUUCCCGAACAAGUUUCGGCUACCAGCGUUACCAGUGUUGACGGUGACCGUGGCUGUCAGCGUUGACGGUGACCGUUGGUGGAUCCCGAAUGCCUGGACCUUGGUCGAGGAAGGAAAGUAACGAAUUUUUUGAACAAACGAAGAAACGAAGCACCGAAGAGAUUUACGGUCAAACGGAACAAGACCAACUUGCUCUUCUAUCUAUGGCUUUCCCAGUUGAAACGAAGAAACGAAGAGGAAGAGGUUUAAUUCUUCUCAAAAUCGUCCAUCAGAAACGGCAACGUUUUGGAGUAUAAAAAAAGAAAAAAAAAUCAAAACGACGCCGUUUAAGUUAUUUUUCGAGUUUGACCCAGGACAAACAUCAUUUUCCUUUGUAAAAUAAUAAGUUCUCAUUAGUGGUUUUUAAUUUUUAAUUUUUUUUUCGGCACACCUGAUCAAGAAUUCUAUUUUGUUAACUAAUAAAUUGCAAAGCAUAAGUGUUGAACGGUACAAAAAAAUUUGAAAAAAAACACUUAAAACGUAGGGAAAUGAGAAAUAUAGAAAGAAAGGAAGAAAGUUAAGACAUGAAACUGAUCUGCCGUGAAAUUGAUAAUCAUGUUUCUAUUUCGUUAACUAAUCAAACGGAAAACUGGAACUGUAAACAAACAUUAACACGUGUGGACUCUGCUAGCUGCCCUACAAGUCUACAAUAAUAAUUGAGUACCUUUGAUUCAUCCUUCUACGAAUUUCUAGCUGUAUUGACCCCAACUGCUAAAGUUUUGUAAAAUUAAAAAAAUAAAAAAUAAAAACUGGAAUUUCAACAAAAUUCAAAACGUGAGAAAUUUAAUUUUUGGCCAUGUGGAACAAAAUGUAAAUUACGGAAAAAGUAUAAAUCUCAAUUGCUUAGUAUGGUUAGGUUUUGUGAGCAUCACUAGAAAGUGAAAACUAUGAAUGAUAGGGGUGAUGUUUGCAACAUGAAUAAACGAUGAACUGAAUCAAUUGAUGAUCGUAAUUAUAUAAUGAACAAAAUUUACAAAAUCAACAAAAGUUAAUAAAAAUUUAUUUUAAUAAUAAAAAAUAAUAAAACUUAUUAUUUAACGGCGCUCUAACCAUGGAGUGCCAUAAUCAUAUUCUUCUUUUAAGAAAAUUAUAACUUAUUUCAAAUAGCACCAUAACAUAAUUCUAGAUAUUUAAAAGAAAAGCAUUAUCCACCUGAAAUGACUUGAAGUCUAAAGAAAAAGAGAGAGUGGCUCCCCACAAUUUUCUUGUUUUCAGUAUAUUUUCUUUUUUUUUUCUUUUUAAAAUCUUUUGACGCAUACAUAAUCUACCCUUGUUCAUUAUCUCUAUUUUGCUCUGUUCAAGUCCCUUUUUUUCAAAUCUUAGUUUAAAUAAGAAAAUUGAAUAAAAGUACAUUUGUGUAAUUAAUUAGUAUCUGUUUUUUUUGGGGGGGGGGGGGGGGGGGGGGGGGGGGGAGGGGGAGGAUAUUUGGUGUAAUGUUUUGCUAUGUAAGACUCAGCUAUUAUUAAACAGUUCCUUAACCUGUUUCGCAGUUUAUUUGCUAUCUUUGUGGAUCUCAUAGGCGUUGCAGAAUUUAAUAAUUUUAUUCGUCAGAAGAAUAGGAUACUGACUUCAAUAAAUUUAAUUUAAACCAACUUUUAUUUACUCCAUCAAUUAAUUAAUGCCAUUUUGUUUUGAAAAAUUCAAUAAUUAAAUUCUCACGUUUUAUGUGUUUGAAGUUAAAUUAUUCAUUAACUAGAACUCUGUUCAAAAUUGACUGUCUUGUGGUUCCCAAAUGUAGUUGUAAUAUUGAAUGAAAGUAAAAACUUUCUAUGGCGAGUUUAAAUCUAAAUCUGAACAAUGAAUUUUGACUUUCUCAAUGCUAUUCUAAUUACAAAAAUUAUAUUGAUUGAUUUAUUGUUACAGUUACUACCCUUUGAAAAUGUAUGGAUUUAUUGUUUCCGUGACCAAAUUAUGCCUGCCUAACGCUGCAACUAUUAAAAAAACUAAUAUUUAAUGCAUGUGUUAAAAGAUUUAAAAUUUUAUGCAUUUAUUAAUUGUUAUAAUCUAAAAAAAUUAAUUAGUUCAGGACAAUCUGAGUUGGUGCAUCUGCAGAGCCUUUUUUUUUUCCCCCCUUAUUGACCAUAAUGAUCUAAGGGGUAUAAUACGACCUUGGUUCUUGGUAAAAAUUAAUUAGUUCAGGUCAAUCUUUUAUGCUCUGUUUUCUAGAAACAGAGUCCUAACUAAAUUGAUUGACUGUACAGUGCAUUUCAACAUAGCAUAUUUAACCGUUUUAACAGUUAUUUGAACCGUCUUCAGAGUUAACAUCAACAAACUCAUUCAUAUUGGUCCAAUCUUACGGCCGAUAUCAUAUUAUCAUAUGCUUAAUAAUGAACAAAUAGUCUUGGAUCAGUGUUUUGCAGCAAGAGCAACUCGACACAAUCUGGAUUCAACCUCCUCCUAUCUAACAGGGGAUUUCGAUUUGAGUUACUUUGUGCUCAAGCAAAUUCACAUCAUAGUUUUGAUUCUUUAGGUAUGAAUUCAUCACAUUACAUAUAUCAGAUUAAGUGUAACAAAAUUUUUAAUUUAUUGCGAAAAGAAUACGCGCUAAAAAAUUAUUUGACGACUAUUUGAUUACCAAAAGCUGCUGUUAGAGUGCACUAAAAAUCGCCAUUGGCAUAAAUAUUUUUUGAAAAUACUGCCAUUAGAUAUUUUUAUUAUUCAUACUUCAUUGCACAAGGCAGCACCUAGCUUCUAUUUCCAGCCCUAAUAAUGAUCCGCUGCUGGAAAAGAAUUUGUGCAGCAUGUACGCUCCUUGACCACAACAGCAAAGUUUAUUGAUGUUAUUUCAUAUUCUGCUGUGACUCAAAUAAAAAUUUACCAUGCCCUUUCGGCAUGGCUUGCCUUUCAGCAAAAAAAGAAAAAAAAAAAUCUUUCAAAUUGUGGAAGCAUGCUUACAUUAAUCAGCUCAGUAUGUUGUGUUUCAUGGGAUGCAAAAUUCUUUUUGUUUCUCAUGGAAGAAUUGACUUGUCUGGAUGUAUUAAUCUCAUAGAUUUUCCACAGAUUCGUGGGAAUAUAACAAAGCUAGACUUAAGUGAGACCCCAAUAGAAGAAGUUCCGUCAUCAAUAGAGUGCCUAGCUGAUCUUAAAACGUUGCGUUUGAGUAAUUGCAUGAGGCUGAAGAGGCUUUCCAUCAAGCAUUUGUAAAUUGAAAUCUCUUCUUGAGCUUUAUCUCUAUAACUGCUCAAACCUUGAAAGUUUUCAAGAAAUCAUGGAGAAAAUGGAACGUUUAAAGAUAUAAAUUUAAAAAGGACGGCCAAUUACAGAGCUGCAAUCUUGAUAGCCUUCGGGAUAACAUUAGAAAUUUAAAAUCUUUGAGGUACAUCUCUACUAAUGGAUCGGCCAUUAGUCCUCUGUCGCAGGUUCGAUUGUACUUAAAUAUCUAUCAUUUUCUCAAUGCAGAGGUUUGGUAUCAUUGCCUCCAAUAUUAUUUUCAGGUUUAGUUUAUCGAAUUUGUUACAGCUAAAUUUAAGGGACUCUGCUAUAAUGGAAAUUCCCCAAAAUAUUGUUUGUCAAUCCUCAUUGAAAAUUUUAAAUCUAAAGGCUUGUUUGUUAACUACUUGAAGUAUGUAAUUAAUGCUUUUUUUUGUGUAAUUUAUGUUUGAUUUUGAGAUAUUUACAUUUGAAUAAAAAAAAAAAACUUUUGUUACAUUUAUCUAAAUAAGAAAAAGGCUGAAUGAGAAGUAAAUAAUCUCCUUUUUUGUUUUAACUUAGAAAAACAUAAACGUUAACUAACUAUGUUUAAAAAAAAUUUUAUUUAUGAAAAGAAACCAAAUACUACUUAUAUUCAUAUAUCAAAAAAUGAAAAACAAACAUAUUAUUCAUACGUGCACGCACAAACUCAUUCAGACCUCAGCUACAUACAAAUCCAUUUAGAUUUCAAACAAAAAAAUAAAUACUUCCUAAGUGGGAAUAACUUUGAGAGUUGACUUGCAAAUGUCAAGCAACUUGCAGGGCUAGAAUAUCUUGACUUGAACGGUUGCAAUGAUUUCUCAUCAUUGAGAGUUUAUCAUUGUGCUUCAUCAUCAUCAUCAUCAUCAUUAUUAAUAAAAAGGUAAGCAAUUAAGAGUCAAAUUAAACCACUUGAAAAUCACUCAUCCACACUUUUGGGACAUCAUCUGCUCAUUAUUUUUAUUCCGUAUCUUCAUUGUUUUAUUUGGUAAUUAUUACCAUUAGUAAAUAAAGGGAUUAGUUGAUUAUUGUGAAGUAACUAAAUGGAGCUCACCCUUAAAUGUCGGCUUAUAUCAAGGAGGCGCCUUAGGGUUAAUAAAUCAACUAAUCCCAUAAUUUGUUGAUGUAGGGUCCUAACAAAUUAUUGCCGUAGAUCAGCACACAGCUCGAAAACAUAUUUGAUCCACACAGUGAAGAUGAUUCAAUAUUAAGCAUGUCAUAUAAUCUGGAGUUGGAUAUUGGACCAAUUUGAUGAUAAUGAGUUUCUUUCAAUCUCAAUCUUUAUCUUAUUCGCAACAUGACUAGCCAUUGCGUAAAUUCAAACUCUGAAAAUGAUAAGUUUGUGAUAAAGGAAUCUAUGAGUACAAUGGGAAAAUUACAUGAACUUAUGUUAUCAAUCAUUGUUUUUCCUUCUCGUGAUAGAAUUCAGUGCAACAUAAAACAUGAUAUAUUUGUACCUUACCAUGCCAUGUUGUGAACCUAGAAGCAAUGCAAAUUGCAAGGAACAUUAAGCUAUCCACUGUAUAUAACAAAUUCUUAUUAGCCCACAAUCUUGUGCCGCCACAUUGAUCAAGUAACACUAUUAUAUCAUUUCCAAAAUGGCAUAUAUAAUCUAAUGUUGAACAAACCAAAUUGGGAAUCAUCAUUCCUUACAUUAAGUUGACAUUCGUACCUGCUAGUCCAUGAGCAAAGUUGCAUAUAUUUCUACACAGGCCGCUCCCCUUAUCUCUCGGUUCCGACAGAGCUUUGUUUUCCCAUCACCAGCUUUGGAUUCAUUCGAUCACUGGUGCUCCGAGUUAGAACGGUCUACAAAGCUGCAUUUCGUUAGGCAAUCUAGUCUCUCCAUUCCUAGCAAAGUGACAUUGAUUCCCGUAUUUGUAAUUGCCUAAUUGGGGUUUUGGCAAUAGCCUGGCUUAAAAUUACCACCCAUUACUUUGUUCAAUGCCACUGGCAUCCUCUGAUUAGGAACAUUUUCACAAUUUUUGGUCCUGUUAGUCGAAUCACAUUCAACGGGAUAGUGAGGCAGUAUUUCACUAAAAGAUUCAAUUUGACUACUCAUAUUGAUGCACAUAUAAGAAUUUGAAAUCACUUUCUCUUGGAAUAUUUAAUGACCCUUGAUGAAAGUUCUUGAAUGGAAUUAUUUAAUUUGAUUUGAUUUCCAACAAAUUCAAGAAACCCCACAUAGUAGCUAAACAAAAAUCAACCAAUAAUACGCAAUGGGUUUCUUUCUUUUUGCCUUUGGAGGGCCAUGGAGAUCUGGAGUGGGCUGUAAGUAAUAGCCUUUAUCACUGGAAUGACAGAUUUGCAGAAGAUGAUACAUGGGGAAGGAUUGGGCGAGCAUAAAAAUGGGUUUACACUCUUGGAUUAGCGCCUCAUUUAGGUUGUAGGCUUGUAGCGAGAUAAAGAUAUUAAUUAAAGUUUUAUAAUCCCUGUUAUGAUUAAGGCUUCACUUAGUAUAGCAUAGAGCUUUUUGAGUUUUACCAGAAAAUUUUUUUAAAAUUAUUAUUUAUCGGAAAAAGGAGACUUACACUCCAUGGUCUAAGGAAAUAGUCACAAAGAUACUAAGUUUUCAAUAAAAGACACCAAUUUUUUUUUUUUUUUCAUAAUGCCCUUUGACUCCAUAAAUUUCUAAAAAAAUAACUCCAAAAUUUUAUAAUAAAUGAAAAUAUGGCAUUAAAAUAAAUGCAGUAAUAUAUACAUUUCAAAAUAAUUUUAAUAUUUAGAAAUAUUUUAAUAUUUUUCAAUCUAUUAAACCUAUUUUUAAGCUGUUGACCUAUUAAAGUAAUUCUUAAUAAUGAUAGAAACAUAAUAUUAAAAUAAAUUAAUUAAAAUUAAAAUUAAAAUUAAAAGUAUUUUGAAAUUAUAUAAAACUAAUUUUAAUAUUAUUAAUAGGUAGAUUUUUAAUUGUAAAAUCUAUUUAACAAAAGAUUUAUUCAAAAUCUUUAUGAUAUUACAAAUAUAUUGUUAAAAUAAAUAUAAUAAUUUAAAAUUUUAAUAUUAUUUUAAAUGUAAAAAAUAAUUUAAUAUUAUUAGUCUACUAGAUAGAUUAUGUUAUUUAUAUUAAAUUUGUUUUAAUUAAAAGUCUUUAAAGUUAAUUUUUUAAUUACUAUAGUGAAAGGGUAUUAUGGGCAAAAAAGUGUCUUGGUAUCCUUCUUUUAAAACUUGAGAGUUUUUGUGACUAUUUUCCUAAAUCUUAAAGGUAUAAGUGUCAUUAUCCCUUAUUUAUUUGGUUGUUUUGCUCUCGAGAGUUUUUAAAGCUCCAAAAUCUUUAAUCAGUACUUUUUUUUUUUAAGUAAAACUUUUAACAAAAAAUUAUUAUUCAUUUGAUUGUUUACGAGAGUUUUUAUUAGAAGUUAUAUAAAGUUCUUUAAUUUUUUUAUUGGUGCAGCUUUUUACAUGUAUAAUUUUUAUUUUUUAACAAAAAUUAAUUAAAUAAUAUUAGAAAUCCUAAUAUUUGAGUCCCAAUAUCAUAUAUCACUCAUUUUUUAGAUGACAGAUUUCAUAACUUAUAAAAUUAUUUAACUAACAUCCAAUUAGUGAAUGUUACUAUAGUGAAGACUCAAAUUGAAAUUUAAAUGUUGGGUUGCGUGACAUUUCUCUUAUUUGGUUGUUUAUGAGAGCUUUCUUGUACAAAAUAAUUUUUAUACAAAUUGAUAUAGUCUAAAUUCAUUAAUUAGAUUAAAAUACAAAAUAAUAAAAAUAAAUAAGUUUGUAUAAGAAUAAUUCAUUCUUUAAUCCAUCUAAUUGAAUUAUCCUAUGUCUAUUUAUACUAAAUAAGUUUAUAUAAAAAUUUAUAGUUUUGUUUUUAGAUGUGCAACUAAAUUUUUAGUCUCUUAUUCCUCGUAAAAUUCAAAUCUGAGUGGCUCAUCAAAUAAAAUUAUUUGAAACCAUACGGUAUGGUAGCUGGAACCCUUGAAACCAUCGAGGUCAUGAAAUUUACCAGCCAAAAGAGUUUUAAAUGUCUAUUUUAUAAACUUUUAAAAAAAUUUUUAUUUACCAUUUUACCAUCCGUAGUAAAGGUGUCGCAUCGACAUUGAACAGAUCAACAUAUCAGUCAUUUCUCAUUCAGCCAUUAGGAAUUUACGUUUGGGGUAUUUUUGUAAUUAUAAGAAGGUAAACUAAUCGCAAAACUCGUUUGGCUUGCACUUGCUCGCCUGUGCUCUGUGACUCUGUGUAUGGUUAUGGCGUUAUCAUUAUCAUCUUCUCCACUCCUACUGACGCCAGACCUUAACAGUUCAGAUUCCCUUUCUCGACUGUCAUACCCUACGCCCCGUCUCCGUGUCUCCGAUAAACAGUGCUCAAUUAAGGCCAUCAGAUUAUCCCGGACCCACAUUGAUCCAACGGCUCACAAUGACCGACAUCCUCUCUAUCUCCAUUUCAAGCUCCCUCUUCAACUGGCUUCUGCUUCUGUCGUACUCUUUCUUGGAUUCGGAGUCCGUAUUUGCUCAGCCGGUCCCGCACAGCUCCCUCUCACUCCAAUUGUCACCCAACAAGACCAAUUGCUUAAUCAAGGCACAGACCAAGAAGAGGAUGAGAAGUUGAAACAAGAAUUUGAGAAUUGGAAAUCGAAAACGUACGCAUUAACCGUGCCUUAAAGGGUUGCUUCUCUUCAGAAUUCAGUGCCUCAAUCUUGGGUUAAGGAUUUUAUGCGAAGUCAAGGAAAGAGAUUGAAGUUUCAGAUGAAUUUGUGUGCUAGCAUUGAUGGGAUCGUUAACAAUUUAUCUGUGCCCUUUAACAAAGUUAAGGCUAAGUCAGCUUCUUAUAUGGCUGCUGAUUUGGUUAGUAUUGGUGAUUCAUGGCUCAGCUUUGCGAUUAAAAAGAGAUUGAUUGAGCCAAUAGCUGGAGCUGAAGACCAAGAUUGGUUCAAAUGCUUAAGUCACAAAUGGAAGGUAACAUCUUUAUCUUUGACCCGAUAAUUUUUAUUGUCUUACAUUGAAAUUUGGUAAUGUAAUUUGUUCUCUAUCUGUAUUACCCUUUUUAGUCGUUUUAUUUAUUUGUUUGUUUGUUUAUUUGCUUUUAUUUGCACUAACGAAGUCUCGGGUAUAUCUACCCAGGAAUGAUGCAGGAGAAAUUGAUCCUCGAGGUGAAAUAUGGGCGGCACCAUACAGGUGGGGCACAAUGGUGAUAGCCUACAAGAAAAGUAAAUUUCGAAAGCAUAAUUUGGCUCCGAUUGAGGUAAUAACUGUCUUUAAACUCAUUUAGUUUUAUAUCAAACAAAAUCAAGGCUGCCUUUCUCUUCAAUAUUUUUUAUGAUAAUAUCUUUAGAAGCAUCUCAUUGACGGGUAAUAAUGGUGUCCCUGAAAGAGUCUAUAAACUCAAUGAUAUUAUCUUCUACAAAUGGAUCAUUAAACUUCUUUUUUGUAGUCAAAUGUACACUAAGAACAAUGAGAAGCUAUGCCACUGUAGCACGUAGUGAUGGCACUUAAUAAGUGAGUUGCUAGGAUGUGAACAAGAAAAAUUAAAUAUUGUCUCCUUGGGUAUGCUAGCUCGUAAGUCAGGGUUAAUAUUAGAGCUUAAGAUACUAUAACCAUGCGAAACUAUUGACUGCCAAUUAAAAUAUCCAUUAAAAUGUCUAGGGAGUUAUGAAGGUAGAGUUAUCUUCCAAUUUCUAAGGCCACAUAGUAGACAUCAUCCAGGAUCCUAGGAAAGUGCGGUUGAUCUCCUGCUUGAUGCAGUUAAUAAAUUUGGUCAAUGCGACUGAAACCUGCUAACUGACGUCGCAAUGCGACAUGAGCACUUCAAAAUGGGAUAGACAGUAGCACUAAAUUUUUCUUGCCUAAGAUUGAGCAAUUGGUCUAAAUACUAACCCCUAUUGUAAGUUGAUCAUUAUUUUUUCAAUUAUGUUCAUUUUGACCCAAAAGUUACACAAUCUUGAUCUGAAUAUUGUCACUGAACACUGUCAAUGUCGUUUAGCAUUGGCAACUAACUCGAGUUUAGUAAAACAAACAUACACACUGUCUCAUGUCUCACAAUUCAAAUUAUCAUCUGUACUGAUGGAGAAUUUUUCUGAUGUAUGAAGUAUGCUUUGAUAUGUAGGUUAAGCUUGGAGAAGAUAUCUCAAAAUAAAGAAUAUGGGGAGUGAAUGGGAAGAAUCUGUAGUCAAGUUUUGUCUCAAAAAUGGUCAAAAUUUAAAUGAAUGGACGGGGGAUCUUCAUUCUUUUUUCACUUCUUUAUACCGAGAUAUCUCUCAACCUUUAUAUAAUUCCCACUGGAUAUCUGCUUCUAAUAAUUAAAAUAAAAAUUUCAACCACACCAAUAAAUAAUCAUCUUAGAGUGAGACUAUCAGUACAACCCAAAAACAUAAUAAAACUGGUUUGGUUCUUUUUGUUGAUGUCUAAAUGUUGUUCAUUGUGACAUGUAGAAAUGAUGAGGUGAAGUUUCUUUGGUCAUCAAAUAGUAAGAUCUUGUUUGAAGUUAUUUUCUGAAAUGAACAGUCAAAUGGUAGUUUUUUUGGGCCAUUCGAUGGCUCUUUUCUUCCUCAUUUUAAACUUGUGCCUGCUUGGAACGGGAUGGAUUAGGCUGCAGAGUUAUAUAUUUUGACAUGCUCUGGUCAUUACACAAUUUGUUCAUACUGGAAAUUAGGAUGAGAAAUUUGUUGCUGCUGUUUUGAGAGAUCUGCAUUCUAUGCACAAACAUGAUUAAUGAAAAUGGAUUGUAGGACUGGAAAGAUCUGUGGCAGCCUGAGCUCGCAGGAAGGAUUUCAAUGGUUAAUUCUCCCCGAGAGGUUAUUGGUUCAGUUUUGAAGUAUAUGGGAGCAUCAUACAAUUCAGACGAUAUUGAUUCACAAGUUGCUGGUGGGAAGAUUGCUGUUCAGCAGAAUCUGGCAUUACUGGUAAACCAGGUACUCUUAAAGAAAUGAUAUCUGGUCAUUGCAUGUUAUUGCCUGACAACUGAUUUUGUUUGUAAAAGUCGGCUUCUUCAUACAUAUGAAUGCAUAUGUUAGUGUUUUCUUCUCCUUUUCAUACAUAUGAAUGCAUAUGUUAGUGUUGUCUUUUCCUUUUCAUACAUAUUAAUACAUAUGUAGAUUUCUUCAUCAUUGUAGCCUCCAUAGUUGAAGUUUCCUCAUUUGAAGCUGUUUAUGCAUAUGCUUUUUCCCUUCUCAAGUACAGGAAAUUGAAGAAUUAACCAGAUGUGAUAUGCUGAAAGAGUGAAGUUUUCUCCCUUGAAUGUGGCCUUGUGAUUUGUCUUGAAGGAAUAGGAUGAUCACUGGCAAGAACCCUAUCAAGGUAGAUUUUAUGGUGUUAACAUAUUUUUAAGCAUUUUGUUACAUCAGCAAUGAUGCUUUCAUAGCAUGAAAGUGUUUAAUUUAACUGACUGAUCUUGAUUAAUCAAUUAUGAGUUUUAAUCGAGUAAAAACUAAAUACAAUCAUCGUCAAAAAAUACUGAAAUUGGAUUUGGAAACACAAUCCACACAGGAAAUCACCCUUCGCGUGGGGAUGGAGAUGUUUACUGCAACGAUAUCGAAUAUGUGCACGGUGUUGUCCACUGAAACAAUGGAAAAAAUUAACAUAGGGGUAUUUAAAUAAUUAAACUCAGACCUCUUUGUAUAUGUUAUCCUAACUUUACUUACCCUUGUUUGUAAUUUUCACUUAACAGUUGAUGCCUAAACCAUUAAAACCAAAUGACCAUAGGGGUAUUUAAAGUAUGUAAAAAUAAACAAAAACACGUAAAAAAUUUCAAACAAUUAAUAAUUACACUCUAAAUGUACCACUUAACUCUUAAUAAUAGCCAUACUCUAAAACAAUCUACAACCUUUGAGGGGAGUAGCUAUGAGGAAAAUCCUUUUCUCAGUGGAUUGCCAUUGUCCGAGAGUUACAAUGAAAAGAGACCACCAGCAACUGAGUCGGAAGAUUCAACUAGCACUGAAAAAGAUGAUAAUUUAAUUGAUAUGGACAGUUUCCAUAUCAUUUUUAAAUCAUCCUAUGUAAUUGUGAUGUUAGGAAGCAUUAGUGAUCUGUAUGUGAACUAUUAUUGGCGCCAUUGGUGGUUUUAUCUUGUUAAAAUAUGGAUGACUUCCAGUUACUAUUUUGUAGUACACAAUUUUAUUCAAUUAACAUAUAGCUUAAAACCAUUAUGUAUGUGCUUUAUUAAGAUUCUCAAGUACCAAUCACGUUUGCUUAAGAAAUAAAAUUUUGCCAUUAAAAGCGUAGUAAUAUUUCCAAGCGCUUCGCAUUUAUCUCAACAUUUUGAAGGAAUUUUGAGAAAUACACGGGUCCAAAAGUCUAGUCAUCAUCCUUAUUUUUCUAUCGUUCUUUUGGGUUUGCAGUUGGUGGUGCUUUCAAUGUUUCCCUGAAACAUAGCAAAAGAACGUACAUAUUCUUGGUAUGAGUUGAUUUUUAGUGAUUAUCUAAUUGACUGGGGUGACAACAAUAGCACAACGUAGAAUUCAAUAAUAAAAUUCUCUUGUUUAAUUUGUUUUAAGUUAAAUUAUUAAUUACUUAAAAUUCUGUUUUAAGUCUUUAAUUUUAUGUCUUGGCGUAUAUGCAGAGUUGGAUUCUUGAGUGAGUUGGACAUGACCUACAAUGAGAGUGGCAGUAAACAAACAUUAAAACGUGUGGACUCCGGUGGCUGCCCUGCAAGUCCACAACUCUACAAGAAUAAUUUCUAGCCCCGUUGACUCCACUAACUAAAGUUUUUUAAAAUUUAAAAAGGUACAUAGAAUUCCACAACAAGCAAAACGUGUGGAAUUUAAUUUUUUGCCCGUGUGGAACAAAAUACAAUUUAGCAAAAAAGGACAAGAAAAAUGGUAAGAUUUCUAAAAUGAGUGGAAGGUGAUCCAUAUUUUACUGAAACGACUUGUCCCGAACAUCACGACGAUUGAUUUUUUUUAUUUUAUUUUUGAAUAACAUCAACUUUCAUAUUUUUCUAACCCCCAGAAUAUGCUCACGUUCAAGUCUAUCUUGCUAAUUUAAAAAAAGAAAAUCAAAUCAACACCAAAACAAUGAAAAGUAAAGCUUUUGAAUUUCAACUCCAGCUAGCAAACGUAUUCAGCGUUUUCAAAUUCUUCCCAUUGCAUAUCUUCUUCCUCCAUCAAUGCAAUAUUUGAACGAUUAUGAAAGAAUUUAAGAACAUAAAAAAUCUCCAAGGUUUAUACGGUAUAACAAAUUUAAAUUCUCAAUUACAAUAGAUAAUAAUUAAACUAAUAAUUUUUUAUGUAUUUAUUUUAGUAAUUUCACCUAAGAAUAAUAUUGUAAUUAGAAAAAAAAAAUCUAAUAAGUAGGGUGGUCUUAUACAAAAUCAACUGCAUACAUUUACGCAGAUGCAGAUAAUAAUUUUUAAUUCCUUUUUUUAAUAAGAAAAUUGUGUAUUGAGAUGAAUAAGAUGUUUAAUUUAAUUAAUUUCCUUACUUUCGUAUGCAUUGUCUUUCUAUCUAGAGAAAGCUUGGUGUUCAGAACGACAUGAAGUUGCGAGUUGUCGCCCAUGGCUGCUGAUUAAUAAUAAAACGAGACAAAUUAAUUGAACUCAGGCCCAUAUGUAUAUGUUAUCCUAACUUUACUUGCUCUUGUUUGUUAAUAUUCAUUCUUAGAGAGGUGAAAAAAAUUUCAAGUCUUGAAUAACGAGGAGUUAGUUGCCUCUAACUUUACUUGGCCUUCUAUAAUCUCAUUAAUAAUACAGAGAAUUAAUUAUCUUUUUAUUAUUAAACCAUCUUCAGGAAGAUUUUCCUCAAUUUGCUCCAGAAGAGUUGGAGCUGUGGUUCUGAUAAACCAAAGAAUUAGUAGCAAUAUUAAUAUUGCCCACCCAAGAAAUAUGAGUGAAUUAAAGUAUUGACAAGACUUCGCUCAGAGGAGCAUUUAAACCACUUCCUUAUCAAUUGCGGCAGCCGUCUAUUAACUAAAACGCCAAUCUAAUACAAGAAGAAAGAACAUUUACAGACUUCGCUCAGAGGUCUAUUAACUGCGGCAGCCGUCUAUUAACUAAAACGCCAAUCUAAUACAAGAAGAAAUAACAUUUCCUUUUGUUAAUAAUUUUAGUCUAAUUUCAAUUGUACUGUGACCGCUUCUCAAGGUAAGUGAAAGUUACAGAUGUGGCAAAAUAAAUAAUUAAAUUAACAAAAUGCUAACUAAUUUUCCUAAAUACCUAGGGUUGUACAAUUUCACCAACCUGGAAGAAUUGACAUUAAUGGACUGGUCUCCUCCCCAUAUAAUUAUAAUCCUUCUAGAAAGCUAAUUUUUAUUAAAUAUUUGCUUUUAAGUUCAUUUCAAUUAAAAAAUGUUUUAAGUUAUUGAGAUUCUGAAUUCCUUUCUUCCAAUAAUAAUGAAAACGUAUUAAAUUAGAAAUGAAAAAAUUGGUGUUGAUGAUUCAACCUAUUUGGAUAGAUUACGUGAAUAAAAUUGAAAUUUUGAUUUAAUUUUUGUUUAUUGUUAAUUUUCAGGCUUAGUUUCAAGAAUUUAGAAUAUUACUUUGUUCAUGGAUUCAACUCGUGAGUGUCAUAUUCUAGACUUAAUGGUACCAUUUUUGAUUGAGGACAAUGACUCUCACUCAUCUUGUAAAAAAAUAUUUUCAACUAUUUUAAUGACUUAAAAAUUGAUAGAUUUAUUGUUGUCAUGAACAAAUUAUUCAUUUUAAUGAAAUAUAAUUAAUGCAUCAAAGUUAUCAGGUUUAUGUUCUAUCUUAACGCACUUUUUUUUUUUUUUGGGUUAUCAGCUAUGCCCCUGAGGCAUUUUGUAGAGUAUAGCUUCUGCCUACCUUUGUUUCAUUUUUUUUAAUAAAAAAACAAGGGAAGGUUUUUCCGAGUCAUCCAUUAUUUGAUUACCGUCAAUCAAGAAAACGACCAAAUUAAUUUCUCUCCAAAAUUUCCAAAAGCUAGAAAAUUUUGUUAUUUGAAAAUAACAUCAUUAAUUAUAGAGUGGAUCAAACCGCGUUAUUGUCUUUCAUAAAAUUGAUGUCUUUUUAAGAGUCAAUACUUUUUAUUUACGCAAACCAGUCGACAUCAACUUAAACUUCCAUAUUUUUAUUAUUAUUAUGUUAUUUAUUUUAAUCCCCGAUUAUUUGAUUAGCCACUAUAUAUAUCAAGAAAGCGACAAAAUUUAUUUCUCAUGACUUCCAAAAACUAGAAAAACGACAUCAUUUAUUAUUUUUUUGCAACCCUAAUUGACAUCAACUUUAACUUUAUUAUGUCAUUAUUUCAAUCCCCCAUUAUGACCUUUCUAAUCCUCCAUUAUGCAUCUUUUAUAGUGCAAAUUUAAUUGCACAUAUAAAUAAAUUGAUUAUUGUUACUCCACCACCAAUAUUUCAAAUAGUCACUAGACCAUUUCUGCCUUUAAUUUUCCCUUAAGUUUAACUAUUGACUGCUUUUAGCAUCUUAAAAUAUACAUUUAUUCCUCGAUUAUGUGAUAAAAUUAUGAAAAUAUCCAUUUUAGCUUAAAUUAAUUGGAAUAACCAUAAACAUAACUUAAAUUAAUAGAACAAAAUUAUCAAGUGUAUGUUCUAUCUUACUUUUUGAAGAAUUUAACAUAUAUAAUGCUAUACUAUUAAUAAAUUUAUCAUUUAAUAUAUAUGUUCAAAUAUUUUAUAUAUUUAUUAAUUGUUAUAUACUCAAAGGAUGAAUGAUUUUUCAGGUCUACAUGAGUUGGUGCAUCUGCAAGACUCAAUUUUGACAACAAUGAUCUAAGGGGUAAUUUACCUUGGUGUUUGACAAAUUUAACCUCUCUUCAAGAUUUACUUCCAAUCUACUUACUGUAAAUAUCUCCUCAUCUCCUCUCAUUUAUAUGAUAACCCUUGAAGAUCUCACAUUUUCAAACAAUCAUAUUAGGGUUUUUAUUAUUAGCAUCAUUGUGUCAAUAAUAUAUGUUGCAGUAAGAUUUUUUCAGACCAGUUCCCUUCUUCAAAUAAUAAUGGAAAAGUAUCAAUUUAAAAAUAAAAUGAAUAUGCAUUGAUUAAUUAUAUCCUGAUUUUGAUCGAUUAUAGCGAGAGUUUCUCCAAAUCAACGCCCUGAUUCAAAUAAUACAGAAAAAAUAGUAAUUUAAUAGUAAAAUUAACAAGUGUUGAUUAUAUAUCCUAAGUUUCAUCGAUUAUGUGAUCAAAGUGGCAUUGUUGAUUUAUUUCUUGUUCAAUGUUAAUUUUUAGGUUAUCUAAAUUUCAAGGAUUUAAAAUCUUUGUUCAUGGAUUACACGCUUAUUAAUUUUUCUGCCAUUGACUGUCAUAUUCUAGACUUAAUGGUACCUUCCUUGAUCAAGGACAAUUACUCUCUGUUCUCCUCUUAUAAAUUCCUCUUCCAUUAACAUCACUAGGAGUAUGUUGAUCUCUCAGACGUUAACUUCAGUGGAGAGUUUUCAAAUUGAUUGUUAUAAAACAACACAAAAACUAGACACACUUGAUCUGUCUAAUAAUUCUCUUUCGGUAAAAUUGAUUAAUUUUAGGGGAAUAUUCUACCAACCUAUAUAAUUUUAGAUUGAUCAUUAAUUAAUUAGACGAAAAAAGUACUUGUGCUUUUGUGGCGACAAUUGAACCGGAGAAGUGAAGCUGUAAAGAUUUGGCAGUAGUAAAUUGUUAGAAAGACGUAAAGACAAGUUCCCAUUAUUAUAAUUUUUUCAAAAAACUUUUUUACAACACAUGCACCUGGCCAAAAAUUUUAUUUUGCUAACUAACAAUAAUUGAGUAGCUGACCGUAUUGACUCCACCUACUUGCUAAAGUAAAAAAAUAGAAAUAGAAUUUCCACAAAAUGGCAAACAUGUAAAAUCUAAUAUUUGGCCGUGUGGAACAAAAUACAAAUUAAAAAAAAAUAGAAAAAAGGCCUAAAGACUUUUAAAAUGUGUGGAAGUCUUUCGGCCCUUUUAUAAUGGUGUGUUUUUCAAAGGAACAAAUAAUAAUAAUGACACUUCUAUGGUUUGUUUUGAUAAUCACACAUAUACUCUUUAAUUUGAUAAAUGGUUACACAAAUUUUGUUUACAAAAAUAUAUUAUUCAUGUUCUGUAUUAUUUUUUAACAUCAUAUUUUUAUUUAUUAUAAUUGUUUAAAGUUAAUUGUUAGGUUGAUAUAUAAUAAAAACGUAUAAUCGUUCUCUUACUAAACACACAUACUCGUAGUUUAUGUUCAUUUGUCAUCUCAAUCUCUCUCAUUUAUCCUUUAUUGAUAGCUCAAAACGCGUCACUGUGGAAAAUUAUAGCAAAACGACAAAUAUGGAAAAAAUGGGAAGAAAAUUAAUGCAUGAAAGAGUUGCAGAAGACAACCAAAUAAGUCAACUAUACGCUAGUUGGGUGUAUAAAUUGUUAGAUGUGUUAUAAACAAAUAGCAUAGAGCCUUGGUUGGUUACAGAGAUAGAAAAAGUGUGUGUGUUUUUUAGAACUUAAAGAUAUAGUUAGAAUGGGUGGUUCAAAAUCAAAAAUGGUGAUAAUGUUUGUUCUGUUAUUAAUAAUAUUAGAAGGUGGGUGGAGUGAAGGAUGUUUGGAUCACGAGAGAUUUGCUCUUUUGCGACUCAAACAUCUCUUCGAUGAUACUGGUAAUUAUCCUUACGAUUGGGGAGAUGGUGAGGGAGCUACUGAUUGUUGUCUGUGGGAAAAGGUUGAGUGCAGCAACACCACAGGCCGAGUGAUAGCGCUAGACCUUAUUGAUACGUAUGGGGGAGAGCACAGCUGGUAUCUGAAUGCUUCUUUGUUUACUCCCUUCCAACAACUUGAGUCACUUGAUUUACAUGGCAAAAAUAUAGCCGGUUUUGUUGAGAAUGAAGGUGCUUCGUCUAAUUCAAUUAAAUUACAUUUCGCUCUCCUAAUUUAAGUCGAAUAUCAAGACUGAGCAGCUAUAUGCAUAUUCAUUCAAUUGACAAUUUUUACAUAUUUUUUAAAAUGUUUAAUUUUGAAAUUACACCAAACAUCAUAUGUGAUCUUUGUUUUGAUUUUACUUGCAGGUCUAGAAAGAUUGAGCAACUUGAAGAUGCUGGAUUUAAGUGAAAACUUGUUCAACAAUAGCAUCUUAUCAUCUCUAGCUCGUCUUUCAUCAUUAACAUCAUUAGAUUUAUCUGAUAAUAGAUUGGAAGGAAGUAUUAAUGUUAAAGGUACGUAAUUAAAACAUCAUCUCUUCUCCCAACUCUUUCAUUAACAUGCUAAAAUAAGAUUCAAGGCUUUGAAUUCAAUUUUUUUAUGAGUAAAUAUUAGAAAAAUAGUUUUAAGCAAUUCAUAAAUACAAUUUUCAAUGUUUCUCAUAAUUACUCUAACUGUGAAGCAAAUACCCCAUGACUAAUUUAUCAUUUUGUCCAGUUAAAAAUGAUAAAAUUUAUCAUUUGUUUAUAUUGAUUUAUUAACUCUAUUUUAAGUCUUAAGUCUUGGCGUGUUGGCAUGUUUGCAGAAUUUGAUUCCUUGAGCAACUUAGAGGAGUUGGACAUGCGCGGUAAUGAAAUAGACAAUUUCGAGGUUCCUCAAGGUAAACAAUUAAAAUAUUAUUCAAUUACAUUAAUUUAAUUCGUUUGAUUAGGGAAGGCCCAAAAUGUACAAAAACAUAAUUAAAAAAAAAUAAAGAAACAGAGAAUUCAUAUUAUUUCAAAAAACAAAAGGUAAUACUAUUAUUUCAAAAAAAGAAUGUAAUAAAGAUUUGAUUCCGGUUCUUUAAUCUUUAUAGCAAUUGAAAAACAAUGUUGCUCUUUUCCUAAAGCAUAAAAUAUGAAAUGAGUCAUAAUUGAAUUAGUCAUUUAUUUUGUUUAGAUCUAAAUUUAGACAAUAAAUUUUGAUUUUUUUUUCAAUCCUAUCCUUAUUAUUAUUGUUAAACAGGUUACAGAGGUUUGAGGAAGUUGAAAAGCCUCUAUCUAUCGGAAGUUAAAAUUAGAGAUGGAAGCAAGUUGUUACAGUCAAUUGGAUCAUUCCCAUCCCUCAACACUCUUUACCUUUCGUCUAAUAAUUUUACGGAAACAGUGACAACUACUACUCAAGGUAAGUAAAAGGUAUAGAUGUGGCCAAAUUUAUAAACAAAUUGUUAAUUAAUUAAUUUUUCCGUAUUAUUAAUUAAGCUAAAUUUGUUGCUCCUUCCUUCUAAAUGUACACAGAGUUGCACAAUUUCACCAACUUGGAAUAUUUGACAUUGGACUCUUCCUCUAUCCAUAUAAGCCUUCUGCAAAGCAUUGCAUCAUUAUUCCCUUCAUUAAAAAAUCUGUCGAUGUCUAGUUAUGAAGUCAAUGGCGUCCUACGUGGUCAAGGUAAAAGAAAAGUGUUGAUUGUGAACUCGCUCAAUGGUGUCCUACGUGUUCAACAUUUUUAUUUAUUUAUUUUAUUGUUUAAUGUUUCUGCUAGGUUUUCCUCAUUUCAAGAGUUUGGAACUUUUGGAUAUGGAGUGCACGCGCAUUGCACUCAACACCAGCUUUCUUCAAAUCAUCAGUGAAUCGAUGCCUUCUCUUAAGUACUUAUCACUGUCAGAUUCUACUCUUGGCACUAACAGCAGCAAGAUUCUUGAUCGAGGUUAAUCAGAUGCUCCCACCCUCCCUUCUUAAUCUAUAAUAUUAAUUUUCAAUUAAAUAUUUAAUUACACAAACGAAUCACUUAUUAUAAAAGAAUAAUACGCAUUCAUUAAUUUCUAUAUUGAAUUAAUUGAUGAAUUUAAUAAUAUGCAUUUGUUAAUUUUUUUAUUGUACUGAUGGAUGAAUUAAUAAAUUUUCAGGCCUCUGUUCGCUGGUGCAUUUACAAGAGUUGUACAUUUAUAAUAAUGAUCUGAGAGGAAGCUUGCCUUGGUGCAUGGCAAAUAUGACAUCCCUCAGAAUAUUAUAUGUUUCUUCUAAUCAACUUACUGGAAGCAUCUCCUCAUCUCCCCUCGUUCAUUUGACAUCCAUUGAAGAGCUGCAUCUUUCAAACAAUCACUUCCAGAUCCCAAUUUCACUUGAACCACUUUUCAAUCACUCAAGACUCAAGGUUUUUUGGGCUAAGAACAAUGAAAUAAAUGCAGAAAUAACUCAGUCACCUUCUUUGACCGCCCCAAACUUCCAAUUAUCACGUCUCUCAUUGUCUUCCGGUUAUGGAGACGGUGUCAUAUUCCCCAAAUUCCUUUACCAUCAACAUGACCUGGAGUAUGUUGAUCUCUCACACAUGAAGAUGAAUGGAGAAUUUCCAACUUGGUUGUUGGAAAACAACACAAACUUAGAAUCUCUUUUUUUGGUUAAUGAUUCUCUUGCAGGACCUUUCCGGUUGCCAAUUCAUUCACACAAGCGGUUAAGACUGUUGGAUAUAUCCAACAACAACUUCCGAGGCCACAUUCCAGUAGAAAUUGGAGAUGUUUUACCCGGUUUAUUUUCUUUAAACAUUUCCAUGAAUGCUUUAGACGGUAGCAUUCCCUCUUCAUUUGGUAAUAUGAAAUUCCUCCAAUUACUGGACGUAACCAACAACCAAUUGACUGGUGAAAUCCCUGAGCACUUGGCUGUGGGUUGCGUCAACUUGGAGUAUCUUGCGUUGUCAAACAACAGCUUAGAAGGUCAUAUGUUCUCCAGAAACUUCAACCUGACAAACUUGAAAUGGUUACAAUUGGAAGGCAAUCACUUCGUAGGAGAGAUCCCACAAAGUUUGUCUAAAUGCUUCGUACUAGAAGGAUUGUUCCUUAAUAAUAACAGUCUUUCGGGUAUGAUUCCACGAUGGUUGGGUAAUCUCACAAGGUUACAACAUAUUAUGAUGCCCAAGAAUCAUCUUGAAGGUCCUAUUCCAGUGGAGUUUUGUCAACUUGAUUGGCUUCAGAUUUUGGACAUUUCAGACAACAACAUAUCUGGAAGUUUACCAUCUUGUUUCCAUCCUCUCUCUAUCGAACACGUUCAUCUUUCAAAAAAUAUGUUACAUGGACAAUUAAAAAGAGGUACAUUCUUUAAUUACCAUUCCCUUGUGACAUUAGAUCUUAGCUAUAAUCGCUUGAAUGGCAGCAUUUCGGAUUGGGUUGAUGGGCUUUCUCAGUUAAGCCACCUUAUCUUAGGUCACAAUAAUCUUGAAGGUGAAGUGCCAGUUCAAUUGUGCAAAUUGAACCAACUACAAUUGUUAGAUCUUUCUAAUAAUAAUCUUCAUGGUCCUAUUCCUCCCUGCUUUGAUAACACCACACUUCAUGAAAGUUACAGCAAUAGUUCUAGUCCUAAUAAGCAAUUUGAAAUAUUCUUUUUCAUCCAAGGCCCUCAGGGACAUGUAGAAAAGCAAAUCCAUGAAAAUUUUGAGUUCACAACAAAGAACAUUGCGUACAUUUACCAAGGAAAAGUGCUUAGCCUCCUAUCAGGACUUGAUCUUUCUUGCAACAAGCUAAUCGGUCAUAUUCCUUCUCAAAUUGGAAAUUUGACAAGGAUUCAAACAUUGAAUCUAUCGCACAACAACUUGACAGGAUCGAUCCCAUCAACAUUUUCAAACUUGAAGCAAAUCGAAAGUUUGGAUCUUUCCUACAACAAAUUGAAUGGGGAAAUCCCUCAUCAACUAGUGGAGUUAAAGACGUUGGAGGUUUUCAGUGUGGCAUACAAUAACUUAUCAGGCGAAAUUCCAGAAUGGAAAGCACAAUUUGCAACCUUCAACGAGAGUAGUUAUGAGGGAAAUACUUUUCUUUGUGGACUGCCAUUGCCCAUUUGCAAAUCACCAGCAACUACGCCAGAGGCUUCAAUUGGCAAUGAACGAGAUGAUAAUUUAAUUGACAUGGACAGUUUUUUUAUCACAUUUACAACAUCGUACGUAAUUGUGAUAUUCGGAAUUGUUAUUGUUUUAUAUGUAAAUUCUUAUUGGCGACGUAGAUGGUUUUACUUUGUUGAAAUGUGGAUAACUUCAUGCUACUAUUUUGUUGUAAACAAUCUUAUUGCAACAAGAUAUUGUCAUUGAAAUUAAUUAGCAGUUUAAUUACGAUUCUUUAAGUUCUAAUCAAGUUUGCUUAGGAAAUACAUUUAUUUUUAUUUUUUAUUAAAAUUGUAGUAGUAUUUAGCAUUAUAUAGCUUCCAACUUCCAAGCACUUCACAUUUGUCUCCACACUUCCAAACCCAUAUCUAUCCACCAUAACGUAUACUUCCCUAUACUGUGCAGCAUAAUUUAUUUAAGAGAACCAUCUCCAAUGUUUUUUUUUUUUUUUUGAAUACUGAUUAAUCAUCAGAUUACUGCAUUAUACAGAUAUUUACAACAACUGCUAUUGUAGAAGAGAUAUUAUACUGAUAUUUACAAUCAGAUAUACAUAAUUGGGACUUAUAUUAUGACAUUAAAUUCUAUGAAGUACAUGCCCAAACAAAUAACCUCUCACAAGAUAGGGAUGUCCAUACUCCACUCGCAUUUCGCAAGGAAGAAGGAUUUUGAAAUAUGAAGAACAUUUAGCCCCCACAAUGCUUUUAUGGGGGCUAGAACCGCUGCCCUCACAAUUCUUGUGAGGGCAGCAGCCCACCACUUCGGCCAUCUCCAAUGUUAAAAGCAGCCACUCUGUAACAUUCAUUUAGAAACUAUAUUCAGAAUAGUUUUAUAAUCAUACACAAGAAAUGAAACACCUAGAUGCACUUAAUCGCCUAUUUUACUUUAAAAAAUAAUGAUUAUGGUGCUAUCAUCAUCUUCUUCACUAGCAACAUUAACACCAAAUCCAACGAUGGACCCAGACAUUUUAUCAAGAAAGGUAUAUAUAUAUAUAAUAAAGUUGAAGCUUGACAAAAAAUUCAGGAAGAUUAAUGCCUCGCCACAACAAAGGGCACAACAACAUCAAAGUAGAGAUGAAGCAAUAUUCUCAAAGGUAAAACUCUCAAAUCCACCCACCAGAAUUUCAUAUCUCCUCGACAAUUUUAAGAACUAAAGAUAAUUAGGAUUUAACAUUAGUUUUUUAUAUAUUAGUUUCAUAAUUUACAAAUCAAUGCAGAUGAAGAUUAUGCUAAUGAAUUCAAAUUAUACCAUACAUUCUCUAGAUGUUACCAAAUAUUUCUAAAGUCAAUCCCACACAUUUCAUAAUUUUAAGACUAGAAAAUUUCAUUAGUUAGAAGUUUCAUUACCUUCAAGUGGAAGAUGAAGAACAUUGUACAAGUGAUUCAGAUUAUAUCAUACAUACUCCAAAUCCAACUAGAAAUUAACAAGUUCAUGCGCACAGAUUUCAUAACAUUAUGAUUGGAAAGUUUCACAAAGAGAAAUUCUAAAUUCAAUCUCUUGCAUCAAGGUAGUUUGAUUGAUUUGAGUUACUUUCUGAUCAAGCUACUAAUAUAACAUUCAAGUCAAGGAGAAAGUAAAUUAAAACUGGGAAAAAGUAACAGUAAAAAUUUGUUGCUAAACAUGAUGUGUAUUUUUUUUUUAAAGCAAUUUGGAAACACAGUUGUUACUACAGAUAUUCUCCUCAACUUGGAGAUAAAUACAAAUAUUAAAAUGCAUUUGAUCGCACAUAUUACUUAGAGCUUAGUAAGAUUUCAUUAAGAGAAGCAAUCAAACCACUUAUCAAUUGUUGCAGUCAUUCUAUAAGCUAAAAUAGCAAUAUAAUACAAGAAAAAGAACAUAUAGAUACUUGGCAAGAGUUCAUUAAGAAGUCGCAUCACAUUCGGGUGAGGAGUUUGCUUCUGAUAUCUUGCUAGCUGGGGCUUUUUCUUGUCUUUCUACGUAUGCCAAGGGAAACCAACCAGCUUGGCCCUUGCAUUCACCUUCCGACCAUCCAAUAGGAGCCACCUUGAGAAGUUAUAACUAAAACGGUGAAUUAAACAAAAGUUGACCGUUCAAAGACCUAAGGGGAAAACUAAUUCUUUUACGUAGGGGGAGUGAAUUAGUUGUGAUCACUGAAAUAACAGCAUAACUAUGGAAGCAUAACAAGAUAUAAAUUCACAUGUCUAUAAGGGUAAACUGGGUGGUUUAGAACCGAGCUAGCAACCCUACUAUAUUCUGAUUUGCACUUCAAUGUAAAAGGGAAUAUAUGGUAGGAAGAAAGAAAACCAACCAUCAUUUGUUAACUCAUUGCUUUUCAAUCAAAAUUUUAAGAACAAAAUGCCAUGUGCCUUGAACAUCAAAUAAGUAUAAGCAUUAGUUCUAAAUUCCACAUAUCAUAUGUUAAUAGCAUAGUAGAAAAAUCUAUGUGUUGUUAUUUAGAGGGGAAAGUACUUGGCGAACCACAACAUAAUCAUCAAUUGAAAGACUUAGCUCUCCAUUUGCUUGAGCAUCAAAUGGAUGUAUAACCUGCAAGAUAAUGGGAUAAAUAGAACUUAAUCUUAGAAAAAGCAUAACAAAAGCAGCAACAGUAGCAGCAGCGUUCAUUGUAACCACUAUGAUCAUGGCCAACAAAGAUAUAUUAGAAACAAAAUUCCAUUUUUACUACAACCUUAAUAUGUACUAUAUGAUAUCAUGACGAUUGGGUUACCAAGAGCUAUUAAAGUCCAAUAAGUUCUGUAUAACUUUAUGUAGUUAUUUAAAUUAUGGAUCAGAUUUUAAAUCUGAAAUUUUGACUGCUCUCCACAAAACAUGGCCUAUGCACAAAAAAGUCAUAGAUAAUGAGGAUUACAAAUGUCUGACAUCUUUUGAGUGAUGGAUUUAACAUGAGAGCUUAUGGUCAGUCAAUUUCCUCUGCCUACCAAUAUAAGCUUUCUCGGCCAGAUUUAUCAUCAAAUACAUAGAUUGCCCCCAAGUCACAUCCAUACAAACAUAGUUUUUCUAGGUAAACCAAGUAAGGAGAAUCAUAAUUCAGACAUAAUCAUAAAAAGGUCCAUCUAACUUAAGAGAAAAUCUCAAAAAGAGGGAUGUUGAGCUAUCAGUCUUGUAUCUAUAAGCAAUAUCAAGACUUUACAUCACCUGCUACAUCGUGAGUGGCUACACAACUUUCAGUGGUUUGUCUUUCUUUGGCAUGCCUAACUCAGCUUUGAUGUUGCUGAGAUAUUGAUAGUAGAGACACUUGAUACUUCUAGCUCAUGCAUUCUAUCUAGCUCAUCCGACAACUAUCUCUUUUUUAAUUCAUUAGUGUUUGCGAAACCUCAGGCUUAAAAGUCCUGUUCUCCUAAACAAAGUUUCCUAAGAAUGACUUCCUCAGCACCACAUUUGGACACUUUUAGAGCAAUUUUAUUUGGGGGAAAAGAAUUUUCAAGGUGUUAACUAAUAAAUUUUAAAAAAUAAUUACAAUUUGUCCUACGAUUAUAUGACAAUUUACCUAUGUGGCAAAUAAAAGGGUGAAAAAAUAUGAUAUUCUCUAAAAGACUUUUCAAAUAGAAAUAAAUUAAUAUUAUUUUAAUCAUAUAAUUAAUUUUUUAAAGGAAAAGUCAAUAGCAAUUAAAGCACUUCUCUCUCUUUCUUCAAUGAAAAAUAAUAAAAUAUAAAUUGAAGAGAGAUAAAUUAACUCUCCAAAUUUAAAGAGAGAGAAUCAAUUCUUAUUUGAAGAAUCUUAAUUGGAGUGUCUUUUGGAGCUUUAAAUAUUGAUGUGGCUCUUCAAAUAAGUAAUAAAAUCUUAUUUGAAGAACUUUUUGGUGAUGCUCUAAGAAGUGAAAAUGAUGAGAGCCCUGAUUCCCUUUUGACUUCCAUUUACUGUCAAACAUUCUAGCAAUACAAAAAAUUGUUUAGAUAUCUUGCUAUAAAUAUAGCCGUUUGACUGUCAUAAUAAAGUCCCAAAUAACCAUUCAUAUUGAUCCACUGUCACACAGCAUGCUUUAUGCAUACAACAUCUGUAUGCAUACCAACUCCUAACCUUAUCAAUACAUUUGGCAAAAACCUAAGAAGAAAACUAUUUCUCCAUCUCUUUUUUGAAAUUUCACAAUAAACCAGCACAUUGUGAAAGCUAUGUUCUAAUCUUAUGAUAAAUGCUCUAGACUCCAAAAGGAUUUUAUAUAUGAGAGUUUGUUGCAGUAGAUAUAUUGACUUAUCAAGUAUGAAUCAUUGUCUGGAUGAACUAUCUUUAAAUAAAAGAACAUUAGAACCACUGUAGAAUAUCUUUACGCUGCUGGUUGUGGCAACAAUUGCUAGAUCCACAAUUCCCCAACUUCAAAUACAUAGUUGCACACCAUGAGAUAGUGCUACAAUCUACUGAGAUCUAACUUAUAUGAUACUUUAAGCUACUAAUGUUUGCAUAUUUCUACAUGUUAAAUUAACACUACCAUCUAUAAUCACUCCAAAACGACAAAUGAUAAGCAGCUUUUGGCUACUUAUUACUAGCAUCCACAAUUAUAAAUAAGAGAUCAUGGGUUUACUUGUUGCACCUACUUAAUGAUCUGCAGUUGAGACCCUGACGCAAGGUUUAAACAGUCACUGCUUAGAACCCUUGUAGUUGGAUCUUGACCUCUCCCAUUGUAGCCAAGAUUGGCUACUCUGGUAAUGAAUCAACACUCUCCUGCUCAGGGCCAUGAAGAUCUGGAAGCUCAGCACUAGUGGAGAACUUCAUCAAUCUCUUCUUCUCAGCAUACUUGAGACAAGGCUGCAUUACGAGACCAAUCACCACAGCACCAAUGCUUAAAGCUGCAACUUUUAAAGUAGAAAGAGCCAACACAACACAAAUCAAUAUGGUUGGAGGAAUACACAUGAUAAUGGCUCCAACAGUGCCAGUGGGUAUCUUGUAAGGACAAGAUGCAGCAGGAUAUUGUAUCCUUAACCAUAUAAAUGCUAUAAACUCCAUAAUCAUUCCAAAACAGUACAGGAAGUUCUCUGCAGCUACAAUAUCUUGAAAGCUCAGCCAUGAUAGCAAAACCACACCAGAUGCUGAGAAUAUGAUUCCAAUCAAAGGAGUCCCAUAACGAGACCUCUUAGCAAAAACCUCAGGUAGCAUUCCACGCUCAGCCAUCCCCAAAAGCUGGAAAGAGUCGCUGCUCAUCUCAGCUACAAACAUGCCCAUAUUCGACAUUGCUGCAGCCCCCUGGAUCCACCAUCUCAACCAAACUCCACCAAGCACUUUAGCGAUAUCUGAAAAGUAACCAUCGGUCCACAAGUCGCGAUCUAAUGGAAUAGCUCCAGUUCCAACUAGAAGGGGAAAGAAAUACCCAAAAAUGACCAAGAUCAAAGCAUUAAACAAAGCCUUUGGAAGAGUCUUCUUUGGGUUAUCCACCUCUCCAGCUAGUGUACUUAUUGAGUCCCAGUAGUUGAGAUUCCAAAACAGGGUGUUCAAAUACAAAUUCCAAUCCACUUCACCUAAAUUUACUACAAGCCAUCUUGAAGGCUCUAACUUGGGAAGGGACACAAGUCCCAUAACCACAAAAGGAAGGAGUGAGAAAAUCCCUAAAAGAACAGCAGCCCAUCCCACAAUGGUUAGACCCCUAUAGUUCACGUAGAACAAAAGUCAAAGCUAACGCCACAAAGGCUCUAGGUAACCCAUUGCCCAACGCAGGGAUACCAGACUUCAAGUAGUCAAGAAACAGAACUGGGUAUAAAGCAUUAUCAAUAACCCCACUUAGCCAUUUCAUCCAACCUUGCUGAAAACCCCAAUAUGGGCCUAAGGCAGAUGAAACCCAAACCACAUAACCACCAUUUUCAGGAAACAUGGUACCCAUCUCGGCAGUAAUUAAAGCUUCAGGGACACUCCAUAUAAUCGGAGACACCAAGAAACCGAGAAGUGCUAAAAGAGGACCAGCUGCCUUUACACUAUCCUCAACACCAAACGGCCCUCCAGAAACCUCAUAGAGUAUAAGGAAAAUAAGUGGCAAGAUCGAUACUUUUCUAGUUCCAUAGACUCUAGGAGAAGAUGGUUGGUCAUUGAUAUUAACAUAUUCAACAACAUCAGACUGCCCCAUUUCUACUGAAACUUGCCUAUUCACAGUGCUCCUCAAUUUCUGCAUCAAGUUUAAGCAUAACUAUCAAAAGGGUAUCCACAUCUAAAUUAUGAAACAAAAUGAGCAUUUACUUAUUAAAAAAAAAUCAAAAAACAGAAAUGGAUUUCGCAGAGCACAUGAAUUUAAGUUCAACAUUAAACAGGCGCUUAAGAAAACAAAAGGGUCUGUUCGUAAAGCCAUCAGAUUGCAAGAUUGAACAAACAUUAAGGGAAUCAAUAGAAUGGAUGUAAAGAGAUCUGAAAAGAAAAUAAAAUAAAAGAUGAAGAGAGAUAAAACGAACCAUCAAAUAAGUGCAUGCAGAGCAGAGAGCCAGAUGCUAGGGAAGCUCCGUCAUGUUAGAGAGAGCCUAAAUCAAUCAGAGCUCAUUGAGUUUCUUUCAACUGACCGGCAAAUUUGGAGCAUCAUAACAUAAAAUUUUUGCUUUUAAUUUUUGGCACUCCUUCGAAUGGAAUUUUUUGUUUUUAAAAAAUAACGAAAUCAUAAAAUAAAUAAACACGUGUUUGGUUUUGGGCAUUUUCUUUUGUUCAUUUAAUAUCACCUGGCUCCCUGAUUUUUGACUAAUUAUCAACCGAAUCCUGUUAGUUUCUAAAUUGAAAUAAUAUUAGGUCAUGAGAUUAUUUACUCCAUUUAGGAUUCCUCCCACUUUAGUGUUUACUUAUUAAUUUUAAGAGAGUGCGAAUCCCACUCUAUGGGACUCAUUCUUUUUUGGAGUGUAGAGUGGGAUUCCCACUCCCAUGGGGGGAGGUGAGAGUGGGAAUCCACUCCCCCCUCUUCCAUUUUUAUCUUUAUAUUUAAUUUAAUAAAAUAAAAUAAUAUCAUAUUUACUUAAAUAAUAUUAUUAUAUUAUUUUAUAAAUUAUACUUAUUAAAAAUAAUAAUUUAUAUUGAUUCUAAGUUAAAAUUACUUAAAAAAAUAUUAUUAUACUCAUAGAGAAUUAAUAAUAUUACUAUAUACUCUUUUUAUUUGAAAAUAUAAUAUUAUUAUAUUUAUUUAAAAAUAAUAGUAUUAUAUUUAUUUAAUAUUAGUAAUUAAUAAUAAUCAAUAUUUUAUUCUGAGAAAAUAUUAAUUUUGUAUUAUAUUAUUAAUAAUAAUGUUUCAUUUGUGUUGCUCUUAAUAAUAAUUUUUUAUUUACAUAAUUAAAAUUAAAUUUAAUAAAAAAAUUAUUUACAUAAUUAAGAAUAUUAAUAAUUAUUAUUAAUUUACAAAUAUAAUAAAAUAAAUAUUUUAUUUUUCAAAUCUAUUUUUUAUUAAUUUUGUAAUUAAAAACUAUAAUUCUUUAAAUAAGGAUAAAACUGUAAUUUAAAAUUAUUUACUCCCAAAUCUAUGCUCUCAUUCCAGUGUAAGUAAAUAACUUACUCUCACUCCCACUCCACACUCCUAAUCCCAGGAUUCUUAUUUCAAUCCAAAAUGUAAACGCAGCAUUAGCACGGUAGACUUACUUAUAGUAUAUAAUACUAUUGAAAAAGCUUUGUCAAAUAGUAGUAAUAGGAGCAUAAGAAAAAGUUCUUCAGAAUUUAGAUAACGCACUUGGCUCUAGGAAGAUUGCCCUCUUAUCACUCGAGUUAGGCUUUUGGCUUAGAGUUGAGUAAAUCAUUAAAAUAAAUUAUAGCUAUCACAAAUUGUUAGGAAAAUUUCAAUUUUUUUUCCCAUCAAAUGUCUAUGAAGCAAAAUUUUCUUAGCUUAUAUUGCAACACUAAUACUUCAAAUCCUGACAAUAAAUUUGAUGACAGUUGUUUUUUUGUAUAGUAAUUGUCACUCUAUUGUUUAGUUUAAAAGUAGUUCUUAAAAUGAUAAUGAUGACUUAUUUAGAACAAAUGGUAAACUUGUAGUUUGUAAUAUUAUUUGUACAAACAAUAAAGACUAAUUUGAUAAUAAUCUUUCAAAGAAUAAAUUACUAUUUAACAUUUUAAAUUAAUUUCUAAAUUUAAAACAAAUAUGAAAGUUGAUUGCUUCGAAGGUUGGAUCGUGACAAAUUGACAAUUGAAAAGAGGAGGGAAUAUAUAUUUUGAUGAAAGGGACAAGAUUAAGCAAGGGGACAAUAUUUUCUAUUGGACCUACAAAUAGGGGGAAAGAUUUAUAUAUUUCAAAAUUUCUUAUUUGUGGAUUGGCCAGCACGUGUAACUAAUAUAAAAGGAGAAAAUUUGUCAUGGUUUUAACCGAUAUAAGAAGAGAAAAUUUUGAGUGCACAACAAGAACGAAGCAAAACUAGGGUUGGCAGAAAAGCCCGGGCCGGCCCAGGCCCGCAUCGGCCCGGGCCAGGCCCGCGGGCUUUAAGCCCGGCCCGUGGCUUGAAAUUAUGGGUAAGGGCUCAAAGUUAAUAAAGCCCAUAACAUAUGGGCUCAGUCAAGGACCUAAAUGAAAAGUCCGGGCUUAAGCCCGGGCUUUAUAAUAAAUAAUAAAUAAUAUAUAUAUAUAUAUAUAAUAUUAUGGAUAAUGGCUUUAUAUAUAUAUUAAAAAAUGUAUAAUAUAUUAUAAAAUUGAAAAAAUAAUUAAACAAAAUAAUAAAAAAAUCGGGCAAAGGGAAAGGGCAAAGGUUUUGUCACAAAAUGUCAAAAUUCCUAAAUCGGUAAAUCUCUAUUAGUUUUUUUUUUAUAUUAGUGGUUGAUUUGUACGUUGUGUACGGUAUUUGUAUUGUUAGUAUUUUUAUAUUUUGUGUUGCUAAUCAUGUAUUAGAGAAUUAUAUUUAAGUUUUUAGCCUAUUGUAGUAUUAUGUAUUGGUUAAUUAUGUUUUGAAAAUUUAUAAUUUUAUUUUUUAAAAAAAAAUUUUAAAAUUUCGUAAAAGCCCGGGCUUGGCCCGCGGCCCGGCCCAGACCCGUCAAGGCCCGGCCCGCCCAAAGUCUGCUCAACUUGGAUGGACUUUAAGAGGGCCUGGACUUAUUUAACAUUAUAUGGGCCUGGUCCUGAGCUUGAUAAAGCCCGGCCCAGGCCCUUAAAUUGCCAACCCUAAGCAAAACCCAUGAAAAUUCACCUUGUGGGUUGGAUUGGAUAAAAUCAAUAUCUUGAAUCAAACAAAAUGUUUGGUACAUUAAGGUUUUGAGUGUGUGUAAUGAGCAAGAAUCUACAUAAGGAUAUUUUAGUAAAUAUAAGAAAAAGGGCUCAAGGAAUGGCCUAGAGAUAGAAGCCCACAGCCCAUGAGUGAUGAGAAUACAAUUUAACCAUUCAAACUAAUUAGAAGCAAAUUAUUUCAUAUCUUUCGUUAAUUUUUCCGCUUACUUACUUAGCAUCCAAACAAGUUAAAGUUAAAACACUGUUGAGACAACAAUAUGCAGGCAUCAAUAAGCAUGGCAGUUUUUUAUAUGUAUUCUACACGAUAUUCUGGGGAUGUCAAUUGUAGAACAUUUUGCGGCAACUUUUUACAUUAAUUAAUGUUUGAAGAAUUUGUUAAAAAAGGGUAAUUUUAUCAUUUUGAAAGAGAAAAAAAAAAGUAAAAGUGGCGUUACCUCAUGGUCAUUAGAGACUUGUUGCAAUGAUAGCUCAAAAUUAACAAUUUGUGAAGAGUUAGUAGACGAUGCCGAUGUUGUCGUCGUCACUUUUGUCGUCGCCGCUGUUGUUGAAUUCAUGCUUAGAACACAACAAGAGAAGAAGAAGGGAGGAAAGGGAAGAGAAGAAGAGAGAAGUGGUGGAUAGCAAAUAUGAUAUGCUAGCUACACACCCGCCUUAGAAUUUUUUUUUUGUGUUUAUUAUAUUUUUGUUUUCGUUAUUGUUUUGUCAUAUACUUUCGGUGUAGCAGUGCCUUACAUCAUAAAUUGCACCUUUUAGGAGAGGUGGUAAAAAACGUGAGGGCACUGCGCUCCAGCGCAUACAUAUAGAAAGAGCUUCUUAAUUUUAAAAAGUUUCUUUAUUUCUUCCACAUUUUUGUGCUUAAAAUAAAAUUUAAUUGUAUUUUGCAUUAACUUAGAAAAAAAAUCCAGUUCUAUACAUAAACGCAUGCAUUAAUUAGAAAAUGAGUUUUACUAACGCAAAUGUACAAUAAAAGAGAUUCUUUUUGUAUAUUGGAAGUAACAUAACUAUUUAGUAUAAAAUGUAAAUAUAAGCUACCAAGAAUUUGCACUUGUGGUAAUUAACGACACAGAUUUUGAACUAUGAAUGUUUUGUGGCUGGUUUGAUUGGAUUUUCGAGUUUUCAGCAAACCUAUCUCAAUAAUUAUUAAAUUAUUUUCACUUCUUACGCCUUAAUAAAAAAAAUCAAUAUUUUUCUGGUCUAUUCUGUAUUUUAAAACUUAAUUUUAAUUUUUAUAUUGCAAACCAAAAUGAGUCAACCGGAGUAUGCUCUUCAAAGAAAUUUUCCAUUGCCUUCAAGAAGAAUUUAUUUUAUUUUUAUACAUUAAUUUAACAUUUUUUCAUUCACUUGUAAACCGGGCCGUCGGAUUGCACAUAAAGCAAAUGAUCAAACCGUUACAAGACCAGCCCGGACCCACCGACUGUCAUUUUCUUUCAUUUGACCAUUAAAAGCUUUUGACCACCCCCACCAAAUAAAUAAGCUCUUGUUCUCUUUUGUUCCCUCUCAAAGGAAAAAAAAUAUCUGAUCACCGGAUAAUGAUUCCGGUGACACAAAAUAUCAAAACACCCCCCUAAAUUCCCUUAAAUUUACAAUAAUACCCCACCAUGGAUGAUUCUGUUGAAAUGCUGCCUUACAGUGAAAGGCCUAAGAAGGGUUUUAACUUCACACCCAUGCGCUUGAUCUUAACCCUCGUUUUCCCAAUUUUAACUUUCUUUUCGUUGGCAUUUUUGAUUGGGAUCGUUGCUGUUUUAUUCGGCGAAUCAUCAGUUUCGAGUUCCAUUUUUGUCCCUUCCCAGUGCAAGAUAGUGUCCAGCAGUAAGCUUUUUCAAAAUUUUCAAUUUUUUUACCUUAAUGAAGCUAAAAAGUUUUAUUAAUUUUUUUUUUUGAAUGAUUUUGCAGGUGUUGAUAUAAGGUCAUCAAAGGUUUGUGAACUUGGGGUGUUGAAUUAUAAGGCGAAGCGUGUGUUUUAUCCAUUUGAAGCAAGUAAAUUUCGCUGUCGAUAUGAUUACUAUUGGGCUUCUAUCUUCAAGGUAUUCAUACAUUUUCUCAACUUUAAUUACUUACCUGUACUAUAAGCUUCUUAGUGGCGGUCUUGUUUUGUGUUUUGAUGAAUGUGUUUAAGGGUCAGUUUGGGAAUGCUGGUAAUAGGAUGUUGUUAGUGUUUGGCAGUAAAUUUGCUAUGCAUAAUUCAGCAAUGUGCUUGAUUUUGGUUAUUGUCUUUAACAAUUUUUAGGUAGAGUACUUAGAUCAUUCACUGGGACAAACGCAGAGCUUGGUUGACCAAAGAUAAGUUCCAGGUUGGGGUCGGCAAUGCAGAGCUUCUGCGUGUAUUAAAAUUUGAAGCCUAGUAAAUGAAUUUCUAAUUUAUUUAUAGUGUUUGUUUUAUCUUGACAGAAAUGAAUGCUAACUCAAGAUUUUCCCAACUUUAAUUACUUACCUGUACUAUAAGCUUCUUAGUGGCGGUCUUGUGAGCGGAAGUGAGCGGUGUGGCUGACAGCUUCUUGAAAAUUAUAAGUUUGAACAGAGCAUGUUAGACUUUUGUUGACCAAAUUCGAAAGCCAAAUGGCACAGCUCAGAAGCUUUUGAAUUGAAUAACUUACGAGAAAGCUCCAAUUUUUUGUUGGCUACAGUAAAAGGAUGUUGUUUUAUUCUUCUUAUACUUUACGCUUGCAUCAGCUUAAAUCACUUCUUAAACGCUUUGCUUUAACUCCACUGCUUCGUACUGUUCUAUAUAUGUAUCGGGUAUGCGGUCGUAGUUCACGGCUGAGACUACGUGUUUGUUUGACGUGGUAGUUACGUUACGAGUCUGUUAAACAUUCGGUGAUUAAAGUAUUAUCGGUUAUUCCAAAGGGACAAAUAAGAUUAGCUGCAACACACCCACUAGUUUUAUAAAAUUCGAAUGAGAUGGAAUAAAAUAAAAAAAUAAAAAAGUAAAUUGACUUUUAAUUUUAGUGGUUGAAUAUAUUUUGUAUUCUCUUAGGGUACUGCUGUAAUUAUUCCUUAAACGUCGUCAUACUCACAUAUAAUAGACACAAGAAAUGAAAUCUAAGAUCACCUGCUUAGUUAAAGAAUCAUCAUGAAAAAAUUUUGCCAUUUUGAUUUGAGGAUCCACAUUUUAAACAACCAACUUAUGUUCAUCAAGAACAGAGUAUGAAUUGUGAGUAGAAAAAUUAUUUUUGGACAAAUUAUUUUGUUAAUAGAAGAAUGUCUCAAGGGACUAUUAAAAUUACUAAUAAAAAUGUCAGACACACCCACGUACCAUCGACACAAUUGAUUAUGAGGAUCCAUGUUUUGAACUGCCUCCUAAUGUUCAUCAAGAACAGAGUCAAUUGAAGGAGAAUAUGCUACUUUUUCAUUAAGAAAGGCAGACGGGGCAUACCAUGGUACCAUACAAUACAAAAAAUCUCCGUUCUCUGACUUUUCAAACUCUGAAGGGGGCAAUAUUCCCCAAUUCCUUUGUGAAAAUUCUGAUUACGACAUUAUUCAUCGCUUGAUACAUAAGUAAAAGUAGUGACAAAAUUAGAAAAAUUAUGAUUCAUAAGUAAUUACUAGGCAGGGCUCUUGAGAGCAACAUUGUCCUAGGCUUUAUAUGCAUACAUGGUGUGGCCACACCAUAACACAAACCCAGAAAGACAAGUAAUAUCUCAACUGAUAUAAAGACAAAAAGAAGAUAAAAUGAUACAGAACAAAGAAUUUCUAAGAGACAACAACAUACAAUAGACUGAAGCCAGUUGAUCUGCUCAUUGAUUGCAGCCUUAAACUUGCAAACGUUUACUGUAGCCUGGUGCUCUAAGAAGUGAAAAUGAUGCAAACCUUGAUUCCAUGUUUACUUCCAUUUACCAUCAAACAUUCUAUUCAUAAGAAAAAAAAUGUUUAGAUAUCUUGACGUAAAUAUAGCCAUUUGAUUGUCUUAAUAAAGCCACACACAACCAUUCAUAUUGAUCCACAUUGCCAUAUAGCCUGAUUUAAGCAUACAACAGCUGAAUGCAUACUGACUCCUAACCUUAUCAAUACAUUGGCGACAACUUCAGAAGAAAACUAUUUCUCCAUCUCUUUUUUGAAAUUUCACAAUAAAACAGCACAAUGUGAGCUGCAAUGAAAAUGGACCGUCUGGAACUAUGGCGGAAGCUUCAACUAGUGUAGUGAAUAUAAACCUAUAAUUGGAACAAACACAGCCACAGAACCCAAGAAUGACACACCCUACACCGCGGGAGAAGCUUUCCAGUGAGAUUUUAUUGAUGAUCAAAGAAGAAUCUUUUUACAAAGCUAACAAAAGAGAUUUCAGAGAAUAAGCUAUGACCCUCUCUCUCUUCAAUCUCUCUCUAGUUUGUUCACAGUGAUGACCCCAAUCUGCUUCGUUAGCCAGCUUCAUAACUGCGUCAGUGACAAACUAACAAACCCAGAUUGAGCAGAUUACCGACACGUGGAUAACGGCUUUUAAGAACUUGGUUAAAGAACUGCUCACAUAUUCGUCACGGGUGUUACUUAAAUGAUGGCCAAAACGACUUCAACCAGAUGCCGUUUUGAAGCUUGUGAAUUAUAAUUGAAAACACGUGCUUGUAUCGUGACACUUAAAUGCAACAACAAGCCCAAAACACUGCCGUUUCACUUUGUUCAGUUUGCCAUCUCUAAGCUUCACAACUAGCAACGGAGAAGAUGAUAAUUAAAUUGACAUGGAGAGUUUUUAUAUCACUUUUACAACAUUCUAUAUAAUUGUGAUAUUGGGAAUCGUCGGUGUUGUAUAUGUGAACUCUCGUUGGCGACACUAGUGGUUUUAUUUUUGUUGAAAUAUGGAUGACAUUUCGUUACUAUUUUAUUGUACACAACCUUAUUCUUAGGAGAUUUAAUCAUUGAAAUUAACAUGUUAGUUUCAUUAGCCACUAGGCCUUUGGCUGAGUCGUUCGGGUGUCUGCCCUCCAACUUGGAGGGCAGCAGUUUGAACCCCCACAAGCGCAAUGUGGGGUAUUUCCUUCUUUAAUCCCUCGAAUAUUACUGAGGGUUAAAAUCUAGGUAGAGUUCCAUAAGUAUUAAUGUAAGUUGGUUCCAGUAAUAGUCUAAUUUGUAAAUAUCAGUUAUAGUCUCAUGUAAGAUGAGUUGUAAUUUGAGCAAUAGUCUCAUAUAAUAAUAAUAAAAUAAAAUAAACAUGUUAGCUUCAUUACAUUUUUCUUCGUUAAAAUUCUCAAGUAUUAGUCAGGUUUGCUUAAGUAAUAAAAUUUUGUCAUUAAAAUUGUAGUAGUAUUUCUGAGCACCUCACAUUUUCAAUGAUUGUUCAUAAAUCAAUUAAUCUGCCGUACCGAUAUUAGGUUUAGUUUUUCAUACUAAAUAAUCAAGAAAGCAAACAUACAAAUUCACAGUUUAGAGGGGUAAACUAGGUAGGUGGUUUAGAUUUUAGAACUAGGCUAGCUACCCCACUAAAUUCCAAUUUGUACAGUGAACUACAAGAAAUUGAGAAAACAGUGUAUUUAUAGUUUAAUUGAAUCGUGAGAAAGCAAUGUAGUCAUAGCUCAAUCUGAGAUGAUCACGGAGAGGCAUAUUCUUUUCAAGUUAAUUUGAUCAAUUUAUAAGAGAUGAAGUGGAUUGAAGUUAAAAGUUUAAAUAACAAAUCCUUGUUCUUGAGUUUUACGACGUCGUUACUCCUUCAAGAGGCAGAUUAUUUAUGCAAGUGAAUGCAGAAACGCAAUGCAUCAUCCACGGGGAUGGUACACCAAAAGGCGGGAUCAUAGUCUAUGCCCGCAGAUUAACAAUUUCGCUCAUAUAGAAAAUUAAUUUUUUAUAUAUACUAAUCAAUACUAAAUUGAUUAUGUUUUGUAUGUUUAUAUGCGAAUCAACACUAAAUUAUAUUAAAUGAAGAAAUAAUUCAAUUUUUUCUAAUUUAAUUUAGAAAAUAAAAUUAUUAACAUUAAUAUUCCCAACAAAAAUUAUUUUCCAUUAGUAUUCAAAGCUUCACUUAUGGAAAAUGUGUUUUACAUGAAUAUUAGUUACUGUGUAAAUUUGAAUGAUAGUGAAAAAUAAUUUUUUAAUUAUUGUAAAAAUAAUUAACCAUAUCAAAUCCCUUACGUAAAUAAUUUUUAUUUUUCAAAAAGGUAGAAAGAUGGUUAAUGCACAAGCAAAUUUUAAGCCCCUCUCUUCUUGGCCUAAGAUUCAAACUCAGAUGACUAGUUAAAUAAACCUAUGUGAAAAUCAUUCGGCCAGGUCCGCGGGGCAAAAAUACAAGAUCCUUAAUUUCAUAAUAUAUAUGAAUUAAUGUCAUUUACUUGAAUUAUCCAAAUUCAUCAGAGGUUAACGAGUUUUCCUGACAUGUAGCAGAUGAAGUUGUUGCUUCCUUCUUGGCAUUAUUUCAGCUCUGGUUGUUGGUCCCGAUGAGCUUUAGUCUUAUUUUAAUUUUAUUUAAACUCAUCAUAAGAUUCGUGAAGCACCUAACUGACUUAACUGACUGUGCAGAAAUGUCACAUAGCAUAUUUAACCGUUUUAACAGUAAUUUUGAACGGUCUUCGCAGUUAUCAUCUACAAACUCGUUCGUGUUGGUCCACUAGGUGAAGUUUUUGAAAUAAUAAUAAGCUCCCAUUCUUGAUUUUAAAAAAUGUGCUUAUAAUAAUUUUAGAAUAAUGGCUUAUUUAUAGAACAACUUAUGAUUUCCCAUUAGCAUUAUUAUUGAAGUGGGGUGGAUAACGGUUCACUCAAUUCGUCGGGAAUCAAAAAUUACCAUCCAAGGCAGAAUUGUGGAAAAUUAAAGCGAAAUGAGAAAUAUGGAAAUGAAGGAAGAAAGUUAAGGCAUGAAAGACUUCCAGUUGAAAUUGAUAAUCAUGUUUCUCUUUGGUAACUAAUCAAAUGGGAAACUGAACCAUAAACAGACAUUAAAACGUGUGGACUCCGCUAGCUGCCUUACAAGCCUACAAUAAUAACUGAGUACCUUUGAUUCAUCCUUCUAUGAAUUUCUAGCCGUAUUGACUCCACCGAAAUUUCCACAAAAAAAAAAAAAAAAAGAAUUUCCACAAAAUGCAAAACGCAUGGAACUUAAUUUUUGGCCCUGUGAUCACUAAGAUACAAUCCUUCUAGUGAAGAGCAAUCAGGCAAAUUUUUUUAGAUCUCUCCGACAAAGUGAUUACCAUCUAAUCGCAAUAUUGAAUAAAAAUAAAAAUUUUAAUGGGAGUUUGACCUUAAAUUUAGAAAAUGAAUUUUCACUUUCUUCAAUUAUUAAACAGAUUACAUACAUUUGAGGAAUUUGAAAACACUUUAUCCAUCGACAGUUAAAAUUAGAGAUGGAAGCUAGGUGCUACAGCUAAUGGGAUCAUUAAUUCCCCUCCCUCAAAUGUGUAGUUGUUCCUCUUUCCACAGCAUAAGCCUUAUAGUUAGAGUUUCUUUAAAAAAAAAAUGUUAAACAAUUUCGGUUGAGCAUGGUUUUGGUAGUUGAAUAGACACCUCCGCCGUACCUCAAACAAAACUGUCAUUAUUCGUGCCAUGAAACAUGUUUCGGCCGUCAAAGUCAUGAGUAGGAGUGUGCAUGGGUUGGUUUGGGUUAGAUUUUAAGUCAAUUCAAAGCAAACCAUAAAAAUUUGGGUUCAAUCCAAAUCAACCCAAAUAUUUUUAACCCAACCCAAACCAACCUAUUUGGGUUUGGGUUUGGAUUUUAUAAUUAAAAUAUUUUUUAUUUUAAUAAAUUUAACUAUAUCAAAUUAUAAUAAUUAUUAAAUUAAUAUUAAAAUACGAAAAAAUGUAGUGGAUAAAAAUUAUGAAUAAUGGAUUUUACAAUAACUUUGUUCUUAAAUAUUAACCAUAUUACAACAUAAAUUCUAACAAUGUCAAUACAAAUUAAAGUAAGAUAAGAUAUCUCAACUCAAGUAUCAAAGCAAUCCAUCAAAAUUAAAUUAUUUAAUUUUAUAAAUUUAAAUUUUCCGAGAAAUAAAUCUAAAAUUUAUUGUAAUUAGAAAAAGCGCCAAAAUUUUAAACGCAAUAAGAAAAAUUAGACAUAAAAUCUAAUUAGGUUUAAAUUUAAUUAAAAAAUAACAAUAGAAUCAUAUUUUAUUUGAUAAAAUCUUAAAAUCAAUUUCAUUUUUUAUUUUAAUAAGUUACAAUACAAAUAGGAUUAUAAAAUUAUAUUACAGAAUUUCAUAAAAAUAUUGUUUGAGUAAUUUAUUAAAGGACUCACCUACGUUGCCACAGUUGUAGCUUACCACGCUUUUUGUCUUUUUCCAGUAAAAUCGUAGAUGCUUUCAAAUUUAAUCUAACGGCUGCAAUUAAUUAUUAGAUAAUUUAAUCAGCCAUUGGCAACCUUUACAACCGGUUAUAUUCUCUCGUUACAUUUCUCGGCUACCAAAUAAUCCCCAAGAAAAUGACGAAGUGAGUAACUAAUACGCACACCGCAGAGAAAGAUGACAGGAGAAGAGAUGACGGUAGGCUCACCGGCACAAAGGUUCUUCGAUUGCUCUAUUUCUUCGGCGCUGGAUUUAUCUACACAGCUACAAUCGACAAGUGGCGGGAACUCGAGCAGAAGUCAUUGAAGAAGAAACAGCAAGAGAGCAAUCUAUGGACUGAUGAUAACUCAGCAACUACGGUAAAGAAAGCCGUCAAAUGAUCUUUUUUAUUUGACUUUUGAUGGAUUUUCAAGAGUUUUGGUAAUAAAAUGUCUCUUAAUUUUUCAUUUCAAUGGCCUAUUGUUUGAGUUAUUAUUAUGCAUAAUUGUUGGAAGAGUUAGGGUUUUACUAUUGGAUUUUGGAAUUUGUAUUUUGGCUUUGAUAUGUUAUUGUUGUGAUGUUGGUCAAGAAAUUUUUGACAACACUCUCCUCGAGUUUGAUACUAUAGCUAAUGAAUUUUUACGGCAGAUAUAUUCUUUUCUUUGAAAAAAAAAAACACUUUACAACUGGUUAUGCAUUCAUUUAGGAGCUGUUAACUGAGCGUGACUUCCAUAAUUUUCCAACCAGUGGUUAGGGUUUCACAGAAAAAUGUCGACAUUGAUCUUUAGGCAGCACUUAAGACUGAAAUUGGUUGUAGAGGAUUGAAUUUGGGGGACUAGAAAUUUCUGAUCAUUAAUAAUUGAAAAUGGCCUCUCACUUGUAGGCAGUUGUUGGAUGUAAUGUAUCCAGUUUCUGAAAUCGAAAGCAGAGUGAGUUCUUAGGUUAGAUGUACCUACAUGCAUUAAGGUUCGAAGAUGUAGAAUAGGCCAAUUGUUUGAUGUCAGCUUUGUUGCACAUGUUCUGAAAUUGAUCAUUUAAGAUGGCUUGGAAGCACUCCGUGAUGUGACUAAGAAGAUUCGAGGAAGUAUUAAAUAUGUUGAAAGUUCACAAUUAAUACAAGGAAAGUUCAAUGAGAUCACCCAACAAGUUGAAAUCAACAGUCAAAAGAGCCUAAAGUGUGAUAUUUUUCUCUUGGAUUGUUUUUUUAUUUUCCAUUUCAAAGCUGAUAGUGUAAAUAUUUUGUUUGCAAAAGUUUCUAAAAAGUACUUGAGUCAAGAUGGUUAGGUAUUUCAUAACUUCCUUUUUACUCUUAACUAGAUUCAUAGAGAGUUAUAACAUUAACAUAAUUUUUUUCUUUUAAAAGUGAUCAAUUAGACACUGAUGAGAUAUCUCACUUUUGAAUCAUUUAGCUUUAUGUAAUUUCAUUACUAUUAUAUGCCCCCAGGAAUUGUUGAAGUAUAUAUAUCUUGGCAUUUCUUCACUGACUGAAUUAUCUUUCAUAAUAUUCCAGCUUCAAAUGGGUACACUGCAGAGCCUAUUGGAUGCAGAAUUCCUUCUAGCUCAUAUGUGCUCUGUAAAAUUCAAAGACUGAAUAGUGGUUAUGGCAACUCUUUGUAGAUGAUCUAAGGUAUAAUGCCCAAUUAUUGCUUUUGCUUUAUCUGUUUUACCUUGCAACAUUUUGAAAUUUAUGAGAAGCAUAAAAUUACUGAGCCAAAAUUGAGGAUCUGAACUUUCGUAAAAAUAUUUGUAUUUUUAAAUUAUAAAAUAUUGCAUUUGAUGCUUUAGGUGGAACUUAGUUCACUACAGAAAGGAAAAUUAUGUUGGGCAUAACCAGAUGUUUUUCAAGAGAAAAUUUCACUUCUGAGGAUUUUACUUGGCCAUCUUAUUUCAAGCUGCUUGAAUUUUUUCUUUAUAUCAUCUUGGUUGUAUACUAUAACUCAUUGAAUUUGCUAGCACUUUUGCUAGUUGUUUAUUCUAUAUGUGAUUGUGGUGGUAAAGUUUGGAAGCUCAAAAAGUAAUGGAACUUAGGAAGNNNNNNNNNNNNNNNNNNNNNNNNNNNNNNNNNNNNNNNNNNNNNNNNNNNNNNNNNNNNNNNNNNNNNNNNNNNNNNNNNNNNNNNNNNNNNNNNNNNNNNNNNNNNNNNNNNNNNNNNNNNNNNNNNNNNNNNNNNNNNNNNNNNNNNNNNNNNNNNNNNNNNNNNNNNNNNNNNNNNNNNNNNNNNNNNNNNNNNNNNNNNNNNNNNNNNNNNNNNNNNNNNNNNNNNNNNNNNNNNNNNNNNNNNNNNNNNNNNNNNNNNNNNNNNNNNNNNNNNNNNNNNNNNNNNNNNNNNNNNNNNNNNNNNNNNNNNNNNNNNNNNNNNNNNNNNNNNNNNNNNNNNNNNNNNNNNNNNNNNNNNNNNNNNNNNNNNNNNNNNNNNNNNNNNNNNNNNNNNNNNNNNNNNNNNNNNNNNNNNNNNNNNNNNNNNNNNNNNNNNNNNNNNNNNNNNNNNNNNNNNNNNNNNNNNNNNNNNNNNNNNNNNNNNNNNNNNNNNNNNNNNNNNNNNNNNNNNNNNNNNNNNNNNNNNNNNNNNNNNNNNNNNNNNNNNNNNNNNNNNNNNNNNNNNNNNNNNNNNNNNNNNNNNNNNNNNNNNNNNNNNNNNNNNNNNNNNNNNNNNNNNNNNNNNNNNNNNNNNNNNNNNNNNNNNNNNNNNNNNNNNNNNNNNNNNNNNNNNNNNNNNNNNNNNNNNNNNNNNNNNNNNNNNNNNNNNNNNNNNNNNNNNNNNNNNNNNNNNNNNNNNNNNNNNNNNNNNNNNNNNNNNNNNNNNNNNNNNNNNNNNNNNNNNNNNNNNNNNNNNNNNNNNNNNNNNNNNNNNNNNNNNNNNNNNNNNNNNNNNNNNNNNNNNNNNNNNNNNNNNNNNNNNNNNNNNNNNNNNNNNNNNNNNNNNNNNNNNNNNNNNNNNNNNNNNNNNNNNNNNNNNNNNNNNNNNNNNNNNNNNNNNNNNNNNNNNNNNNNNNNNNNNNNNNNNNNNNNNNNNNNNNNNNNNNNNNNNNNNNNNNNNNNNNNNNNNNNNNNNNNNNNNNNNNNNNNNNNNNNNNNNNNNNNNNNNNNNNNNNNNNNNNNNNNNNNNNNNNNNNNNNNNNNNNNNNNNNNNNNNNNNNNNNNNNNNNNNNNNNNNNNNNNNNNNNNNNNNNNNNNNNNNNNNNNNNNNNNNNNNNNNNNNNNNNNNNNNNNNNNNNNNNNNNNNNNNNNNNNNNNNNNNNNNNNNNNNNNNNNNNNNNNNNNNNNNNNNNNNNNNNNNNNNNNNNNNNNNNNNNNNNNNNNNNNNNNNNNNNNNNNNNNNNNNNNNNNNNNNNNNNNNNNNNNNNNNNNNNNNNNNNNNNNNNNNNNNNNNNNNNNNNNNNNNNNNNNNNNNNNNNNNNNNNNNNNNNNNNNNNNNNNNNNNNNNNNNNNNNNNNNNNNNNNNNNNNNNNNNNNNNNNNNNNNNNNNNNNNNNNNNNNNNNNNNNNNNNNNNNNNNNNNNNNNNNNNNNNNNNNNNNNNNNNNNNNNNNNNNNNNNNNNNNNNNNNNNNNNNNNNNNNNNNNNNNNNNNNNNNNNNNNNNNNNNNNNNNNNNNNNNNNNNNNNNNNNNNNNNNNNNNNNNNNNNNNNNNNNNNNNNNNNNNNNNNNNNNNNNNNNNNNNNNNNNNNNNNNNNNNNNNNNNNNNNNNNNNNNNNNNNNNNNNNNNNNNNNNNNNNNNNNNNNNNNNNNNNNNNNNNNNNNNNNNNNNNNNNNNNNNNNNNNNNNNNNNNNNNNNNNNNNNNNNNNNNNNNNNNNNNNNNNNNNNNNNNNNNNNNNNNNNNNNNNNNNNNNNNNNNNNNNNNNNNNNNNNNNNNNNNNNNNNNNNNNNNNNNNNNNNNNNNNNNNNNNNNNNNNNNNNNNNNNNNNNNNNNNNNNNNNNNNNNNNNNNNNNNNNNNNNNNNNNNNNNNNNNNNNNNNNNNNNNNNNNNNNNNNNNNNNNNNNNNNNNNNNNNNNNNNNNNNNNNNNNNNNNNNNNNNNNNNNNNNNNNNNNNNNNNNNNNNNNNNNNNNNNNNNNNNNNNNNNNNNNNNNNNNNNNNNNNNNNNNNNNNNNNNNNNNNNNNNNNNNNNNNNNNNNNNNNNNNNNNNNNNNNNNNNNNNNNNNNNNNNNNNNNNNNNNNNNNNNNNNNNNNNNNNNNNNNNNNNNNNNNNNNNNNNNNNNNNNNNNNNNNNNNNNNNNNNNNNNNNNNNNNNNNNNNNNNNNNNNNNNNNNNNNNNNNNNNNNNNNNNNNNNNNNNNNNNNNNNNNNNNNNNNNNNNNNNNNNNNNNNNNNNNNNNNNNNNNNNNNNNNNNNNNNNNNNNNNNNNNNNNNNNNNNNNNNNNNNNNNNNNNNNNNNNNNNNNNNNNNNNNNNNNNNNNNNNNNNNNNNNNNNNNNNNNNNNNNNNNNNNNNNNNNNNNNNNNNNNNNNNNNNNNNNNNNNNNNNNNNNNNNNNNNNNNNNNNNNNNNNNNNNNNNNNNNNNNNNNNNNNNNNNNNNNNNNNNNNNNNNNNNNNNNNNNNNNNNNNNNNNNNNNNNNNNNNNNNNNNNNNNNNNNNNNNNNNNNNNNNNNNNNNNNNNNNNNNNNNNNNNNNNNNNNNNNNNNNNNNNNNNNNNNNNNNNNNNNNNNNNNNNNNNNNNNNNNNNNNNNNNNNNNNNNNNNNNNNNNNNNNNNNNNNNNNNNNNNNNNNNNNNNNNNNNNNNNNNNNNNNNNNNNNNNNNNNNNNNNNNNNNNNNNNNNNNNNNNNNNNNNNNNNNNNNNNNNNNNNNNNNNNNNNNNNNNNNNNNNNNNNNNNNNNNNNNNNNNNNNNNNNNNNNNNNNNNNNNNNNNNNNNNNNNNNNNNNNNNNNNNNNNNNNNNNNNNNNNNNNNNNNNNNNNNNNNNNNNNNNNNNNNNNNNNNNNNNNNNNNNNNNNNNNNNNNNNNNNNNNNNNNNNNNNNNNNNNNNNNNNNNNNNNNNNNNNNNNNNNNNNNNNNNNNNNNNNNNNNNNNNNNNNNNNNNNNNNNNNNNNNNNNNNNNNNNNNNNNNNNNNNNNNNNNNNNNNNNNNNNNNNNNNNNNNNNNNNNNNNNNNNNNNNNNNNNNNNNNNNNNNNNNNNNNNNNNNNNNNNNNNNNNNNNNNNNNNNNNNNNNNNNNNNNNNNNNNNNNNNNNNNNNNNNNNNNNNNNNNNNNNNNNNNNNNNNNNNNNNNNNNNNNNNNNNNNNNNNNNNNNNNNNNNNNNNNNNNNNNNNNNNNNNNNNNNNNNNNNNNNNNNNNNNNNNNNNNNNNNNNNNNNNNNNNNNNNNNNNNNNNNNNNNNNNNNNNNNNNNNNNNNNNNNNNNNNNNNNNNNNNNNNNNNNNNNNNNNNNNNNNNNNNNNNNNNNNNNNNNNNNNNNNNNNNNNNNNNNNNNNNNNNNNNNNNNNNNNNNNNNNNNNNNNNNNNNNNNNNNNNNNNNNNNNNNNNNNNNNNNNNNNNNNNNNNNNNNNNNNNNNNNNNNNNNNNNNNNNNNNNNNNNNNNNNNNNNNNNNNNNNNNNNNNNNNNNNNNNNNNNNNNNNNNNNNNNNNNNNNNNNNNNNNNNNNNNNNNNNNNNNNNNNNNNNNNNNNNNNNNNNNNNNNNNNNNNNNNNNNNNNNNNNNNNNNNNNNNNNNNNNNNNNNNNNNNNNNNNNNNNNNNNNNNNNNNNNNNNNNNNNNNNNNNNNNNNNNNNNNNNNNNNNNNNNNNNNNNNNNNNNNNNNNNNNNNNNNNNNNNNNNNNNNNNNNNNNNNNNNNNNNNNNNNNNNNNNNNNNNNNNNNNNNNNNNNNNNNNNNNNNNNNNNNNNNNNNNNNNNNNNNNNNNNNNNNNNNNNNNNNNNNNNNNNNNNNNNNNNNNNNNNNNNNNNNNNNNNNNNNNNNNNNNNNNNNNNNNNNNNNNNNNNNNNNNNNNNNNNNNNNNNNNNNNNNNNNNNNNNNNNNNNNNNNNNNNNNNNNNNNNNNNNNNNNNNNNNNNNNNNNNNNNNNNNNNNNNNNNNNNNNNNNNNNNNNNNNNNNNNNNNNNNNNNNNNNNNNNNNNNNNNNNNNNNNNNNNNNNNNNNNNNNNNNNNNNNNNNNNNNNNNNNNNNNNNNNNNNNNNNNNNNNNNNNNNNNNNNNNNNNNNNNNNNNNNNNNNNNNNNNNNNNNNNNNNNNNNNNNNNNNNNNNNNNNNNNNNNNNNNNNNNNNNNNNNNNNNNNNNNNNNNNNNNNNNNNNNNNNNNNNNNNNNNNNNNNNNNNNNNNNNNNNNNNNNNNNNNNNNNNNNNNNNNNNNNNNNNNNNNNNNNNNNNNNNNNNNNNNNNNNNNNNNNNNNNNNNNNNNNNNNNNNNNNNNNNNNNNNNNNNNNNNNNNNNNNNNNNNNNNNNNNNNNNNNNNNNNNNNNNNNNNNNNNNNNNNNNNNNNNNNNNNNNNNNNNNNNNNNNNNNNNNNNNNNNNNNNNNNNNNNNNNNNNNNNNNNNNNNNNNNNNNNNNNNNNNNNNNNNNNNNNNNNNNNNNNNNNNNNNNNNNNNNNNNNNNNNNNNNNNNNNNNNNNNNNNNNNNNNNNNNNNNNNNNNNNNNNNNNNNNNNNNNNNNNNNNNNNNNNNNNNNNNNNNNNNNNNNNNNNNNNNNNNNNNNNNNNNNNNNNNNNNNNNNNNNNNNNNNNNNNNNNNNNNNNNNNNNNNNNNNNNNNNNNNNNNNNNNNNNNNNNNNNNNNNNNNNNNNNNNNNNNNNNNNNNNNNNNNNNNNNNNNNNNNNNNNNNNNNNNNNNNNNNNNNNNNNNNNNNNNNNNNNNNNNNNNNNNNNNNNNNNNNNNNNNNNNNNNNNNNNNNNNNNNNNNNNNNNNNNNNNNNNNNNNNNNNNNNNNNNNNNNNNNNNNNNNNNNNNNNNNNNNNNNNNNNNNNNNNNNNNNNNNNNNNNNNNNNNNNNNNNNNNNNNNNNNNNNNNNNNNNNNNNNNNNNNNNNNNNNNNNNNNNNNNNNNNNNNNNNNNNNNNNNNNNNNNNNNNNNNNNNNNNNNNNNNNNNNNNNNNNNNNNNNNNNNNNNNNNNNNNNNNNNNNNNNNNNNNNNNNNNNNNNNNNNNNNNNNNNNNNNNNNNNNNNNNNNNNNNNNNNNNNNNNNNNNNNNNNNNNNNNNNNNNNNNNNNNNNNNNNNNNNNNNNNNNNNNNNNNNNNNNNNNNNNNNNNNNNNNNNNNNNNNNNNNNNNNNNNNNNNNNNNNNNNNNNNNNNNNNNNNNNNNNNNNNNNNNNNNNNNNNNNNNNNNNNNNNNNNNNNNNNNNNNNNNNNNNNNNNNNNNNNNNNNNNNNNNNNNNNNNNNNNNNNNNNNNNNNNNNNNNNNNNNNNNNNNNNNNNNNNNNNNNNNNNNNNNNNNNNNNNNNNNNNNNNNNNNNNNNNNNNNNNNNNNNNNNNNNNNNNNNNNNNNNNNNNNNNNNNNNNNNNNNNNNNNNNNNNNNNNNNNNNNNNNNNNNNNNNNNNNNNNNNNNNNNNNNNNNNNNNNNNNNNNNNNNNNNNNNNNNNNNNNNNNNNNNNNNNNNNNNNNNNNNNNNNNNNNNNNNNNNNNNNNNNNNNNNNNNNNNNNNNNNNNNNNNNNNNNNNNNNNNNNNNNNNNNNNNNNNNNNNNNNNNNNNNNNNNNNNNNNNNNNNNNNNNNNNNNNNNNNNNNNNNNNNNNNNNNNNNNNNNNNNNNNNNNNNNNNNNNNNNNNNNNNNNNNNNNNNNNNNNNNNNNNNNNNNNNNNNNNNNNNNNNNNNNNNNNNNNNNNNNNNNNNNNNNNNNNNNNNNNNNNNNNNNNNNNNNNNNNNNNNNNNNNNNNNNNNNNNNNNNNNNNNNNNNNNNNNNNNNNNNNNNNNNNNNNNNNNNNNNNNNNNNNNNNNNNNNNNNNNNNNNNNNNNNNNNNNNNNNNNNNNNNNNNNNNNNNNNNNNNNNNNNNNNNNNNNNNNNNNNNNNNNNNNNNNNNNNNNNNNNNNNNNNNNNNNNNNNNNNNNNNNNNNNNNNNNNNNNNNNNNNNNNNNNNNNNNNNNNNNNNNNNNNNNNNNNNNNNNNNNNNNNNNNNNNNNNNNNNNNNNNNNNNNNNNNNNNNNNNNNNNNNNNNNNNNNNNNNNNNNNNNNNNNNNNNNNNNNNNNNNNNNNNNNNNNNNNNNNNNNNNNNNNNNNNNNNNNNNNNNNNNNNNNNNNNNNNNNNNNNNNNNNNNNNNNNNNNNNNNNNNNNNNNNNNNNNNNNNNNNNNNNNNNNNNNNNNNNNNNNNNNNNNNNNNNNNNNNNNNNNNNNNNNNNNNNNNNNNNNNNNNNNNNNNNNNNNNNNNNNNNNNNNNNNNNNNNNNNNNNNNNNNNNNNNNNNNNNNNNNNNNNNNNNNNNNNNNNNNNNNNNNNNNNNNNNNNNNNNNNNNNNNNNNNNNNNNNNNNNNNNNNNNNNNNNNNNNNNNNNNNNNNNNNNNNNNNNNNNNNNNNNNNNNNNNNNNNNNNNNNNNNNNNNNNNNNNNNNNNNNNNNNNNNNNNNNNNNNNNNNNNNNNNNNNNNNNNNNNNNNNNNNNNNNNNNNNNNNNNNNNNNNNNNNNNNNNNNNNNNNNNNNNNNNNNNNNNNNNNNNNNNNNNNNNNNNNNNNNNNNNNNNNNNNNNNNNNNNNNNNNNNNNNNNNNNNNNNNNNNNNNNNNNNNNNNNNNNNNNNNNNNNNNNNNNNNNNNNNNNNNNNNNNNNNNNNNNNNNNNNNNNNNNNNNNNNNNNNNNNNNNNNNNNNNNNNNNNNNNNNNNNNNNNNNNNNNNNNNNNNNNNNNNNNNNNNNNNNNNNNNNNNNNNNNNNNNNNNNNNNNNNNNNNNNNNNNNNNNNNNNNNNNNNNNNNNNNNNNNNNNNNNNNNNNNNNNNNNNNNNNNNNNNNNNNNNNNNNNNNNNNNNNNNNNNNNNNNNNNNNNNNNNNNNNNNNNNNNNNNNNNNNNNNNNNNNNNNNNNNNNNNNNNNNNNNNNNNNNNNNNNNNNNNNNNNNNNNNNNNNNNNNNNNNNNNNNNNNNNNNNNNNNNNNNNNNNNNNNNNNNNNNNNNNNNNNNNNNNNNNNNNNNNNNNNNNNNNNNNNNNNNNNNNNNNNNNNNNNNNNNNNNNNNNNNNNNNNNNNNNNNNNNNNNNNNNNNNNNNNNNNNNNNNNNNNNNNNNNNNNNNNNNNNNNNNNNNNNNNNNNNNNNNNNNNNNNNNNNNNNNNNNNNNNNNNNNNNNNNNNNNNNNNNNNNNNNNNNNNNNNNNNNNNNNNNNNNNNNNNNNNNNNNNNNNNNNNNNNNNNNNNNNNNNNNNNNNNNNNNNNNNNNNNNNNNNNNNNNNNNNNNNNNNNNNNNNNNNNNNNNNNNNNNNNNNNNNNNNNNNNNNNNNNNNNNNNNNNNNNNNNNNNNNNNNNNNNNNNNNNNNNNNNNNNNNNNNNNNNNNNNNNNNNNNNNNNNNNNNNNNNNNNNNNNNNNNNNNNNNNNNNNNNNNNNNNNNNNNNNNNNNNNNNNNNNNNNNNNNNNNNNNNNNNNNNNNNNNNNNNNNNNNNNNNNNNNNNNNNNNNNNNNNNNNNNNNNNNNNNNNNNNNNNNNNNNNNNNNNNNNNNNNNNNNNNNNNNNNNNNNNNNNNNNNNNNNNNNNNNNNNNNNNNNNNNNNNNNNNNNNNNNNNNNNNNNNNNNNNNNNNNNNNNNNNNNNNNNNNNNNNNNNNNNNNNNNNNNNNNNNNNNNNNNNNNNNNNNNNNNNNNNNNNNNNNNNNNNNNNNNNNNNNNNNNNNNNNNNNNNNNNNNNNNNNNNNNNNNNNNNNNNNNNNNNNNNNNNNNNNNNNNNNNNNNNNNNNNNNNNNNNNNNNNNNNNNNNNNNNNNNNNNNNNNNNNNNNNNNNNNNNNNNNNNNNNNNNNNNNNNNNNNNNNNNNNNNNNNNNNNNNNNNNNNNNNNNNNNNNNNNNNNNNNNNNNNNNNNNNNNNNNNNNNNNNNNNNNNNNNNNNNNNNNNNNNNNNNNNNNNNNNNNNNNNNNNNNNNNNNNNNNNNNNNNNNNNNNNNNNNNNNNNNNNNNNNNNNNNNNNNNNNNNNNNNNNNNNNNNNNNNNNNNNNNNNNNNNNNNNNNNNNNNNNNNNNNNNNNNNNNNNNNNNNNNNNNNNNNNNNNNNNNNNNNNNNNNNNNNNNNNNNNNNNNNNNNNNNNNNNNNNNNNNNNNNNNNNNNNNNNNNNNNNNNNNNNNNNNNNNNNNNNNNNNNNNNNNNNNNNNNNNNNNNNNNNNNNNNNNNNNNNNNNNNNNNNNNNNNNNNNNNNNNNNNNNNNNNNNNNNNNNNNNNNNNNNNNNNNNNNNNNNNNNNNNNNNNNNNNNNNNNNNNNNNNNNNNNNNNNNNNNNNNNNNNNNNNNNNNNNNNNNNNNNNNNNNNNNNNNNNNNNNNNNNNNNNNNNNNNNNNNNNNNNNNNNNNNNNNNNNNNNNNNNNNNNNNNNNNNNNNNNNNNNNNNNNNNNNNNNNNNNNNNNNNNNNNNNNNNNNNNNNNNNNNNNNNNNNNNNNNNNNNNNNNNNNNNNNNNNNNNNNNNNNNNNNNNNNNNNNNNNNNNNNNNNNNNNNNNNNNNNNNNNNNNNNNNNNNNNNNNNNNNNNNNNNNNNNNNNNNNNNNNNNNNNNNNNNNNNNNNNNNNNNNNNNNNNNNNNNNNNNNNNNNNNNNNNNNNNNNNNNNNNNNNNNNNNNNNNNNNNNNNNNNNNNNNNNNNNNNNNNNNNNNNNNNNNNNNNNNNNNNNNNNNNNNNNNNNNNNNNNNNNNNNNNNNNNNNNNNNNNNNNNNNNNNNNNNNNNNNNNNNNNNNNNNNNNNNNNNNNNNNNNNNNNNNNNNNNNNNNNNNNNNNNNNNNNNNNNNNNNNNNNNNNNNNNNNNNNNNNNNNNNNNNNNNNNNNNNNNNNNNNNNNNNNNNNNNNNNNNNNNNNNNNNNNNNNNNNNNNNNNNNNNNNNNNNNNNNNNNNNNNNNNNNNNNNNNNNNNNNNNNNNNNNNNNNNNNNNNNNNNNNNNNNNNNNNNNNNNNNNNNNNNNNNNNNNNNNNNNNNNNNNNNNNNNNNNNNNNNNNNNNNNNNNNNNNNNNNNNNNNNNNNNNNNNNNNNNNNNNNNNNNNNNNNNNNNNNNNNNNNNNNNNNNNNNNNNNNNNNNNNNNNNNNNNNNNNNNNNNNNNNNNNNNNNNNNNNNNNNNNNNNNNNNNNNNNNNNNNNNNNNNNNNNNNNNNNNNNNNNNNNNNNNNNNNNNNNNNNNNNNNNNNNNNNNNNNNNNNNNNNNNNNNNNNNNNNNNNNNNNNNNNNNNNNNNNNNNNNNNNNNNNNNNNNNNNNNNNNNNNNNNNNNNNNNNNNNNNNNNNNNNNNNNNNNNNNNNNNNNNNNNNNNNNNNNNNNNNNNNNNNNNNNNNNNNNNNNNNNNNNNNNNNNNNNNNNNNNNNNNNNNNNNNNNNNNNNNNNNNNNNNNNNNNNNNNNNNNNNNNNNNNNNNNNNNNNNNNNNNNNNNNNNNNNNNNNNNNNNNNNNNNNNNNNNNNNNNNNNNNNNNNNNNNNNNNNNNNNNNNNNNNNNNNNNNNNNNNNNNNNNNNNNNNNNNNNNNNNNNNNNNNNNNNNNNNNNNNNNNNNNNNNNNNNNNNNNNNNNNNNNNNNNNNNNNNNNNNNNNNNNNNNNNNNNNNNNNNNNNNNNNNNNNNNNNNNNNNNNNNNNNNNNNNNNNNNNNNNNNNNNNNNNNNNNNNNNNNNNNNNNNNNNNNNNNNNNNNNNNNNNNNNNNNNNNNNNNNNNNNNNNNNNNNNNNNNNNNNNNNNNNNNNNNNNNNNNNNNNNNNNNNNNNNNNNNNNNNNNNNNNNNNNNNNNNNNNNNNNNNNNNNNNNNNNNNNNNNNNNNNNNNNNNNNNNNNNNNNNNNNNNNNNNNNNNNNNNNNNNNNNNNNNNNNNNNNNNNNNNNNNNNNNNNNNNNNNNNNNNNNNNNNNNNNNNNNNNNNNNNNNNNNNNNNNNNNNNNNNNNNNNNNNNNNNNNNNNNNNNNNNNNNNNNNNNNNNNNNNNNNNNNNNNNNNNNNNNNNNNNNNNNNNNNNNNNNNNNNNNNNNNNNNNNNNNNNNNNNNNNNNNNNACUCAUUUUCCGUUCCAUUUUUAUGGCUUUUUCAGUGCGAAGAUGGAGCUCAGCUUCUCUACGGCCUGUAAAUGUUGCGGAUACUGGUGCUGAUAUUGAGUGUAGAGAAAUUUCGCUUCUUCAAAGUCCAACUUGUUUAAAUGCAAAAAAAGAAAAGAAACGGACUUGCUGCUGCUUGGCGACUUGUUCUCGGAGCUUGAUUGCCUGUUUCUUGAUAGCUUCCAUACUGUUUCUUUCAAAAAGCGACGACGGCUCAGCUCGUGGAAGUUGGGAAAGAAAAAAAGUGUGAUCGAGAAAAAUAAAAAGGCAUGAAUAAUUGUUGACAAAAAGCGAAAAUCAAGGAAAGCCAGCUCUUUCCAGAAAAUAAAAAAGAAAAAAGAAAAUUAUAAGUUUGAAAGGAGAAGAUGAUAGUGGAAGUGUGCGGUGUGGCUGCCAGCUACUAGGAUUUUACUGUUGGGUAAGGUAAUAGUAGAGAAUUUUUUUUUUUUUUUUUUAAGAAAAAUAGUAGAGAAUUUUUUAAGAAGCUAGAACAGAGCAUGACAUUAGACUUUUGUGGACCAAAUUCAAAACCGAAUGGCACGGCCCAGAAGCUUUUGAAUAGCAAAACUUGCAUCAGCCUCAAUCACUUCUUAAUCGCUUGCUUUAACUGCAUCGCUCUCUCUGUGCUCUUGUACAUAUGUAACGGUUAUGCGGUUGUAGUUCACGGCUGAGGCUACGCGUUGGUUUGACGUGGCAGUUACGUGACAAGGGGAUAAAUAAGAUUGGUUGCAACAAACCCACUAAUUUUAUAAAAUUCGAGUAAUAUAGAAUAAAAUAAAAAAACAAAUACAAAAUUGGCUUUUAUUUUUUAUGGUUGACUGUAUUUUGUGUUCUCUUCCGGCACUACUACAAUUGUUCCCUAUAUAUCAGUCACACCCAUAUAUCAUUAACACAAGAAAUGAAAUCUAAUGUCACCUAUUUAGUUAAAAGAAUCACUCAUGAAAAAAAUUUACCAUUUUGAUUUGAGGAUCCAUAUUUUGAACUGCAAGCUAAUGUUCAUCAAGAAUCACUGAUGUUCAUAAAAAUCAGAGUAUGGACGUUGAGUAGAAAAACUAUUUUUGGACAAAUUAUUUUUGUUGAUAGAAGAAUUUCUUAAGGGACUACUAAAAUUAUUAAUAAAAAUGUAUAACACACCCACAUAUCAUCGACACAAUUGACUUUGAGGAUCCAUGCUUUGAACUGCCGCCAAAUGUUCAUCAAGAAUAGAGUAUGACUUGUGUGUAGAAAAUUUUAUGAUUUUGGCCCGAAAUAAAAGGAAAUUAAAUUAGAUGAGAAUCUGCCACUUCUCAUGAAGAAAGGCUAAAUUGUUGAACUGCUGCUUGGCAACAUAUAUCACUCUAACUCAUUAAGAAAAAUAUGAGUCCUAAGUAAUUGCUAGGUAGGGUUCCUGAGAGUAAAAUUGUCCUAAGCAUUAUAUGCAUACAUGGUGUGGUACAUAGAGCACGUUGAAUUCCACACUAUAACACAAACUCAGAAAGACAAGUAAUAACUCAACUGAUAUAAAGACAAAAAGAAGAUAAAAUGAUAUAGAAAAAAGAAUUUCAAAGAGACAGCAACAGACGAUAGACUGAAGCCACUUGAUCUGCUCAUUGAUUGCAGCCUUAAACUCGCAAAUAGUUACUGUACGCUAGUGCUCUAAGAAGUGAAAAUGAUGCGAGCCCUGAUUCCCUUUUGACUUCCAUUUACUGUCAAACAUUCUAGUUCCAGCAAUUUUUUUUUUUGAUAUCUCGCUAUAAAUAUAGCCGUUUGACUGUCAUAAUAAAGUCACAAAUAACCAUUCAUAUUGAUCCACUGUCACACAGCAUGCUUUAUGCAUACAACAGCUGUAUGUAUACCAACUCCUAACCUUAUCAAUACAUUUGGCAAAAACUUAAGAAGAAAACUAUUUCUCCAUCUCUUUUUUGAAAUUUCACAAUAAACCAGCACAUUGUAAACGUUAUGUUGUAACCUUAUGAUAAAUGCUCUAGACUCCAAAUGAAUUUUAUAUAUGAGGGUUUGUUGCAGCAGAUAUAUUGACUUAUCAAGUAUGAAUCAUUCUCUAGAAGAACUAUCUUUAUAUGAAAGAAUAUUAGAACCACUCUAGAAUAUCUUUAGGCUGCUGGUUCUAACAGGAAUCUGCAUGUGGCAACAGUUGCCAGAUCCACAAUUCCCCAACUUGAAAUACAUAGUUGCACACCGUGAGAUAGUGCUGCAAUCUACUGAGAUCUUACUUAUAUGAUACUUUAAGCUACUAAUGUUUGCAUAUUUCUACAUGUUAAAUUGACACUACCAUCUAUAAUCACUCCAAAACAACAGAUGAUAAGCAGCUUUUGGCCACUUAUUACUAGCAUCCACAAUUAUAAAUAAGAGAUCAUGGGUUUACUUGUUGCACCUACUUAAUGAUCUACAGUUGAGACCCUGACGCAAGGUUUAAAUAGUGACUGCUUAGAACCCUUGUAGUUGGAUCUUGACCUCUCCCAUUGUAGCCAAGAUUGGCUACUCUGGUAAUGAAUCAACACUCUCCUGCUCAGGGCCAUGAAGAUCUGGAAGCUCAGCACUAGUGGAGAACUUCACCAAUCUCUUCUUCUCAGCAUACUUGAGAUAGGCUGCAUUACGAGACCAAUCACCACAGCACCAACGCUUAAAGCUGCAACUUUUAAAGUAGAAAGAGCCAACACAACACAAAUCAAUAUGGUUGGAGGAAUACACAUGAUAAUGGCUCCAACAGUGCCAGUGGGUAUCUUGUAAGGACGAGAUAAAUAGUAGAGAAGUUUUUAAGAAGCUAGAACAGAGCAUGUUAGACUUUUGUGGACCAAGUUCAAAAGCCUAAUGGAACGGCCCAGAAGCUUUUGAAUACAAUAACUUGCUAGAAAGCUCCAUUUUUUGUUGGCUACAGUAAAAGGAUGUUGUUUUAUUCUUCUUAUACUUUACGCCUGCAUCAGCUUAAAUCACUUCUUAAACGCUUGCUUUAACUGCACCGCUUCGUACUGCUCUACAUAUGUAACCGUUAUGCGGUUGUAGCUCACGGCUCAAGCUACGCGUUUGUUUGACGUGGUAGUUACGUUAUGACGUUUCGAGUCUGUUAAACAUUCGGUGAUAAGAUUCGUUACAACAAACCUACCAGUUUUAUAAAAUUCAAGUGAGAUGGAAUAAAAUAAAAAAUAAAUAUAAAAUUGGCUUUUAUUUUUUAGGUUGACCAUAUUUUGUGUUCUCUUCGGGCACUACUACAAUUAUUCCCUAUUUAUCAGUUACACUCACGUAUCAUCGACACGAAAAAUAAAAUCUAAUAUCACCUGUUUAGUUAAAGAAUCACUCAUGUUUGAACUACCAAUUAAUGUUCAUCAAGAACGGAGUAUGGCCGUUGAGUAGAAAAACUAUUUUUGGACAAAUUAUUAAAUUCCAAUAUUGUAUCCAUAUGCAAACGAUGCCUGAAGCAGAGCCUCCAAACACUGACCAGGGCACAAAACAAGAGUGUAGUAAUCAAGUGUAUUGUCUCAUAAUCAAUUAAAAGCAGAUAUACAGGAUACCAUAUUCAAUUCCAAAAUAACAAAAGCAUAAUGAGGAUGAGAAGAACAAUGCAAGAUUUGUUGUCGUUUUAGUUGCUUCUAAUAUUUUUUAUGACGCACAUCUAUUGAAUUAAGAGAUUUCUAUAAUCAGUGCCGCAGUACUGAAAAUAAACUACUUGUCAGUCAAAUAGCUGAGUAUUUCUAUGAGAAUGUCAUUAUUAAUGAGUGUCAUUAUCUAUUCAAAUUAAUCAGUGUCAUUAUCGACUUAUUUAUAAAGACAAAAAGAAGAUAAAAUCAUAUAUAUAUGAAAAAAAAAAAGAAUUUCAAAGAGAUAGCAACAUACAAUAGACUGGAGCCAUUUGAUCUGCUUAUUGAUUGCAGCCUUAAACUAGUAAUUAGUUACUGUACGCUAGUGCUCUAAGAAGUGAAAAUGAUGCAAACCCUGAUCCCCUUUUGACUUCCAUUUACUGUCAAAUAUUCUAUUCAUACGAAAAAAAUGUUUAGAUAUCUUACUAUAAAUAUAGCCGUUUGACUGUCUUAAUAAAGUUACACACAACCAUUCUUAUUAAAUUAGCAAGAUCAAACACUGCCCUGGAUCUUGAACAGAUCCACGCAAGUUGCACAACUUACGAUUGAAUCCGGCCAGAAACAAUCAACUCUUUAGUAAGAACAAUUAAUCAGAGUCAAGAAACAAGUUUAAUGAAUAUAAACCUAUAAUUGAAACAAACAUAGCCAAGAAACAAAUAGAGAUUUUACAUGUUUCAGUUGUACCAAGGAUGGCACAACCUACACCACGGGAGAAGCUUUCUGGUGACCCCAAUCUGCUUAGUUAAUAAUAGAGAUUUCAGAGAAUAAGCUAUAACCCUCUCUCCCUCUUCAAUCUCUCUCUAUUUUGUUCCCAUUGAUGACCCCAAUCUGCUUAGUUAGCCAGCUUUAUAGCUGCAUCAGUAACAAACCAGCAAACCCAGAUUGAGCAGAUUGACGACACGUGGAUAACGGCUUUAACGAACCUGGUUAAGAACUGCUCACAUGUUCGUCACGCGUACUGCUUAAAUGAUGGCCAAAACGACUUCAAACAAAUGUCGUUUUGAGGCUUAUGAAUUACAAGUGAUAACACGAGCUUGUCUCAUGACUUUUAAAUGCAACAACGCGCCCAAAACGCCGUCGUUUUACUCUGUUGAGUUUGAUUCGUUACUAAGCUUUACGACUGGCAAUGGAGAAGAUGAUAAUUUAAUUAACAUGGACAGUUUUUAUAUCACUUUUACAACAUCCUAUGCAAUUGUGAUAUUGGGAAUUAUUGAUGUUUUAUAUGUGAAUCCUCAUUGGCAAAAACUGAGUGGUUUUAUCUUUAUUGAAAUGUAGAUGACCUCUCGUUACUAUUUUAUUANNNNNNNNNNNNNNNNNNNNNNNNNNNNNNNNNNNNNNNNNNNNNNNNNNNNNNNNNNNNNNNNNNNNNNNNNNNNNNNNNNNNNNNNNNNNNNNNNNNNNNNNNNNNNNNNNNNNNNNNNNNNNNNNNNNNNNNNNNNNNNNNNNNNNNNNNNNNNNNNNNNNNNNNNNNNNNNNNNNNNNNNNNNNNNNNNNNNNNNNNNNNNNNNNNNNNNNNNNNNNNNNNNNNNNNNNNNNNNNNNNNUCAAGUUAAUUUGAUCCGUUUAUAAGAGAUGAAGUGGAAUGAAGUUGAAAGUCUUGAGUUUUACGACGUCGUUACUCCUUCAAGUGGCAGAUUAUGCAAGUGAAUGCAGAAACACAAUGCAUCAUCCGCGGGGAUGAUACAUCAAAAGGCGGGAUUUGUUUAUGCCUGCAGAUUAGCAAUUUCACUCAUAUAGAAAAUUAAUUUUUUAUAUAUACUAAUCAACACUAAAUUGAUUAUGUGUUGUAUGUUUAUAUGCUACUCAACACGAAAUUAUAUUGAAUUAUUAACAUUCAUAUUCCUAAUAAAAAUUAUUUUCCAUCAGUAUUCAAAAUUUUCACUUAUAGAAAAUGCGUUUUACGUGAAUACUAGUUAUUGUGUAAAUUUGAAUGAUAGCGAAAAAUAAACCUAUUUGAAAACUGUAAGGGUGUGUUGGGAUAUUUUACAACUGUCGGAAUCUGGUAGGAUAUUGCACCAUUUGCCCAAUAUUUUUAGACGUACUCCAACCGGUAUUCAAGAUAAGUAAAAGUUACAAGCGUGGCAAAAUAAAAAAUUAAAUUCGUAAUUUGUAAACGAAUUUUCCUGACAUGUAGAGUAGAUGAAGUUGUUGAUCCUUUCUUUGGAUUAUUUCAGCUCUGGUUGUUGGUCACCGAUGAGCCGAAGUCUUAUUUUAAUUUUAUUUAAACUCAUCAUAAGAUUCGUGGAGCACCUAACUAACUUAACUGACUGUGCAGAGCAUCUCAACAUGGCACAUUUAACCAUCAUUCAAGUGAUAGGUUUAAUAAGACUGCUUUUGUUCUAUCAAGUUCCUCUGCCUCUAAGCAGAAUUACUAUUGAAGGGCCAAAUGGAAAAUGAAAACGUGUGAACUCCAACAACCACCCCACAAAUUCAAUGACGAUGCUCGGAGAGGGUUAGGUUGGGCCUCUGAGAAAAAAAAAAAUAUUUAGUUAAAAAGUUACCCUUAUUGAAACCUGUAUAAAAAUUUUAUAUUAAUUAGUUAUGUUGCCUCUUCAACUAUGAUCAAAUUUUUAUCCGAGCUCAUCAUUUAAUGAGUAAACAUGUAUUUUAAGGGUCCGCCUAAGUUACGUUAAACGUAACUUACGGCUUGGCUGUGAAAUUUCAUCCAGCCCCCCAUAUUCGCUGUUAUUUAUAUUAUAUUCAUAAAUAUUAUAAAAUUUUUUGAUUUAAAAAAUUUCAUUUAACCCCUUACACUCAAUUUUAUUUUAUUAAAAUCUUAGAGUAUGAAUUCGCCCCCUAUAAUUUUAAAUUCUCAAAAUAACCUCAUUUAAUUAAAAAUUUUAAUUAUUAUUAAUUGAAUUAUAAUUAUAAUUAUUAUUUUAUUAUAAUCAUAAAUAUAUUUAUAUUUUUUAAAUAGAUUAUUAUUAUUAUUAAUCACAAGAAUAAAAAGUAUUACAAUUAAUUAAUCUAUUAACAAUAAUUAAUAAUAAUUUUCUAUUAAAUUAAUAAUAAUUAACGAUAAUUAUUAUUAAUAAUUAAUUUUUGAAAAUUAAUGAUAAUUGUUCAGAGUCCUAGGAAUGCCAAUGCCCACCUAGGCUUAGCUAGCAAAGUAGCAACAUACCCUCAUCACUGAUAUUAAUUGCAGUACUACUUAGUGCCAUAAUUGUCCAAGUCCUUGUUAGUUUUGAGAAACGUGUGUUUCUGAUUUUGUUAAAUCUCUUGUUUGGUUAACAAGAAAGCUAUUGCUUUAAUUUCUUUUGCAGCUAGAAGUGAAUGCAUACAGUAUGAUAUAAAUAUCGGGCAACUUGUUCAGAGUCAGUCACAAUCUAUUAACGAUAAUUGUUAAUUAUUAUUAUUAUUCAAAAAUUAAUUAUUAAUAAUAAUUAUCGUUAAUUAUUAUUAUUAUUAUUAACAAUUUAAUAAAAAAUAUUAUUAAUUAUUGUUAAUAGAUUAAUUAAUUGUAAUACUUUUUAUUCUUGUUAUUAAUAAUAACAAUAAUCUAUUUAAAAAAUAUAAAUAUAUUUAUAAUUAUAAUAAAAUAAUAGUUAUAAUUAUAAUUCAAUUAAUAAUAAUUAAAUAAGGUUAUUUUGAGAAUUUAAAAUUAUAGGGGGCGAAUUCGUACUCUAGGACUUCAAUAAAAUAAAAUUGAGUGUAAGGGGUUAAAUGAAAUUUUCUAAAUAAAAAAUUAUUAUAAUAUUCAUGAAUAUAAUAUAAAUAACAGUGAAUAUGGGGGGCUGGAUGAAAUUUCACAGCCAGGCUGUAAGUUACGUUUAACGUAACUUAGGCGGACCCGUAUUUUAAUGAUCUCAAUUAAUAUUUAGAACAAAUAUUUUAAGAAGUAAAGCUCAUUAUAUCCCCCAUUAUUAUGUAUUUCUUUAAUUUCUUAUUUACAUAAUUAUAUUGUACAUUAAAAAUAUAUUGAAUUUGAAGAGAAAAAAAUUCAAAAAAUUCAACUCACUCAAAAAAAAUGCUGGUAGCUUCGUAAUAAUUACUGUAUUGACUGCACCAGAUAAAGUUUUGUAAAAUAAUAAGUUCUCAUUAGUGGUUUUUCGUUUUUUAUUUUCUUUUCCGGCACACCUGAUCAAGAAUUCUAUUUUGUUAACUAAUCAAUUGCAAAGCAUAAGUGUUGAACGGUACAAAAAGUGAAAACUAUGAAUAAUAAUUAUUCCUUAUUAUAUUGACUGCACCAAGCAAUAAACUAAUAAGUUCUCAUCAGUGGUUUUUAAUCUUUUUAAUUCUUUUUACCGCACACCUGAUCAAGAAUUCUAUUUUGUUAACUAAUCAAUUGCAAAUCAUUUAUUAGUGUUGAACGGUGAACAAAAUUGAAAAAAAAAAAAAUCUUAAAAAACGUAUAUUCUUAAAAAAUUCUUAACUUGCAAGGCUAGAAUAUCUUGACUUGAACGGUUGCAAUGAUUUCUCAUCAUUGAGAGUUUAUCAUUGUGCUUCAUCAUCAUCAUCAUCAUCAUCAUCAUCAUUAUUAAUAAAAAGGUAAGCAAUUAAGAGUCAAAUUAAACCACUUGAAAAUCACUCAUCCACACUUUUGGGACAUCAUCUGCUCAUUUAUUUUAUUCUGUAUCUUCAUUGUUUUAUUUGAUAAUUAUUACCAUUAGUAAAUAAAGGGAUUAGUUGAUAAUUGUGAAGUAACUAAAUGGAGCUCACCCUUAAAUGUCGGCUUAUAUGAAGGAGGUGCCUUAGGGAUAAUAAAUCAACUAAUCCCAUAAUUUGUUGAUGUAGGGUCCUAACAAAUUAUUGCUGUAGAUCAGCACACAGCUUGAAAACAUAUUUGAUUCACGAGAAAUGUUCCAGUCAGGAAUUUUAAAGUGCAGGAAAAUACGGAAAACCUUUAAAACCGCAUGGUUUUAAAGGCUUAAAACUGUAAGCCUUUAAAGCCGUGUGGUUUUAAAGCUUUCCCGGACUUUCCCGCACUUUAAAUUCCCUGACCAGAAAACUACUGUUUGAUCCACACAGUGAAGAUGAUUCAAUAUUAAGCAUGUCAUAUAAUCUGGAGUUGGAUAUUGGACCAAUUUGAUGAUAAUGAAUUUCUUUCAAUCUCAAUCUUUAUCUUAUUCGCAACAUGACUAGCCAUUGCGUAAAUUCAAACUCUAACAAUGAUAAGUUUGUGAUAAAGGCAUCUAUGAGUACAAUGGGAAAAUUACAUGAACUUAUGUUAUCAAUCAUUGUUUUGCCUUCUCGUGAUAGAAUUCUGUGCAACAUAAAACAUGAUAUAUUUGUACCUUACCAUGCCGUGUCGUGAACCUAGAAGCAGUGCAAAUUGCAAGGAACAUAUUAAGCUAUCUACUGUAUAUAACAAAUUCUUAUUAGCCCACAAUCUUGUGCCGCCACAUUGAUCAAGUAACACUAUUAUAUCAUUUCCAAAAUGGCAUAUAUAAUCUAAUGUUGAACUAACCAAAUUGGGAAUCAUCAUUCCUUACAUUAAGCUGACAUUCGUACCUGCUAGUCCAUGAGCAAAGCUGACAUUUGAAAUCACUUUCUCUUGGAAUAUUUAAUGACCCUUGAUGAAAGUUCUUGAAUGGAAUUAUUUAAUUUGAUUUGAUUUCCAACAAAUUCAAGAAACCCCACACAGUAGCUAAAUAAAAAUCAACCAAUAAUACGCAAUGGGUUUCUUUCUUUUUGCCUUUGGAGGGCCAUGGAGAUCUGGAGUGGGCUGUAAGUAAUAGCCUUUAUCACUGGAAUGACAGAUUUGCAGAAGAUGAUACAUGGGGAAGGAUUGGGCGAGCAUAAAAAUGGGUUUACACUCUUGGAUUAGCGCUGUUGAGAAUCAAAUAAAAUGGCAUUGAAUGAAGCUUUCAAAGACAGAAUCUGCACUUGUCAAAGGGGUAAUCUACACUUGUCAAAGACAAGAUCCGCGCCGAACGGAUUGACACAUUUCCUUCCGUAUUCACAUAUAUAAUCUAUGAAAAAAUGUAGCCUCUGCAUCUAUAAAUAACUCUCAAUGUAUAAUAUUUUUUUAAGAAAUGAAAACACGUUUCUUCAUGGUAUCAGAGCCAUGAAUACGCUCAACUUUCUUCAAGUUCCGCUGCUCUGUUUGUAACAAAAACAGAGGAAACCAAAUUCCUCCCACAACCAUUUUUCCCACCAUUUUCUUUCUUAAACCCAUUCUUACCAUUACACAUAUCCAUGCCGAUCAAGAAACAAGCCACCCAUACGUAAAAAACUCGAGUUUUCAAAUUUAUCAACAAUCCCAUCAAUUUUCCAAGAGUGUGCUCUUCAAAAACCAAGAACACCAUCAAAUUUCUCAGUUUUCAGUGAGGAAACUGUAAACAUUUCGCAAUUAAACACAUUUUCACGCGCUCACACGCGCCACCCGAAGCCACGGCCAGUCAACCACGCGCCUCUGUCAUUAUUCACGCGCUCUCACGCGCUCCAAAGGUUGAAGAAGACUUCAACCGACAUGUCGUUUUUUAUCUCAGAAGUGCAGCAGUAAAACACGACUUGUCGUUUUUUUAUUAUAUUACAACCGACAAGUCGUUUCUAAAUUAGAGAUAAAACGACGUGACGUUUAGUCUCCAGAAGUGCAGCAGGAUUCAAACGACAUGUCGUUUAUAUUCCACCAUAACCGACAUGUCGGUUUGUCAAGCAGUGGUCAAACGACCUGUCGUUUUGUUAUCUAAAAAGGUUAUUUUUUUCCUUCUUUCAAUCUAGACGAAAAAAAAACAAAAAAAAAAAAGAAAAAAGAGAAAAAAAAGAAAAAUAAAGAAAAAUAAAAAAAUAAAAAAAUGGAGAAAACUCCAACUGAAUCUAGUCCUGUUGUCAUUCAAUCUGAUGGAGUAUUUAAUGCUGGAAUUAUCCUCACUGAGACAAACUACGAUGUUUGGUCUCAAAUAAUGGAGAUGCAUCUUGCAGAAAGAGAAAAACUCUCAUAUAUUCGUAGCAGCACAAAGCCAUCUGAGGAAUUUUCAAAGGAAUAUGAGAAAUGGUAUAGUGAGAACCAAAAAGUAAAAAGAUGGUUACUCAUAUCCAUGUCUCCGGAGAUCAUGAAGCGGUAUUUACGAAUUCCUACAGCCUACGAAAUCUGGGAUGCAUUAUCAAAAGCCUUCUAUGAUGGAAGCGAUGAAUUACAAGUUUUCACUCUAAACCAGAAGGCAUUCUCUACCAAGCAAAAUGGACUACCACUCUCUAAAUUCUAUGGAGAAUUGAUCGAAAUAUUUCGAGAACUUGAUCACCGAGAUAAAGUGGUCAUGAAGGAUCCAGAAGAUGUUGUAAUAUACAGAAGGUCUGUUGAAAGAUUGAGAGUGCACAUUUUUCUUGCUGGGCUAGAUGAAGAAUUUGACCAAGUUCAUGGAGAAAUUCUACGAAAAGAUAUUAUCCCAGACUUAGAAGAAUGUUAUUCUCUGAUCCGAAGAGAAGAUGUACGGCAAAGCAAACUAAACAAGAAGGUCGACUCAGAAACGUCUGCUAUGAUAGCACGACAACAGCCUCAAAGAAAGUUUGUUGACAAGUCAUCACUCCAUUGCACUCAUUGUAGAAAGAAGGGUCAUACGAAAGAACAAUGUUUUGAAAUCAUUGGAUAUCCUGACUGGUGGGAUACUUGAAAGAAGAACACCAAGCAUGGAUCAAAAAGUGCAGUAGCUGAAUCCACAUCCACUACAGAUCUUAGAAAAGAAUCUUCAGUACAAAUCGCAACCGCUGUCAAUCCAGGUAAGGCCCUUAAAACUCUUACACCUGUUAUUAAUAGUACAUGGAUAAUUGAUUCUGGGGCAACUGAUCAUAUGACUUUUGAUUCUCGACAAGUUUCUCAACUGAAAACAUCUUCACAAAAACAUAUUUCCACUGCAAAUGGAACCACAACCUCAGUUAUUGGGGAAGGAUCUUUACGACUCACAAAUGAAUUAAAUUUAGACACUGUGUUAAUUGUUCCAUCUUUAGAUUAUAAUCUUUUAUCUGUGUCUCAAUUAACCACUUACUUAUCAUGUGUUUUAAUUUUUUGGCCUGAUCAUUGUGUGUUUAAGGACAUCCAAACGAAGCAAACGAUUGGUUAUGGUAUUAGACGAGGUAACUUGUACUACUUGGAAAUGUCAUCAACAAACACUGGAAAGCUAAGCCCCGCACUAGUCGCAGAUAGUUUCAUAAAAAAAGGGCAAUUAGAAAUUUGGUUAUGGCAUAGACGUUUAGGGCAUGUGUCAUUUGGUUACUUAAAAAAACUAUUUCCUAGUUUGUUUCUGAAAUUUGAUGUUUGUAACUUUAAAUGUGAUGUUUGUGAACUUUCAAAAAGCCAUCGAACUACUUUUCCAUUGUCCUUAAAUAAAAAUCCAGUUCCUUUCAUGGUAGUACAUUUCUGAUGUAUGGGGGCCAUCUAAAGUUUCUACAAUUGGAGGUGCUCGUUGGUUUGUUACAUUUAUUGAUGAUUGUAGCAGAAUGACAUGAUUUUUUCUGAUGAAAUCGAAAGACGAAGUAAACUCUUUAUUUCAAAGAUUUCAUAAGAUGGUGACAACUCAAUUUCAGACACAAAUUCGAGUUCUACAUACUGAUAAUGGAGGCGAGUAUAUGAGCACAGCAAUUCAACAGUUUCUGAAAUCACAAGGAUCUGUCCAUCAAACCACUUGUGUGGGGACACCCCAACAAAAUGGCGUUGCCGAACGAAAAAACAGAUAUUUACUAGAAGUUGUUCGAGCAUCACUAAUCCAAGCCCACAUGCCAUUAUCUUAUUGGGGAGAAGCACUGGCAUCCGCAGCAUACUUGAUCAAUCGAACACCUUCAAGCUCCCUUGGAUUCCAGACUCCUUUCCAAGUUCUGAAUGAUGCAAUUAUGUCACCAAAUGUGCCGAAUCUGCCCCCACAUGUGUUUGGCUGUGUUGCCUUCGUUCAUUUGCCGCAAUAAGACAAAUUAUCUCCUCGAGCGCUACGUUGUGUGUUUGUAGGGUAUGCCUUACAUCAAAAGGGAUACCGAUGCUAUCAUCCACCAUCAAGAAAAAUAUACAUCACCAUGGAUGUCGUUUUUCAUGAAGAUAUCAUGUACUACUUGUCAGAGUCUGAAUUUCAGGGGGAGUAUAAUGAAGAGGAAAUUCAUACUCUUACUUGUCUUCCACCUGAAGAAAGUCAAUCUUCCAUUGAGAUAGUAAACCUUCAAGAAACUGGAAAAGAAAAUGGUGAUGAUUCUCAGGCUGAGAUAAGUGAAGACACAUUUGGGGAGCACAAUAACUCAGACACAACUGCAAUCGAGAAUGAGUCACAUGAAGAAAUACCUAACCAAUCGUCUGCAGAGGAUGUUCCUACCACAAGUCCAAUAAGAAGAAUUCUUCCUCAGCGUCAAAAUAGAGGUAUCCCUAAACCCACAUAUGAGCCUGACUUCUCUAGUAGAGUCAAAUACCCUAUGAGUCAUUUUGUGUCUAACCAUCGCUUGUCAGAAUCAAAUCAGUCAUUUGUGAAUCAAUUAUCUGCUGUAUCUAUUCCUAACAGUGUGCAGGAAGCUUUAAAAGACCCAAAGUGGAAAGCGGCUAUGAAUGAUGAAAUGAGAUCUUUUCAGAAAAAUCAAACAUGGGAACUAGUUGAUCUUCCACCAAGAAAGAAACCAAUGGGUUGUCGAUGGAUUUACACUAUAAAAUACAAAGCAGAUGGCUCUAUUGAACGAUACAAAGCAAGACUCGUAGCUAAGGGUUACACCCAAACCUACGGGAUUGAUUAUACUGAUACGUUUGCACCGGUAGUAAAAAUUAAUACUAUUCGUAUCUUAUUAUCAUUAGCAGUCAUCUUGGAUUAGCCAGUGCAACAGUUCGAUGUAAAGAAUGCUUUCCUCCAUGGAGACUUGUCUGAAGAAAUUUAUAUGGAUCUGCCACCAGGAUGCAGUGGACCAGAACGACUCAAUCAGAAAGUAUGCAAAUUGAAGAAAUCAUUGUAUGGGUUGAAGCAAUCCCCAAGAGCAUGGUUCGGGAAAUUCACAAAGGCUAUGGUUCGUUUUGGGUAUAACCAAAGCAAUUCAGAUCAUACCUUAUUCAUUAAAAAACGACAAGGUAAAAUCACUGCCCUUAUUGUCUAUGUGGAUGAUAUGGUAGUUACAGGCAACGACGAGGAAGAAACAGAGGCUCUUCAGAAGUACUUGUCAAGAGAAUUUGAGAUGAAGGAUUUAGGUGCCUUAAAAUACUUUCUUGGAAUUGAGGUUUCUCGAUCCAAGGGAGGAAUCUUUCUGUCUCAAAGGAAAUAUGCCUUAGAUCUAUUGCACGAAACGGGAAUGACAGCUUGUCAGCCUAUUGACACCCCAAUAGAAGAAGGACUGAAGUUUUGUAUUACUUCAGACCAAGUUCCAGUAGACAAAGGAAGAUAUCAAAGGCUGAUUGGAAGAUUGAUGUACUUGUCCCACACAAGGCCAGAUCUUGCUUAUGCAUUGAGUGUUGUAAGUCAGUUUAUGCAUAAUCCCGGAGAACAACACAUGAAAGCAGUAAUGCGGAUCCUGAGGUACCUGAAGACAAAUCCAGGAAAAGGAAUCCUAUUUUCCAAAAAUGAAGAUUACAACAACAUAGAAGUUUAUACUGAUGCAGAUUGGGCCGGGUCAGUUAGUGAUAGACGCUCUACUUCAGGAUACUUUACCUUUGUGGGAGGCAACCUUGUCACAUGGAGAAGCAAGAAACAAAAUGUCGUUGCCCGUUCGAGCGCUGAAGCAGAAUAUCAAGGCAUGGCCCUUGGGAUAUGUGAAGGGCUAUGGAUAAGUUUUAUCUUAAACGAUUUGGGCUAUCCAUCACAACAACCAAUACAACUAUACUGUGACAACAAAGCUGCACGAGAUAUUGCUCAUAACCCAGUUCAACACGAUCGAACAUUACAUGUGGAGGUAGAUAGAUUUUUCAUCAAAGAGAAAUUAGAUGAAAAAAAUUUUUGAAAAACAAAAAAUAUUAUCAAAAGAUCAACUAGCAGAUAUUUUAAUGAAGGCCNNNNNNNNNNNNNNNNNNNNNNNNNNNNNNNNNNNNNNNNNNNNNNNNNNNNNNNNNNNNNNNNNNNNNNNNNNNNNNNNNNNNNNNNNNNNNNNNNNNNCCUAGACAAGUUGGGUAUGCAAGACAUCUAUGCACCAGCUUGAGGGGGAGUGUUGAGAAUCAAAUAAAACGGCAUUGAACGAAGCUUUCAAAGACAGAAUCUGCACUUGUCAAAGGGGUAAUCUACACUUGUCAAAGACAAGAUCCGCGCCGAACGGAUUGACACAUUUCCUUCCGUAUUCACAUAUGUAAUCUAUGAAAAAAUGUAGCCUCUGCAUCUAUAAAUAACUCUCAAUGUAUAAUGUUAUUUUUAAGAAAUGAAAACACGUUUCUUCAAGCGCCUCAUUUAGGUUGUAGGCUUGUAGCGAGAUAAAGAUAUUAAUUAAAGUUUUAUAAUCCCUGUUAUGAUUAAGGCUUCACUUAGUAUAGCAUAGAGCUUUUUGAGUUUUACAAGUAAUUUUUUUUUUACAGGUAUAAUUUUUAUUUUUAACAAAAAUUAAUUAAAUAAUAUUAGAAAUCCUAAUAUUUGAGUCCUAAUAUCAUAUAUCACUCAUUUAUUAGAUGACAUAUUUCAUAACUUAUAAAAUUAUUUAACUAACAUCCAAUUAAUGAAUGUUACUAUAGUGAAGACUCAAAUUGAAAUUUAAAUGUUGGGUUGCGUGACAUUUCUCUUAUUUGGUUGUUUAUGAGAGCUUUCUUGUACAAAAUAAUUUUUAUACAAAUUGAUAUAGUCUAAAUUCAUUAAUUAAAUUAAAAUAUAAAAUAAUAAAAAUAAAUAAGUUUGUAUAAGAAUAAUUAAUUCUUUAAUCCAUCUAAUUGAAUUAUCCUAUGUCUAUUUAUAUUAAAUAAAUUUGUAUAAAAAAUUAUAGUUUUGUUUUUAGAUGUGCAACUAAAUUUUUAGUCUCUUAUUCCUCGUAAAAUUCAAAUCUGAGUGGCUCAUCAAAUAAAAUUACAACUACUGGUUAAUCAAAUAAAGUUAUUCCAUCGAGGUCAUGAAAUUUACCAGCCAAAAGAGUUUUAAAUGUCUAUUUUAUAAAUUUUUUAAAAAUUGUUUUAUUUACCAUUUUACCAUCCGUAGUAAAGGUGUCGCAUCGACAUUGAACAGAUCAACAUAUCAGUCAUUUCUCAUUCAGCCAUUAGGAAUUUACGUUUGGGGUAUUUUUGUAAUUAUAAGAAGGUAAACUAAUCGCAAAACUCAUUUGGCUUGCACUUGCUCGCCUGUGCUCUGUGUAUGGUUAUGGCGUUAUCAUUAUCAUCUUCUCCACUCCUACUGACGCCAGACCUUAACAGUUCAGAUUCCCUUUCUCGACUGUCAUACCCUACGCCCCGUCUCCGUGUCUCCGAUAAACAGUGCUCAAUUAAGGCCAUCAGAUUAUCCCGGACCCACAUUGAUCCAACGGCUCACAGUGACCAACAUCCUCUCUAUCUCCAUUUCAAGCUUCCCUCUUCAACUGGCUUCUGCUUCUGUCGUACUCUUUCUUGGAUUCGGAGUCCGUAUUUGCUCGGUCGGUCCGCACAGCUCCCUCUCACUCCAAUUGUCACCCAACAAGACCAAUUGCUUAAUCAAGGCACAGAGCAAGGAGAGGAUGAGAAAUUGAAUCAAGAAUUUGAGAAUUGGAAAUCGAAAACGUACGCAUUGACCCUGCCUGUGAGAGUCGUUUCUCUUCAGAAUUCAGUGCCUCAAUCCUGGGUUAAGGAUUUUAUGCGAAGUCAAGGAAAGAGAUUGAAGUUUCAGAUGAAUUUGUGUGCUAGCAUUGAUGGGAUCGUUAACAAUUUAUCUGUGCCCUUUAACAAAGUUAAGGCUAAGUCAGCUUCUUAUAUGGCUGCUGAUUUGGUUAGUGUUGGUGAUUCAUGGCUCAGCUUUGCGAUUAAAAAGAGAUCGAUUGAGCCAAUAGCUGGAGCUGAAGGCCAAGAUUGGUUCAAAUGCUUCAGUCACAAACGGAAGGUAACAUCUUUGUCUUUGACCCGAUAAUUUUUAUUGUCUUACAUUGAAAUUUGGUAAUGUAAUUUGUUCUCUAUUUGUGUUACCCUUUGUAGUCGUUUUAUUUAUUUAUUUGUUUGUUUAUUUGCUUUUAUUUGCACUAACGAAGUCUCAGGUAUAUCUACGCAGGAAUGAUGCAGGAGAAAUUGAUCCUCGAGGUGAAAUAUGGGCGGCACCAUACAGGUGGGGCACAAUGGUGAUAGCCUACAAGAAAAGUAAAUUUUGAAAGCAUAAUUUGGCUCCGAUUGAGGUAAUAACUGUCUUUAAAGUCAUUUAGUUUUAUAUCAAACAAAAUCAAGGUUGCCUUUCUCGUCAAUAUUUUUGAUGAUAUUAUCUUCUACAAAUGGAUCAUUAAACUUCUUUUUUGUAGUCAAAUGUACAGUAAGAACAAUGAGAAGCUAUGCCACUGUAGCACGUAGUGAUGGCACUUAAUAAGUGAGUUGCUAGGAUGUGAACAAGAAAAAUUAAAUAUUGUCUCCUUGGGUAUGCUAGCUCGUAAGUCAGGGUUAAUAUUAGAGCUUAAGAUACUAUAAACAUGCGAAACUAUUGACUACCAAUUAAAAUAUCCAUUAAAAUGUCUAGGGAGUUAUGAAGGUAGGGAUAUCUUCCAAUUUCUAAGGCCACAUAGUAGACAUCAUCCAGGAUCCUAGGAAAGUGCGGUUGAUCUCCUGCUUGAUGCAGUUAAUAAAUUUGGUCAAUGCGACUGAAACCUGCUAACUGACGUCGCAAUGCGACAUGAGCACUUCAAAAUGGGAUAGACAGUAGCACUAAAUUUUUCUUGCCUAAGAUUGGGCAAUUGGUCUAAAUACUAACCCCUAUUGUAAGUUGAUCAUUAUUUUUUCAAUUAUGUUCAUUUUGACCCAAAAGUUACACAAUCUUGAUCUGAAUAUUGUCACUGAACACUGUCAAUGUCGUUUAGCAUUGGCAACUAACUCGAGUUUGGUAAAACAAACACACACAGUGUGUCUCAUGUCUCACAAUUCAAAUUAUCAUCUGUACUGAUGGAGAAUUUUUCUGAUGUAUGAAGUAUGCUUUGAUACGUAGGUUAGCUUGGAGAAGAUAUCUCAAAAUAAAGAAUAUGGGGAGCGAAUGGGAAGAAAACAGUUCGGUAGUUUAUGAUUCUGUAGUCAAGUUUUGUCUCGAAAAUGGUCAAAAUUUAAAUGAAUGGACAGGGGAUCUUCAUUCUUUUUUCACUUCUUUAUACCGAGAUAUCUCUUAACCUUUAUAUAAUCCCCACUGGAUAUCUGCUUCUAAUAAUUAAAAUAAAAAUUUCAACCACACCAAUAAAUAAUCAUCUUAGAGUGAGACUAUCAGUACAACCCAAAAACAUAAUAAAACUGGUUUGGUUCUGUUUGUUGAUGUUUAAAUGUUGUUCAUCGUGACAUGUAGAAAUGAUGAGGUGAAGUUUCUUUGGCCAUCAAAUAGUAAGAUCUUGCUUGAAGUUGUUUUCUGAAAUGAACAGUCAAAUGGUAGUUUUUUUGGGCCAUUCGAUGGCUCUUUUCUUCCUCAUUUUAAACUUGUGCCUGCUUGGAACAGGAUGGAUUAGGCUGCAGAGUUAUAUAUUUUGACAUGCUCUGGUCAUUACACAAUUUGUUCAUACUGGAAAUUAGGAUGAGAAAUUUGUUGCUGCUGUUUUGAGAGAUCUGCAUUCUAUGCACAAACAUGAUUAAUGAAAAUGGAUUGUAGGACUGGAAAGAUCUGUGGCAGCCUGAGCUCGCAGGAAGGAUUUCAAUGGUUAAUUCUCCCCGACAGGUUAUUGGUUCAGUUUUGAAGUCUAUGGGAGCAUCAUACAAUUCAGACGAUAUUGAUUCACAAGUUGCUGGUGGGAAGAUUGCUGUUCAGCAGAAUCUGGCAUUACUGGUAAACCAGGUACUCUUAAAGAAAUGAUAUCUGGUCAUUGCAUGUUAUUGCCUGACAACUGAUUUUGUUUGUAAAAGUCGGCUUCUUCAUACAUAUGAAUGCAUUUUUUUGUGUUUUCUUCUCCUUUUCAUACAUAUGAAUGCAUAUGUUAGUGUUGUCUUUUCCUUUUCAUACAUAUUAAUACAUAUGUAGAUUUCUUCAUCAUUGUAGCCUCCGAUUUCUUCAUCAUUGUAGCCACCGAUUUCUUCAUCAUUGUAGCCUCCAUAGUUGAAGUUUCCUCAUUUGAAGCUGUUUAUGCAUAUGCUUUUUCCCUUCUCAAGUACAGGAAAUUGAAGAAUUAACCAGAUGUGAUAUGCUGAAAGAGUGAAGUUUUCUCCCUUGAAUGUGGCCUUGUGAUUUGUCUUGAAGGAAUAGGAUGAUCACUGGCAAGAACCCUAUCAAGGUAGAUUUUAUGGUGUUAACAUAUUUUUAAGCAUUUUGUUACAUCAGCAAUGAUGCUUUCAUAGCAUGAAAGUGUUUAAUUUAACUGACUGAUCUUGAUUAAUCAAUUAUGAGUUUUAAUCGAGUAAAAACUAAAUACAAUCAUCGUCAACAAAUUCUGAAAUUGGGUAAAUAUCAUCUUGAUAUUGAAGAAUUUGAAAACACAAUCCACACAGGAAAUCACCCUUCGCGUGGGGAUGGAGAUGUUUACUGCAACGAUAUCGAAUAUGUGCACGGUGUUGUCCACUGAAACAAUGGAAAAAAUUAACAUAGGGGUAUUUAAAUAAUUAAACUCAGACCUCUUUGUAUAUGUUAUCCUAACUUUACUUACCCAUGUUUGUAAUUUUCACUUAACAGUUGAUGCCUAAACCAUUAAAACCAAAUGACCAUAGGGGUAUUUAAAGUAUGUAAAAAUAAACAAAAACACGUAAAAAAUUUCAAACAAUUAAUAAUUACACUCUAAAUGUACCACUUAACUCUUAAUAAUAGCCAUACUCUAAAACAAUCUACAACCUUUGAGGGGAGUAGCUAUGAGGAAAAUCCUUUUCUCAGUGGAUUGCCAUUGUCCGAGAGUUGCAAUGAAAAGAGACCACCAGCAACUGAGCCGGAAGAUUCAACUAGCACUGAAAAAAAUGAUAAUUUAAUUGAUAUGGACAGUUUCCAUAUCACUUUUAAAUCAUCCUAUGUAAUUGUGAUGUUAGGAAGCAUUAGUGAUCUGUAUGUGAACUAUUAUUGGCGCCAUUGGUGGUUUUAUCUUGUUAAAAUAUGGAUGACUUCCAGUUACUAUUUUGUAGUACACAAUUUUAUUCAAUUAACAUACAGCUUAAAACCAUUAUGUAUGUGCUUUAUUAAGAUUCUCAAGUACCAAUCACGUUUGCUUAAGAAAUAAAAUUUUGCCAUUAAAAGCGUAGUAAUAUUUCCAAGCGCUUCGCAUUUAUCUCAACAUUUUGAAGGAAUUUUGAGAAAUAUACUUUUAUUUACUUUGUCAAUUAAUUAAUUAAUUAAUUACUAUUUGGCUUGGAUUGGACGAAAUUCUCAUGAUGUUUUAAUUUCUUUAAAUUAAUUAAUUAAUUAACUCUGUUUUUAAGUCUUAAGUCUGGGCGUGUUUGCAGAAUUUGAUUCCUUCAACGAUUUAGAAGUGUUGGACAUGAGUGGCAAUGAAAUCGACAAUCUUGUGGUUCCUCAAGGUAAACAAUUAAAAUAUUAUUCAAUUACAUUAUUUUAAUUCAUUUGAUUAGGGAAGGCCAAAAAGGUAAGAAAAAAUUAAAUAAAGAAACAGAGAAUUUGUAUUAUUUAAAAAACAGAAUGUAAUAAAGAUUUGAUUCUAGUUCUUUAAUCUUUAAAGCGAUUGAAAAACAAUGUUGCUCUUUUCCCAAAGCAUAAAAUACGAAUUGAAUGCCAAUUAACUUAAUCAUUCAUUUCGUUUAGCUCUAAAUUUAGACAAUGAAUUUUUAUAUUAUUUCAAAAACAGGACGCAAUAGAAUUUUUUUUAAAAACAGAUUGUAAUAAAGAUUUGAUUCCAAUUCUUUAAUCUUUACUGCGAUUGAAAAAUGAUACUACUUCCCAAAGCAUAAAAUACGAAUUGACUCCCAAUUAAAUUAAUCAUUUAUUUCGUUUAGGUCUAAAUUUAGAAAAAUGAAUUUUGAUUCUCUUCAAUCCUUUCCUAAUUAUUAUUAAUAAACAGGUUAUAGAGGUUGGAGGAAGCUGAAAAGCCUGUAUCUAUCGGGAGUUGGAAUUAGAGAUGGAAGCAAGUUGUUACAGUCAAUGGGAUCAUUCCCAUCCCUCAACACUCUUUACCUGAAGCAUAAUAAUUUUACCGAUAUAGCGACAACAACGAACUAAAUGCAGAAAUAACUGAGUCACAUUCUUUGACCGCCCCAAACUUCCAAUUAUCACGUCUCUUGUUGUCUUCCAGUUACGGAGACAGUUUCAUAUUCCCCAAAUUCCUUUACCAUCAACAUGACCUGGAGUAUGUUGAUCUCUCACACAUAAAGAUGAAUGGAGAAUUUCCAACUUGGUUGUUGGAAAACAACACAAAAUUGAGACAACUUUCUCUCGUCAAUGAUUCUCUUGGAGGACCUUUUCGGUUGCCAAUUCAUUCACACAAGCGGUUAGGAAUGUUGGAUAUGUCCAACAACAACUUCCGAGGCCACAUUCCAGUAGAAAUUGGAGAUGUUUUACCAAGUUUAUACGUUUUCAACAUUUCCAUGAAUGCUUUAGACGGUAGCAUUCCCUCUUCAAUUGGUAAUAUAAAAUUCCUCCAAAUUCUGGACUUAUCCAACAAUCACUUGACUGGUGAAAUCCCCGAGCACUUGGCCGUGGGUUGCGUCAACUUGCAGUCUCUUGCAUUAUCAAAUAACAACCUACAAGGUCAUUUGUUCUCUAGAAAUUUUAACUUGACAAACUUGCAAUGGUUACAAUUGGAGGGCAAUCGCUUCGUAGGUGAGAUCCCACAAAGUUUGUCUAAAUGCUCCCCACUAGAAGGAUUGUAUCUUAACAAUAAUAGUCUUUCGGGUAAGAUUCCACGAUGGUUGGGUAAUCUCACAUGGUUACAAUAUAUUAUAAUGCCCAAUAAUCAUCUUGAAGGCCCUAUUCCAGUGGAGUUUUGUCAGCUUGAUUCGCUUCAGAUUUUAGACAUUUCAGACAACAACAUAUCUGGAAGUCUACCAUCUUGUUUCCAUCCUCUCAAUAUCAAACAAGUUCAUCUUUCAAAAAAUAUGUUACAUGGACAGCUAAAAAGAGGUACAUUCUUUAAUUGCUCUUCCCUUGUGACAUUAGAUCUUAGCUAUAACCGCUUGAAUGGCAGCAUUCCGGAUUGGGUUGAUGGGCUUUCUCAGUUAAGUCACCUUAUCUUAGGUCACAAUAAUCUUGAAGGUGAAGUGCCAGUUCAAUUGUGCGAAUUGAACCAACUACAAUUGUUAGAUCUUUCUAAUAAUAAUCUUCACGGUCCUAUUCCUCCUUGCUUUGAUAACACCACACUUCAUGAAAGUUACAGCAAUAGUUCUAGUCUUGAUGAGCAAUUUGAAAUAUCUUUUUCCAUCGAAGGCCCUGACGGAGAUGUAGAAAAGCAAAUCCGUGAAAAUUUUGAGUUCACAACAAAGAACAUUGCGUACAUUUACCAAGGAAAAGUGCUUAACCUCCUAUCAGGACUUGAUCUUUCUUGCAACAAGCUAAUCGGUCAUAUUCCUCCUCAAAUUGGAAAUUUGACAAGGAUUCAAACAUUGAAUCUAUCGCACAACAACUUGAUAGGAUCGAUCCCAUCAACAUUUUCAAACUUGAAGUAUGUCGAAAGUUUGGAUCUUUCCAACAACAAAUUGAAUGGAAAAAUCCCUUAUCAACUAGUGGAGUUAAAGACAUUGGAGGUUUUCAGUGUGGCAUACAAUAACUUAUCAGGCGAAAUUCCAGAAUGGAAAGCACAAUUUGCAACCUUCAACGAGAGUAGCUAUGAGGGAAAUAUUUUUCUUUGUGGACUGCCAUUGCCCAUUUGCAUAUCACCAGCAACUACACCGGAGGCUUCAAUUGACAAU
rnacentral:lncRNA from 1 species